rnacentral:lncRNA from 1 species
UCAAUUUACCCAAUCAAGAUCAGGUGGUGGAUUUUUCUAUAAAGUAAUAUUUAUGUAUUUUGGGCACGUUUUAGAAAAUAUUAUGUUGUACUGUUAUGAAUUGGAGAGUUUCACUCUCUCAAAUGGUGGCUUGAUGUACUUUAUAGAACCUUGAUCCAUUAUUGUAAUCUAGUAACUACUCUCUUGGAGUUAUUACAAAAUCCUACUAGAUAGCACACACCCUGAAAAGUCGUGGUGAUCAUACCACUAGUAACUUUUGGACCCAUUAGCAUGAAGCUGAACGUCUAAAAGCUCCAUUUAUUAAAAAAAAAAAUUAUUAUGUGCAUGUUUUUUAUUUGUUAUAUGAUGGCUAGAAUUAUUGAUGUUGUCUAUCUAUUUACUUCUUAUGAAUAAUUAGCACAUUAACAGAAGGCAGAAGCCAGUAGUGCUAUAAUCUGUUUAAAUUUGACAAAGUAAGUAUCUGUGACUCUGAGGCACUAUACCCGCAUAGUGGCCUAGCGAAUAGGUGUCAUUAUGCCACUCAGGUGCCGCAUGAGCGUUGAAGAUAUCUCAUUCGAGCUCAACUGGGGAAGAAUCAAGCUAUUGAGUAUCUUUUUGGCACUUGAGUAGGUGCUCGAGUGCUGAAGUACCGAAGAAGCUAGUUUAAUUAGAGAAAGAAAGGGUUAUCUACGUUUAUUAGUUUACUAUGAUCACGAGUUUGGUAAUAACUCAUCAAGUUUUUAUCAAUGUUGCCAUAGGCUAGUAAAUUUCAGUGAUACUGAUCUUGGGAUCUUACUAUCUUAAAUGUCAUUACAUGACGAGAUCUCUUGUACAUGACCAAUAUUUAUUUUCUCAUUGCAGUGUUGUGACGAGAUAUCACAAUGAUCCUCAUGCAAUGCAGUACAUAUCCAAGCAUUUUUAUUAUGAGGAAGUGUUUGACGAUUCAACCUCGGACCGGCCAAAAAUAAGGUGGCGUUAUCGAAAUUUCUUUAGUGAUGAUGUUGCUCAUUCUCAGAGGACGCAUGGCAAUGACAACAACGUGCAUGAAAACUCCCACCGUGAUUCCAGUGCCUACCAGGGCGAUUCCUAUGGCGACCCUGAUGACAAUGGAAAUGCUCAUGAGUUCAAGCCAGUCCUCGUAAGUUUUAUAAUUCAGUUUCUGCCCCCAUCUGAUAAUACUUCUUCAAAUUUUUUUAUGAUUGUUUACUUAUAGUUUCUGCUUCAAAAAAGAAAUGGUGUUAUACUGGUGAUCAAAACAGAAGCAAAUCUUUGUAUAUCCCGAGUAGGGCACCUACUUGUGCAUUCUUCGAUUUUCGUUGUGCGAAGUUUUUUCAUUAUAACGUAAAUGGGCACCAAUUUAGGUAGUCAUCUUAGGGUAAUAAUAGUUCCGUGGAUCAUAAACACUGGAAUCUAGAUUCAAAUUUUGGAAGUGUGUUCAUUCCGCACUUGCAAACUUCAACUCAGCAUACUCAAAAUCAUAUGAUCUCAAGCAUUGUAAUUAUCAAGUUCCUGAAAUGGAGCAAGUAUAUUGUCACAUGUUCUCUCCGCAAGUUUUGCUUUGCGCCACAGUAAACUGAAUUUAGUUGAUUCAAAUAGAGAUUAUUUACUGGGAGUUUGGAACGUAUGUGUUAUGUUGCUUCCUGGUCAAACGAGCUUUAUUGAAUACCCGAGUCACAAGACUUCUAAAACAAAAUACUUUUCUUCAGUAAGUAGUGAUAAGAUAUUAAAUUUACCAAAAGCUUUCGGAUAUGAUUUAACAUGAUAUCGUAGUUGGAGGUCCAGAAAUUCCUGUGUUUAAACCCUUUUUCUCGGCUGUUGGAUUCGGGGGAUUGUCAAAAGUAUCAAUAUUUAUCUAUCUUUUAGCCUGAUUUGUACUUUCGUUACAUGCAGACUAAGCCUGGCACCGAUGCUGCGACCGCAGACCCUCUAGAUUGUAUUUUUGGUACAUUGGCCAGAAAAGAAGAAAUUCAAAACUCAACUCCCUCUAUUCCAUCUCCGAAGCCUCACUCUCGUAGCAGAAGAUACAAUCGUCGGCAUCGAAAAGAUAACCAUACAAAAUCAACAAACUUUGAACAUGUGUAAUUUCAGGUUCUAUCCAUUCUAAGAAUAUUUCAUUUUCUGUUUUUAAAAGAAACGAAACUUUCCAUUCGUAGAAAUAAAGAGAGACAUCUUUGUACCUAACCAUGUAUUGAAGAAGAAAUGUUAAGACAUUUAUGCAGUUCGAGUGCAGUAUUGACAUUAGCCUAUCAUAGGAAUGAAAAAUGGUGUAUAAUCGUUUCCAUCUCGGUGUUUUAUGGUACCUAACCAUUACUGAACUAAUGGAUAGGAUAUCCAAAGAAGCGAUAGCCAUCCAUAGUGUGAAGACAAUGCUCAUGAGGCAAUUGUCUGCCGUUUGUUGAAAUGGGAGAGCCACAUUUCAUUGAAGGUUGGAAACUCCAUUCUCUUUUCCAGUUUCUAAAAUUUCUAACAUUUCUCAGGAAAAUUCGUGGGGGAAAAGUCUUUCAUUCUUUCAGACCGUGUGGCGUGUUGAAGACCUUACACAAGAAAGACGACUAUGAACACGCGUCAAGAAUGGUAAAUGCCUUUGUCAUAUCUUUAUUACUAUAAUAACUAACUAGAAGCUUCAUACUUUGUCUUGUUUACAUUAAUAUGAAAUUCUUCCCCCUUUUUUAGUGGUUCUGGUUGAAAGAUAGAAACAAAUACAUAUAUUCUAUUCUGUGGUGGGAGUGGGGGUUUAGAUGAGAUGCUUUUAGUAAGGUAGUACCCAUAAUUUUUAAUCUUUAUACUGCCUGGUGAAAACAAAUAGUGGGUUCUUAGACUGAGCCGUCGAAAGUAAAAGGAAAUGAUUUAGAAUUGAAAGCUUUUAUCAAUUUGGAAUCUUUAAGUUUGAUUGCGGCCCUACCGCACGCAUAGUGCCGCAAUAGAUAUUAGACAGCUUUAUUUAUCAUUAUUAAAAAGAGGAAAAAGAAAACUAAGGUAAAGCUUCAAUAUAGGUUGAGGUUUGAUAUGUAGAGUAGAUGUAAUUAUUGCAGAUAUUAUAGUUUAUUUUUAUUCUAAUGCCACUUUUAUAGAACAGGGUGCUAAUGUUACUUCUGUUUAACUCAAUUAUUAUACCCAUGGAUGAUGGCUUGGUAUCUAAAAUUUGAUUUGAAGUUUUUGUUAUUCUCACCUGAUCAAUUUUUACUCAAUGAAUCCAAUUGAUAGAACGUUUGAUUUUUUUUUUUUUUUUAAUGUAUUUGAAACACUAAGAUGAGUGUGUUGCAUUUCUUUUAAUUAUUACCCACUCAUAAUUUUUAUUGAAAAUUUAUAGGAAAUAUUUUUUAGUUCAAUGAGUUGUAAAACAUGUAUAGUACAAAAUAGGAUUUUCAAGAAAAAAUUAUGUUGAAGCUAAAUAUUUGUUAGAAAUGUAUGUUUUGGUAAAGCUUUCUCUCAUUAAUUUGUGCAAAACUCGUGUGUAUAGGAAUUUACAAGCUUGUGCAGCUUUUAACAUAGUGUGUGUUUGUUAUGAUGAAAUUAAAUGUAUAGAGUGAAUAUUAAUACAAUUUGACAUUAAUAUGACUUGUCUAAGAGUAUAAAUUAAUUUUUCCCAAGAAAAUUUUAUAAUGACAUUUUGAACGCAUUUUCAAAUAUCAUUGAUUUUGAUUGCUAUGGUCUAUUUGUGUCAGUUAGCAUUAUUUGUAAAUAUUUUAAUAGUUUUUAGUGUAGCGCAAGAUUAGGUUGUCAUAUCGUAAAACUUCUUUUAUCAUUUUUGUUUAUGUUAACUUACUCUCUUCGUUAGCAAAAGUUUAAAGAUCGUUUUUCUGUAUGAUAUUUAACCUCUUGUUUAAAAAAGACAAACUAAAGAUUUAAUUUUAAAAAUAAGUCAUUUGAAAGAAGAAAAAAUAAUUAAAGCAGUUGAUAACUCUUUUAAAUUGUUGUUUCAAAACUGUAUUUUAAAAUUUUAAAUAAUUUAUAUCAAUAAAGUGAUCUUAAGACAUGAUAUUUUGUAAAUGUGACGUUGAUGUUACUAGCUAACAACGUUUAUCGCUAAUUAAUGAUAUCAAUCGUUUCAAAGAAAAAUAAUAAUAUCAAUGAUAAACAGAAUGGUAGGUAGGUAUGGUAAUUAAGUUUCUAUUUGUUUUAAUAUUAUCACAAAAGAAAUAUGUUAGAAAAUAUUUUGGUCCCUAAGUUUAUAUAGGACGUAAGAACAACAGUUAAAUUUCAUAACUUAAUAUAGUCCUUAUGCUUUAAAGAGUCCUUAUGCUUUAAAGAGCAUAAAUUCAUCCUUAAGCUUUAAUAAACUAACACGUCUCUACUCCAUAUAUUUUAGUUCAUGUUGGAAAAGUAUUAUUGAGAUUUGGUGGCAUUCAUAAACAUGCAAAUUGAUUAAAUGAUAACUAUCAACUUUUGUACCAUCAAUUAAGUUUAAAAUCGUUACUUAAUAAAAAAAAUUUGUAAAGACUAAAUUGUUGUCAACUUCAAAAUCUAGGUACGAGAAUGGUGCUCGUUAAACUUACACGAUUAAAUUGUUUCAACCUCGGAAAUAAAGAAUUUAUAUCCUGCCAUCUAAAGUCUAGAUAUUAAUGAGUAAUUUUAAGAAAUUUCAAUUAUAAGAAAACAAUUUUAACUCUUUCAAGAAAGGAGAAAUGUUUAUGUGUUAAUUUAAAUAGUUUGGUGGGUAUUGCACUUUUGUUUCCACUUAGGCAAUAAUAUUUUCAUCACUGUUCUCAUACAAUUGAGACGAAUUUUAUAUAAGUUUGAUUCUUGUGCAUCUCUAUAUAUCAUUAAGUAAAAUUUCAAUCAGGUAAAGUUUGGUAUCGUACUUGGAAGAAAACAAAAUAGCUAUUAUACUAUGUCAUCUAACAAUUUAAUAGAAGUGAACAUGAUAAUAGUUCAAACGUUCAAAAUUGAAUGUUCCCUUCUCUUAUACAUGAGGACUUUAAUGUUCAUAGUUUAUAAACAUUCUUAAUCAAUUUAUAGAUAUAAAUAGAUAAAAGGUUCUAUAAACUCAUAACCAAAACUUUCAUAAUAGAUUGUUAACGAUUUUAAAAUUCAAAGACUACAAUGGAUACCUAAUAAUUGAAUUAAUUCAACUUUUAAUUCGGACUAAAUCAUUUCCUCCACAUAAAAAUCUUUAAUCUUUAAAUGUAUAAAAGUUUAAAGAGAAUUGUGUUGAAACCUAAAAUUUAUAUAUAAACAAAAAAAUACUUUCGCAAUUUCAUUGAUUUUAUUUCUUUUCUUUUUGAAAAAAUAACACGAUCAAUAUGAACAUAGCUUCCCUCCGAAUUGACAGGGGUUUGAUCUCAGUUUCAUGAAAAUAAUAAUUUUAAAAAUAGUACGACCGACUUUGUAAUUUCAUAAAAAAUAAAGGUUGAAUAUAGAAAUAAAAUAAUAAUUGUUAAUAUUAUAUUUAUUGUUAAAAAAAAAGGGGAAAAACUACUUUCCCUUCCAUCCUUCUUAUUUAUCCACUAAGCGAUUCUUCCUCUUUUGGUGUUUGCUCUCACGGCUCUUUCUUCAUCCUCUUCCUCCAAUCAAUAAUGCCUUUCUCCGAUUCAAUUUCUUAAUUCUCUCAAAUCCCUCAUUCAAUUAAUUUCCCUUUUCAGUUUCCAUUUUCGAACAUUAGGGUUCUCUUCCGAUUCCUGUGUUUCUGUUUUGUUUGUUUGUUUGUUUGUUUGCACAAACCAAUUUCCUUUGAUUCCUUUAUGAUUUCCCAUUCUCGUCCUCUGAACUCCAACCCCAUCAAGAUUUCGAUUCCUUUUGAAAUUCGUCCCUCGUUUUUCACUAGAGCAUCUUCGAUUUCCCUAUCGAUUUGGGUUCUAACCCUUGUUUUUAUUGUUGUUGGUGGUGUUUCUCCCGCCCCUUCAAAACCUAUUGCAAGUUUGAAGAACGAGUUCGAAAUCAACUCCACCACCGCCAUGAAGGUCCACCCACUGCCGAGGAAGCGCAAUAUCGCCGUUCGGAAUAACACCACUUUGAGAAACUCUCUUGAAGAUCAAUCCCUUUUGAACAAUCACAAGAAACUCAGGCGGUUACCACAUAUCUUCAGUCGGGUCCUUGAACUUCCGUUUCGAUCUGAUGCGGAUGUUUUGGUAGAGGAAAAUCCAGAUUGUUUCCGAUUCAUUGCUGAAACUGAUGGUAACAUUAGCGAUGGAGUUAGAGCUCAUGCUGUGGAAAUCCAUCCUGGGGUUAUUAAGAUCGUUGUUCGUGAAAAUGAAUCGUUGGAAAUGUCAAUAGAUGAACUUGAAUUGGAUAUGUGGAGGUUUCGACUACCGGAGACGACACGUCCGGAGCUUGCGAGUGCGGCCUUUGUUGAUGGAGAGCUUAUUGUCACUGUUCCAAAAGGGAAUGAUGAAGGGAAUUCUGAUGAUGGUGGAGGAGAUAUCUUCAGAGAUGAAAUGGAAGGUCGGCUUGUUCUUGUACAGUAAAUUGAAUACUUUCUCUCUUUUUUCUUUUUGGUUUUUGUACUAACUGUUGGAAAUUUCGUUGUUCAUCAUUAUAUAAUGUUGUUCCAGAUUUCCUGUUAGUUUCCCAUUGUUGAAUUCGUUGAUCCAUUAGUUUAAAAGAAAUUUAGAAAGAAAAACCAAAUUGCUUCUUAUCUGAAUCAUAUCCAUCUCAAACAUAAAACUUGAUAACAUAAUACUCAAUUCUGAAACAUUGAUCCUUUUUCUAAUGGUAAUCUGCUUUAGGAAAUUUAUGGUAUUUUGUGUAUGCAAUUUGAAGUUUGAACUCUCUUUUCUUCCCAAAUCAUUACAACUUAGGGUGUUCUCUGGUUGGUCACAGUCGUUUUCGACCAAACCAACUAGUCAGUUCAAUAAAUCUUCAAAAUGUUAUCUUCUCCGUAGUCGAUCGCAGUUUUCGAUCUAUCAUGCUGCAUCUGUUAUCUGCUAUGUUCUUAAACCGUCACUACUCCCCAAUUAUGUUCUUAAAAUAGAAUCUAUAUUUCAAAUAUGGAAUUUUUCCUUUUAGGCUAAGGUUGAUAUCAGAAUCCUUAUCUGUAAGCUUGAAUGAAAAACUUUGAUAGUUUUCCAUACCUUUCCCUUUUGCUUUCGUUUCUUAAUUGCUAAUAUACAGUUUUGAGAUUUUGGUUGUGAAUGUAUUUCUUGAAUGGUUUAGCCAUUUUGUAGAAAUCGUUUUCUUUUCUUUUGGGUGUACCUCAAACACUUGUCCUUCUCUGUGGUUUGGAAAGUAUUCCUUCUCUCUUUGUCUAUCCAUGGGUCCUAUGUGUGGCCAUAUGUGCUUCCUUACUUUAUGUAUUUAAAACAUAUAAUUUGGCACUUUUCAUGCUACCCAAAACACAAAAUAAAACCUUAUUUUAUGCCUUAUUUUCCUCACAUCUGCCACGAUUUAGUUGCCAAAUUCUUAUUCCUAAAUCCUAACUGCUUUGCCUAUUCUCAUUCCUUAGAUCUCUCCCUUUUUUCCUUUUCAUUGUUGACUUGUUCGAGCAAUGCCCUACCUUCUCAUUAUCUUUGAUAAUCCUUUUUAAUCUUUCCCAUGGGUCACGUUUGGUGUUGAUUUAUUCUAGCUGCUCAUGAUUCUUUUUUUUUUUUUUUUUUUUUUUUUGUUCAACAUGGGUGGAGAAAUUCGGAACAUCUACCGUAUUGAUCAAAUGGUGCAUGUCUAAACUUAGUGAACUGUGAUUAGGUUGGUAGUAAGAAAACUCUUUCGUCCUUAAAAAUAUAUAACAAUUAAAUAUCGGGGUCCUAGUAUAUUCUGCAGUAAUUCAAUGAUAUGAAAUACCUUUAUUGAAUUUUUGAUUGCUUAUGCACUCUUCUGUUCAACUCAUGAGAGGUAUCAAUCCAAGUAGUUUGUAUAUUGAUGAUUAAAUUAUAAAAUUCCAAACUAAUUGCUUGAUUGUUAAUCCCAUUUAUAUAUGCCUACAAAUUACAUUAUCCGGUAAUCCUAUUGUUGAAUUUCCACAACAUGAAUUUUCAAUUGAAAUACAAAUCUAUGAAAUGAUUACAUUACUAUGACACUUCUGCACAGUUUUGACUCCCUCACAAAAUAGAUUGGUGUGAAAUUGGAGAAAUUUGUCUUACUUUGACAUAAUAUAUAGAUUAUAUAUAUUAUAUAUGAAGAAAAAAAUUACAGUGACAUAAUAUAUAGAUUAUAUAUAUAUUAUAUGUGAAGAAAAAAAUUACAGUGAAGUUGAAUUCCAUGUAGCUGACCAUGUGAAUCAGGCAUUCAUCUAAAGUUCCAUCAUUUUAUUGGCUUUUCGACUUGGAAUGAUUGCAUCGCAGUGGCCUACAGCUACAAUCAUCCUCUCAUAUUAUAAUGACUAAUUAUUAUGAUGUAAAAUGUUGGUUUAACGUAAAGGUAAAUUCCUUUUUCUACCCCUCAAAAUAAAUAUAUAAAAAUUGGUGAUAAGAAAAUGAAAAAAAAAAAAAAUCACAUUUAUGAUUUUUAGAACUGUAUAGUCUGAUUGGGUUUUCGGAUUUAAGAUGAACUUUACAAGUUCAUAUUUAUGCCAUGAAAUCAUAUCAACACAUAAUCUCAAAUAUUUGGAUUAUACAAAUCUAAUUUGUGACAAACAGAAACACACCAUUGAAUAUCUUGGCAAAGCCCACUUAUCUGAUGACGAUCAUUUUCCGUUAUGAAUAAAAAUGGGAAGAGAUUUAAGCAAAAUAAGGGAUUUCACAUGCAAGGAAGAGGGAGAGAAAUAAAUGCCAAGAACAAAUCCAUUUUCGAUUAAACGGCUAAAAAGAUGAACUUGACAAGCUAAUAACAUCCAAAACUCGCAUUAUCACUAUGGUCUCAAAGAGAAAGUACAAAAUACAUUCGUAAGGAUAGAAAAGCCAAGAUGACAAAGAAAGGAGCCGACCUUUUUUGUCGUGAACACAAUCACACGUCAACAGUAGGUGCAACAAUCAUCUUCAUCAUCAUCAUCCUGAUGAAGAAAAUGGCGGUUUCACUGCAUUCCACGAAGCUUCCUUUCUAUGUAAUAAGUGGGAUUAUGUCUUCUUCUUCUUUUCCCGUUUCAAAUAUGUUCUGAUUUUAGCAAAAUGUAAUCAAGAGAAGUUACCUCUCUUCUGCAUGUAGUUAUAAGAAAUCUGAACCAGACUGGAUCCCCUACACUAAGCUCCACAGAAGUCAUGGAAAGCAACCAAUGGGAACGUAGAAGUUUAGCUGAGAAAAGUUCCAAUGUUCACAAGAAUUCAAAACAUAAAUAAUCAUUUCCUGAGAGAGUUGAAGAGGCAAAGAUUUAAGUAUAUAUCUUCAAACAAUGCUCGUUUCUAACUCUCACUUGCUAAUACAUUCAAUAUAUAAGUAACAAAGACAACAAAUAGGAGUAAGCUCACAGUUUGGUCAGUAGAGUAUAAAAUCCAUGGUGUUGAUAAUUUGAUAUGAAGGCCUACCGUGAAAACUCGUUGCUGAGGGUUAGUUUCCAAUUGACCAAAAUAUCUCUACUCUACAUUCCUUCUGGCAACUCCACAACGGUAUAGGUUCAGUCUUUGCUUUCUGAAUCCAGAUAUCCUCAAAAACCGAGUAAAACCUCGAUAUCAUAGACUCAGCCUCGUGUGAAGCCAUAUGAUACACAGUAAAAAAUACAAAAACUCACAUAAGAGCUAAAUGAACCAAGCAAGUUCAGUGAAAUUUUGUGAGACAUCGUAUUUUUUCACUUCCGUAUCUCUAUUUCAACAUCCAAAUCGAAGUCCUCCUUGAGGAUAUCUUUCGGAGUCAUUCCAAAUCCAUCAGCAAUCUUUUCCAUUCUCUUCAGUCUCUUUACUUCUCGUUUUAUUUGGUCCACUCUGUUUGAUACGGCAUUUUGUCCCGUUGAUGGUGCUUGAUGUCUGAGUUCAGUUUGCUCCUUUUCAAGUUGCUGAAAGAGGUUAUGUAGAUAAUUUUUAUGUAAUAGAAGCUUUUCUUCUGCUAAAUUAUACUCGAACUCCUGUGAUCUUUUCAGUCCAUGCAAAACCUGAUCAAUUUCGUCUUCAAGUUUUAAGGACUCGAUCCAAUGAUCAAAAGGGGUGGACAUAGUCCAUUCUGAGCUUAUAAGGGAGUCUGAAGUUUCAUGAGAACUUUCUGUAGAAUCAGCAGUAUCAGGUGCAUCUGUGCAUAAAAUACAAAAUCAUUUCUUUCACAAAAUACAAAAUCAUCUCUUUUUCUUGUUUUGAGAGUAUACUUAUCAUUCUUUUAACGAGCAAGAGUAUGAAAAAUCGAUGGUCUAAAUGGCUGUUGAACAUACUAAAUAUUUGGCUGGUUAUACAACUAACCACUUAGAGACAUUGUUCCUAAGACAGAUUUGUUCGAGUAUGUAGAAUCAGACCCUAUAUUCAAAUGAUGAAAUCUUUCUCCAUAGUUAUCAAUGAUGGGACUUGACGAAAAAAUAAUUACCAGUGCAAUUAGCUGAGACCCUAAUGGAUGGUAUUACAAUUUCUCAUGCUUAUACGGUUGUGAGAACUUAUCCAUGCUAUUGGAUUUGAAGAAAAAUUACCAGUGCAAUUUGCUGAGCUAUCUUCCUCCAUCUUCCAAAUCUUUUCCAAGCAAGUCCCAGUUUUAAUCUGAAGCAAGCAUUCAAAGUCAAAUAGUAUGGAAAAGUCCCAGAGCAGCAUAGGAUAUUGCAAUAUUUAGUAUUUGUAGAAAAUACCAGUUUUACCUUCUCAAUGCUCAGUUCAAUGUGUCUUAACAACUCCUUUGCUCUCAUUUUGUGCGAACCACGCAAAAUACAUAAACCAAGGUUUAAGAUCUCCUCAACAUCAUCUUGGCAGUCAGCUGAUUGGCAUGACUGCAAAAAUCUUUCUACAUGUGAUACCAAAUCCGUUCUGGCAUCACAACGUCGACAAUAAUACUCAGCAUCCAGUCCAAUGCUUCCUCCAACUGUCCCAGCUGUAUACGAUUUAAGACCACAUUUUAUAUGAGAAAGAUGUCCACAAAUAUAUCCAUCACCCACCACUGCUUUACAUUUUAUGUAGCUAUAACUUUCCACGGUCGUGUCUAUAAUCUUGCAGCAAAGUAUACAGCAGCAAUCACGGCAAAAGCGAGAUUCACUGCAGCAAAUACCACAAGACAUGGAUUUGGAUGAAGAUGGAUUUUCAGAAACAGAUAAACUAUAACAGUUCUUAUUUCCAGCCUUGCAACCCACUUUAUCAUUCUGGGACGCAGAUGCGGAGCAUUCCUCUAUCUUUUUUGAGGGUAGAGAGCAUGGAAUGUGUUUUACCCGAGUACCUAAAUAAGAUCAACUGUAAAUUAAGGAUCUCUAAAAAUAGUAGAAUGAUUACUAUGAAAGCAAUAAAAAAGGUUACCCAAUCAAUAAAAAUACGAUGUGACCUAACAUGCACAUACACACAUGCUGACUUUAUAUUAAAUGAUAAAGAAAUUAUUAUAUACAGCGAUGCUUUUGACAACAUGACAGUAGAACUUCAGUGAGUCCCCUUUGAGGUCCAGCCACUUGGUUUCAUCUAAACUUCCAAAAUUUCAGAGUUCUAACCUGUAAACCUUGUUAGCCAUUGGCCCAACAAAAAUGAAAAGGCCAACGAAUAAGGCCUAAGUUCUGAUAAGCAACGAAGGGAAAGACAAUAAAAUCAGAGACAUGGGAACUAAACUGGAACGAAAAUACUAGGUGCUGAUCCUAUCCAAAGUAUUUAUCUUGUAUGUGGGAGUGUAUCAUGUAUAGACUACCUGUAACAAUAAACUUAAAUAUAAUGCAACAUAAAUUCAAUAUUACAUAAUCAUCAGAUACUUGUCAUUUAAGACAACCAAUUACAACAAUAGAAAUAUUUCACCUAAAAUAGGCAUUUCACUUCAACCAACAGAAGUCAUUUCAGAUACAAGAGGCUAGACGAGAAUGCUAUAACUGAGAUAAAUAAUAAAGUUAGUGAAGCUACAAGAGCUAAGGGCCUGUUUGGUACAGAAUCUUCAAACCAAAAUUUGAAAAUUAUGGAUUCAAUGAAAAUAUUUUCUGAUGUGUUUGGUGACAGAUUCAAAAAUUGGAUUAAGAUUUUAAAAAAUGUUUAAAUGUGUUUCAUACUAUAUAUUCAUAAAUCCUAAAUCUAGUCUUACUUAUCCACUAAGAUUAGUUGACAAUAAACUAUUAUUAAUUUAUUUAUGAAUAUAAUUUAGGGUUAAAAAUUGGUUAAAUUGCAAUUUUAGUCCCUAUUGUUGAGAGAAGGUUAAAGUUUAGCCUAGAUUCCGAUAAAACUCCAUAUAUAGUCCUUAUCAUUUGACAACCUUCAUAGAUAAUCCCUACAAACGAGACUAUUUUAUGUGAUUUUAGUAAAUUAAAAGGACUAAAUUCUAGUUAUAAACCAUAGAGACUAAAUUCUAUCCUUUUAAAACUACAUGGACCAAAUUUGUAAUGUAACCUAAAAAUUUAUAUAAUUAUUAUUUUGCAUUAUUAUAUAAUUUAUAAUACAUUACAUAGUACAUAUUAUAUUGAAAAAAUGAAUUGAGUUUAUAACCUUACAUAUUGUAUUUCUAAAUAUUUUUAUGUAUUUAAUAUCUUGUCAAAAUGUAAAAUUCAAAUUCUAGAUACAAUGAAAACAUAAAAAAGUUGUUUUCAGAAUUUACACUCUUUGGAUCACAAAAUCCGAAAACAGUUUUCAGAAACAGAAUUUGGAUUGUCCGUCAAGUGUAUAUCUGUUGAACUCAGUGAAUCUGAAAAUAUAAAACAUAAUCUGAAUUCACUGCCAAACAGACUCUCUGGUAUGAGAUGAGAAGAGACUGAUCGAAUAUAUUAAGCUAACCUUGGGCUGAAGAUGACUUUUUUGCUGGUAUCUUCCAACUGAAUGAAGCAAAAAAAGCCUCAACGUCUGCAUUAGGGAACUCAGACUGGAUAUAUCUUUCAACUGAAAGCUUGCUUGCAAAACUUUGCCCUUUACGAGCUGAGUUUUCGGACGCGCUAAUACCACGAGGAGAAUAAAGGUACCUAUCCAGAAAAUGGCCAGUUAUAGCAACUCUCUUCCCCACCCUCCAACUCCAGUUAUCACCAGGAUUGGGCCAAUUUUCAGGAGCAUAUGGCAAGCCCUCCCCAGAUUCAUCUUGAGAAACUGGUCUAAGAAUCAGCUCAUUUUUAUUCACCCCGGAUGAACAGCCAUUUGUAUCCUCAAGAACUUCUGUCUUCGCGGGAUUCCCCGACAUCUAAAAUGGUAGACAAACCAACGAACCUAUAAGCAUAGGCAAUACAUUUUCUCCCCCAAUGAACAUAAACAUAGGCAAUGCUAUUAACAUUCAUUAUUAGAAACUACCAACUGAUGAGGCAAAACCAAUCAGAUAGCUCCCAACUCUCAUGAUCAGGUUCCACGACAAACAGAAGGUAUUGGGAGGGGUGGAGAGAACAAAAAAAAAAACAAAGAAAGUUGUAGGAAUGUGAUACCUGAGAAUUGGAAGACGGUGUUCGACAGGUAGGAAUGAAAUUUAUAAAAAAAAAAAACUUACAAGAUCUGUUUAUAUUUUUACAAAACGAUUUAACUCAUAUAGUUAUCAUAAAUUUAAUAGAUUAGUUCACACUUCACAAUUAUUAAUUUUUUUAUAAAAAAAAUGAAUUCUUGAAACUAAAAUAAAUAGAUAAACUAAACGUAUCUAACUUGAAAUUAAUUAUUUAUAAUCCCAUUUAUUGGUUCCGAGUUAGAAUACCCAAGCAAUGCUCAUUAGUAACUAGCAGGUGCUACCGAUUUCCAAUAAUGACCAAGAAACAUAAGAAAUGAGAAAUCCUAAAUAGUCUUUCCACCCCUAGUUCUCCAAAAAAGGGAUUUGCUAAGUAACAAAUAUCGACCAUAUCAAAAACCUCACCUCGAAGAAUUCAACAAGGCAUCCAGAGAACUUUAGGGUUUGGUCUGUCCAGUAGUGUGGUGUGAUAAUCUGCAAAAAAGCGGAGUUAGGAAAUGAACAACAGAAAUGGGUGAAGCGGGAAGUGAAUCAUGAUUGAAAUGUAAGAGAAUCGUAAGGAAACAGUACUUACAUUGUAGAGAAAUAUUAAAUAAAUGAGAAAAUAGAGAGAUUAAGGAGAUUAAAUUUUUCGCGGGAAUGAGAAAAAUGAAGAAGAAGGAAGAAGAAGGAAGAAGAAUAAGAAGAACAAACGAACGAACACCGAAGCAUUGUAAAUUGAGUAAAAAGGUUCCACGCCGCACAACCGAAAGCCUUUGAUGGACCGCCGAGGGACUGGACCGAAAGGCCCAAUACCGAUAGGUCCAACCGAUCAACGGUUCUUUUUGUUUCUUAUCUUUUAAAAUAUUUCUCUUCGUUAAAAUACUAUUGUAUAAUGGUUUGAAUUUUAAUUUUUAUAUUAUCAAUUACUAAUUUUAGUUAUUGUAAUUCUAAUUUCAAAGUAAAUCUUAAAUUUAUUUCUUCAAGUUGUUUUUUUUUUCUGAAAUUGAUUAAAUAAUAAUAAUUAAGGCUUUUGAGUUUUUAAAUUAUACCUUACGAAAAACUUGAACCUACCUUAUUAAGUAAACAAGUAAUUAAUAAUUAAUUAUGUUAACUAUAAUUAUUGAAAUUGAAUAAAGGAGCUUAUGUUAAAUAUAUCAUUUCAACAAAUUAACAACAUUUGUAGCUUGAUUUGUAUGUUUGAAUGUACAUAUUCGAAUCUCAUCUUGAAUACAAAUCGGACCACUACUAGAGUUGAUCUACUAUUCUUCCGAUUUAGAUUCGAAUUGUGGACUCAAUGAAUAAAAUAUUUAUGAGUUGAUAAUUGAAGUAGUGUCAAAGAUUUGAUGAAUUAUUUGGUGAUUGAUAUUUUUAAAGAAAAAUCACACGAGUCAAAAGUUUUUACACAUUUUAAAAUGCACCCUUUAAAUAGACUAAACACAUGUAACUAAUGCAUGUCAACUCACCAAAGUUCAAUACCUCACGUUCCAUUAACUCUUGGUGGGUUUGGUGUCAUCAUCAUGAGCUUCCAUUUAGUAGUGGAAUAAUUAUGCAACAAUGCAUUGUCUCUUGGUGGGCUAAAUGUCAUCAUCAUGAGUCUCCAUAUCGCCGACUAAGAGUUAAUGAUAUUAUCCAACGACAUGUUAGAUUUUUCCACUAACUUUAGUUAGAGGAUAAAAAUUACUAUUUCACCAUUCAAGUUAAAAUCAAAAUAUUAACCAAAAGUCGAAAUUUUGACUUUUUUACCAUUUUUUCCUCAUUGACCAGUUUCACCAUUUCGAGUAUGAAUCUGCAUUUAUUUUUCCAAAAUUUCACUAAUAAUUUCUUAACAACAAUUUUAUUGAAUAGUAUAUGAUUUGAAGCUACUGUAUAUAAGUUUUAUAACAUCAAUCCUAACAUAUAUCAAGUUAAUAGGUAAUCAAUUUAAAGUUUAUUUAAACGAUAAAAAAUAUAAAUUAUCAAAUCAAGUUUAAUUUAAUAAUAAUUCACAUCACCUUCUACUUAUUAAAUGAAAAAUAAAACUAAUUACUUAAUCUUAUGUAGUAUAUUAAACUUUUUUUAAAAAAUAACAUAACGUGAAAUUCACAUUUACAAAUACACCGAUAUUCAUACUUAACAUUGGAGGUCGAUGUAACCGGUAAUAAACUAGGUAAAUUAAUUCUUACAAACCAAAAAAUCCAAAAAGCAAUACAUCAAAGUUUGAGGGUAUGAUUUAACAAAGAUUCUACAAUUUUUUUUUCUAACGACUUCCCACCAAAUUUUCUUCGUAUAUCAUCAUCAAUUGUUCUGCUACCUGCUUGAAUUUUCAUAAAGAAAAAAUAAAAUCAAAAUUUUAUGUUGAAGUCAUUGUAAUCUCGAUGUUGUGUAAUGAAUUUUUACCUGUUCGAUGCUGCCAUCUUCAAUCUCGGUGUUGAAGGAGAGCAAUAGAGUUUCAUGGAGCAGAUUUUCUAGAUCUUCCACGUAUAAAGGAGCUGCAUUAAUGGAAGCAAAAACGCACGCAUCAAAAAAUUAUUGAAGAAGGUUAUUUUAAUGGCGGAUGUUGAUUUACAGAAGAGGGAUAAUAACGUUUGGAAUGAGAGAACCAAGAGAAGACAUCAGAGACGAGAUUCAGUGAUUUUUGGUGAGAGUCGCGACCUCCCCAUUGAUUUUCAAUGGCCAUUUGAAGGCCGUCCCACCGUGAAAACACUGAUGAAAUAGCCAUUUGGAGGUUGGAGACAGAUCCCGCCUUGUAAUUGGUUGAGGUUAAUCCAUCAAUUGGCUCCAUGGAUGAACCUCAGAAUUUCGUCUUCGUUUUUGCUCUCCCUCUUCCUAAACCUCGAAAUCUUCUUUUUCCUUUGUCUCUCCUAACUGAGUUAUCAGAGAAUGAGAGAGAGAGGGCGGUUGGAUUCAGUAAUUAAUGGCAGAAUUGGGCGGAGAGAAAAUCGGAGAUGUGUUUUGAGAGAGAGGCGGAGAGACAUUCGGGCUUUUUUUUUUAAUAUAUAUAUAUAUUCAAAUGAUAGAGCUCGAUUCCAUGGCUUCUCGAAUUCCCGCCAAAUUCAACUGAAUCGAAGUAACUUCAUAGAAGAAGAUUCUUUGUUUCUUCUUCAUUCUGAUCUAACAGAUAAUGAUCUUUGCGAUUUUCAACCAUGCCGUUUCUCUCGCAAAACUCGCUCGCUUCAGUGGUCGAAUUGGCCGUAUCGGUUCGCUCUUCUCUUCUUGGCCGAGCCGCCCACGCCCAAAUUCUCAAAACCCUAAAAACCCCCUUUCCAGCCUUCCUCUACAACCACCUGGUGAACAUGUACGCUAAACUUGACCAUCUUAACUCGGCCAAACUCAUCCUUGAACUCGCCCCUUGCCGCUCCGUUGUUACUUGGACUGCCCUCAUUGCCGGUUCAGUCCAAAACGGCUGUUUUGUUUCCGCUCUGCUUCACUUCUCCGACAUGCUAAGUGACUGUGUUCGACCCAAUGACUUCACUUUCCCUUGCGUUCUCAAAGCCUCCACUGGCCUUCGCAUGGAUACGACAGGCAAACAACUACAUGCGCUUGCGGUUAAGGAGGGAUUAAUAAACGAUGUCUUCGUCGGGUGCAGUGUCUUCGACAUGUACAGCAAAUUGGGGUUUCUUAAUGACGCAUACAAGGUUUUUGAUGAAAUGCCUCAUAGAAACCUCGAGACGUGGAAUGCGUAUAUAUCUAAUUCUGUGCUCCAUGGGCGACCUGAAGACUCUGUUAUUGCAUUUAUUGAGCUACUUCGAGUUGGUGGGAAGCCAGAUUCCAUAACAUUUUGUGCUUUUUUGAAUGCGUGUUCAGACAAACUAGGCCUGGGGCCUGGGUGUCAGCUUCAUGGGUUCAUUAUUCGAAGUGGGUAUGGGCAGAACGUCUCUGUUUCAAAUGGGUUGAUUGAUUUUUAUGGGAAAUGUGGGGAGGUUGAAUGUUCUGAGAUGGUUUUUGAUAGAAUGGGAGAGCGGAACAGCGUAUCUUGGUCCUCUUUGAUAGCUGCUUACGUUCAAAACAACGAGGAAGAGAAGGCUUCCUGCUUAUUCUUGCGAGCAAGGAAAGAGGAUAUCGAACCAACUGAUUUUAUGGUAUCAAGUGUGCUUUGUGCCUGUGCUGGUCUUUCAGAAAUCGAGUUUGGAAGGUCAGUUCAAGCACUAGCCGUCAAGGCUUGUGUAGAGCAGAACAUCUUUGUUGCAAGUGCACUGGUUGACAUGUAUGGAAAAUGUGGAAGUAUUGAUAACGCUGAGCAGGCCUUCAACGCGAUGCCAGAGAGAAACUUGGUGUCUUGGAAUGCAUUGUUGGGCGGAUAUGCGCACCAAGGUCAUGCAAACAAGGCUGUGGCAUUGCUCGAGGAGAUGACAUCGGCGGCAGGCAUUGUGCCAAGCUAUGUUAGUUUGAUCUGUGCAUUAUCAGCUUGCAGUAGAGCAGGAGAUUUGAAGACGGGGAUGAAGAUUUUUGAGUCCAUGAAAGAAAGGUACGGUGUGGAACCAGGGCCAGAGCAUUAUGCUUGCUUGGUAGAUUUGCUUGGACGUGCUGGAAUGGUGGAAUGUGCUUAUGAUUUUAUAAAGAGGAUGCCAUUUCCUCCUACAAUCUCAAUCUGGGGUGCUCUGUUGGGGGCUUGCCGAAUGCAUGGGAAGCCAGAGUUGGGGAAGUUGGCCGCUGAGAAGCUGUUUGAACUUGAUCCAAAAGACUCUGGAAAUCACGUUGUGCUGUCUAAUAUGUUUGCUGCAACCGGAAGGUAACCCAAUUUCAAAUUUCACUACACUCUUAUAUUCAUCUACAUUCUAAAGUUAGCUCAUUACUCGUAAUAUCUUUUAUCAAUAUCAAUUAGAAAAGAAUGACUUUAUAACAAUUUAAAUUGAUAGAUCAUUGUUUACUUUAACAUUUUAUUCGUAUUCUACUGCUAUUCGUUCAGUGAGUUAGAAUUCAACUUAAAAUCCGGUAGGUUACUACUGUAUUAUUAGAUUUCCUACAUUGAAGUUUAAAGACAAACUUCUUUAAUACUAAAUAAAAUCACCACUAAAUCUUGAACUACUGAAUUGUGAUAUACUUAAUCUUUAACAUUCUUCAAGACUUUGAUUUCUCAAAUUCUACGGUAAAUUGAUUGGGAGGUGAAUUCAGAUGGGAAGAAGUGACUGUCGUACGAAAUGAGAUGAAAGAGGUAGGGAUCAAAAAAGGAGCUGGGUUCAGUUGGAUAACAGUAGACAGUAGAAUUCAUAUGUUUCAAGCGAAAGACAAGAGCCAUGAGAAGGACCCUGAAAUUCAGGACAUCCUGGGAAAGCUGAGAAAGGAGAUGCAGGAUGCUGCUGGUUGCAUUGCAGACCCCAAUUAUGCCCUUUUCGAAGUGUCGAAUUAACCAGAUAUGGCUGCCACCACAAGAGCAAUGCUCUUGCCGUCAAUUCUGCAGGUAUUAAACUCAUCUCUAGUGAGCAAUCAAGAAUUAACGUUAUUAUUUGUUUUUUUCGAGAUUAUUUGAACAGUUACUACUUCCCCCCUCCGUAUAUUCUCAAAUUAUCUCAUUGUAAACUGUAAUUGUUAAAAUUCUAAACUUCCAAUCCUCUCUACCUGAUUAUUUUCCAAGUUUCUUAAUUUUUUUCCCUCUUUUGUCGUUUCUUAUGCAGUUGAAUAAUUAACUAUUAGGUAGCCGAAUUAUCCAAACUAGAUUGACAAACAAAGUUUAAAGUAAUAUCAUCUCGUAAAUUCGUUGCAGGGAAUAAACACAUCCAACCCAAAAGCUUAUAAGUUUGACAAAAUUUCCAAAUCAUUCUCUUAGAUAUGAUAAUACUUUCCUCCAGUACCUAUAAAUUUUCAGAAACUGCCAUCUGUAAUCAAACUCAGCCAAGUGUCAAGCAAUGGGAACUCCAUUCUCCUCAGUGGAUUUCUCAAGCUUUCCCCACUAACCAUCUGUACAUUAAAUCGUCAAAUCACCCUCCUUCUUCUCUACAUUCAACACUUGUCCCAACACAACUAAAUCCUACACCCACCUCUUCCACUCACCAAUCUCUUCAAAUAACGAAUAGCAAAAUUUUGCCCCAUCGCAGAAAGAAACCUCAUUUGGUUUUUGAUCUUGUGUUAAAUCAUGAGUCAAGAACAACCACGCAGGGACGAACAACUGCAGCAGUCUCGCCGGAACGACGAUGAGCAGCUUGAAACCAUCAAAUACGGUGACAUUUUCAACGUCUCGGGCGACCUAGCCGCGAACCCCAUCGCACCUGAGGAUGCUCGAAUGAUGGCCAGUGCUGAAACGAGGGUGUUGGGGCAAAUGCAUGAAACUGGUCCGGCCGAUGUCAUGCGAGCCGCCGCCGCUCGCAAUGUUCGAGUUGGACUUCUUAGUAGCCGUGAUAUUAGCGAUGUUGCUAAAAGUCAAGGCAUUAACAUCAGCGAGACCGAUGUUCCGGGAGCCCGCGUCGUCACUGAAUGCGUUGCCGGGCAGGUCCCCCCAUCUUGAUCUCUCCCAUCGUUUCAUCUGUUUUUUUCCUCUCUGUAUUAUUCCUUGAAAUUUUUCUGGUCGUAUUUUUUAUCAUUUAAAUUUGAUUUUUCUAGUGGGUAACAUUUUUUCCCUAUAGAUUUUCACUGGUACGAAAUAACUUGAAAAAAUGCAUUUUUCUUUUUAGGAUGAAAAGGGGUCUAAUUCUUAGUGUCAGAAAUUUCUGUAUUUUGUUUUCUUCUAAAUUUACUUUAAUUGAGUAUUUUAUUGCGUGAGCUUGUUAACGAAUUUUAACUUUCAUUUAGGUGUGAGGACUAAAUUGAAAGCCAAAGGGAUUAAUCGUUAGAAACACGGAAUUUAAUCAAUUUUUUUAAUAGCUACAUACUCCUAAAAUUGGUCAGAAAAUGUAGUUUCAUCUUAACUUGAAGAAGGAACAUGCUUAGGAUUAGGAUGUCCGCCCCAUUCUUUUGCCGUCGGCUUUCUUCUUUUUUCUUUAAGUCUUUAUUAAAUAUUUGAGUUUAUUCUUUUGUACAUCAACAAAAAGAUGGGUGAUGUCUAUGAGGCGUCAUAUAUUCAAUGUUUCAUUUAUUUAACUCUCCAGGUUGUUGGACAGUAUUUGGACACGACAAUGACGAGUGGGGUAGAGAUGCCGGAGCAGGAUGUAAUCACGAUCGGACAAGCCUUGGAAGCGGCAUGUCAAAUGAUAGGAAACAAGCCGGUGGAGCAGAGUGAUGCUGCAGCAAUUCAAGCCGCAGAGGUCUGUGCAACCGGCAACAACGCCAUAAACCCAGGUGGGCUUGGCGCCACUGCCCAAGCGGCAGCAAUUUUCAAUGCUAGAAUGGAUCGAGAUGAGGACAAGAUCAAGCUCAACUAUGUCCUUACGGUAUUAGAACUACAUAUCUAAACUGUGCCCUAUGACAUUCUAUUCUAUACUUAAUGAAAUUCACAAGGGAGAAGAGACUUCACAUUUCUUUUUCUUCUUAAUUAAAUAAGUCGUUGCUGAUUGGUUUUGGGAUUUGAGUCAUCUUUAUCUGAUAAGAACUAUUUUAUUAGUUUUUUACUACAAGAAUAUAGCUUUUUUUACCACAAGAAUAGUGGAGAAUUGAACUCCUUGAAGCCAUGCUAAUACCACUUCGCUUGAUUUGGCUGAAUUACAUUUAGCAGCUAGAAUUGCCAGCUGCUAACAAACUCUCACUUUUUCUUGACUGACUACUAUACAAAACUUUUAGUCUAACGUAUUUCAGUUUCUCUAGUUGAGCAGUAGCAGAUAUCACUAGAUUUUUACCAAUGUAUAGCUUAGACAUUUUCUUUACAAAAGCAAAUCCAAUUACACUUCUACAGUUACAACUUAUCACCCUUUUCAAUCUGAACAGGAGGCAACUGAAAAACUGGCGACAGACAAGGCAGUGAGCCGUCAGGAUGUGGAGGGGGUUGUGAGCGCAGAGCUGAGGAACAAUCCAAGCAUGACAACGCACCCAGGUGGGGUAGCAGCUUCGAUCACUGCCGCUGCACGACUGAACGAGGGCAAUGCAGAGGGGGUGGUGAGCGCAGAUCUGAGGAACAAUCCAAGCCUGACAACACACCCAGAUGGGUUGGCAGCCUCCAUCAUCGCCACCGCGGAUCUGAAUGAGGAUGGUUCAGGUAUAUGAAAAAGUAACAGCAGCUUUAACCGAGAGUUUUGGGUGAGUGUUUAGGUAUAUGAAAAAGUAAACAGCAACUUAAGUGAGAGUUGUGAGUAAGUGUUUUGGAAAUGAAGUGUGUUGGUGUGAUCAGGAUUUUAGUUUCUGAUGAAUACCGUUAUUUGUGCCUUUGAAAACAAAACUCUGCUCCAGAAGAAAGCGGUUAUUAUUUUUACUUUCUUUUUCUUUCGUUAGUUUUUUGAAAUUGAGAGGUAAAUAAGAAGAGGAGGGGGAAAACCAGCUGUUGAUUUCAGAAUGUGUUGACUGUUCACUGUGUAGUCAGGUUUUUUUGUUUUUAUUUCAAAAGGAUUGAGAAAGUGUUCAUGGAUAUGGAUUGGUCUCUCUCUGCAGGUUCUAUUUCAAAUUUGUUUAAUUGUUCUUGUUUUCUUUUCAUUUUUUAGAAUUGGUUAACUUUUUUUUACAAAGGGAAAAAGUUUAGUUUGAAAGUGUGAACUCCUUAUUAUUACAAUUUUUACCACCCAUCUUAUAGAAACAUUUUGAUUUUUUUUUUCGUUAGAUUUAAGAUACAUUUGAAUUUUUUUUCUUAGAUUUAAGAUAAGAACUUCUCAAGUAAUUCUUUACUUUCCAUUUUCUCCUUAGAUUUGACCCAUCUUUUAUUUUUCUUAAAAUAAAUAGAUUUAUCUGAAAAGGAGCUAUUUUUUUAAAUAAAAAUUUGAAUAUGAAAGAGGAAACAGAUGGUUGGCUUUCACCUCCGAGAAAGAAGAUCUUAAAUUUGGUAAUAGUUUCAAGUAUUUUCAAAUACAAUUGUUUCCUGUAAAUUUGGUAAUAUUUUCAAGUAUUUUCAAAAUACAAUUGUUUCCUUCUACAGAAGUGUUAGGUUAUUGGAUAAAUAUUUGUUUUUCUUAAAAUAAGAGAAUGUAUUAAAUAUGAGUCAAACAAAUAUUGAAGUCAUUAUUUUUUAUAAAGUGAUAAAAUAUUGGUGGAAGUAUCUCCAAAAAGAAGAAAAACACAAAUGUAUUUAAAAAAGUUAUGGAGAUGUCCAUUACCAUAUUACAUUAGUAACGGUUUUGUCUUCAUAUGUUUUUGAGGUUUUUACAUUUACUUCACCAACGGACACCAAUUUCUAUUUAUAAACUGAUUUUCAGAAGAAAGAAAAAAUUACGAUAACAAUAAAAGAUUCAAAUUACAAACCUACAGAAGGAAGAAGAAAAAACAUGAUGACUAAAAACCAAGUACCAUUUGCUGGAGAUCAAGUGUAUGUUACUUUUAAUCUAUGAAAGUCAUCUUUUAUGAUAACUUUUAAUCUCUCUUCUUGAUUACUUGUUCUUUAAUACUCGUUCGAUUCUUUGAUAAUUUUGAUUUCUUUUUAGCUUUCUAUAUAAACACUUAAAAUUUGUUGAUUUAUCUCAUAUGUUGUGUCGAGACUUUGAACUUUGGUCAACUAGGAAUACAUUGAUCUUGGUACUAAUAUUGAAUAUGUAACAAAUUUGGCAAAGAGUAAUACAAGUAACUAAUUCUUCUUUUGGAAUGUAGUUGGAUUCUUUCUCAACUCCACUAAUUAGGUUAUUUAUAAAAGCCUUGACCAUUUGAAACGUAAUAAUUCAAUUUUUUAUAAAAAGGAAAAAAGUUUGAAUAUAACAAAAAAUUUAAUUUGGUCAACGUUGUUUAUCUUUCAAUACUUCAGAAUUAAAAUAUAUACUUUCUUUCAAAUCUUACCCGUGAUUAAAUCAAGCUUAGCUUAGAUUGUUCUCGAGAGGCAAGUAGUCUUGAAUUCUCUGUACUUAAAUUGAUAUGCAUACAAAUUUUGGCAACCUAUACAAAAAAAGAUUACUAAAGAAUUUGGACAAUAUAUUUAAUAUGAUAAUAGUCUUCUAACAAAAUAAAAGAGAUAUGAAUUUAGAUUUGUAGUAUUAACGCAAACUCUAUCGUCAUUUGUAAAUUCAAGACUCUUCCAAUUGUUUGUGACAUAAGAUUAAUAAAUAAUGUAACCUAAAGUUUUAAAGAGUAUGAAAUAGUAGAUUAUAUAUAUAUAUAUAUAUAUAUAUAUAUAUAUGUAUAAAAAGAGAUAUUACAUAUGCCAACAUUUAUUUCUACUUCUGCAUGUGUUUCCUUAAGUCUUCCAAAACUUUGAUACAUUUGAUCAUUUAAUUUAACUUUCUUUGCAUUUUUAAUUUUCUCACUUUUUGGUUUGGUUUUGGUGACCUUUUUUUGAGGCCCCCACUCUCUCUUUUUAAAGAACCUUAUAAUAAUCUCUCUCUCUCUCUCUCUCUCAAAACAAUUCCCAUUCUCCACUCUCCACUCUCUCUCUCUCAACAAAAAAAAUGUCAUCUUUGAAGAAAAGAAAUUUCCACCUCUGGUUCUCAAAGCUCCGCUGCUUUCCGGCCACCGUCAAACCCUCAUCGCCGCCGCAAACGCCCAACAAGAAACCAUUUUCCAUUACCCACUUGGAAAACUCCGACUAUUCUUCUACCUCCACCGCUGCUGACGACGGUUUCUUCUCCGACGACUCCUCUUCUGAUUCCGACGCCAUCGUCCCUGACUUCUCCGCUGCCGUCGCUUCCCACCGGUUCUUCUUCUCCUCUCCUGGCUGCUCCAACUCUAUUUUUGACUCCUCUCCCGACACGCACCACAGCACCGCCGUUUCCGCCGCCGUACACGGCGGCGUCGAAGUUAGGAAGGUUUCAAUGGACCCAUUUGUGGAUUUUAGAGCGUCAAUGCAGGAGAUGGUCGAAGCGAGAGAUCGGCCAGUGGACGUCCGGCGAGAUUGGGAGUAUCUGCAGGAGCUUCUUCUUUGUUAUCUUCAAAUCAACCCCGUUGAUACUCAUAAGUUUAUAUUAAGAGCUUUCUCCGACCUCGUUGUUUAUUUGCUGGAAUCCUCGCCGGAGUCAUUCUCCGACCGCCGUAUUCGGCCGCACAAUAUCAACUCAAACAGCUGGUAAUUGGUGCAAUGACAACAAUAUAUCAUAUCAAUAUUUCAACGAUAUAUCUUUCCUACCCUUCACCAAUUAUCUCUCCUCCCAACCUUCCGAUGUUCGUAUUGUUUAUCCAAGAGUUCAUGAUCGGCGUGUGGCCGGUAAGUAUUUUCUCUCGCUUCUAAUGCCUUGAACUUGUUGUCCGUAGUUUCGAACAAUAAGUAUGGAGCCUCCAUUUAUACCUAUACUCAGAGAAUAUGUACUAUAUAAACAUUCUUAACUCUAUUAAAGCAACUUUUCCCAAUGAACCACUCUUUUAAUGAGAAUGUAAUUAAGGCAUUGUUAGUAAAAGCUUUUCACUUUCACGAUAUUUGAUAAACAUGGUUUUUUAUCUCAAGAUCAAUUAGCAUCAUAGGUAAUUAACCAUACAGCUUUAAAAACUUGCUAUGUUUUCCAUCUUUUUCAACGUUGAUCCUCAAUAUGUUCUUCAAAAUAGUGUCUUUUAUCUCAAGGAUCGAUGUUUUGUUCAAAAGGCCAGAAAACAAACAAAUAAAUUAUAUAUCUCAUAAGGACCAAAAUUAAAAGCAUAGGAAAAUGAUAUCAUAAUGAUAUAGCUAGUAGGUUAUAAUUGUAUUUUCUUUUAUAUAUAUUCUACUUGAUAGAAAAUGAUUUUUUUUUUUUGUUCAUAUUUUUUUGCAGGGGGAGAAAAAGGCAUAUAGUAGUUGGUGAAAAAGGGGGUUGGAAUGUUUGUUGUAAGAAAGACAAAAACAAAAUUGUGGGUUAUUUCGAUGAUCAUCAAACACACACACACACACUCACUCACAAAAAUCAAAAGAAUCAAAGCCAAAGCGUGGUGUAUGUGCAAAAAAAGAGACAGAGAAUAUAAUAUAUAUAUAUAUAUUGUGUGUUUGUUUACUGUUUGGUUGGUGGAAGAGAAAAUGAGGGAAAGUAAAAGAAAAAAGAAAAAGAAAAAGAAAGUUUUUCUUGGGUACAUAAUUGCUGACAAAAGAAGGCAGAAGAAAGAGGGUUGGUUUUAUUGUCCUUCGAGAGGGAAAAAAGAAGAAGAAGAAGAAGAAGAGUUGAGGAGUGGUCCUAUAAGGUUGUAUGUUUGGUGAUGACAUUAAUGUUUGUAAUUUAAUGUGUUUUGCAGUCUGUAUCAUCAAACAAGCCUAACUGCUCAUAACACACACAACCUUUAUUUCUUCUUUUAUUUUGCAUUUGGGUCUGUGGAGAGGAAAAUGGGUGAAGAUAUCAAACCAUUUUUGCAUAACCAAAAGAGGCAUUUUUGAAUCUUGUAUGUAUAUUAUGCUUUGUGCAUUUGUUAUCUUCUUCUUUUUGGACAAAUUGGAGAAAUCGGUACUAAAAUAUGGUUACAGUUGUAAUGAUACCAUAAAAUACUUCAAGAAUAUAUUUUUACAAUUUGUUGUUUUGUUUAUUCUACAUGUAAGAGGGAGUUUGGCUUGAAGAUUUUGAUUUAGUUGCAAUUGAUUUGUGUGAUGUUAUUUUGAAGUUAAAUGAUAUGACCCACCUGUCUUGUUACUUAAUGUGGAUCGGUUUAUUUAAUGGAUAUUGGUUCAAAUGUUUUUUUUUUUUUUUUUUGUUUCUCUGGACAAGUGGGUUGGGGGAUUUAACUCAAAAUAGCAAAGUAUAUUCAUAGUGAUGGAUAGAUAGAUGCAUCUUCUUUAUGUUUAUUACGAAAUUAUUCCCUAUUUUCAUAGUCUCAAUUGUUAUUAUUUUUUUUUCUUUUCGACUUGAUAUUUGAUGUAAUAAAAAUUCAAGAAACAAUUAUGAUAAAAUAAUAAGAGUCUAACUUAUUUCCACAUGAAAAAAAAUAAAAUUAAUCUACUAAGGGAAGUUGGUUAUAUAAUUCAUAAGAAUAAUUCACAAGUGCUAUUUUUGUUAUUAGAAAAGGAUGAAGAAAAACAGUCCCAAUUUCCCAUAGUUAUGGGCAAUUGGGAUGGGAAUCCAAAAAAGUAAAAAAGAAGAAGCCUACGCCAUGAAAUAAUAUUCAUUAAAUCCACCAUUUUUUUAUACUAAAAGCAAUUUUCCUACUAGCACAUGAGUGGACUCCACACUACUUUUAAAAAAGCAUGUUGAUACAACAAUUAACGAAUAGAGGUACUAUAAAUUUUUCUUCUAUAUAUGCAUGCACAUAAUUAAACUAAAAAUUUUCACUUUCAUAGUUCUAUUUUUUCCAAAGGCAGCAUAACAAUCUUUCUCCUAUGCACGCAUAAAAUUAAGGCUUCAACAUCGAUAUCUAUUUAUCUAGAUCAUGAAAAGGUAAAUAAAGUAAAAGAACAGAAAAUAAAAAGAGUUUUUGUUACCAACUGUGGCUAGAAGUUUAUAGCAUCUCAAUUUGGACAAAUAGGAAUUGGUAAAGAACAAGGUGUUUUUGCACAUACACUGCCUUUAAUAAUUUCUAAUUUUCUAUAUUUCCAAAGGAGAUUCUAUCUCCUUUUUAGUAUACCAAAGUCCACUUUAAUGCUUUUCAUUUCACAAAGUUCAAAAGUAUAAAUCAUUUUCCAAUGGAAAAAAAAGGUCUGGCUAUAUAUUAUUUCUAGAAGCUAGAAAGUUAUUAAUUAUACCCUCAAUUUAUUUAUAUUGUAUCCAAUUAGUUAGUAGGUUUGCUUUUAAAAAGAAACAUAUCAUACAGUAUAAAACUAAGUAGAAUUUUAGGAUGAACAAGACUUUAAUCAUAACAUAAAUAAAAUUAAUAUGGGCUGUAAAUAAAAAAUACUCAUUCAAUAUAAAACUAUUUACAAAAUAUAACGAAAUUUAUAUUAUAUCAAAGAUACAAUGAUAGACUUUUGUCAAUGUCUAUCUGUAAUAUAUUUGGUAUAUUUUAUAAAAACUUUAAUUUAUUUUAUUAUAUUUAAAAUAUCUUAUUUUAAAAUACAUGUGGACAAAAGACUUAAUAGGUAUAUAAUUUCAAGGUCAAAAUUUUCCUUGUCUUGUCUUUAUGAACAUUUUUUCUAAGACAAAUCAUAAAAACCAUUUAAAUAGUAUGAUGAUAGUUGUAAUUACACUCUCAAACUUUCAAUUGUAAAUAUUAAGUCUUUAAACUUAUAUAGACGUGUUAAAACUAAACCAUUAUACAAAUUGUAACAAUUGUAUAAGUGCGAGAGUUACAACUUUUGAAUGUAUAAUUUUCACAACUACUAACAGUUGUAUAAGUUUUCACAACUACUAACAAUUGUAUAAGUGUGAGAGUUACAAUUUUUGAAUGUAUAAUUUUUACUACUAUUAUAAGUUUGAUGGUGCAAUUAAGAUUUAAUUUUUUAUUAAAAGUUUGAGAAUGUAAUAAAUGGGAAGCCAUUUUUACAAUUGACCUCUUCUUUUGAAAUAAGGGUCAUCAAAAUUGUGUCAAAGCCAUCCACACACUACAUACUUAGAGCUUUGAUAAACCCAAGAGAUAAUGGGAGAGAGAGGAAUUUAAAGGAGUUUUGUUUUGAUAUGAAGUAAAAAGUGUACAAGGGGAAAGUGGAUCCAAAGAGAGAUUCCAAGAGGGCAUCUAAAAAGAAAGACAUUCUUUUAGUAUUUUGAUGCAUAUAUUUUUUGUAUUAAGUAUGAUCCCCAAGAUACCUUGGUCUACACAUUUGGUCUUGUUUUAACUAUACCAUUUUCAUUUUCUCUCUCAAUUAUUUAAGGUUUUAUUUGGAGUAUGUGUUGGAAUUAUUCUCAUGUAAUCACCAUAUUUUACUCUAUGUUGUUGGGAUUUAUAUAUGCACAUUUAUAUUAUUUUAUUUUCAUCACCACUGCCAAUUUUGGUGGCUCAAUACUUCACUCUCUCAACUUCAUUCAUCUCAAGAUAGAGUAAGCUUUGCCAAUUUGGCAAAUAGCUAGGGAGAUAAUAGAGGUGUGUGUAUACACACACACAUAAUACAGUUAAAUAAUAGUUGAAGAUAAUAUAAUUUUAUCAUACAUAAAAAUUUAAUAACCGUUUAUGAUCUCAAUUAGUCUAAUUUCAAAAUUUCCCAUUAUUUCUCUAUGGAAAAAAAAAAAGUAAUUUCUGAUCCUAAAUCCUAAACUUUCGAAAUUGUAUCAUUAAUUUCCCAUUUUAGAUAUUUUGUUAAUGGUCCUAAUAUUUUUCAACUUUGUAUUUAAUGUUGAUUUCAAUUUGAAUUUGUUAAACCUAUAAGUUGUCCAUCUGUUUCCCCACUUGAAAAAAGUGAAUCUAGACUCCAAAUGAUGGAGGCAAAGCUGAGGAAACACAAACAUAGAUUACAUACUAAACCUAAAACUAUUUUAAUAAUAAUAAUAAUAAAACAAAAUUGUCCUGGGGAGCAUAGUGAAUAACCUUACCCCAUAUUCUAAUGGGCUAGCCCCAAGUAUAAAUGUUUGGGCUUUUCCACAUUAGGCCCACACAGAAUCCAAGGAUCGUGAAAGAUAAUGUGGGCCACAAACAAAGCCCCAGCUAUCCCAAGCUCUGACUACUGUCAAGUUCAACCGAUUUAUCCAAUCUGAUUCUCCACCGCUCACCGACAGGGAAAAUGGCCGUUCCGAUUUCCCUGAAAUUUCCGACGGUUCCAUCCACUUUAACCAACAGAACCGCCUCCUUGUUCGUACCACUACGGCGGAGCUCCCCUCAUCAUUCUCAUCCUCACUCACAACAUACGAUCAGAUUCCCAACGAUUAGAUCCAACAGAAACGUUAAGUUCUCCGCCGUCAAUGCUGUGCAGGAAAGCCAAGAGAAUACAGAAUCCGACGGUGUGGAGGUUCAAGCAGGGCCACCAACGGAGGAGCCGAAAACGGCCGACCAAUCAGCAGAAUCCGGCGCGAAUUUGGGCGCCGAAAUUCAGGAGGCUUUGAAGCAGCAAAAGGUGGAGAAAGAAGGGGACCUGAUCGGCGGAGUGGCGGAGGAGAUUAAAGAGAUUGAAUGGCCAGCGUUUCGAAAGGUUUUGGGCACGACGGGGGUAGUGAUCGGCGUUAUUGCUGGCUCUAGUGUCGUUCUGCUCACUGUGAAUGCCUUAUUGGCAGAGCUGUCCGAUCGAGUUUUCGCCGGAAAAGGAGUUCAAGAUUUCUUUAGUUGAAAGUUCGAUUUUUUUUCUUGAGAUGUAAACUUUGUAACUGAAAUCCAAUGGCUUCUACGGAAGAAACUGGAUUGUAAUUUGUGUUAAGAAGGAAGAAUCCAUUGCAGCAUAAUCAAACUACGUGAAAUUUGAAGAGUAUUCUAAAACUUAAAACUUCCUAUUGAACAGAAUGUUGUUAAAACAAAAUUUCACACAAACAAGCUUAUAACAGUUUAUAGAAGAGAUAGAUUCCCAAGGAUUCUGAUGUUGUCCAUAUCAUCAAAAUCUGAAUCACAAUAAUCAAAUGGGUCAUGAGAAAUAUCUAUUUUCGACAUCAUAAACAAUGGGGAUAUCUGAGGCUUGGAUGAGUCGUUUGCAAUGGUCUCCAAUGACCUAUCCUUUCAUUCUCACUUCCAAGGCUUACCUUAGGCAAUGCUUUUGUGCAAAAGCUGCAGGACUCGAACAAAUUGAGGGGCUAGUAAAAGCAAACCAUCUUCCCAAGAACAUGAAGCCACAUAAAAUCUAAGAAGUAUUUAUAUGCCUAGGUUAAGAAAAACAACACAACCUGUAACGAAUGGAUCAACUCAUUGAAGCAUAGCAUCAAACAGAUGGUCUGCAUUAAACGAAUGAAUCGAAAGGCAUUGCAAAACCUAUUUUCAGUCGGAGCCGCAAGCUGCAAGCAAAACAUGAACAUGUUUCCCAAAAAUAGGAAAGAAAAUAAACCAUACUUGAUUGAUGCUGUAAUGUCCUAGGAUUCAGAAUCUGGAUUUGGUCUCCUACCCUUUCGAGGGUACUCAACCUAAAGCUAAACAAACUAUGAAACGAUUAAAGCUAAUGAAAGAAUGUAUAGAUAGUAACUCUUACAAUUCACUUGAUUUUUCUUAAUCAUACUUUCAUAUCCCAGGAUCCCUCUAAUGUGAUAUCAAUUUAGUAGUAAGAGGAGUUGACAACUUCAAGUAACAACGAAUGGAUUAAGAAAAUUGCAUCUUAAGGCCACAAGAAUUCAAGUAACAACGAAUGGAAGGAGAUGAAUUAAGAAAAUUGCAUCUUAAGGCCCCAAGAAUUUUUUGGUUUUUUCUUGAGAUGUUUUCUAAUAUAACUAAAUUGAUUGAAAUAAUUAUAAAUAUAGCAAAAUAUAUAUUUCCAUCUUAAUAAAUAUUUUAACAUAUUUGUCCUUCAAAACAAUUACUUUCACUAAUUAAAAUAAAUAUUAAAAUUUUUAUUGAACAACCAUAGGGGUGCAAAACACCAAGUUUGUUUCAGAAAACUAAUUUCUCAAGACUCCCUACCGCUGUGAAUCUGUGAUGGGGCCAUGCUUGAAAUCAGAACCUUAUCUCUUCAUCAACGCCCUCGAAUGGUCACAACCUCACAAAUUACCUCAUUUUCAAUUCAUCCCUAAGCAGAGAAAAGAAAACAAUGGCAACUCUUCAUUUUGUUCCUUCCGCUUUCUCCCUACCAAAACAAAAGCAACCCAUCAAGCUUUCCUCAGUCAGACCCACUACUCAGAUAAGCUGUUCACGACGGCGCUUGGUGGUCCGGUCGUACAAAGUAGUGAUUGAGCACGAGGGGCAGACUACCGAGCUUGAGGUCGAUCCCGAUGAGAGCAUAUUGAGCAGUGCCUUGGACAAUGGCUUAGAAAUUCCUCACGAUUGCAAGCUUGGAGUUUGCAUGACUUGCCCUGCUCGCCUUGUCAGUGGCACCGUCGACCAAAGCGAAGGUAUGUUGAGCGAUGACGUUGUGGCACAAGGCUAUUCGCUUCUAUGUGUGGCUUAUCCUCGCUCAGAUUGCCACAUUAAAACCAUCCCUGAGGAGGAAUUGUUGGCACUUCAAUUAGCCACGGCUAAUGACUAAAAUCUGAGUACUUCGUUGGAUGAUUUUGUAGAUUUAAUUCUGGUUUAGUUUAUAACUAUAUUGAAAUCGAUCUAUCUGGGAUGUUGUCUCUUUUGGCUGUUGUUUGGUCAUUUGGGUAUAAUGAUAAAUCUUUUCAUUUGAUUCCAGUCAGUAGCAGAUGGAAAUGGAUGUAUAUUGUUAAAGAAUCCCAACCUAUUUCUCCAUCUAGAGCUUCUAAUUUUGGAAAAUAACACACACACACACAGACAUAUAUAUAUAUUCAGAUAAGAUUCUGAUUCUGAUAGACGAGGAAUUGAAGUUCUUCAUAACGAAAUACUGAAAAAAACUUGACAGUUUGUGAGGGAAGUAAAUAAAGAGGUUGAUUAGAAAACUAGCUUCCUUUUAUUGUUUCCUCUCGCCUUUUGUACUGAAUUGUGGAUAUCACCAGCCCGCACUUCUUGAGUCAAAACUGCUGUAUAAAUGGAGGAGUUCUUCCUUGAAGUCAUGUUUGAAUUCAUAUGCUUAGAAAUGGAAUGUACCACAGCAACAAUCUUAAUUGUCACUCAGUGAGCUACAUAUGUAACGCUCAUGUGUUGAUGCAUGAAUUUAGACAAUGUGGGCUGCCAAUAUGGCGUCCGAGAUAGAUCUCAGUCUAGAAAUGAUUUUGAGACCUGUCACAUAAACUUGCGCAGUCGUGGUGUUUGGCCACCUACACUUCGGAGCUCAUUUUGUCAGUGUAGCUCAUUUUGUCAUACUUAUCAGUUCAAUUGUCUCCUUUGCUUGAUUCGUUCGGCUAUUCGGAGGCUUGGUUUAAGUCAGAGAACGAACAGCGUGCUCCAAUGGGUUUCAAGACAUGCGUCUUCCGGUGGUUUAGGUCAUGUGGCAAGCUAUAUGAGUAUGGCGAUGCCAAUAACAUAAUGGCUCGUGGUAAGGACCAAUAAGCUAAUAAAAACACGAGUGUUCUGAGCUUCUUCUCAACAUCAUGAUUCUUCCUUUCACCUAUUGCAUGUUUGUUCAGUUAGGAAGGUGUACAAGGCCAUUUGCCAAACACUAUAAUCGGGUUUAUCAUUGAUUUUCCUUAUUCUUUGUUGUAGAUUUUCCUUUUCCUUUGUAGUUAUAUCUUCCCAUGGAUAUCAAACUAUCCUGUCUCCUUACUUUUCGGAACCUCAAUCAAGUUUAGUGAAAAGAUGUCCCCGUAUUGUAAAUAUCAUAAAAGUAGACAAUGAUCAACUGGGUCAUGAUCCUUCUGACUUUAAAUUAAACAUCAUAAGUAACUGAAUGAGGUUCACCAUCAUCAAUGAAUAGAGGGGAUAUCUAAGACCUGGACAAACCAUUUGUAAUUUAUUGAAUGAUCUAGCCAAAGAACAAAAAUCCACUUUGAAGUUCGUUCCUAAUCUUGCAUCUAUAUACGUCAAUAUGGGAUGUCCACGACAAAAACGAAAAAGAAAAAACUAAUACAAAUAGCACAGUGAAGAAACGACUUUCAUAGAAGCAUAUCAUCAAACAGUUGUUGUGCAUUGAUCAAUUGAUGCAAAUUUGAACUAUUUAACUUCGUGCAAUUGAAAUCGACAUAAAAGUGGAAGUUAUAAAUGUAUUACUUUCUAAAUUGGUACCUCAAACUCGCAAUCUGGGUUGAUUGGGUUGAUUGAAAGUUCGUCUUCAACUUUCUCCUCCUAUUUGCUCAAAAGUGGUAAGAUCUCAAAAUUGGGAGGUAUUUCUUACAGAGUGGUUCCAUUAAUGGUUUAGGAAUUUGUGGUUGGUUGACUUUUGUUUGUUUAGUUUCAUCCAACCUUACUAGAGAGAUAGACCCUGAAACUUCCAAGGCCAAGAAGGAAGAUGUGCGAAUUUUGUUACUUUCUAACUAUCUCGACAUUAUCUAGUGUUUUACUGACCCACACACUUACUUGUUAACGAGAUAAACUAAUAUAACUCAAAGUUGUUAAUGUUUAUACAAAUGGAUCAUAGAAAAAAUCUAAGAUUCCUUUUAAUUGAGCUUCUUCCAUAUUUUUAUGGAUGACUUAACAACAACUCAAUUCCUAGACCAAAGAAAACUGGAACAACUUUUACCAAUAACACCAAAAAUCUAAAUAGACAAGGAAGAUGAAGUGUCUGAUCCAAUAUUUAGUGCACCUAGAAGCGUAUGGCAUAGUUGGACGAUAGAAGGAGCUCAAAGGUAAGGUGGCAUGGCCAAUGUGCCUAACCAAUAGUAGUGAUAAAGUCAUGUGCACCCAAGAUUAAACGGAAGUACCAUUUGGUGCAACUUUUCAUAUAUAUUUGAAUACUUUGAUGUAUUUUGAACCACGUUAAACUCUUUUAUAUAUGAUUUGUAUCAUUUUUUUUCUUUAGUAAGAAAGUUUGAGGUUUUUUAACCUACUUAAUUAAAAAUAUUAUUUUUAAAAUCGUCUAAUUGAAAUAAAAAGAGUUUUCCAGAAUAAUUUCCCAAAAAUUAGCAUAUCUACCUAGCUCUUGUUGUAUAUUAAAAAUAGAAAAAGAAAUUUUAUGAUUAUUAAUUAACAAUGAUUAGGUAUAGUCUAAUAGUGAUAGAUCUAUAUAGGUUUUGAAAAACUAUUAGUAACAAUCAAAUUAAGGUCGAUCGGUUGAUUUUCAUACAAAAAAUUUGCAUACCGAUCAACUUAUAUACAUUUUAGUUUUUUUUUUAAAAAAGAAGUACAAAAUCGCCGACCCUAAACUAAAACACAAAUCUAUUGUCUUAGUGAUCGUUUAUUAUUUUCUUUAUGUUUUCUAAUUUUCAUAGCCCACUAUCUUGUAAAAACCGACCAACCGUUGAAAUUUUCCACAUGUUUAUGGUCAUUUUUUGUGGUCAUGUUUUAUUCAAAACUAACACCGAUCUCCAGAUACUUUGUCUAAGCUACAUAUAAUAUCGUACUCUCCAUUUUUUCUACAAAAAUCUAUUCCAUGAUAAAUAAGGGAUUGCACUCCAUUUUCUUUGUUAGUAUAAGUCAAAUAUUAGAGAAAUUGAACUUGAAAUCUCUUUAUUAAAUAAGAUAUCCUCCCAACUAAAUUAUGUUAUUAUUGGCAUUUUUUUUAUAUAUUAUUUAAUGAUUGUGGGAAAGUGAUUAGUUUAUUGUUAAAUCAAAAUGAGGAGGAUAAGCAUUUUGUUUUGUUGAAUUGCGGAAAGCAUUUUUGCAAGAUUCUAUUCCAUCGCAUUACGACCUCUUCCAAGACGUCACACGUCAUCUUCGUUACGAAAAAAAGAAAAACAAUCAAAUCAAAUCAAAUACCAAUAUCUUAUUCUCUGAUUAUUUAAUAUUCAAAUGUUAAAUUUAUAUAAUUUCAACAAAUUUAGAAAGUUUUCAAAAUCACAUUUUGCUUUUACUUUCUAUAAAAUAUCAACACGUUUUUUUAAUCUUUUUAUUUAGUGGUUAAUGUAGAUAAAAAUAAUAAUUAAAUACCUUUUUUUAUUUCAAAGGUUUACAAUAAUUGUUUUGUCUCAAAUAACUUUAUACAUUUGUUUUAAAUAAUAAUAUAAUAUUUUAAAUUGAAAGAGUAAGUUUUAAAAAUUAUACUUUUUUGAACUAUUUUAAAAAAUCAAACACAAAAAUACUUCAUGACAUUUUAAAUCUGUUUUAAAAAAUUUAACGACUACCUUUUGAAAACUCGAGAAAUUAAAUGGGUAUAUUUUUAUAAAUUUAGAAAAUAAAAAGGUGAAGACCUCGUGAACAAAAAGACAUUCAUUUAAAGUUGAAAACUAAAAAGAUAAUUGUUUCAAAAUAAAAUUAAACAGUCUUGUCUUAAGUAGAAAUUAAACGGUAUUUGUUAUUUAAUAAAUGUCAAUAAUCAUAUAAUUACGAAGAUAUAAGAAAAUAAAAUUUAUUUAAAAGAUAAAACUUCAUAAAAAAAUAAAUAAGAUAUAUACAUUGUUAAUAAGUACUAGGUAUAGGUAAAACAUUUGAUUUUGAGGUUUGUAGGUCAUGUUUGGUAACAUUUAUGUUUUAUGUUUUCUGAUUCUUAUUUACUGUUUAUUCUUUUCUUUUAGAACAAGAAACGUAAAUGUGUUUGCUAACUGUUUCUUUUUCUUGUUUCUAGAAAAAAAAAACAGAAGCAAAAAAUGUGUUAGUGAUCUUAUGGAGAUCAAGAUGAAGAUUGAGAUCUGAAGGACAGAGCCGACGAGGAGGAAGACGAAAACCCACGAUGAAGAGGAAGACUGAAAGACGAAGAGGAAGAUAAAUACCCACAUAUUGAACGAAAAUCCAAACUCGUGUAAAGAGGAAGAUGAUAGGAGGCAAAGUGGAAGAUGGUGAAGACAAUGAGAAGAAGAGGAAGAUGAUGGUUAUUUGGAAAAGAUGAUGGAGACAAUGGAAAGGAAAAGGAAACCACGUGAACAACGAUUAUUUGUGGAAGAAGAUGAAAAUAAGAGGAAGAAAAAGGAAACCACGUAGGAAAUUAGAAAAGGAAGUAGAAAAAUAAUUGAGAAAAAGAAAAAGAAAAAAUAAACCGAUAAAAAUAAUUAAGAAAAAGAAAAAUAAAACUAAUAAAAAUUAUUGAGAAAAAGGAAAAGAAAACCUUAUAAAUAAUUGAUAAAAAGUAAACCAAUAAAAACAACUCAUGCACGAAACUGAAAAAACUACUAUUUUUUUUUCCAAUAAUUCAUUCUAAAAUGAGAAACAUUUAUAUUUCUUUUAGAACGAGAAACAAAAGAAUGUUAUCAAAUACCUCUGUUUCUUAAAAAUGAAAACGAAAAUGAAAACAUGAAACAGAGAAUGAGAACGUUACCAAUUGGGCCGGUAGUUUUAAAAAGAUUAAAUUCACUCAUUUCAUUCUAAAUUUAUUGUUUUGUUGUUUAUUUAUUUACAACUAUUUAAAAAACGAAAAAAAAAGUCACCAAUAGUAUAAAAAAACAACUUUAUUUUCAUCGUUAGAGUAGACAUUUUAAAAAACAACAAAAUAUUAAAAUUAUUUACAAAAUACACCUAAAUUCACCAAAGUCAUUUGAAAAUAUUUGUUUGCUAUAUUUUAUAAAUAACUGUUUAAUUCUAAAUUUUUAAUUUUAUCACGAAAAUAUUUUAAGAGAUAUUUAAUGAAUUAUAGAACAUUAUUCUAUAUCAAAUUGAUAAAUUCUUGAGAUAAACAAUAUGAAAGCUUUUUUUGUUUGGUAUAUUAUUAAUAUUGUUUUCCAAAUUUAAUGAAAUUUGAGAAUGUUAUUUAAUUAUUAAUUUUUUUAUGAAAUUUGAAAGAGGAUUUUUUAAAUAACUUGGAUCAAAUUAUUUACAAGUUAUAUAUCUAGGCACCACAAAAGUCUAGUAAUCUUUGUUAAAGAUUGAUAUAAGUCUAUUAAUAUUUAUCAGUGACGAAUACAAAUAGAAAUUGUUUAUUAAUAGAGAUGGUAGAAAAUCUAUUAUUCUGAUACCAGUUGAAACAUAUAGAAAUGUAUGAUUGUUAGAAACGUACGUUUGCAUCGAGGAGAGUCUAAAAUUAAAACUACAACAAGAUUAGGUACAUAAUUUAUAAAAGUUAAAAGUACAAAUUGAUACAAAUAACUUUACACUAAAAAAUUACAAGUCUUUUUUGUAACUUUUUGAAGGAGUGGAGCUUUUUAAUUGGCCACUAAGAACCAAAUAUAAUUACAAAUUGCAACAUUGCUUUUUAGAAUCAUUUUCCUGGACUCGAGGCCAUACUCAAACUUUCCUUCUUCUACGUUGCUCCGGUGAGCUCCUUCUCCGUACGCAAAUAUGGAAGCAACCACCGUCCAUUCAGACAGUCGCCCGACGAUAAUGGUCACCAACGACGACGGAAUCGAUGCACCCGGUCUUCGCUCUCUGGUUCGCGUUCUCGUCUCCACCCAGCUUUACAAUGUUCAAGUCUGUGCUCCUGAUUCGUACGCCUCUUCUCUCUUUUCCUCUUUUCGAUUUCUUCUCUUUCCAAUUUCCGAGUAUCUGUGUGAUAGGAAUAGUUGGUGAAAUUUUGUUCGCUCGUCUUUUGUGUUUGGUGCUAAUUUCUUUUGAUUGUUAGUGCAUUUCUGGUUCUUGUUUUUCUAUUUUGCAAGUGGUUGUUCUAACUUCUUUCGAAUGUUGAUGGCCGUUGGAUCGUGUGAAUUGAGAUAUAAGGAACUGUUUUUUCGGCUGUUCUUACUUUUCAAUCAAUAUGAUAGGAUUGGGUUAUAGAUCAUAAGAUAUUAGCUAAACCAACUAGCUUCGGUUUGUUUUGUUUAAUUAUACAUGAAUUUCUAUAUAUUUGAUAGUGGAGGUUGAGUUUGCAUCAUACAGGGAAAAGUCAGCUGUUAGCCAGUCUAUUACUUGGCGUCAUCCUGUUUCUGUCAAGAGAGUGGCAAUUGAAGGAACCACUUCUUAUGCUGUUUCUGGUAUGUUUUUAUUCUCUCAAUUGAAAUCUGUACCUUACCUGGUAACUUAAGUAGACUGAUCGCUAAAUUCUUAGCUAUUCUACCUUACAUGAUUAUAUUUGGUUCUUUGGAGAUUUUAAGAAAUGCAAUUUUUUUAAUCAGCCUAUAUCCGGCAGUUGCUGAUGCUAGUUCUUUGAAGUGUGUACUUUCUUAUGUUCUACAUAUAAGCCCGACUGCCGAGCCCAACAACGUUAGUAUCAAUGUAUUGGAGAUAUUGUAAUACCCCUCGUUUGGAUUGACUAGAGAAAAGAUUACCCUUUUAAUCAGUUUUAUUUACUCUUUUGAUAAAAACUUUUAAGGGUAUUUUUUGAAAUCUAUUUUGAGUGGUUGCCACCACUUCAAUUUUACCAAAAUGACUUAUUUUCAAAAUUAAAUACUUGAAUAGUCUAUUUUUUUUUUUCCUUUUGAGAAGGAUAAGUGUCUCUUUAUUAAUAAAAAUAUAAAUAAUGAGAUAAAAGCUCAUGGUAGAAGAGGGCUAUACUAUUAGCAAUUACAAAAAUAUAAAUUGAUCAAGAAACAAAUCACUCCCUCGGUUUAUUUGUUUGCCUGUCAUCAGUUAGUUAACCAUACUGUUGUUACUACAGUUAGUUUAUAUUAAGCUAACUGCCUCUGUAAUUCUAUAGUAGUUGAAAGUUUGUGCCCAUUGCAAAGCUGUGAUGUUAUAGUAGUGUGCUAGAAUGAUUAGGCCUUACCAAUAUAUAGGGACCAUUAAUGUACAUUAAGAUAUUUUCUUUAGUCCAAUCUCCAAUUACAUAUCUCUUCAUCCAGUAAUAACUUAACAUAUAUUCACUUUGACGGAAUGGAUUUAACUUGAAGCUAUUGGUUUGUAAUGAAGGGUUUCUCAUUUAAACCUAUUACCAUUGACUUGAACUUUAGCUGGUGUCCGAUUUUCUUCCAUUGACCUAACAAGGUUGUAAGCUUUCAUGCUUCUGCAGGAACUCCGGCAGAUUGUUCUUCUUUGGGAGUAUCCAAAGCUCUCUUUCCUACAGUUCCUGACAUGGUCAUUCCUUUUCCCCUUAUUGCACGGUUUGGCUGUAGUAUAUUUUUCAAUUGAGCUAUUUGUGGUUUGUUCACAUGAACACACUUGACGUGUGAAUGACCUCACAAGAAGUUAGGAUUUAUGAGAACACAAGGAAUGCUAUUUCUCAGUCCUAUGUUUAUCUGUGAUUGUAAAUGUGGACUAAUCAAUCAAACAACUAAACUAAUAAAUGUUGAAUACAAGCACACCUCACAGUGUUGUCACUGAUGAGCUUGGCGUAUACAAGUUGAAAUUUAUUUAGCUCUUCCUGCCUGUUUAUGUAUCGUACUUUUAAUUGCAGGUAGUCAGUGGCAUAAAUAUGGGUAGCAACUGCGGUUAUCAUGUGUUAGUGACAAAUCUUUAUAGACUUCCUCCUUAUAUUGACUAUUUUGGCAGUUCAACUAUCAAUUAUUUUAAAGCAUCGAAUAUGUACCCACUACUCAACAUGCAUGUUUAUUUGCCCUUGUGUUGGCAAGAGAAACUUACCAAGUAUCAACUCACUUGGAAGUUAUUAGAGCUCUCAUGAUUAAAUGAAUAAUGAGUAUUAUGUGCUCCUAAAAAGAACAGUGAAGAAAUCAACCUUUUGGCUACAAGCAAUUUGCACACGGAAGCACCUGGAAAUAUUAAUUCCCAAAACUUUGGGACAAAACAAACACGAACAUUUUUUCUUGUAGCUGUUUUGGUUGUCUAAAUUAGUACCAGUCAAUACUAUUUGAUCAAUAUAAAAAAUUGUACGUGCGUGGUUGAAAAGAAGUUUUGAACUUUAUUGAUGUAGUCUUUCAUUUAAACUGCAGUGUGUAUUCUGGGACAGUUGCUGGUGCUCGGGAAGCAUUUUUUAAUGGCAUUCCUUCUAUUUCCUUGUCUUAUGAGUGGUAUGUCUAUUGAGAUGGGAUCCUUUCUUUUUUAAUAAAGAUUUCUUUUAUUACUAAACUUAAUCAUUUAAUUGUUACGUAAUAUCUAUUGAGAUGGGAUCCUUUCUUAGAAGGGAAAAAAGGGAAGAAGAAGAAGAAAGGUUUAGAUUCGUAGAUCAGCAGAUGGUCUGUCAUCUUGUUUGAAAAAUUUCCACAUCAUAUUAAUUAUCAGUCUAAGUAUAUCUCAUUAUUAAUUUAUUAUUAGUCUUUACUCAUUUGCCGUUCUUGUUAUGGAGCUUCAGGGUUGGAGGUAGGAGCAACAUAGAAGACUAUACCCUAGCUGCUCAGGCUUGCUUGCCCAUAAUAAGUGCAAUGUUAGCUGACGUCAAGGCUCAAAAUUUUCCACGAAAUUGUUUCUUGAAUAUUGAUUUUCCAACAGAUAUUGCUAAUCAUAGGGUAAAUUUCAUUUACUUUUCUUAUUGACUUAUGCUGUAUAAUGUAUUAUGUUGACUGCUUAUUACACUUCCAUGUUAUGAAGGAGGUGGUUAGCACUUAGCAGUAACUCUUGUGGGGUUUUUUUGGGACAUUAUUUAGGGUUAUAAGUUAACUAAGCAAGGCCGAUGCAUAUACACAAUGGGUUGGAGGAGAGUUACAUCGGACUCUCAAGGAGGCAAAAUGUUGUCAACUAUGACAAUGGAUCCAACUUCGUCAAUGGAAUGUAAAAUGUCAGAGGAAUCAUCUUCAUCUGAACUGUUUACGAGGCAGGUUGGUUCUCUUCCCUUCUACCCAAACUAUUUAAUUAAAAGAGUCACUAAUAUUAACCUUACUAGAUUAAGAUGUGAUCUGAUAUGUGUACACUAGUGUCCUUGAAUUCUAGUUGAGAGAAAAACAUUGGUCCACAUUCACUAUUAUGUUGUAACACUGCAGCUUUCUCGUGCCUUUGUUAUUCGUUCUGAUACCAAAUAAUGUAAAAUUAUAUCUAAACGAAAAGUGAAAAGAACACCAGACUCGUAGAAGGUAGUUUCAGCUUUCAACCACCAUUAGGCAAUUAGAGGAGCUUUCAAACUUUCCAACAAUCAAUUCUAAAGAGUCCAAAAAUAAAUUCGACUCUUCCAUCCAUUCACUGUUUAAAUACAACAGUUUAGAAACCACAAAUACAAUCUUCGAAACUUUUUAUUAUUGUUAUAAUUGUUUAUUUAUUUCUUAUUAUUAUUAGUGGAUCUUUUAAACUUUGGAAUUCUUCUGUUCUAGAUUGUUUGUUCUUUAAGCUUUUCUGAACUUUUAGAUUGUUUGUUCUUUAAGCUUUUCUGAACUUUCAUGGAUAUAUAUACACACACACGUAGAAGAAAGAAAAUUAAAAGAAAGAUUGCUUGUUGUUACAAUUAUUUUAUUUUGGAUAAUUUUGAUGAUUGUUCUGUUUCACUAUUCCUAGCUUAUUAUAAAAAAAAAAAAAUUGUAUUUGUAAACGUUAAUUUAAGUUAUUGUCUUUGUAGGUAAUAAGUGCACCUAUUGAUAAUGAAGAUACAGAUUACAAAUAUCUACUAGAAGGCUAUGUGAGUAUCAUUUUACACAAAAAAACUUAUCAUUAGAGCAGAUACCUCGUCAUGAAUUAAAAAAGCUUGUGAUUCCAUUUCAGAUUACUGUCACUCCUCUUGCCGCCCUGUCUCGUGCAGAGACUGACUGCGAAAACUUUUUGGAAGCAUGGUUGCCUGGUGUGGUUGCUCGGCCAUCACCAUCUGCUUUAUAAUUUCGUAAGGUUUCUGGGUAAUGGCACUUCAAAGUUUUAUGAACUUUAUUUCAUUUUGUUUAAAUACUAAUAAGCAGAUAAGCAUAAGCACACAGGUGCCGAGUUCACUCGUCAUAAUUGGCUUUUGUGGUAUCUCUUUUUUUUUCCCUCGUACGAAUUCCCCACCACCCUCUCGCUCAAAGCUAUCUACAUUCAUGCUACAGAACCUUAUUACAAGAUCAUGAAAAUAGUUUCCUUCCUAAUCAUUGAAAUGCUUAACAUUCAACUAUCUUCAUUUAAUUGCUUGUGAUAAAUGAAGUUCAUGAUCCUUUCUGAUUCUUCGACGAUUCUGACAUUAGGCAACUGAAUCUUAACCAAUUGCAACGUCUGCAGUACCUAUAUGUUAACUAUAAUUUAUGUCAAGCUCUAGACAUGGCAUCUAACUUUAGUUUUAAGACUGUUGGCGUCCUCUUAGUAUUCUGUUUACCUCACUGGAUGCUAGGAAAGCUGUAUGGGAUAGGGAAAGUCUUGUUGACUGCACUGAACACUCGAUGCAUUGCACGUGCACCAAGGAUCCAUAGUACAUCUGAUGUUCUAUCUUAUAUUGAAGUAUGGUACGAAACAUUAUGGAAACAAGUGUUACUGAAAACUUUCUGUUAUAUUCUUUGCAGGUUUAGGCAUUCUAUUAGAUGGUAAAAAUUCGAGCAGAGCCGUUUCUAGUUUAAUAUCCUUUGCAGUUUGCAUCGUGGAGAGAGCAGUUCUUCAUAUCAUGGAAAAUAUAAAUCCGGUCUGAAAAAUUGUUUAAGAGAAGAGUUGUGGAAUCCUUACUGUGAGUUGAUUCUAUUAAAAAUAUUACUUAAUGUGACAGAAACUUAAAGAAAGAGCCUUUCUUUCUUUCAUUACAUUUUUCAUUUCUAAUAAUGUUAUUAUGAUUGUUGUUUACUUUCAGUAAGGUCUAUAGUUUAUUAGCAUUUGCUGCUUGAUUUUGUUUCAAAUCUUUGUGGGUUGGGAUCUAGAAAGAAACAAGGUUGCAAGGUUCCAAACAAAAGUCAAAUAGAAGUUUCGAUGUAAAUAUUAAAAAGAAGUUGAUGCAACGGGAAAGGUAUCAAGCCAAAUCCAUAACCAAACAAGAGAUCCAUCCCCUAGAGUUUGAGAGAAUGAAAAGAUUAAAAAGAUUCUAUAUUCAAAAGAUAAAUCAAAAGCUUCCUUCUACGACUCUAAAUUGACUAAUAAGGUGGGACAAUGAACUAAUUAAUUCUAAAAUACUAAUUAAACUAAAUAUUAAUUAAAAUACAUUAACUAUCCUUAACUUAUCCUCAGCAGAAGUCUUAUCCUUGAAAGAUGGUAGAAACUAUAUGAGACAGUAGACUCUGAAGGUCUAACUUCUAAGAUACCCAUUUGCAGUCAGGAUAUGUUAUAGUGAGAACACUCAAGAAAGUUUUAAGAUGUUUGGUUCACAAGUUAGAUUUGUGUAAUUGAAUUAGGUCCAAUGAGCAACUUUUUGCUCGUAUCAAACAAAAAAGUUCACUAAUCUACAAAAGUACAUGAACUCAAAGACAUGGCACUUGUUCUUCACACUACAAACAAACUCUUAUAUUAUCACGACCUUUUGUACCAAUCAUUGUAGCACAUGUGUUGUCCAGGGCAUAAACCUAGAAACCAAAACAUCAGUCACACAUAAUCGGGUCUUUAAAAUCCUUUAUUAUUUUUUCCUUUAUAAUUUAAAUUUUAAAUUGUGACCCAAAUCUCCCAUUAGGUUCACAAGUCACAUUUUGGGACUAUCUUUCAUUUGGUAGAUUUGGAUUAUUGAACAACUUUACCAUCUUACCAUAUCAUGAAGCAAAUGCCACUUUAUCAGAUUAGGGGAUUUUAUCACACCAUUUGUUUUCUAUUGUAAGAUGAAGAUUUCAAACCACUACUAGAUUCGUUAUUUUUUUAUGACUGUAUUUCUCCCUUGUAAAUGUCUUUAUAGCAAGUUUAGUCUCUUAAUUCUACAGUAUUGAUGAAGGAAAUAGUAAAUAUAAUCAAAACAUUGUUCUCAUAUGAAUCAAAAUUCAUGGCAUUGGCAUUAUUAUAGUAUAUCUAAGGCAAAAACAUCUUUAGGUUGUCCCAUCUAUUCAAUAGUUGUCUCAUGUCAUUAUCAGAAUCAACCUUGAAAAUAUAGAAUUUAGAAUUCAACUGCCGCCUCAACUGCUGAUUUGGACAAAGCAACUGUAAAGAAGCUACACAAAAAUUUUGAACAAAAGAAAAAAAAAAAAGAGAUGAAAAUGGGGAAGGAAAACUUUUAUUUCUGGGCAUUCUUUUUUCCCCCUUCAAAUAUAUAAAGUAUUAUAAAUAUUUUAUGUACAUUGGUGGAGAAGUUGUGUAUUUAGGAUGAUGAAACUUGAAAGCUUCAUUGUUUCGGUGGCAAUGGAGUGUGUGAUUCCACUAAUAUUGACCAAAGCACAUGCACAUCUUCACAGGGACAGGAUUUCACAUCCUCAUACAGAAUAUAUAUCCCUCUUCCUGCAUCAAAAUUACCCAAAAACUAUGAACCAAAAAAGAAAAAAAAAACUUGAACUUCAAAGGAUGUUGAAGAGAUUCUUUUCUUUUCUACAUAAUUUUCUAGUGAAAGAACAGAAAGUGAAGGGGAAAUGGUGGCAUUGUAGAAGGCAAAAAGAGAGAAACAGAGAAUGUAAGUGAUGAAAUGAAACUGAGUUCGAAAAGGGAAGUGACUUACGUUUUUUAGGCGAAGAAUGGAGGCGAAACCAGAGCUUCUUUAAUGGGGAGAAGAGGGAUUGGAGCCACCCCAUUUGGAGAAGAGAAGUGGAGGGAAAAUGUCUUUCACUUCAUGUAGAGAGAAUAUUAGAAAGAGCAAAGGAUUUGUGUUGGUUUUGAUAUUGGUCCUUUUUUUUUUUAAGCUUAGACGAGGGAUUUUGAUGCAUUUUUAAUUAUUCACAUUCAUUUAUUGAAUAAAUCAUGCAUUUCUCAUAUGGUUCUUGGUAAAAUGUCUUUUUCAAGCACUUUUUUUCCUUGUAGUAGAAGAAGCCUUCUUCACCACCAAUCUGCUGUGCUUCACACACUUCCAUGAAAUCCCUUUUUCCUUUUUUAAUUUUAUUUUCAAAUCUCAUUUUCUCAAGUUUUAUUUUGUAUAAUAUUCCCCAAAAACCCACUUUUUAAGAGUGUUGAUAGUUUGAUUAUAGUUUUUAGUGGUCUUUCCCAUUUUGGAUAUCUCUUGUGACUGAAGAAAAAAUGUAUAAAGUGUUGUUUGAAAUUGGAGUCCCCAACAAGGGAUCCUAUCCCAUAAGUCCACAUGUCCUUUACUCCCCAAUUGGGUGCCUUAGAAGUGUGCUUCAACCUUGUUUUCCUAACUCCAUUUUUUUGUAAGUCUUUUUCUGCUUUCCUUUGCUUGUUUUUGCACCUUUUGUUGAUUGAUUCAAUAUACACAAAGCUUAUUAUGUGAUUGAGAAAAAGCUUAAAGAAUAGAGAAAUCGAACACAAAGAUUUAUAUAAUUUACUAAUAGUAGAGAUCAUAUUUUAUUGGAGCUAAAAGUAUUAGGAAGAAUUUAUUUACUAGGGUCAAAAUCCUAAAUAAACUAUAUAAUAGGAACAAAAAACACAAAAGAAAACACAAAUCUUCUUUUUCUCUCUAGGAAUCUUUCUGCAUUAUUAACAAGAGUAAGGUCUCUCUCCUAGAGAGAGAAUUUUUGUGGGUUGUAAUUAUGAUUGAUACUCUCAUUGGAAGUAAAAUGAAAUGGAAAGGUUUGAUUUGAUUGAAUUUAGAAAUACCCAAAAUCAGUAAAUUUAUUCAUUAAAUUAAUUUUUUUUAAAAAAAAAAAAAAAACUGUCCAAAUCAUUUAACUACAAUUUCUUGUUGACCACCUCAAAUUACAUUUCCCUUUCUAACUUUGUAUGGAUUUCUUUCUAAAUCUUUUUCUACUAUAUAAUCAUUAUUUGCAAAAUUGGACUUGAAAAUGGAAGUUGUUUUGCAAAUAAGAAAAUAUUACUGAACAAUAUAUUAGUAACUUCAUACACUUUUCCAUUUUUAGAUAUGAAAUAGAUCCUCUGGUAUGUUAAAUUAAAUCUCAACAAAUUGAUCCAAAUAGCUUUUGAUGCAAUUACUAAUAAUGCAUAUGAACAAUAUAUUAGAAAAUAAACAUUUAUUGUAAUUUUAGCUUCUUUAAUUUUCUUUUAUUUAAGUAAACCAAUCCAAUCAAUUCAAAAAUUACAAAAAAAGUUUAUACACAUGUGAAAAAAAACCUCCACAAGUGAUUUUAAUAUUUUGUUUACAAAAUAACGUAUUUUAUUUCUGGCUCAAUAUUUUGAAGAAAAAAAGUUGAAAGAAAAAGAUGAUAUAUUUUUUUUCUUUUUAUUUGUUUCGGAAAAUUAACAAGCAACCCCUUUUAAAAUAAGCUCGAGAUGUGGGCCGUGGUCAUGCGGGCUUUCUGUCUGCAGCCCAAUGAAGCGGCAGCACAGAUCUUAUGUUUAUGUGGUAGCCCAUUAUCCAGGGCCUCAGCCCAAUAGAAGCCCCGUUUAUGUACCCAACUUAAAUAUUUUGUUGGGCUACUUUUGAAAUCCUUGUUUUAGACCCAAUAGUUCACUCCCAUAGAAUAGUUUCCAUUUUGGUUUCUAACAAAAUAGUACACAAUUUUAUCUUUGUAGUUUAAAAUUUUAAAAUAAAGAUGAUAAUUUUUAUCAUGAAAUUAUAACGUAUGUUAUAUAUUUUUAAUUUCAGUAAGUAAAUCAAUGGGGAUGAACAAAAGAGGGGAAGAGAAGUAAGAAAAGAUAGGCUCAAGACAAUUAGGCUCGAUCAGCCUUAGCUUCGAGGGCGGGCUCUCCAAUCACAAGUUGAGUCUGCUUAAUCUUCUUGGCGAUAGAGCCAAAGCACCUCGACUCUAGUUUGGUUGGCUCGGCCUCGUCCCAGAACAAGACCACUCUCCCACUACUCAAGAUAUAACCUUAAAGUUAUAAGGAGUUAGAAGAGGGAAAUUUAUAAAGAGAAGCAAUUUUCUCCAUUAUAAACCUACUAAACUAUGAAUCUCUAAAACUUCUAGGCAUCAGAAGGUGUACGUGGCUUACGCCAUACCGGUGUUAAGAUUUUCUUUGUUUUUCAAACAAGCUCUUUCUAAAUCACAAAUUUUACAUUUGAAGUUAUCUCGAGAUCAGAACAAUCAAAAUCUAGUAUCAUACACUUAUAAAUACUUUUUAAAUAAAUUUUUUUAUAGAAAAUAAAUGUGAAGUCAACUAAAUAUACUCAACGAGUUAUGAUACAAAUUAUUGAUUAAAAAGAUUAAAAGUUUAAAUAUAGUUCAAUAAUAUGCAUAUUUUUAAUUUAAUGUUAAAUAAAUGAUUGAAUUUUCAAGUAUAUGUUCAAUAAAUCUUCAAUUUUUUUAAAUAAGACCAUAACUACUUUUUAAGUUUAGAAGUUUACACUAUUUAAAUAUUAAAAAAAUAUAUCUAUUUAGCGGUUUAAAAUUUUAGAACUUUAUUUCGAAUUUGAAAAUUAAAUAAAGAUUUUUUUUUUAUAAAAAUAACCAAAUGAAUUGUGUGAUUUUGUUCAUCGUGAACAUAUCAGUGUCUAUAAAUCUCUAUUAUUAAUGAAAUCUGAAAAUUUUGUUAUAUACAGGUUAAAUUUACCCUAAAUAACUUAUUAAAGUCCACUAAAAUCAAUAUUAAUCUGAGCAUUCUUUUAAAAAUAUAAAAAGAAAAAAGAGAACCUUUUAGAUAUUUCAGCCAUAGUACUGAAUUUACUUGUCCUUUGACAGAUUCAUCCUUUUUUUCUCCAUUUUUACAAACUUCAUUCAUUUUCAUUUUUGUGAGAAUUAUUGUUAUUAUUUAUUAUUUAUUAUUUUCAAAUUCAAUCAAGUAUUUUAAGUUAUAUGAAAUUAAAUUUGGAUAUUUAAAGGGAAAAAAUCAAAAUGUGAAGUAAAGGGAUGAAAAUUAUACUUUAAAACAACACUAUAAUUUAGUUACGUGAAGUAUUUAUCGAUCAUUUUGCUAUUUGAUAAACAAUGGUGUUCAUGAACAUGGUUUAAAAUUUUUUAAAAAAAUUCACACUUUACACUUCUAAACUUUGAGAUUUGUAUCACUUAAAAUUUCAAUAUAAUAAUUAGUAUCAAUCAAAUUCUAAAUUAAAAUAAGUCUCAUGCAUGAUAUCCACUUGUGAUCGCGACUUUUUCAUAUGCGAUAAUUAAUAUAGAGUAAAAACAAAUAUUAAAAUCAUAUACAUAAUAGAGAAUUUUCAUUUAUAUGAAUCAUUUUUCAUCUUCUUUUUUACUUAUCUAUAAUUAAGAACGAAUCAUAACCCAUAUGAAUGGUUUAAAUUGAUUAACGUAUAAAAUUUUAGUACUUAAGUUGAUCUCACUAGUUAAAGUUUGAAGGGACUAAACCAAAAAAUUCACUAGUAAUAAAUCAUUUAUUCUCUCACAUUUUUUAUAUUUAAAAUUAGAGGUGCAUUUCAAAAAGGGUAAAAUCAAAUCGAUUCGAUUUUGUUUAUCUUUAAAAAAACUAUUUACUCAGUUUCGAUUUGACUAUAAAACUCAACCAACGACCACACUAUCAACUUUGAAAUUCAUACUAAGUAUGCAAGUCGAAGAAUUAAUAUACUUUUUUUUCUUUUUUUUUUUUUUUUUGUUGUGGCAGAAUGAUGAUUCUUGGAAGUGAAAGAGACAAAGCAUUUGAAAACAAAAGAAGAAUGAGAAGAAGAAGAAGAAAAGAGAGAGUGGGGGAAUUAGGGGCAGGGCGUCUUAAAUGCAUAUGAGAAAGAGAAGAGAAGAGAAAGGCUUUAUUAGGACACUGACCCUUAACACACUUAGAACUUUAAAAAGGACUCUUUCAUGUCUUUAUGAGUUUUGGAUUUUAGGGUUCAUAGCCACCAAAUUCACAUCCUUCUCUUCUCUUUUUAUCUAACCUUUUUCAGUAAGUAAAUUGAUCAUCAGGUGAACAGACCAAACAUUUCUUUUCAGACUCUCAGACUUUUCUGUUUCUAAAAUUAUUAUUUUUAUUAUCAUUUAUUCCACUUUUUUUCUUUUUUUUUUUUUUGCAAUUAGAAGAGAUUUUCUUUAAAACUCAAUUUCAAAUUCUAAUCUUCAAAUUGACGUUCUAAUUGUUUAAAUGUACGCUAUUUGAAAGUCAUUUUCUAAAUAAUACAUGUAUGGAUCAUUUUAAACCUUAAUUAGAAAAUGAUGUUUUAAAUGUUAACUUUUACGUUUACACAUAUUAUUCAUUACAUAAAGCUUUUGAAUUGAGCAAAAUCAUCUCCUUGUAUUAGCUAUUGGUUCUUUGUUGAGUGAUCUUGAACGUUAUUGACGUUUAGUGUAGAACGUCUUAUAUAUGUGAUUAAGAUUUGAUGAGUACUACCAUGUCUUGGUGUUCUUGUCGAUUACCUCAUUUCUUUGAAAACCCAAGAAGCCUCAAACGAUGUUGCGUUCAUCAGUAGGAAUUAAGUGUAUUAUUGCUCCAUGACUUUUGCUAAGUCUAAAUUUAAGUGGGUUAAAGCAUUACUUGGAAAUCUCAUGGUAGAUCAUUCAUGUACCAUAUAAACUAUUAGUUUGAGAUAGCUAAUUGAGGUUAUAUAUUGCUCAAAACCAUUUUUUUUUAUUAUGAACGCACAAAGCACAAACUAAACUACUUGCAAAUAUUUUGACAAAGAUGUUACAGAAACAAAAAUUUCUAUCUUCUAAAAUAAUUAUGAAUUGUCAUCUAUGAUCCUCAUAUUCCAACUUAAAAAGAAAGUGUUAACAAAUUAUAAUUAUAUUGUAUGUUUUAUAUAUUUUUCUACCCUUCAUUUUUUUUUUGAUGUAAUUUUAGACCAAAAUUAGAUUGUAUAUAUGUUAUUCACUUUAUUGUAAUAAAAAAUAAAAUGAAACAACUUUCCUUAUCCUAAUAACUAACCAAUGGAAAUAUAAAUCAUUCAUUCCUUAAAAGUUUAAGAUUUUAAUUGAUUUAAUCUAGCAAAAUUUUAAGGGUUGUUUACAUUGAUUUGUAACAUUAAUUAUUUUUAUCCCUAACAAAAUAUAUAUAGAUACAAAUUAACAAACACAUAGAGAAAAUUGAGAAAUGAAAUGCUAAUUUUAGUGUGUGUGUGUGUAUGUGUUUGUGUGAGGUAAGAGUAAAAUAGCCCUAAAUGAAAGAAAAAAGUUGGGUGAUGACAAGUGGGCAUAUGGUUUUCAAUGUAGAAAUUCGUCUGCUAAUUCAGAAGUUGAUGUAAUGUCAUUUCAAUGUAUCAAAAAAAGAAAAAAGAAAGAUAUGUAAUUUAAAUAAGAAAAUAAAAUUAAGAAAGAGUAAGGAGUAAAUAUAAAAAAGGAACAAAGAAGAUAUAUCUUUUAUAAUUGUGAAAUCAAAUACCUUUUCCCAUGAAAUGACAUUAUGACUCAUAUUUCAACCAUAUAGUUAUUUUUAUAUCUCUAUUUUCUUUUAAUUAAAAAAGGGGUAAGAAUAAUAUGAUUUAUUAUUAAAACAACAAAAUUGAUAGAUAGGUCACAUCAUCCCAUAUUACUUUUCCCUAUACAUUUAAUUCCUCUUUUAGUUUUAGGAAUGCCCGUGAAAAUAACAAAAAAAAAAUUUAUAAUAAAUAUGUUUUUUUUUUAAGUAUAGAGAUUAAAUUUAAAUUUUGAAAUAAAAUUAGAAAACAAUAAUAUAUAUAUAAAAGAUGACAUCAAAUCCCACAAAAAAAGAAAGAAAAAGAAACACAAAAUGUUGGUUGCCAACCAUGCAUUAUUUAUCCAUCAAACAUGCAAACAACACCAUAUAUACGAAACACCAUUUUAGGCUUAAGAAAAAACAAAUGAAAUGAUAAUAAGAAAAUAAGAGAUGAGAAAGAAAGAGAAGAAAACAUAUAUACAAAGGAAAGGAUUAGAAGAAAGACUUUAAUGUGGCAGCUGCCAUAUGCAUAUGGCCCCUUCCUCAUCACUACUCUUCAUUUCCACCAUUACCUUUCGUCAACAAAACACCUGCUAAACGACGCCAUUUUAAAUCAUUUCAAUCUUCCCUUCUUCUUUUUCAUUUGUUUUACUUUUAUGGUUUUCUUCAAAACUUCACCUUCUCUAUUUAAUAUAUAUACAUGUGAGUUAUUUGUUUUACUUUUUUCGCUACGCUUAUCUCAAACGGAUGGAUAUAUAUCCAAAGAAAAUUGAGAGGCGGCAUGGAAUUAAAACAUACAUCCCAAAUGAGAAUGGAUUAGAGCACUAAGUUUCGAACCGAUUGGAUAACCGGAGAAUAUACCAAUUGAGAAAUAGUUGAGUCGUAUUUGGCAUGCCUACCUACAAUGACCUUGGAUGUUACAUACACUAUCUUGACUUCGUCAUAGUUAUAAGUAACAACAAUAUUUGAGUGUCAGAUGAGCAACAUUACAAAUAAGCCCAUUUGAUGGCUCUCGAGAAAAGAGAUAUUACAUGUUUGGAUUGUUUUCUAAAGUGUUUUUUUUUUAAAAAAACAUUAAUAAACAAUUAGAAAUUCAAUCCAAACGCACCCUAAAUUUGGACCUUAGCUUACUUUUAUUUUCUUAGUUGAACCAUACAAUCUACAAUUUAGACGUUAGAGUGUAAUAGCUAGGUUUGGUAUUCAACCGAAAACUUUCAUGUAGAUCAAUUUAAAAGACGAGAUUCACACUCAUUAAUAGAAAUGAGUAUGCAGACAAACUCACAACAACCACAAAUCCAUUGGAAUUUUUAAGAUUUCAACAAGUUUUAUAAACCAAUUUAAUUUUGAAAUGAAAGAGGGUGUAGGUAAAGACACUUAUUAAUUAAUCAAAAUCCGAAUUAUAUAAGGCAUGUUUCUAAAAACAGACUUGAUGGGUUUCUACUUCCUUUCGUUGAAACUCCAUAACUUUACAACCUUAAAGAAAAACCAAUUCAUUACUUGUUUCUGUCACACACUUUUGAUUCACUCUCAUUUCUUCUUUUUCAUCAGUGGCUUUUUGGUGAUUGGCUUUGAGAGGAAAAUGGCAAAAAGCUUCAUCAUAUCAUCGCUAUAUAAAUUGUGUGUAUAUAUAUAUAUAUAUCUAUCUAUUUAUAAACCGUUGAGCUUUUUCCUUCUUUUUUUUUUCUUUUCUCUUUUGGAGGCUUUGGGGAUGAUAUGAUUGUGAAUUUCAAAAUUGGUCGACUUUGUAUUUGAGGAAAUGAGUGAGAAACAAAGUGAUAACAAAAAAAUGAUAAUCAUCAAUUGGGCCCAAUAUUAAGUGGGUCUUGAAAAUUAUGAAUUUUCAUAAAUUUCAAGAUAAAGACUUCCUAUCCCUCUCAUAUGAAAUUCUCACUUCAACAAUACAAACAAUUCAUAAUUAAAUGCAUAUCAACAUUUUAAAAAUUUUAUAAAUAUACUAAACACUUCAACAAAAGUCCAUCAAUCAUACAUCAAUACUUCCAAUACCAUACAUUUGUCUAUUUAAUAUAUUUUACUAUAUUUUUUACAAUUUUAAAAAACAUGUUGGUAUAUUUUGCUAAUAGUCCAAUUCUUUAUUUUAGACCAUGAUAUUCCAUUCUAGUUAUAUUUUUUCAAUCUUCUAGGUCAUAGAUUAGUAAAAGAUAUGUUAUAACUAUUUUUGAAAUAUUUUCAAAAGUUUUAUCAUUUAAAAUAAAAAAAUUUGACAAACUAUUUACAUUUUAUAGAACAAAAAAAGAUAAAAUUUAUUACACUUGAUUCUUUUAUGGAGGAUAAAUAUUUUGUCCAAUAUUCUUUUUUUUAUGAUUUUUUUUUAAAAAUAAAAAUAAAAACCUCAUAUAUUAUUUUAAAGAAAUAAAAAAAAAGUUAUAAGGUGAGAGCAUCUCCAAGAAGUUAGUAUAUCCAAGGACAUGCACCAAAUUUUGCUUAACAAAAGUGGCAAGUGGGUCUUUUGUUCUUUGUCACAUGCAAUGACCUAAUCAAAAGUUUAAAUAUAUCAUUCAACCUUAAACUACUUUAUAAUUUACCCAUCAACAUUUCAAAACAUAGGAUUUUUUAAAAAAUUUAAUUAUUAUGAUGCUAUUUAAAAGCAUUACAAAAUUUUGAAUUAAUUAGUUAUUGAAUAGUUUUGAUCAUUAAUGUACGUGUAAACAAAAUUAGAAAAAAUAAUUUAUAUAUUGACAUUUAGGGUUAGAUCACGAGAUCAGUCCCAUUUAAAAUAUAUGUAAGGUCAAAUUUAUGGUAACUAUCAAGAUAUAUAAUUAUUAGUUUUUGCUUUUUCUUAAUCAAACUUUAAUCUAAUUUUAGCCCAUCCCACACUAUUGAUUCAAUGAUGAUCUCUUCUUCUAACCCACAUGGUGGUUUACUUUAUGAUUAAUUAAUUAAAUUUCAAAGUAACCAAAGUAAUUUAAUUAUAUGGAGAAAAAGAGUGAUAAGGACGAAAAUAAAAGUUGUAUGUUAGCAAAGCAAUUUUCGCGUUUCAAUAUUUUGUUCCCUAUUUUGUUUAAUGCUACACAAUCAAUAGAAGACGACCAAAUUUAAUUUCGAUGAUUUCAUUUUAAAGUACUUUUUUUUUUAAUAAUAACGAUCAAGCAUUUCAUUUUUAUUAAAAUUGAUUCUGAAAUUAUGUAAUGACAUAUUGAAAAAAUAUAUAUAUAAAUAAGAGAAUAACUUGAACACAAAAUAUAAAUUGAAGUUAAAAGUGUGUAUAUAUAUAUGAUGGGAUUUUAAAUAAGUAUUUAGAAAUAUUAAUUAAAUAAAUAAAUAUAUGAAAUUUUUUUAUAGGGUCUAUUUAAUCAUGAUUGUUAAUCACAAUUUAAAAUUACUAAACACUAAGACAUACAUUUUGAGAUUAACUCUAAUGAGUUAGAAAAGAUGGUAGUGCACCCGACCAUAAUCUAUUCAUAACUAUAUUAGUAAUAUUUUAUUAUAUUUAUAAAUAUUUUUAAUUCAAUUUAUUAUAUUUAAAAAUAAUUUACUUGUUCUUAAAACAACACUAAAUAAGCAAACCAUGUUAAUUAAAUCAAAUAAUAUUUUUAUCACAUGCAUUAAGUCUUAAACCAUAUAAUCAACGAUAAUAUCCUAAACUAAUGUUUCUUCCACUUAAAUCCAAGGAUGAACACACAAAAUCAUGUGAAUUAAUGUAGUUAAUUAAUUAAGAAAAAGAAAAUAGACUUUUUGUUAAUUUUUGGUCCCAUAUCAUUAUUAUUUCACUAUUCUUUGAUAUGUCAUUUUCUUUUCUAUAUAUAUAUACACAAAAAAAGAACUAAAACAAUACUAUUCCCCAUAUAUAGAGGCCCCUAAGAGGGAGUUGCAAUCCUAAUUUAGUCACACACAAAAGAAAGUAAACCAAAAAUAGACCCUACUAAUAAACCAAAAUGGCAACCAAAAAUAUUUUCAUAUACAUGAUAAGGUAAUGGCAAAAUAUAUAUAUCCUGCAUGACCAUACUUUUUUUUCUACUUCAAGUGGGUGUUCUCAUUAUAAAAGCAGUUGGAGAGUAAAGCCAGAGAGGAAGGCAAUAUGUGAAUAAUAUUAAUUUGAAUUAUUAUAUUAUGUGAUCAUAAACUAUAUAGUAUAUAAUAAUAAUAUGUUUACACUUGUUACAUAGUGGGUGACCCAAAAACAAUCAUAUGAAAAAGUGGAGAGAGAGAGAGAGAAAUGAGGAAGAAAAAAAGGAGGGUUUUGUUUCAAAAUUUGAAAUCUCUCUCUCUCUCUCUCUCUCGAGUUGGGAAAAAAAGGAAAAUAAAUAAAAAUGUAAAAAUGUAAAAAUGAAAAUAAAAAUUCAAAGGGUAGGUGGAAGGAUAUGCCACCUUUAUAGUAUAGUCAUUGUCCACGUUUUCAUUUGUACCAAACCUUACCCACCUCUAUAUAUAUAUAGCAAACAUUAUAUGUAUAUUAUGUUAAAAUAUAAGUUUUGGUAACAUUCAAAUUUGAAUCAAAUCAAUGUUUUUACGUUAAUUAAGUUCACUCAGAAUCAAGAUUUUAGGUUUAAAUUUUCCAAUCUCUAACUUAUACUAAGAAAUCAAUCUUUUUACCGUAUAGUUUAAGAAUGUCUAUUUAAAUUUUAAAUUUUAUGUUUAUUAAAUUUUAUAUAAUUUAUCAUUGUGUAUGAAAAGAUAUUUGACUCAUUAUUGUUAUUACUAUUGUUUUUGAAAGGAAAGAUUUUACAUCUUUUAUAAGAUACAUUACAUGUGCAGCUUCUUCUUUUAUGGCCAAUUAGAUUAGAUGUUACUGGUGUUAUUUAAUAUGAAAAACUACAAAAACUAUUCAGUAGUAGGGUAGUACUUGUAAUGAUAUUUUCAAUUUUUCAAUAAUACAACUAGUGAUUAAACUUUUAAAGGUGAUAAAAUUGGACUAAUAUAAAUGAUGAAAUAUGGUCUCAAAAUUAUAUAAUCAAUACAAAAUUGUAAGUUUAAAAGUUCAUUUUUAAACUUCGGAUAAGUUUUGAAAUCUAAUUUUUAAUUUUGAAAGUUUAAGAAUAUCUAAGUGUUAAGUGAUUUUUGAAAUUUAUCAUAUUUAAUAUUAUAAUACAUGAAGUCCAAAGAAGCCAAUAAUCCAAAUAAUCACGAUUCGGUUCAAGAACAGUGAACUAGAAAAUAAACCGUCACUUGAAAGGACAUCUCCUAACUAAUUACAUGAAGUUCAUUUCAUUUAUAAAUGAUUGAAUAUCUUCAUAGACUUAGUUAAAUACAAAAUAAAAAUUUAACAAAGGUAUAUAUUUGACAUUUUUGUAAAAGAAACAUUAAGAACAAAAUUGAUAUUUUUAUAAAGUUUAGUGACAAAAUUGUAAUUUUAACUUCACAUCAUCACAGGUUUACAAUAGCAUUCCUCUCUCCAAACCUUAUUAGUCAUGAUUUCAUAUACCCUAUAUAAUAUAUGAAAAUGAUUGUCACACACACUAAUAUAUAUAUAGAGAGAGAGAGAAAUUUUUGAAUUAAAAAAAGAAAAAUUGAGAAGCCAAAUGUAAAUGUAUUGGAUAUUGGAGAAUCAUGGGUGUGUACGUAGAAGGAAAUUAAAAUAAUUAAAAGAAAAUGAGAAAAAAUAGAAGUCAAAGAUAAAGAGAAAAAGAAUCUAUUAAAUGUGCCCAAAUUUGAAAGAAGACAAAGAGAAGGCUAUUUUUCACUACGCAACACCCUUUCUUUAUUACUAUAUUUUUUUAAUUAUCACGAUAAAGUUACCUCUACAAUUCUCAAUUCUCAGCUUUGGAAAACGCCUAAAUCACAUCAUUUUAUUCACUAAUUCAUUUUUUUUCAAAAAAUUUGACUAAUUGUUAUUACUUUAAUCCAUUGUUUUCUAAAAUAAUACUUCAAGUUGGAAAACUAUAUCAUACCUGCCACUAUAUUAAAUUAUAACAUGUUUUAUAGUAUGACAUAAAAUUGAAUGCCUUAUAAGGAUAUGUCUUAAAUUUUUAAAAAUUCAUAAAUUAAAUGCAUAAAAUUGAAGUUUAAGAAACACAAAAUUAAGAAGAUUAUUGGAAAAAAAAAAAGGAAAAUAUUGAGGGGAUGGUGGAUUGGAGGUUUAGGUUUGCAACGUGUGGGAAGAUGAGAGAACCGGCGUAACAAUGACGGAGUUAGGGGCAGGUUUCUUUUAAUACGAGAUUGGAUGACAAUUAUCAAGGCUUUGACUUUGUGGGUUUAUGUGUUGUGUUUGUUCUCUCUAUUUUACAGACUAAAAUCUCACUUUUUAAUACUGUUUAUUUAUUCUGCAUUUCAUAAUUAUUAUUUCUAUUUGUGUUAUUUUAUAAAUAUAUGUAUAUUAUAGCAAAAAUCUAGAAGAAAACUUUUUAUUGUUUUUCUUCUUUGUUUCAUUUUUUUGUAUUUAAGCUAAGAGUAAACCCUACAGUAGUUGAAACUUGAUUACACAACUUGUUAAUACUAUGUUCAUUAGGUGUGUGAGUUUUAGCCAAGUUUUAUCGAAGUGUAAAUUUCUUUGAAAAGUUCAGUUUGAACCUUUUAUAUGAUAUAGAAGUGGAAAAAUGAUCAAACUAAACAUCUUUUGGUCGCUAUGUAAUAAGACAUGACUCACUUUAUCAUUAUAGUUUAAGACUUAAUUUUAAUCCAUGCAUAUUUCAUAAAUUCUAUAAUAUUGCUAGUCAUCCUUGUUCCUUUUUCUUCCAACACAUUUGUUAUCUAUAAGCAUUAAACUUAGUAAAUAUAAAUAAUUUUUUUUUCUCAACGUAAGGAAUAAUAUUAUAUUAUUCAAGAUUUAUUGAAUGUACAUGAACUAAAAUCAACAUGUUACAUGAUAGGAAGAAUAAGAUUAUAUAUAAAUUUAUAAAUAUAUUGAGAAUGAAAAAUAUAAAAUAAAUGAAGGGUAGCAAAAAUAAAAGCGUGUGGGUAGAUCCUAUAUUAAAAGAGAAAGUAAAAGAAAAUGAAAGGUGAUGGAAUAUUGUGAAAGAGUAAGACAUAAGUAUUAAUUAAGUUAGGAGUAUAGUCAAUUGGAAUUGACCUUAUAGUUGUAAUAUUAAUUAUGUUAACAACGACAACAUAAAUGCAAAUGGGAAAACCAAUUAAUUAAAUGAAAUGAAACCCAAUAAACUAAAAUAAUUAUUUUUAAAAAGGAAAAUAAAAUCCAGCGUGGAAUAAUUAGGAAGGGGGAAAAAUAGAGUGGAUGAAGAUGGAGAGGAGUUUUGGAUGGUACGUGUGAUUGAAUUGAUUAUUCCGCGAUAUCCGUUCACGGGUUUUCACUUUUAAAAUCACUCAUUUUCUCUGCCCUUAUUCCAUACUCACAUCAUUACAUUACUCUAUCAUCCAAUAAUAAUCCUCUAUUUAAUCAAUCAAUAAAUAAAACACUCUUUUUACCCUUAAAUUUUGAUUUCUUUAAUAAUUCUUUUAUUCUUAGUUAUUAUUUCUCUUUACUCUAAAUGUAACUCAAGUAGUUAUUGUAUUCACCGAUCUUAUUAUUUGUUAGCAUUUAAUGGUAAUAGUAAAAUAAAAGUUAAUUCUAACUUAAGUUCUUGGAGUUAAAAUAUCACUAUUUUAUUUUAAGAUGAUAUAGGAAGAAAUAAUAAGAAGAAAUUAAAAAAUUAAACCUAAUUAUAUAAUGAUUAUUAUUUUAUUUUUUUUCCUUUGGGGUAUUGAAUGAAACCAAAAAUUGAAUAACAUGUAUAUUAAAAUAAAGUUAGGAAAUUGCAUGGAUAAAAAUACUUAAAACGAAAGCAAUAACUAAAACAAAUACAUUAUUGACUUAAUACGCAAAAAUACAUAGGCUUGUGAAUAUCAAUAAUGUCCACAAACCCAUACCAAACGUAACUAAUGAAGAGGACCUUAAACAAAACAUAAUUGUUUGAAAUUGACUCUUUUCUUUUUCUCUUUUUAAUUUUUUUUUUGUUAAAUCAUGAAUUUAAUGAUCAAUAUAUUAUAGUUGUCAUGUCAUAUUUUCAAUGAUGAUAAUAAUAAUUAUAUAUAUAUAUAUAUAUAUAUAAAAGAGAAAACAGACGAAAUUAAAAAUAUCAGUAUCAGCUAAUUCCAUUCAUUGGCCUACGUUCAGCCUACGAGAGACCUUCCCAUUUAUUGCAAUAUUCUCUUUUCCUCCAAAUUACCAUGCACAAGCUGUAAAUGAAAUAUAACCCAAAAAACACUGAGGGAAAACCCGAAUUUCACACUCCUUCUCCCCUUUUUAUUUUUAACAAAGAGAGAAUUUUAUUUUUCCUUUCUAAAUUUCAUCGAGGUUUGAGUAUAAAUUUUAGUUUGGUUUAUAAGUUUUAGGAUAUUGUUACAAUUUUAUCUUAGGAUAUUAUGUUACUAAUGCUUACUUUACUAUUUGGAAUUAAUGGUGAUACAAAAGUUAGUGAAAACUAAUUGACCACAGUUAAAUAAAGGUUAGGUUGAAGAUUUUUAAAACUCAAAAAUAAAAAUGUAAUAUUUUUAAAUUUAAAAAUCAAAUAAGAUUUAAAACCCUUCAUACAAAUUUAACUAUUUAGUUUUUAAAAAUGAAGUAUCUUUACCAUCCAUGGUUUUUAGGUUAAAAGAAUGGAAUUCUGAGAUUGAUUCUUAAAACAGAAAAAGUUAUUAACAACUCAAUUUUUAAAAAUGGUUGUGUUUUAGAAAACUUAGAAAGAAAACAUAUGAUGAAAAGAGUCAUAGUUUUUAUUUUUUAAAAAACAAAAACUGAUCCUAAAAAAACAAGAACCGAAACCCAAAGAAUAAAUAUAGUGUAAAAGCAAAAAAAGAAUGGUAGAAACGAGAAGUUAACGGCGUGGCCGCCGACUGAAUUUUCCGUUAAAAACUGCCGUCACAGAACAGAAUUAAAAUAUUAUAUAUGAAAACAAACUCAUUGACCAAAAGAAAAGAAAUAGAAGAGAGAGUUACCGUUUUUUAUUCCCUCUUUUUGAAAAGCCCCUUCCUUUAUAACGGCGUUAUUCAUCCAAAGUCCACUAUAAAUAGAAGCCUUCCAAAUCCACCACUCCCCGGCCAUUUUUAUUUAUUCAAACUCACAACUCACAACUCCAAUCUCUCUCUUCUUUCUCUCUCCAAACGAUCAAAUUUCCUUCUUUUUUUGAAAGAGAAAAAAAUCUUGCGUGAAGGUGAAGUUUGGUAUAUUUAUCAGGAGGAUUAUUGUUUUUUCUUGGAGAUCAAAAUGGGGAAAAAUGAUCAACAACCAGUUCAAUCUGUUCUUCAUCUUCUUCGUAAACAAUCCCCACUUUCCCUCAAACAGGUUUGUAACAAAAAAGAAAACCAAACUAAACCCAUUUCUUAAAUUUUAAUAUAUGUUCUUCUUUGUUUUCUUCAAAUUUAAAAAUUUUAUGGUUUUUUCUUUUUGUAGGAGAAAUUUUGUAAUACAGCUUGUGUUGAGCGGUUUCUGAAGGCUAAAGGAGAUAAUGUGAAGAAAGCUGUUAAGAGCUUGAGAGCUUGUCUUUCUUGGAGAGAGACCAUUGGCAUUGGUAAAUUUACUUUCUUUUCUUCUUUUUUAUGGGUUAAUAUUGAAGAAUCUUGCCUUUUUUUUUUUCCUUCGAAAAUAUAAACGUUUUAAAGUAGUGGCAUGAUCUUCAUAGUAAUGAUUAAAGCUACCCUACGUGAUUCCAUUCCUUUCCUUUUUAAAAACCACAUCACAGAAAAAAAAAAAAAAAAAAAAAAACCAAAACCUCUAUUUACUUUUUUUCUUCUUCCGAAUAUUCUCCUUUAUCUACAGACCAUCUCAUCGCCGAUGAAUUCUCCACUGAGCUGGCGGAUGGCGUCGCCUAUGUCGCUGGUCACGACGAAGAAUCUCGCCCCGUCGUGGUAACCAUUUCAUAUCAAUUUCACUAAUUUUCUUUUCUUAUUGCUCUCUCACAUGGGCAAAAAAGUGAGUUUUUUUGCACUUUGUUUGCAGAUUUUCCGGUUUAAGCAGGAUUAUCACAAGUUCCAUUCCCAAAAACUGUGAGUAAAAUCAAAACUCCCACCCAUUAUAUAUAUAAAAAAAAAAAUAAUGAUAAUGAUAUAAUUCCAAUUUAAUUUUCUGAUAUUGUUUCAUUUAUUCAAAUAGGUUUACUCGUUUGGUAGUGUUCACGCUAGAAGUAGCCAUUGGGACCAUGCCCAAAAACGUGGACCAAAUGAUCAUACUUUUUGACGCAAGUAAGUAAUUACUGAUUAGAAUUAAAUUAAGUUCAAUAUAUUUGAAAAUAAAAGAAAAAGAAAAAGAAAAACGAACGACAUGUCGGAAGGGCGGGUGAGUUAUUUCUGAGAUAUGAUUCAGAAACUGUCCGGUGUGGAACGGCGGUGUCGUUGUCAAUAGCCACCACUUUUAGGGCGGAGGAGUAGGGGAAGGGUAUUAUCGGGAAUUGAAAUGUCUCAAUCGGUAAUGUCUUAGAAUUGGUCAAUUUUCACAGUAGAGUACUACACUUUAGUGGGAGAUUGAACAGAUGAACUAAUUAAAUAAAAGCAGAAACACCCAGAAAUUAACUUUCUUUUUCUUUUUAAAAUUAUGCUCAGAUUUUAAGAAAUGAAAUUUAACUUGAUGAUUGGGAUAAUGGAGUAAAUGUAUUGAAGCGUGGGAAAAAUGCAGGCUUUUUCAGGUCAGGAUCGGCUUUUAUGAAUUUAUUAGUGGGAAUGCUCAAAAUGGUGGCUGAAUUCUAUCCUCAACAACUUCAUUCUGCUUUUGUUAUUGAUCCUCCUUCUUUAUUCUCAUAUCUUUGGAAGGUAUUUUUCUUUCAAUUUCUUUUCAUUUUCAAGCCUCCUCAAUAUCACCAACUCAAAUAUUUCUAAUCUAUAUAAAUUUAUUUUUUCUAUUUUCAGUAGUUUUCUAUUUCUAAUUAUGAAAAACUUAGUAUUGACUCUGCUACUGCUUAUAUGUUUAGGUUUGAGUAUAACUUUACUUUUAAAACAAUUUGUCUUUUGCUUUUUGUUGAGUUGAUUGUUGUCCAAUGUCUACUGUGCUUUUUUCAAAAACCAAAUUUUUAUGCAGCUUCUUUUUGCUUCCUAUGGUGGGUGGGUUUUCUUUUUUGGAGGUUUAUUAUUAAAUAUUAACUGUUUCAGAUACAUUAUUUUAGUUCAAAGACUAUAUUUUCCCCUUCUUUUAACUUUGUUUUUGGCUUUGGUUUAUUUUAUUAUUUUAAUAAAAAGCUUUUGUUUAUUUCAAUUAUAAUUUUACUUUUUACUUUGCAGUUGAUCUUCAUUUGAAAAUUUUAGAAUAAAUUUAAUGUAACAUGAAAGUACAAAUUUAUGGCUUCAAAGAAUUACUUUUAAUGAAAGUGAAUGUAUCGAACACAAUUACUUUUAGAAGUACAGUGACUAAAACCAGUGGUGGUGAAACUAAUUAAAUUGAAUAAAUAUUAAAAGACGUUUACUACUUGCACUUUGUAGAUAUUUGAUUUUGUCAUAAACUACAAAUAGUUUAUAAGUCACUUUUUACCAAUCUCCUAAAAAUAUAGAAACUAAUAUAUAGAGAAACAAAAAAUGAUAUUUAAAUUUUAUUUAUUUUUACUCUGUAAUUGCAAAUACAAUAAUUUUGAUUAUGUUGGUUUGAAAUGGUAAUUUUAGAUAUGGUGUAUUUUUAAAUAUAACAAAAUAUUUAUAAAAUAUAAAAAAAUAUUAUAGUGAUUGUCCAUAAAUUAUUGGUUGUCUAUAUCAUGACGACAAGUAUAGUAUUUUUGGACGAUUUACAUAUAAAUGAUGAUAUUUUAUUGUAUUUGAAUAUGUUUUGUCAUUUAAAAUAACUUUCUUUGAUUUUGGUGGUCCACCUAAUUUUGAAUGAUGAAUUUUAAAAUUUUUAACACAAACUUAAAUUGUAAUCGUAAAUUAUCAUUAGGAUUUAUGAAAAAAUGAGGCGAUUAAUAGGAUUUAAAACAUUAUAAAAAUCGGAUAAAAAUAGUUUUUAUUUUUAUUGAAAAAGCUAAAUUAUAUUGAAGUUGAUAUUAAUAAUAAGUUAAUACGAUGAAACUGCAGGGUGUUCGAGCGUUCGUUGAAUUAUCAGCGGUGACGAUGGUGAUAUCAUCUCUAGACUUUGAGGAUUCAUUAGAGUUCAACGACUUUGCUGCCUAUCCGCGAGCCUCCUCCCUCCGAUUCGAUCAAGCAUCAAUACAAUCAACGGGAAAGAUCGGGUCAUCCGCAUCAUCACGCUUCUCCUUCACCGUAUCCCAUCAUUUUGACUCACUAAAGCCAUGGUACCUCAGUCUAACAGACACGUCAGCGUCCAAAGUAGGACCCACGAGUCCUUCACCACUGGGCCCCGCACUGAUCUCCCCACUCAACGCCCGUUCCCUGUCCUUCGCAUCUCCGGCUGCCAGGAUGCCACGUGGUGAAAUCAACGACUCAAGUAGUUUCAGCUCGAGACUGACAAGGAAAAGCCUGUUCCCGUCAACACCGCUGCCGCCGAGAAGCGCUGCCAUGGACGGUGGUGGUAAGAAGGGUAAAAUCAAAAACCCCCCAAGGACCCCACGGCCGUCGUUCCUCCAAUCGCCGGCGGUUUUCUUCCGAAGAGAGUGCCACGUCAGUAGAACGGAAAGAAACCGGGAAGCUUUCCGGUCUGUUUUGAAAUUCUACAGAAGACCCUACGAUGAAAUGGUUUACAGGUCAAAGAUGAGGCCCCCACUUGGUGGAUUAAUCUCCAUCGUCACACCACAUCUUAGACGUCGACACGUGUCAAUGUCUCAACGGUUCUGAUCCAUUACCCAAAAAGAGAAGAAAAAACAAACAAAAAGAAAAGAAAAAAUCACUAUUUUUUUUUCGCUACCUCUACCACUACACAGUAGUUGGAGUUGUCCCUAUAGACAGACAAGAAGAUACGAAAGUUUAUAACAUGAAUCAAGUGGAAAAAUGGUCAUGAGUUAGUAAAAAUAAUUGACCGAGUUGAUGGGGGUGAAUGUGUUUGAGUAAUUGAAAUGACAUAACUGAGACGGAGUUGGGGGUGGACUGAGUUUGGGAGGACCGAGAUGGGAAAGAAGAAAAAGAGCUUCGAGUUUGAGGACAAGAAGACAACGUGCUAGACGGGGUGUGAAAUGGUGUGCAAAUUGUCCUUUUAUUUUUUUGAACUUUGUGGUUCUUUAAUUUUGCAAAGUCUACGUUUUUGGGGGUUUGGAACGUUAAUAAUAAAAGAAAAAGAGAAAAGAAUAUGCAUGGGAAAUGGGUAGCGUGGUCGAACCGGUGAGAUCAGAUGUCAAGAUUGUUUGAAACCUCACAAAACAGAACACACCAAGUCUAACUAUUUAAUUUCUUGUUAAUCCAUAUUUUUUUUUAUGUAUACAUUAUAUAUAUAUAUAUAUAUAUAUAUAUAUUUGUGACUUUGUGUAUUUAAUUCAUUUGUUAAUUUUGUGAAAUUUUGCAACUCCAAUAGUAUAGUUUUGUCUAUUUUAAGUAAUAAUAUUUGACAGUUAGCUAGAUGUUAGGCUUUUUUGAUGUGACGCUAUAACAUGUAGAAGAAAAUAAACUAGUUACUCAUCUUAUUUUCAAUUGUUUUUUAGAUGAAACUCUCAUCUUAUUACUCAUCAAAGAUAAUAUUUCAAAUGAGUGUUAGAUCCAAUAAAAUAAAAUCAAGAUCCAAUCAAGAUUGUUGAACCUAACUAAACACAACCUCAAAGGGACAUUUUGAGAUGAUCUCAUAGAAGACUCACUCUCAUUUUAAAACAAAUGAGUUACUUUUUUCAUUGUCAAUUGACUUUGAUAUCCAACUUCAUACUAUCAAAUAUCAACAUGAAAUUGUAGUUACAUAAUUCAUUUUUAUCUCAUUAUAGAUGAAGGAUGAAAUAAAAAUCUAUACUUCCGUUACAUUUAUUUUGUGCAACAGCUUAUAGUUUUGAACGAAUAAUGCUUACAUCACCUCUAAAUUUUUCGCAACUAUUUAAUUUAUAGAAAGGAAAACUCAUUCCAUUGUUAUUUUUCCCAUCUAAUACAUUCUACUCACCGCGCAUAGAUCAAGGGACAAAAAAUGAACAGCUUUGACUAAAAAGUUCAAGUUUGAAACCCCUAUUUCAUAUUGUACUCUCAGUUUCUACAUUGAAUACUAUUUGCUGUGAAUAAUGUUACACACACUUUUUGUCUCUAAGAUUCAGAGAAAACUAAAAUUUAAUCUCUAUAAUUUGGUAAAACCUCAAAGACAGUCCAUAGAAUUUUAUAAAUAGUCUCUUUACUGCCAAAUCAAUUUUAAAUUACUAUAUUAGUUUCUGCUUUAACUUAACUUGGAAGACUAUUUGAAUGAAGUUGUUGUUGUUACUAGUAUGUACUAGGAAUCUUCACCACUUUUAUAAUACUAAACUUGGUUUCACUAUCAUAUUUAGUCAAAUGGGUAUUUAUUUAAUAAACGAAUCACCAAGAUUAAAAGAAGAAAGUUUGGACUUUUAUGUCAAAGAAUUCAGAAAAAGAAAAGAAAUACAUGGAACCAUGAGAGAGCAAGUGGGUAGCUGAAUUAGGAAUAUGUGUCGUUUAUUUUUUUUUUUUUUAAAUUUUUUGAAGUUGAAAGAGAAAAGUCAAAAUGGAGGUUUAUGUGAAUAUGAAAAACAGGGUAUUGGGAAUUGAAACAAUGGCACAGCAAAGCACAGAGAUAUAGUGAGAAGAAGGGGGGAUUGGUUCAGACAUAAGAAUCAGAACACAUGUAGUUUUGGAGAGUGAGAUUUUAUAAUGUUGUGUUUUCUUUUUUAAUCUUUUGGUGUCGUAUUCGACAUGUCGUUUUGGAUGAGUGAAUUGGUGCUGUUCUGUUUCUAUUUCAUCCAAAAGAGAUGACGUCGUAAAAUCAGUGGCUCUUUUGUGUUUGGAAUCUAAUGGUGACACUGUCAUCGUCAAAAUCUGUGGUUUUAUUUUCUUUAUUAUAAAGAUGGGGUCCGUAAAUUAGGCUUUAUUACUCGGUUGUUAGUUUUAAUGUGAAUUAGAUGAGGACAAGACAUUAGAGUUUGAAAGAGUUUUUGUGCAGAGGUUUUAUUUGGAGUUUACUAGUUGUAGUGUAGGAGUCUUUGGUUUUUCUUUGCAGUUUUGGUGGGUACUACUCAGAUCUUUUCAAAGGAAUAUGGACACAUCAACAUGAAACUUAUUCUCUCUCUCAAUUUCAUUUUUUAAAAUGAUUUGGACGGUGAGAUGAUGGGUAUUAUGUUGAAAGAGAUUUCUUGAGAAAGUCAUUUGAGUACAUAAAAACAAAUGUUGAUGAUUUUUUAUCGGUACAAAAUUUCUCGUACGUGUAUAAGAAUCAAGGAAAUGUUGAACUCACAAGGAAAUAUUUAGUUCCAAUAGAUCUUAAACCAAAAUUAGUAAGUUCGUAUUUUGGAUGUAGUCAUAAAAUGUAGAUUAAAAAAUAAAAUGAAACUACCUGAUAACAAAUAGAGAUAAGAAUGAUUAUCAAACUCCUUAAUAAACAUGAUAAGUAUGAAAAGAUAGAAAAAUAUAGAGAUAAGAAUGAUUAUCAAACUCCUUAAUAAACAUGAAAAGUAUAAAAAGAUAGAAAAAUAUUGUUACUAAUGUGUAAGUUUAAACGGUUUAAUGAGGUUGAUUUGUUAAAUCACCCGACCUUAAGUUCCCUUUUUAAGAUGGAACAAAAUUAAGCUAAUUAGUAAAAUGGAACAUCUCACUCAAUUAGGAUACGUUCUCUUAAAUCCAAAUGCAUUUGGGGAGGAAGUUCUCUAUCUAAGAGAACAGCGAACAUAUGAAAUCAUCGUGGGUAGUGACUGACAAAUUUUCGUCCUUUUGCCAUUGGUUUAGCAUGAUGAAGUCAUUUUCAAGCUCCCCUAACGUAAACAACCAAGGUCUAAUAUGAACAGUCCAAGAUGUAAGCGAGAUCAUAAAACAUAGUCUAAAAAAAAUUGAGACUAGGUCAUCAUUGCACCACAAAUCUCCUAUCUCUGUCGUAGGGAAUUUGACAUCUAGGGAAUUUUCUGCUUAGACAUCAAGAACCAUAAGAAAAUUAUUUUGGUGAGUGAUUUGAAACAACAAAUUGUUUCCUUGCGUCUUUGGUGCAUCAAGGUCAAGUCAUUGUCAGAUGUCAAGCCUUUAAUAUUAUGAUCAAAGAGAACAUGCUACAACCUAUGGAUACAGUUGACAAGCUUGUGAUAACUUACAACUUAAAAGAUCUCUGCAUAACUACACCAUCGCCAACUUACAGGAGUUCCUACUUAGUUUAUAUUAUAGGAUGCUAUUGACAAUUCAAAACAUGCAGUGUAACAGUUACAACCCACCAUACAUUAUUUCAUUAUGUACCUGUAUUAAACUUAUGAGUUAUAUGAAAGUGUAAUGUACAAACACAACAGCUUGGCCUAGGUAAAUCACCUAGCUUUUCUUCCGCAAUGUAACCAAUUCCAUGGUGGCACCAUAUUUUCCAUGCAGAGCUUCUGCACACCAGCCAUGUCCAUCAUCCACAGUCGGCAUCUUGACUUCCAUGUAAGGAGUUGCAGGGUGUUGAGCACCUGGGAGUGUUGCCCCAGCUAGAACUCUAAGCAUAUUUGAAGAGUCAAUGUCCAUACAAAUUGUGAUUUCAGGGACUCCUUUGGGUGCUGGUGGAAUUCCAAUGAUUUUGAAAUAGCCAAGCAGAUGGUUUUCCUCUGCUCUGGUCUCUUCGCCUUCAUAGACAACAAUCAGGGCCUCACUUUGAUUGUCUUGAAUUGUUGUGAAAACCAACUCCUUGCGUGCUGGCAUUGUGGUGUUCUUGGGGAUAAUUGGAAUGAAACUGUUUCCAUCAGCUCGAAUUCCAAUGGCAAGAGGCGUUGCUUGGAUGCUAAGAAGAUCUAGACUGCCAAAUGGAUCGCCAAUGCCUGAUGCUAUUGCACCUUCUAAAGCUGCACCAGAAACUGCAGCUUCUAAAGGAUCUAUUCCUUCAUAAAGUGCCUUCUUUUUACUUAUUUCCAUCAGAAGAUGUCUGAUCUUUGGAAUAUAUGAACAGCCACCAACUACUACUACAUCACUCAAAUCUUCGAUCCCCAGUCGUGCAUCAUGUAAGCAUUGCUUAACGAGGUUCUCACAUUUCUCGAACACCUUGCUGUUCACCAUCUCAAAGUCCUCUCGGCUAAGAACCUUGCAUAACUUUGACCCAUUUCCCAAGCUGACAUUGAUUUCAACACUAGACUGGAAUGAGAGCUUGUGGAUAGCAUCUUGAGUCGCAACUCGGAGCAACCCCAUCCUUCUGAUCUCAUCAAUUCCACGGUGUGAGAAUAUAGAUUCAGAAUUUGGCAAAAGAUACUUCAUGGUGUUUUGAAGUAGAUCUUCGCCUCCUAUAGGACUGCCAGCCAGGGCUCUGAUCUGUGACACCCCUCCUCCUAUGGCUGACACAGCAACAUCACAAUACCCAGCUCCCAUGUUGAAAAUAAGAGCAAUUUUUUCACUUCCACUGCCCAUGCUGUCAUGUACAGCCUGCUGUUGUUGUUGAGCAUAUAACAAAGCUACUGCUGUUGGUUCAGGCAUCAAUCUAACUUGAAGUCCAGCCAUUGCACAAGCUCGUUCCACACGAGUAAGCUGGAAUCGGCUGAAUGAAACUGGAAUUGUUAAAACAACAUUUCUAAUUGGUCGUUUUAGUUGAUAUUCAGCCAUCAUUUUCAGUUCAACGAUGAAAAUUGCCAAAACUUCUUCAGGAGUUGUAGAUCUCCAUACAUUAUUCACCAAAGCUGCAACAAAUGGACGAACACCAAUGUCCAAAGUUUGCACCAGAAAAGGAAGGCUCUUGCAUGCAUGAACAACUGGGUCAGUGUCAACUCUUCCAAUCAAGCGUUUCAUAUUGAAAAUUGCAGCACCAGAGAGCAUGUCAUACUCAUGGCUUAGCUCAUUACUAACUCCCCCAGAAGGAGUGUCAUCCUUGAAGGUGACAUAUGAUCUCAUAAUUUUCUGGUUUCUUGUGUUCUUAAGAAGCUCUACCUGAGAUCCAUUCCAGACUGCAAUACUACAUUGUGAUGUACCAAUAUCAAUUCCAACUGCAAUUUCUGGAAAAGUUGAUGUUGUUCUAUCUUCCCCAGUAGUUUCACUAUCAGAAGCUACGGUGUAUAUUGGUUCAGCCAUAAUCUGCAUUUUGAUCAAUAUAUAGGUCUAGUUUUCAGUUGGUAACUCAUUGCCAUCACUAAUCAUAGAUUGCGCUAGAGGACAUGAAAAAGAUAAUCAACAAUUCUAUCCUUUAAAAUGGGAUUUAAAGUCCACUCAAUCAUCUCUCGAACACUUCAAAAGGAAUACACAAGAGCAAAAUGUCUAUACUCGUUUUACUUAUAACAGAGAAAGAGGAGAUACACACGUUGGACAAAUAAAGAUUGACUGUAUCACUUCGGAAGGUGUUAUAAACACAGACCAUAUCAUUAUGUAAACUACUCAGGAUAUUUUUUUUUACACAUCAUAGAAAAUACUGUUUAACAUUGAAUUCUAAAUAUGAACACACGUUUGUUAAUCAAAAUUUCUUUCACAUAGGCAGGUUCACUAUACUAUGACAGGAAUUUCAUAAACAAGAUCAACUGUAAUCUACCUCUCUAAUCCAAUUAUAACAUUUCAAACAUCAGCAUACACGUUGAAAUUAAUAAGCACUUCAUUAACAAACACCUUCCAGGCAAUUCCAAACAUCAUUUCUCUACGUAAACAGUAGAAAGCAAGAAAAAGAAUUUGCAUUAAAAAAUUCGCCAAUUCAGCAAAGACUCGGUCACUUUAAUAAUACGAAGGAAAAAAAAAGCAAAAUACAUCAAGCCCAGUCUAGAAAAGCACAAACAGAUUGAAAAUUGCUAACUAUUGCCAAGAAAAUCUAAGAACAAGACAUACCCAGUUCCGUAAUCAACCAAUUGAAGAAAGAAAAAGAGAAAUAACCAGGAACAAUAGCGAUUAAAAUGGUUGAGCCGAGCAAGCAGGUGGCAGAAGCAAGCAACGAGACAGAAAAUUCAGUAGCAGAGAGCUACAAGGAAAAGAGCAAUGAGAAACCUUUAGAAGAUACGAGAUAAGCCGGUGAAGAUAAAGAAGGGGAAAGCGAAGAGUAAUUUAUAAAAGCCAUUGAAAGAAAGCUUGAUCGUCUUCUAGAGCUUCCUAGAGAAAGAGAAGCGAACAAUUUUGGUUUUGAAAAUAGGGAAAAACGAUAGCGGCAAGUUUUACGGUGUGGACGCUUACACUGUGGGAAGGAAUUGGGUUAGAUCAAACGGACAACAAUUGAUCAUCAUUGGACUCGGCAACUAUAACUUCACUUGUUGGAUAAAUCACCAAUUUCUUUCGUUGAAAAUUUUCAACUUUUUAAUACAAUUUUAUUUUUGAGGAUUUUUUUUUUGGGAGUGAAGGAGGGUAGAAACUUAGAUUUAUUUUAAUUUAAUAUUCGAUUUUAUGCUUUUUAAAUAAAAUUUUAUAUCAUCAAAAUUGGUUUUAAAUUGUAUUUGACAGUAAAAAACUUAGGAUGAUAUUGAAAAUGAGAAUAUCGAUUUUAAAUCACUUCUAAAUUAACUUGGAAUUCUGUUUGAUAAAAGUUUCAAGAAAUUCUCUGGUUGGUAGGACACGUAGCAGGCCCAUCGGUUGUGCUUGUUGGGCUGACUUGACCCCGUUUUGGGACCCAGGCCCAAUAAGCCCAAUCUAAUUUGCAAACGCUCUAUGUGAGUCCACAAGGAUAGUAGUUAAGCACCAAUUACAAUUUUAAAAAUUAACAUUUUAAAUGAAGUCAAUUAUUUCCUUAAGAAACAAUUGUUAAUUAUUUCUUGAGGUUAUUAAUAAUAACUGGUAUGAUUUUAUGCCAAAAUUUGAGCCUAAUCUAAUUAAUUCACCUCCAUAUAUAUUUUUAAUGCCAAUAUCAAUUAAAAGAAACGUGUUUGAUAAUGAAUGAAAAUCACAUUCUUCUCAAGUGAAAAGUAAUAGAUAUUAACAUAAAGUCUAGAGUUGAUUGCUUUUCUUGUUUACAUUCCAUGAACGUAACGAGUUAUGGAGUUCACCCUAAAAUUUGUAAUCAAAUCAUGCAAUUUAACUAAGAAAUGUAAUGUCUUAUUCAAAAAUUCAUUUUUAUUUAUACACCUUUCAUAAACUUCUUAAAAUAAAAACACAAUGUGCUUUAAAACUCUUUUUUAAAAGUAUUUGUGUAUUGUGUAUACGAGUUUUUUUUUGUUUGUUAUAUAUACUAAAAAUGUUUUUAUUUAAAUUUUUUCAAAAUUGGUUGAUGGUGACAACCUCUAGAGUUGAUUAUGGGAAGUUCGCUCGUAGAGUUACUAGAGGUGGUGGUGAAAGAUUGACCGACAACAAUCAUUGGAGAAGGUGUCUAAAAGUUGGUUGACGAACUUUCUAACCCUUUGAAAAAGUACCCCGAAAGUUGAAGAAUAGUAAUAAUAGGUGAGUGUUAUUUUAAAUCCUGACCUUGAUCACCAACUAAAGAGUAAUUUGGGUUCUGUGUGGGGCGGUGGUGGCAGAUAAGCCGGAAAAUUUGAAGGAUUUGGAAAGGUACAAGGGAAUGGCGAUGGUGGGAUUGUGGUGUAUUCGUCCAGAUUCAACUCAAAGAACGUCGAUGAAGAAGGUCACCCAAAUGUUGGAAGGCACCGUUGAAGUUGGAACCCCUCCUCUCCCCUUUGUAAUACAUAUAUAUAUAUAUAUAUAUUCGUUUCAUGAAUGUCUCAAUUACAACAAAUAUAUCAAACUUUCAAACAUUAUGGUUUGUUCGAUUGUUUUCUUGUGUUUGGAGACAAUCUCUUGUAUUAUGCAACAUAACAAAUGUUUCUUCAUUUGCUAUUUUGUCGAUUUUCUUUUUUAAAAUUUGAUGGAUAUCGAGUUGUGUUCAAACACUUUUUAUAACAAAUUAGAUUGUUUAUAUUUCUUUAACCAAAUAAGUUUUAUUGAAUAAUGAACCCAACCAUAAAGUAUUUGGAUUGGGUUGGUUCACCUUAAUCGGAUCAUUUAUAUAUUUAAAUUUUUGUCCUAUAAAUAAUUUUUUAAAAAAUUUUUUAAAAUUAUUUUUAUAUAUAGAAUCAAGAUUAACAAUUCAAUAUUCAUCUAGAUUAUCAAAAUUUUCUUAGAAUAAAUUAUUAAAGAAAUUUAUACUUACAUAACUAUUUUAUAUAAGUAUAAUAUUUUAAAAAGAUUAAUGUUAAGUUUGAAGUGGUUGAGUUGUUUUUGGUGAACCAAUGAACUAAAUCAAUGGAGUUGAUUGAAUUUUCCAAGUCAUCGUGUUUUUUUAACAAUUUUAUUAAUAAAUUUGAUGGGUUUGUUAGUUGAUCAAAGCUUUUAAGCCUAUUUUUGAAAAUUAGUAACUAAAAUGACCGAGUUAAAACUUUAGUGAUAAAAUACACAUAUUUUAUUUAAAACACAAGCGAACAAAUUAAACUUUCGAACUUCAAGAUAAAAGGUUCUAAAGACAAAUCUUGGUUAGAAAAGUUAUAUUGUCACGUAGAAAACAAAUGAUAUAAUGACAUAAUAAAAUUUAAUUAGGACUCCACUUUGGAUUGAGUUGAGUAUAUUAUGAAAUUGAUAUGCUGAAAUUAUAAAUUAUUUGUUGGAGGUGCACAAUUGUGAAGACAAAUUUUUCCAAUCAAUGUGCAAAGAAGAAAGAUCUAAAGAUAAGCUUUUAUCCUUUCUCUUUGAUUUUAUUUGGUAGUAGUAGCAGCCUAUAUGCUUUUAUUACCAGCCAUACCUUGCCAAGUUAGGCUUAUACUAAAACCAAAAUUAGUUUGUUGUGAUGGGUAAUAACAUUUUUAAAUAAAACGAACUAAAAUAUUUAUAAAUUAUUGUAAAAUUUUAUAUCUAUUAUGAAUAAGUUAGUGUCUAUCAUUAAUAUAAUCUAAAAUUUUACUAUAUUUUAUAAAUAUUUUCAACGAUUUUUUUUUGUAUUUAUAAUAACGUUAUUUAUAUUAUUAAUUUAAUUUUGUAAUUGUUUUUAGUUAAUUCCUACAAAUUGUAGGGGAUAACGACACUGAUUGAUUUCAACCUCCAUUUUUGAACUUAAAUAUUCCUUUUAAGUUUUAAUUUGGAGAAUUAUAAAAAAUGACAAAUUAGUGAUCUAAGAACAUGAGAUUAAAUUAUAAUUAAAUUUGUGAAAUUUCUUUUACUUUCAAGUUUUUUAAAAGUGAUAUUCAUACAUUUAAAAAUGACUUUGCUUCAUGAAAAAUUACUUCCGAACGAUGAGCAUAGUUUGUGAUGCCACGAAAAACUUCUAAAACAAGAUUACCUAAGAGUAAUUCUCACUUGAUAUUAUAUUAACACUAUUUUAUUUUUUAUGAAAAGAAAAAAUACAAAACUCUCUUGCAAAUUUAGGGAACAUUAGAAAAACAAUGGAUGAUUUGAAAAACGAGGAAGAAAAAUGGUAUCAUUCAAUUGUAAAAAAGGCAAUAAUCUUGUCCUUUUACCUUUCAAAUUCAACAUUUACAUGAAGAAAAAAUAAGUUUGCUGCUAAUUUAGUAAACAAAGCUUUGAUUAAGAUAAUAUUCAAAGGUUAAAUAAUUUGAACCAAAAUCUUUUUUUUUCUCAACAAGUAUAAUUAGGGUGGAUUUUUUAAAACUCGUGGAAGUGUAAAAAAAACAUUAGUUAAUUGAAAUUAUUAAUCAAAAUAAUGUUCAUAGUAUUUUUUUUAAAAAAAAAUUAAGUUAGAAGGGUUCUCAAUAUAAAACACAUUUAAUUUUUCUCAGUAAAAAUAAUCAGUUUCUUUGACCCAAAAAUUGAUGUAUAGUUUGAAAUAAAUUAAGAAAAGAAAUCAAAUUUUAGUUUUACUUGAAUUAGGAAAUGUUCCCUUUUAAAGAUGACAUCAAUUAUUUUCAUAGUCUCUUAUGAGGAGGACAACAACUUAUUGUAAAAUAAUAAUAGUUAUUAUAUGUACUCAACUUUAUACAUUUUAUUUAUGUAAGACGGGUAAAGGACUCUUCUAUGAUUCCAAAAAUUUAGAAUAUAAAUAUUUAUUUUCGAGGGGUUGAAAUAAAAUGGAAAGUGAUUUUCUAUUUGUGUGGUACAUUAUGAAUUUAAAAAUUCAACUUUGACAACCACUCAUGCCUUUUCUAAUUUAGAAGACAUAAAUUUUAUAAAAUAAAAAGAUAAGAAACUAGAGAUGAAAAUCUUGAUGAGAAGACCUAAAAUUGCCACUAUUGGAGGGAAGAAGAAGAGCACCCAUAAUUUCUAAUGAAGCAUGCUUAUGAUAUUAAGAUUCUAACCCAUGAUGUAGAAUGAUGAGAGAAAAUCACUUGAACCAAAUGCCAAGUGUAAUCAACUUUACAGGUCAUCCAAUCCAACAAUGGAAGAAAAAUGGAUAUUAAAAAGAAAAGAAAAGAAAAGAAAGAGACAAGAGGUUGGUUCUUAAGGAGUCUUGUAGGGCUUUGUAGUUAUCAUUAGCUUUCCCAAACAAGAGGUGGGUGAAUCAAAUCAUCACUCCACAAAGGUAUGAUUUUUAAACAUGUUGGUCACAACACUAAUACCAAACCACACCACACCACUCCACCAUUGCCACCCACCCACCUCCAUUUUUCCCCUCUAAAUGCUCUCCCAUGUCAGUUACUACCGACACACCACAUUCAAAAUCAAAACAUACUCCUACAUCAAUUAAAGAAAGAAAGAAAAAACUCCACAAUCUUUAGUUUUUCAAACAAAUUUGUGUAAAUGGAGAGACUGGUUGUUCUAAUGCAUCAUGUUGAUGCUUAAUUUAACUUGUAGUACUGUUUACAUUUUUUAACUAUAUAAUCCGAACUCAAAAUAUCUAGAAAGUGUAUUUUCGUAAUGAUCGCAUGAAAUCCCAAAAAGUGAUAAAGAAAACUCUCGAACAGAUUUGUUUAAAUUUUUUUUUAUACUGAGAUAGAAACAAAUAAAUAAAUAUAUAAUUUUGUUGAGAGGGGUUGGAUGUAGUAUUUGUAUGGUGAUGUUGAUGAGUGGGUUUGGCAUAGCACGCUCUCAUUCAUAUCUUUUGGAGCAAAGAGAAUAUUAUGAUGGUUCCCAUUGCACGCCCUUCUCUCUCUUCCCCUAUUCUCUCUUUCUCUCUUUCUCUCUUUCUCUCUUUCUCUUUCUCUCUAACACACACACACAUAAUAUUAUUAUUAUUCUUCUUAUUCUUCUUGAAGAAAUGAAUUACCUGGAUUUUCGCCUAUUUGUCACCCUCUCAAUCAUCAUCUUUUUAUUUUUAUCUUUUCUCCUCCCAACCAAAUAUUUUAAAUUACAUAUUUGGUCCCUAUGCUUCCAUUAAACUUCAAAUUUAGUCUCUAUCAUGUUUUCAAAGCUGCAUAAAAUAGUUAUAAAUACUAUUUAUAAAAUUUUACGAUUAAAUACUAACUUUAUUCGAACUCGUAGGACUUAGAUGAUAAAAUAUAACUCGGAGUAUUUUUUAACUAUCUAUAAUUGAAGAUUUCGAUACAAAAUAUUGUUUUUGAGAAAUUGUACAACUUAGAUGACAAAAAUUAGAAAAUAAUAUGAAAUUUGAUCAUGAAAGCUAAGAAAUCCUAAGUGAAAUUAAGUUUGUUGUUAAUAUCACAUGCAUAAGAAACGUGUAAUGAUUGUCAUUUAUUAGAUUGGAUAGAAGGAAGAAAGUAAAAACCAUGCGACCAAAUCAUCCUUACAAAAUCUCAAACAUUGGUCUAUGAAAAAACAUUGCGAAAAUCCAAAACGAUUCUUUUUUUUUUUAUUUAAGUUUUCUUUUUCUAUUUUUUUUCCUAAUUUCCAAAUCAAAACCAUACUUUUCUUUACAUUUUCCAUUGCUUUCUCCUUCCUUAAAUACCCCAUCUUCCCUCCUUUCUUCCUCAUCAAAUAUUUCUAUCCUUCUCCUAUUUCUUGUUCUUUCCUCAGAGUUUCUUCUCUCUGCAUCAACAAUGGCUGAUGUUUCCUCUGCUAAUUUGGUUAACAAUGGGAAUGAGCUUAUUGAGAAGGGUCAUUCUUUAAAUGGGUAUCGAAAAAGCUGUUGGUAUGAAGAAGAAAUUGAAGAGAAUUUAAGAUGGUCCUUCGCUCUUAAUAGGUAACCCUUUUUUCUUUUCUUUACAUUUGAUUUCCACACACACAAAAGAAAAAAAAGAAGCCCUGUCUAGAUUUUGUUUAGUAAGGAUUUUGUUUUUAGUUUUCUGUUUUUGAUAUUUAUGUUUUCUUACUUCCAAUUUCUCUGUUAUGAUGUACAACAAGUUUGUUUCGUAAGAACAAAAAACCAAAAACCAAAUAGUUAUGAAACCAAAAUAGUACUUUUUGGGAUUAUUUUAAGUGGGGUUCUUGAGACAAGCUUAUUUAACGAUACUCUCAAUGUUCUUAAGCUGUCUGUUGGAUAUUUUACUGUGGCUAUUUUGCUAGACUUUGUGAGGUCCAUCAAGUUGAAAUAGGGAUGAAAUCUUUUAAAAAGUGAAACACUUUUUCCCUUUCACUUUAAAUCAAUAACUCAAUAAAAUAAUCCAUUGGUCUUGGAAAAGCCAGACAAGAAACCUUAAAACACAAAAAAAAAAAAGAAAAAAAAAAGGAGUUUUAGUUUAGGGAUUAUUCUUCACUACUUGUCUUACAAAAUCUGCUUACUUUGUAAUCUUGUAGUAUACUACAUACUGGAGCUUCUCAGUAUCAAGAUAUCGCGUUACUCGACACAAAGCCAUUCGGGAAGGCGUUGGUUAUCGAUGGAAAACUACAGAGUGCAGAAACUGAUGAAUUCAUUUACCAUGAAUGCCUUGUUCACCCUGCACUUCUCCAUCAUCCCAAGUACUUUGCAAUGCCUAAUAGUUAAAUUAUCCAUAUAGAGUCUUAGGUGUAAAAUAUUAACUAAUAUCUUCCUAUUGUAUGAUGUUUUUUACUCAGUCCAAAGUCCAUUUUUAUCAUGGGAGGAGGUGAAGGCUCCACAGCAAGAGAACUACUUAGACAUAAGACUGUGGAGAAAGUGGUAAUGUGUGACAUCGAUGAGGUUCGAAUUCGUUUCCUUUUCUUCUUUGUUAAUCCAAUAAAAGAUACAAAAAAACUCUCUAAAACCAUGAUGGAUUAUUAAUCAAAUGAGCAGGAAGUUGUUGAUUUCUGCAAGUCAUACCUGAUAGUAAACAAAGAAGCUUUCUGUGAUCCAAGACUUGAACUUAUCAUUAACGAUGCCAGGUUUGGUUUCGAUUAGCACAUUUAAUUCUUACGUUGCUACGGUUGCUAUAAGUUCUGGGGGGUUUAUGUUGCAGAGCGGAGCUUGAGAAUCGAACUGAGCUAUACGACGUAAUUGUUGGUGAUCUCGCAGACCCAAUCGAGGGUGGUCCUUGUUAUAAACUCUAUACCAAAUCUUUCUAUGAGUAUACUGUGAAGCCUAGAUUGAAGCAAGAUGGCAUAUUUAUCACUCAGGUAAGUGUGAGAGAUGAAAAUGAAAGAAGUUUGUGAAUAUAAAUUGAGAUUAGGAACUGAAGUUGUCGAUGUCUUUGCAGGCUGGUCCAGCUGGAAUUUUCAGCCAUACUGAAGUGUUUUCCUGCAUCUACAAUACUCUAAAGCAAGUUUUUAAAUGUGAGAGCAAAACUUUAGGCUAUAUUAUUGUUGCUGACUUUAGUCGAAACUUAAUACUUUAAACAAACUAAUGCAUUGGCUGAUGGUUUUUCUUUAUAAUCUGCAGAUGUGGUGCCUUAUUCUGCCCAUAUUCCUUCCUUUGCUGAUACUUGGGGUUGGGUUAUGGUAAGGAAAAUGACAUCUCUUUUUCAUGCUGGCAUACUUUUUUAACCAAUAAACGAGUUUACAGAUCUAGAGACCAUUCGACAUUUUAAACUAAAUCGUGUUUCUAGGUUGCUUUCGAAGCUAGUAGUGCUUAUGUACACUUGGAAUCACCAUUUAUUACUAUUAAAUGGUUGGUCAAGUCCAUUAGAAUCAAAGUAGAGAAACAAGAUUAGCUACUAAACUGAAAGAAGUAAAGUUUAAGGAAGUUGACAGUAAAUUCUAUUGCACACCCGAGGUCUACUGUCGUUUUACACCAUCCUGGGUUCAGUUGGGUAAUUUGGGGCGGGGUGUGACAACAAUAAUCCGAUAACAUGUAUGUUAUUAAUACAAAACUUUAUCAGUUCAAAACUGAUAAACUUUCAAAUGGGAAUCUAGUUUUCUUUUUUUAUCAUUUGAUUGGAAUGUGUUUUAAGGGAGAUUUUUGUGUUGAAAAUUGCAGGCCUCAGACACCCCUUUCAAUCUGAAUGCUGAUGAUUUGGACCAGAGAAUCAAACAAAGAAUCACAGGGGAAAACAAGUACUUUGAUGGAAAAACAUUCUCAUCUGCCUCUACAUUAAGCAAAGCAGUUCGGAAGUCGUAAGUAGACGUUUUUUCCAUUUUGGUUUUGAUGGGAUUUAUUUGAAAACUUUGGAGAUGUUAAAGAUUGGAAACAAUUUACGCAGACUGGACAACGAGACGCAAGUGUACACGGAAGAAACAGCGAGGUUCAUAUAUGGAUAUGGAGCUGAAGCCUGCAAGCUCAACCAAGUCUGAUAGCUUUUGAUAAAGAGAGGGGAAAGAGAAGAAGAAAGAAAGGGCCCCUAAAUAAGAGACUAUAGGAAUCCAUCAUGUUAGCCUAGAAAUGAAACAAAAUCUCCUCUAGCCACUUUUUUUUUUGUUCCCUCCCUUUCUUUGUGUAUUGUUUUUUUUCUUUUUUUUUUUUAGUUUUGUUUUCUUAUUGUUUGUGUAGUGACUUUAAAGUUACAAAUAUAGUAGUAAUUAAAAGAGGGGCUUUUAGCUUAUAUAUUUAUUUAUUUUAUUAUUAUCCCACUUUUCACUCUUUCUUGGACAAACCCCAAAUAUAACAAAGAUUAUUAAUGGACACGAUAUGGAGAUGAAAUAGAAAUGAACUUUUAGGACCUCUUUGGUAGGUAUAUUGAAAACAAAAAAAGUUGAAUAAUUAAAACAAAAUUGACAAUGUAUUCAAAUUUUAGAUAUAAUGAAAUCACCACAAAUAUUAGUAUUAUUGUUUAUUGAACAAACUCUUUAGUUUUCAAGUUCUAAAAGUUUGUAUUUAUUUUUUUGGCUACUGUUUUCAGUAUACUUUCACAUUUCUUACAAACAUAUAUUUGAAUUCUUGACUAAAUUUAAAGGUUGAGUUUUUAACUAUUAGAUAUGUUAGAUAAGCAUUGUUUUUAUUUUUCUGAAAUUGUGUUUCUUUUUCACAAUCUUUAUAUAUUGAAUGGAUUUGCCAAAGUCCGAGAAAAAGAAACGGCUCCAUUAAUUAUUUUUUUUUUUAUCUCAUGGAGCUAUUUGAGAACAAUUAUUACGGAGAUAGAGAUCGCAGUCAACCAUUAUUAAACUACAAUUCAUCCAAAAUCUUAAACUAGUGGUUGAGAGUACCAAUAAGUGAAAAUCAAUUUUAAUUGAAUAGGAAACGACAAUGAAACUAGUAGCUAAAGAAAAAUUUAAUUAUAUACCUCACCAACACAGUCCAUUUUUUAACUAUCUUUUGUAUCUUCUCUAACGGUGAUCUCCUUUAAAAAAUUUACUUUUAUAUAUGUUUUUUAUCACACAUGGUUGUGAUUUUCUUAAAUAUUUCUAUAUACAUAUAUAUUUAUUUUGUAGAAAUGGAGCAUUCCAAGUGAGCUGUAAUUGAAACACGUGACUCGACUCGAGAUAGCAACGUGUAGGUGCAUAUCGAUUAAAGUUUCCUCGAUGCAUCGAUUGAAAUUUAAGUGUUUAAGAGUGAUUUUUAAAGGAUUAAAGUUUGCUUAAAAAAAUGUUAAUAGUUAUUUAAAAUCAAUACUUAAAGUCUAAAACUAAAAUUUAAAUAAUUAAAUGUAUGUUUCUAAAUAUUUCAAAAUGGCGAACUACACCCCAAAAAAUAUGAGAACAAAAAGUGAUUGACUUUAAUAAAUUCAUAUGCAAGAGACUUUAGUUAAACAAUUUUUUUUAAAAAAUUUUGCAACACUCUUGUAAACAACCUCAAGGGCCGAUCAUAGCUCAACACAAAUCUAAUCCUCAAGUAAUGAUUUUGAAAAAAACUUAAAUGUUAAACAAAAUUUAGAGUGAAGCCUAUGAUAUGGGAGAAUCUCUUGUUUCAAUAUAAGCUGUUUAGGAGAACCCGAACAUUCAUCUCGUGAAAGUUAUGUGUUACGAAAUAGUUAAUGAAAUUAAACAAAAUAACCCAAUUUACCUCAUAAGCAAGUCACAUACGCACAUACACAAAAAGAGAUCAAUUUCAUCACAGAAUUUUCUAGCAUGAUCACUAAAAACAACUGACAAAUUUACAUCUAACACACAAAUCAUAACUCCACAAGACAAAAUCAGAACAGAAGAUCAAGAACAUACACUUAUAAGAAUUAAUAUAAGAGAGUAUGAUUCAUAAUUGACAUCAUAAAGAAAAAGAGCAUAUAAGAACAUAAGAAAUUAAAUUUCUUACAAAUCAUACACUUGUUUUCCAGUGAACUUAACCUCAAUAGGGCUAACAUUCUUCCCGAUAGACCUGAAGUUCUGACCAACUCCUUCCCUUCCUGGAUUCACCUUCUCUGGAUAAACCCCAUCUUUAGGAUGCAAAUACUGAACUUCCCCAUUAGGAAAAACCCUAUAAAAUUGAUACUUAAUCUUAUACUUUGAUCUCAACCUUGUCCCCAAAGCCAAACACUGCUCUUUCCUUGCCAAUUUCAGCAGAUUCGGCCCUUCUCGCAUGAUCGCCGCGCCACCGGUCGGCAUCUCAAAGAUUUGCUCUUUAGGGGAUUCCCAUGUUAUGACAUAGAAUUCCUCCACUUGAGCCUUCCGGAGGAGUCCUCCGGUGCUGCCCGCGAAGAUCGGGGACGGGGUGCUGGGGUCGAGCUCGGGUGGGGAGAAUCCGGCCGGAGCCUCGACAGAAGUCUCGGCUUCGGCGGAGACCUUGAAAGAGCGGGAAGAGGAGGCGGCCUUGAGGUGGGGCUUGGAGGUGAGGAAGGAGAGAGUUGAGGAUUGCUUCCAUGGAAUGGAAAUGCCGGUGGAUUUGGGAGUGGAGAGAGAUGGGGUGAAGAGGGUGGCUUGAGUGGCCAUGGCCAUGGGAUUUGGAGCAGAGGAAGAGGAUUGGGAAUGGUGGAUUGAGAAUGGAGGAUUGAGGAAGAAUAAUAAGAAGAAUUGGAUUUGGGGUUUUUGUGUGGAUGAUGGGAAUUUGGAGAGUGGAUAAGAUGAUCUUUGGUUGGCCAAUUAGAAUGAGAGUUUUUGAUAUGGAGACCUCACCCACAGCUUUUAUUUCAUCUUCAGUUCAUUCCAACUCUGUUUUGUCAAAAUUGGAUUCAAUAUUGAUAUUUUAUUUUAAGUUCCAAACAAUAAAUGAAAAUACCUUUAGAUGCAAUCUUCAAAUAGAAAACACAAUUAUCUCUAAUCAUACCAUUUUCAAAUAAAGCCAUGAGAUUAUAUUAAAAAAGUGGCAAUAAUACUAAUGUGCACGCAAAAUGACUGCCAAACAUAAGCCAACCUAUUUCAAAACGUAUGUCAUCAACAAAAUCUAACUUAAACAAAUUCAAUAUAAUUAGACUCGAGAAAGAGUGUGGAGAGAAAAAAAAUACUUUUAAAGUAUUAACCUUUCGUAUGCGUUUGUGGGAGGGAAAGAGUUAUGCAAAAAAAAGAGUUAUGUGGAAAAAUUAUUAUAAUAAUUUAUUGUUAUGAUAAUAUGUAUCUGGGGUUAGGUUAUUUGAUUGUGUUAUGGUAAUAUGUGUUUUGGAGAAGAAAAAUGAAUAGCAGUGUUAUGAUUGUAUGAGUUUGAGGGAGAAAUUAUAACAGUAAUGUUAUGUUAAUAUAUGUAUGGGAGAUGGAUUAUUUUGAUAAUAUUAUGAUAAUAGGAAGUAUGGAAAUUUGCAUAGUGAUGAAAAAAUGGAAUAGAGAAAUUUACAGGGUUGGAAAAAAUGGAAUAGAGAAAUUUGUAGGGUUAUGGAACAUAGAGUAGAAAAAUUUAUAGGAUUAUUUAACCCUAAUUCCGAGUUUCGCAAAUCCUUAUUGGACCCAAACCCUUCUCUAAUCGCCUAAAUAUCCCCGGCCCAAACACACCCUUCUAGUUUAAAGUGUACGUUGAAGUUUUCAAUGUCUUACAACUAUUUUUGAACCGUAUUACAAAUUUACCUUAUUUUCUAUAAAAUUUUCAAAGUUUUAGACACACGAUUUUUUAAUAAAAAUUAUAUUUUAGAAAAUGCCACGUGUUUAGGCACUACUUGGGCUCAUUUUUCUUUUUUUUUUAAAAACUAAUUAUUAAAUCUAUUUCUUCCUUAUAACAAAUCCCAACUGUCUAUAGAUGGUUGCAUUAAAAAUCUCAAAAAAAUAAACCAAAAAUAACAAAAUCCAAACGAUAACAAAAUUUUAAAAUCACACUCUUUGUUAUAUAAUUAUAAAUAGAGAUCAGUGGCCAUGAGUAAAACGUUAGUGUUAAAAAAAAUGGGUUUUAGUAGAAGUUUUAUUUUAUUAAACUAUUUUCUCUUCAGUGUUGCCCUAUUUUCUUCUGCAAAGAAAAUUUCAGUUACUUAUGAUGGAAGAUCUUUGAAAAUAAAUGGAGAAAGAAAAAUUAUCAUUUCUGGUGCAAUCCAUUAUCCUCGUAGCAGUCCUGGAGUAAUUUUUCUCAUUUAUUAAUCUUUAUAUAUAUUUCAUUUACCUAAUUUAACUCUCUAUUUUUCUCAUAUACUUUAUUAAUUUUAGAUGUGGCCAAUGUUGAUGAAGAAAGCAAAAAAUGGUGGCCUUAAUGCAAUUGAAACCUACGUAUUUUGGAAUGCCCAUGAACCCCAACGUGGCCAAGUACUUUUUAUCUCAUUAUUUUUAAAUAUAUAUAUAUAAUGUGAAUUAUAAUUCAUUACAAUUUAAUGGAUUCAUUUCCCUUUUUAUUUUUCCUUUCAGUAUGAUUUUUCAGGAAAUAAUGAUCUAGUACAGUUUAUUAAAGCAGUACAAAAAGAAAGGCUUUAUGCUAUUCUAAGAAUCGGACCUUAUGUUUGUGCCGAGUGGAAUUACGGGUAAAUAUAUAUAAUUUACUUUAUUAUUAUUAUUAUUAUUAUUAUCACUCUUACUUAUUUGUAUUUAUUUCCUAAACUAAUUUAUUUUGAAAUUUCUUUACAGAGGGUUUCCUGUUUGGUUGCAUAAUCUUCCAGGCAUUAAGUUCAGGACCAAUAAUCAAGUUUAUAAGGUAACCUUUUUUCUUUUUUCUAACAAAAAAUCAUUUUUACUAAUUAUAAGUCUACAUGCUGAUAUUUUUUAAAAUCAAUUAUAACAAAAUUUAUUGUGAUUUUAGGAUGAAAUGGCAAAGUUCACUACAUUAAUAGUAAACAAAAUGAGGGAGAAUAAGCUAUUUGCAUCACAAGGAGGACCCAUCAUUGUUGCCCAGGUUUGUUUUGUAUUUUUAUUUUUUUUUUAAAAAAAAUCAUUUAAUUAUAUAUAUAUAUAUAUAUAUAUAUAUAUAUAUAUUAAAAAAAUUAAUAACAUGUUUUUAAAAAAUUAGAUUGAAAACGAGUUUGGAAAUGUGGAAGGAUCGUACGGACAAGAGGGAAAAGAAUAUGUGAAAUGGUGUGCUGAGUUAGCACAAUCUUACAACCUCAGUGAACCUUGGAUUAUGUGUCAACAAGGAGAUGCUCCUCAGCCCAUUGUAUGCAUUACCAUUACACUACCCCUUUCUCAAUGUGUUCUCUUUAUAAUAAUUAAAAACUGAUUUUGUUUCAUCUAUAUUUAUAAUUGACAGAUUAAUACAUGCAAUGGCUUUUACUGUGACCAAUUCAAACCCAACAACAAAAAUAGUCCUAAAAUGUGGACUGAGAGUUGGGCUGGCUGGUUUGUUCUUUGACCUUGACUUAUACGAAUAGUGAUGAUGGAAAUGCACUUCAAUAUUUUUCAGUAAAUAAUAACAAAAUUACUAACACUAGGUUCAAGGGUUGGGGAGAAAGAGAUCCAUAUAGAACGGCGGAAGAUCUUGCCUUUGCUGUUGCACGUUUUUUCCAAUAUGGUGGUUCCUUGCACAAUUACUAUAUGGUAGUUUCGUAAGAUCACUAAUUUCUUUUUCUUAAAAAGAAUCGUUUUUUCCAUUCCUUUUUACCUAAUUUCGUUUAAAUAUAUGUAUAGUAUCAUGGUGGAACGAACUUUGGUAGGAGUGCAGGAGGUCCUUACAUUACUACAUCUUACGAUUACAAUGCACCGCUGGAUGAAUAUGGUACAUUAUUAAUUGUAGAUUUUUUAUUUUGAAAAUGAGACCCAUUUAAUAAAAAUGGAAAUUAAACUUGAUUUAAAUAUUGUUAGGGAAUAUGAACCAGCCAAAAUGGGGACAUUUGAAGCAACUUCAUGAACUUAUCAGGUCUAUGGAGAAAGUUUUGACAUAUGGUGAUGUCAAGCACAUUGACACUGGUCAUUCGACAACGGUGAGUAUUUUAAAUAUAUUGUAGUUUGUGGUUUGGAAAAUUUGUUAAAGUUAUUGACUGUGUGGCCAAUAUUUUGUAACAGGCAACAUCUUAUACCUACAAAGGAAAAUCAAGUUGCUUCUUUGGAAAUCCUGAAAAUAGUGAUAGAGAAAUUACCUUUCAAGAAAGAAAGUACACUGUUCCUGGUUGGUCUGUCACUGUUCUUCCUGACUGCAAAACCGAAGUUUACAACACUGCUAAGGUAUAAACAAACUAAUCUGUUUGUUGAUUUUUAAAUUGAAAAUUGGCUGUUUGUUUGCCACUUUUCUGACUGUCAACCCAUACAUACAUUUUGGUUUUCUUAAAAAACAAACCAUAUCUUGGAUGGGUGAUGGGUUUGAGUUUUCUAUUUUAAAACUUUCUUUUUUGUUGCACCCCUAAUUAUUAUUAUAAAUUUGAUGUGUUCUUAUUAUUUCAUGAACAUUAGGUAAACACUCAAACAACAAUAAGAGAAAUGGUUCCGAGCUUAGUAGGAAAACACAAAAAACCAUUGAAAUGGCAAUGGAGAAAUGAGAAAAUUGAGCAUCUUACACAUGAAGGCGAUAUAUCAGGAAGUGCUAUCACUGCCAAUAGCCUUAUUGAUCAAAAGAUGGUCACAAAUGAUAGCAGUGAUUAUUUGUGGUACCUCACCGGGUAAUUUUAACUACUUUAAUUUCCCCUUUUUUAAUUUUUCAUAACCAUAGAAACUAAAAUUAGGUAUAAUAAUCACAUUUUAAUCCCUUUUGGCCCCUCAUUUUUCAGAUUCCAUCUAAAUGGAAACGAUCCACUCUUCGGCAAACGUGUAACAUUACGUGUUAAGACUCGUGGCCAUAUACUUCAUGCCUUCGUCAACAAUAAACAUAUUGGUAAUAAAUUCACUAUAAUCAUUCUCAAGUAAUCUACUAAACUUUAUAGUAAAAAGUUCAUACAAUGUUACUUUUUUUUUUCAGGGACACAGUUCGGUCCAUAUGGUAAAUAUAGUUUCACAUUAGAGAAGAAAGUAAGGAAUCUACGGCAUGGAUUCAAUCAAAUUGCCCUAUUAAGUGCCACCGUUGGAUUACCUGUAAGUACUUUUAAAUAAAUUAAACUAAAUUAAGUUUGCUAAAAUACCCCUCUUGAUAUAUAUGAAAUUUUUACACAAAUGCAGAAUUAUGGAGCAUACUAUGAAAAUGUUGAGGUGGGAAUUUAUGGGCCUGUUGAAUUGAUUGCUGAUGGAAAAACCAUAAGGGAUUUAUCAACUAAUGAAUGGAUUUACAAAGUUGGUUUGGAUGGUGAAAAAUAUGAGUUUUUUGAUCCUGACCAUAAAUUUAGAAAGCCAUGGCUAUCUAACAAUCUCCCAUUAAAUCAAAAUUUCACUUGGUAUAAGGUAAAAGGAAAAACUCCACCCUGGCCCUCGACUAAUUUAAUUUUAGAAGUUUUAUAAUAUGAUUGAUUUUGAUUAUAUAUUAUAAUGUUUUUGAUAUAUAUAUAUAGACUAGUUUUUCAACUCCUAAAGGACGUGAAGGAGUGGUAGUGGAUUUAAUGGGUAUGGGAAAAGGUCAAGCUUGGGUUAAUGGAAAAAGUAUUGGAAGAUAUUGGCCAAGUUAUCUUGCUACUGAAAAUGGUUGUUCUUCAAGUUGUGACUACCGUGGGGCUUAUUAUGGUAGUAAGUGUGCUACUAACUGUGGAAAGCCGACUCAAAGAUGGUAAGCGUAUUUUGUAUGUGCAAUUGAUUAAUUCAUUGAUGAACUCAAAAACUUAUAUAAGUUUGAUUAUUAUUAGGUAUCAUAUUCCGAGGUCGUAUAUGAACGACGGAAAAGAAAACACUUUGAUUUUGUUCGAGGAAUUUGGUGGGAUGCCAUUGAAUAUAGAAAUUAAAACAACGAGGGUGAAGAAAGUUUGUGCAAAGGUUGACUUGGGAAGCAAACUGGAGUUAACAUGCCAUGAUAGGACUGUCAAAAGAAUUAUUUUUGUGGGAUUUGGGAACCCUAAGGGCAAUUGUAACAACUUCCAUAAGGGUAGCUGUCAUUCGUCAGAAGCCUUCUCAGUUAUUGAAAAGGUUAAAUUUAAAAUGUUUUUCAAAAAAUACUUUAUUGCUAUUACCAUUGUUCUUAUUAUUAUUUUGAUUAUUAUUUUCUUUUGAUUUACACAGGAAUGUCUUUGGAAAAGGAAAUGUUCAAUUGAGGUUACAAAAGAUAAACUUGGACUUACUGGUUGCAAGAAUCCCAAAGAUAAUUGGCUUGCUGUUCAAGUUAGUUGUUAGGGAUGUUUAUUAGUUAGGUUUUUAGAGUUGCCAUUCAGUUAGUUAAUCUCUCCUAAUUUAUGUAAGUUAGAACUAAGCUUUUCUAAGCUUAGAUGGUUAGGUUUAAUAUAAUAAUUUCAAGUAAUUUUAUUCUAUGUUAAUAUAGUUAAAUUCAUUUCUCUUUUUUUCUUCCCUUUUUUCCUUAAACCCACUCCCCCACAUAUCUUAUUAUCAACUCAUAGGGUAUCCCUUAAUUGAAUUGGAGUUCAACCACGUAAAAAAAUAGCUUUAGAGUUAAUAUUGAAGUGAGCAUUCUGACUUGCAAAGUAAAUGUAGAGUUCUAAGUAUGUUCUUUAUAAUUUUUGACCAACUAAUCGCUUCGGUUAUGGAUUUUUGUAAAAGUUUACACGGAUCGCUUUGGUCGGCCAUGAAUAUAUUUGAAAUUUGAAACCAACUGGCUGAAUAAGAUUUUUGUAGAGGUGACAAAUAUUGAAUGACUAAAACCUACAAGAAUCAAUAACGAAUUAAACCUACUUGCUUAUCAUCCUACCAGUGUCUUUUUUGGGGUUUUAUCAAACCAAAUUCCAACAAGGUCGAGAUUGUUGGAAAGACUAUGGAAACCGAAGGCAAAAUCUCCAGAUGGAGAAAGCCAAGAAUGGUUAGUCCUUGUGGAGUAUAGUAUUCAGAUGGAGUUGAAGAUCAUCAAGUUCUGAAAAUUUGGUUUGAAUUUGAAAUAAAGAGUAUUUAAAAGCUGCAUUUGCCAUGGCAUCAUUUUGAUUGGAUUGGAUACAGCAAAAUUUUGACUUGUAAGUCAACAAGAAAGUUCUCGAAAAAUCAAGGAGAAAGAAGAAAGAAGAAAAGUCAUGGAUGACUUUUGAAUUUGAGAGUGUAGAAAGCAAUUAAGGAUAAAUCCAACCAAACAAUUGUGUUACGUAAAAUACUUCUACAAGACAGAUACUUACAAGAAAAGUCACCGGUGUUGCUACCUUGUGGAUUUUCAUUAUAUUCCUCAUGUGUAAUGAAGUGGCUCAUAAGCUUGCUCGUUAAACAAAUAAGCUUACCACACUUGAAAAAGUGUAUCAUCUAGCUGAUUCAAUAAGCUACUUCCAUAAUAUACAAGCUAACGUGUUUGCAUCGACUUAUUAAGUAUACGCAAAAGCACUUUUUAAAAGCUUAAAAAGUUCAUCUCCUUGUACAAAUAUCAUACAUGAUUUUGUCCCUAGCAAAGAUGGAACAUUAAAAUUCAUAGCUUCCCAAUCUUAUGUUUCUAAUCUUAAGCUACACACGACACCCUUUGUGCAUGGCAACCGGAGGGUUAUUGCUUUGUCCUCAUUCGCUCUUCUAUCUCUGUUGGUGGGGGUGAGAGUUCUAUUUCUGUUUAGUUCUCGGAUUGGUUCCCCUCAAAUUUUGUUUCCUAGGUUUCUAAAUUUCUGAUCUUAAGCUAUACACUACAUCUUUUGUGCAUGGCAACCGGAGGGGUUGCUUUGUCCUCAUUCGUUCUUCUAUCUCUGUUGGUGAGGGGUUGGAGGUUCUGUUUCUAUUUCGAUCCAGUAUUGGUUCCCCUCAACUUUGUUUAGGGGGCUAUGUUGCUGGUUGGCUGUUGCUAUACACUGUACACCCAUACUCUUUUGAAACUUGUCUCUAGCUAAUCUGAGUGGAUAUUACAUCAUAAUUACUUAAUCAAUACUAAUUAAAACAUUUAACCAUGCAAUUGUAAAUAAUUAUCUGUUUCAACCAAAAGAGGGAUUCUCACUUCAAUACUUUCUUCUACCAUUGUUGUCCUUUCAAAACUUCUAGACUCCUUCAUUGCUUUAGAAUCAUGGCUUAUUAAAUCUCUCAUUCUUUCUGAUCUCACACAACUUACAACCCAAUCCACAAGCGUUGUUGCAUCAUCAUCUCCUUCUGUUUCUUCUUCAACAUGCAUUCUACAAAAUAUGGUCUCUAACAGCAUUACUCCAAAGCUAUAAACAUCUACUAUUUUUUGUAAUUGCUGCAUUCUUCAGCCCUUUUGGCAUCAUAAAUCCCAUUGUUCCUCUUAUCAUUAUUGUGGCUAUCCGUAUCUGGUUUUUCUUCAUAAGUUUCGCUCUAAGUCGAAAUUCGAGAUUUUCGCUGUGAAAUUUUUCGUCAAGGAGAAUCUUUUGUGGCUUGAUAUCACAAUGGAUGAUAUGGGUCUCGUACUCUUCAUGUAGAUAUAACAACCAUUUUGCUCUGUUCUCCCAUUUAGCCUUUUGAAUAUCUCUCUCUUCAAAUAGGAAAUUUGAUAGAGGACCAUUUUUCAUUAGCUCAUAAACCAAUAACCGAUGAUCUCCUUCAUUAGUUAUAAAUACAAUAAAAGAAAAUUUGGCUACUUCCUUUGUCAAUGAACAGUCAAAGCUGCUGACUUUUCUUGCUUGGAUUAGAAAAAUACAUGAACUUGAUGUUUCGUCUUAAUGUUAUGCCUUUAACCCAAGAAAAGAACAAUUAUCAAUGAUAUAAAUUAAUAAUCAAAUAUCAACAUUUAUCUUACAAGUGUAGUUGAGUCAAAGUCAAAUUAAUAAUUUGGUCUCGUGAUAUAAGUUUAGGUCUUUAUCAAAUUUGAGUUUUCUUUGUUAGAAAGUUAUAUGUUAUUUAUUAUAAAUAAAAGUUUCACUACAAGAAGAGUGGUCUACGACGAUAGUUGUUUUCUGUUGCGAAUAAAAUCCGUGACAUUUAUUUACAGUCAUGGAAAGUCAUUAACUACUAUUUUAUGACAACAAAUAACUGUCAUAUUUGAUAUUACGACAACAAAUAACUUCAUCAUUUGCGUAUUAACGACAGUUUAAAAAUGUCGCAAAUUCGUUUCUUAUGACUUUUUUUAAAUGUCAAGGAUAUGUCAACCGUGACAGGUUUUUAGAAAUUAAAUGACAUUGUUUUGCUAUUGACGACAUUUUUUUCUGACAAUUUUUUUUAUAAAACAAAUGUCAUUGUUUUAAUAUUGACGAUAAUUAUGGAGUAUAACGAAUUCAUAAAUUAUGACAUUUAUCUCAUGUUGCAAAUUCUUCAACUACUACCGUUUUUCCUAUUCUCCUUGUCGAACCAUUUGAACGACAAUAAUGUUAUAAUACAUAACACUCAUAUAGAAACAAAUGGUUGACACUUUAAUAUAUACACACUAUAAUACACUUUGUAAUAUUCGUACAUUUCCAAUCAAGUUUGAACAAUUUACAAGUAUAGAAUUACAACCCUUAAUCAAAACUAGUGUAAAUACCAUCAUAAUACAUAUAACAUAAUUUUUUGUACAAGCAUAAACAACCAACCGGUAAUCCUUCACCUUUGAAAACAUUCUUUGUUGUUUGAACCAUGGUCGAAUUCUUCAUUUCUAAAAAAAUCAAAAAGUGUUAUAUAAAACAAUUUCUCCAAGUUGGAUUCAUUGCUCCAAUAGAUUCUUCCAAACCUAGUAAGAAAACAAAAUCUCAUUUUAGAAUAUGUCUAAAGAAUAUCUCAACCCUUCAUUCCAGCCCCCUCCCAACACAAUAAAAAACAGUGAAAAUGGCACACACAUAACAUGUCUUUAGCCAAUAGGAAAAUUGAAAAAAAGACUACUACCAUAACUGCAUGAUAGUCAUAACACUUCAUGUAUUUAGGCUCAAGAACUACCAGAACACCCCCAAAAAAGUAAACUCACACCCACACACUAAGAGAGAGAACCUGGAAUUCUUUGAAGAUGAGGAUAUGUUAACAAGUCUUUUUAUUAGUUAACAAUCAUAUGUCAUAAUUAGAUAUGACGAAGAACAAUAUACCAUAUGAAUGAAACAAAAUAGUAAAAGAUGUUAUAAUGAAUUGCUCUUGUGAAAUUCCAAAUGUUGAUCAUAAAGUAAUGUUUAUAGUUCUCUUGUCCAAUUGGAACUCUGUGGUUACAACAACACGGUGGAAUGAAUAACAAGGAAGCACAUUCUUUUUAACUUAGCAAUCAAUUAAAGAAAAAUAUAUCUCAAAUGGUUUAAUUGAAAAAAAAGUGUGGAGGACAGAAGGAAAGAGAAAAGCAUACCUUGUAACCAUCUCCUAUAAGCAAAUCUAACUCAGAACAUGCAAUUACUUAUAGUAAAAAUCAGUUUUUAAAAUUGAAAAUGUUGCUAGGUUGCAUCUCAACAAAUCAAAGUGCAAGAUUAUUCAAUAACAAAGCACAUAAGACAACAUAGCAAUAGAUUGUCAAACAAAAACUACAUAAUAUGUUCAAGUACAACUGCAUUUACUAAACCUUCCUACAAACCAAACGUGAAAAUGACUAGAAACAAAAGAUAUAUCAAAUUUAAAGUAGAACCAUGGACCAAAGUCCAAUGUGAAAAUGUACAAAACUAUUCAAAAAUGGAGAUAAUAAUUAGGGUUAAGAAGAAACAAAGAGCAAAGGAGAAAGAAAGAACCCGUAUUUUCCCUUGCGGCUACUGCAACUACACAAGGUGGAUGAAAACAUGGUGGGAUUUGGAAAUCGUUGCUCAAUUGAGUGCAAUAUAAAUAACGUGUGUCUAAAUGAUAAAAUUAUAAACAUACAUAAUACAUAUAUAUUUCAAAAGAAAGAUGUGAUUAAAGUACAUACCAAAAGAUAGACAAUGACCAAUUGGUCUAAAGUUUAACAAUGAGGCUUCAGUGAACUAUACCUUGAGGAUAAACCCAAUGAAAAAUGAAUCAAGAGGAUAAACCUAAUGAAAAAUGAAUCAAAGUAUAUGACAAAUCCCAACAGAAAAUCAACAAAUGAUAAAAAAAAUGUAUAUUUUUCUCCUAGCAGUAAGAACACUAAAAUCAUGAAAUAAUUGACAUGUAAUUUGACAAUUUGGAGGUCAUAAUGGAAUAUUUUGCCCAGAUCAAUUAAACAUGAGUCACAUAUGUGAAAUUUGUAUAAUAUUGGCAACUGACCUUAGAGAUUGAGAACUAGCAAGGUCACCUCAAUAAUUGUCACUAAACCCAAACUGUGUUAUCAACAUCAAAACAUACUACAUUUGCACUUCUCCACCGUUCCAACACCUUCGAUAUUUUAAGAGUAAAGUUUAACAUCACUAACCAAAAAAGAGAUAUGAAAGAAUAUUUACCAACAUUAGGUUAAUUAACUCAGCGGCAAUCUAAGAAAAGAUAUCAACCAAAUACUUAACAAGUGGAAGAGAGAAAGAUAAGAUAAUUACAUUGCUGCAAUGAAGAUAUGCUACAAAAAGGGUCAUAUAGAAAGAGAUAUACAGUCAUUGAUGGAGAUUUAGGAGAAAAUUUACAUGAUAUACUGCCUAUAAAUAGAAAUGUUAUAUGCUUAAAAAACUGUUUGUUACAACAAUGGCUCUUGCUCAAAAUUUAUCAUUUGUGCAUAGUAAGAUGGUACUAUUACAAAAUUUAUCACAACAACUUCAAGUCAUUUCCAGUAUGUACACUUUAGGAUGAAAAUAUAAAGUGCAACUCUCAUACAUAAAUAUAUUCCAAAUACUAGUUUUCUCACCUCCUCGAUCAAAGUUUUUUUCUUCUAUAUAUAUCUAGAAUUGAAUAAUAUGCAAACUAGCUCAAAUUUUCCAUUCUAUGCUUCUUAUAAAAUAUGAUAUUCAUAAAAAUGAUAAACAAUGGACAUUUCAAUAUAUUAAACAGUCAAAAGAAACCUAUCUAAACAAUGGCUCCAUGAAUAUAAACAGUAAAAAAGAACCUAUCUAAACAAGGGCUCCAUAGACUUUUAUACUGUCAAAUGAUAUUAAACAAAUUGGUUAGACUUAUGCCUCAAUAGUUAUGCAAAAAGAAGAUGAACAUUUUAGUGUUACCAAGUCUUUGUGAGUUGGACAUUAGAUAUGUAUUGAAGAACAUUUUGGUAAGCUAAUAAACAAUAGACACAUACAUAUCCGAGACAAAUACAAAUACAAGAACUUUGAGAAAUACAUUGAACUCAUUUCUCAAGGCAUGAGCUCAUUGACUUUUCUAGUAUUAAGUUCUAUAUAUCACUAUUAUUGUUGUUUCAUUUUGUUUGAUAAUUUGCUAGACUCCAAAAAUCAAUGACUUCAUCACCUUCAACAAAUAAAGGUUCACAAAGUCCAAGUAUAAGUAUCAACUCCAAUUGUAAGCCCAAUUUCAAGUCCAACUCCACACUCAACUCCAUUUUAAAACCCAAUUUCAACUUCAUACUCUUCAAUUGAUGACAAUUUGAUUGUUGAUUAUUAUUUUUGUUCUCGUUGAAAGUAUUGGAAUGAUCUUUAAAGAAGAUAUUGACAUUGGUUGUUUUGAGAUCACCCCCAAGUUGUAAAAUUAGGGUGAUACAUUUAGGUUUAAUAGCAAAUGUCUUACCUCACAAAUAUCAUGCAAUUACGAUACAACUCAAUAGCAACCAUAAACAAAAUAUCAAUAGAAAAAUCAAAAGUACUCAAAUUCACUUGGAAAACGCAUAGACAAACAAAAAGACUCUACAAACCAUCAACGUUUAAAAUCUCACAUUUCAUUUUUCAUUCUCUUUUUCUCAAAGCUUCAGCCCAUAGCCAUGAAAUCUUCCUUGGCCUUGAUUUCCUAAUUCGAACGAACAAAAAUCAAUUAAAAAUCAACCAAAUGCUUCAUUGAGGCAUUUCAUCAAACACAUGGUAAGCUACCAAAAUCCUUCAUCACAUAGUCAACCAUAAAGAAAAAAAUGUAGAUUCAAAUUAGAAAAACAAUCGUAAACAACAAUAUUGAAUAGGAUGGUAGACAAAACAAACACAUAUCUCCUAUAAAAGCAAAAGUACGAGGGAUGUUUUUCAUAAAAAGAACCAUCAAUAUAUCCCAUUGUGGGUAAAGUGAAAGCAUUUGAAGUUAAUAUGCUGUAUAAAUACAAGCAAUAGAAAUAAUGGUUGAGAUUCAUCAGUGAGUUAAGCGGUGCAAGGGAUGUUGGGUGGUGGCGUCGGCUGAAAGAGAGAAAGAGGGGGAUUUCGGGUGUCGUUGACAAAAAGUCUCGUCGUUUUCGGCAUGAGAGAGGGAGAGAGAUGGUUAGUGGAAGGGAGGAAAAAUUGAGGAGGGGCGACAUGUGGAUCUUCCACAAAGAAGAAGAAAAAAAAGAAGAAGAAGAGAUGAAGAAGAGAAGAAGAGAAGAAGAGGAGAAGAAGAAGAGGAAGAGGAGGAGGUAGAGAAACGGGUUUUGGAGAUGUUUUUAUUUUAAUAAAUAAAUUAUUUAAUGAUUUUAGAAUUACAAAAAAUCUAAUUUUAAUAAACUUUUUAUUUAAAAUAAUUUUAUUUUAAUAAAUUAAAUAAAUUAUUUUUUGUAUCUUUUAUGAAAAAUUCUGUAUUUUAUCGCCAAAAAUGACUGUUUUUUAACUUUUGUGAUAAUUUUUUAUUUCCUCCUUUCAAUUUGGGAUGUAUACAACUAUCAUAGUAGAUAGUUUUUCCAAUUUGUUUCACCUUUAUCAUCGAUAAAUAAUAGUUAUAGUAAAUUUAAAUAAAUAAAUUAUAAAUGAUAAUAGACUGUGAACACAAAACAUUUCUCUAAUGAAAUGUAUAAUAUAAUAUUAGAUUCAAAAAGAACACUUCCUCUCUUCAACCACAUUAUCCAUAAAUCUCUUCCAAAACCAAUGUUGCUUCCACACUCUUUCAGUCAUCUCUUCGAUGGGAAUACCGUUUGUCUCUGGCACCAACAAGUACACAAACAAUGACAUUACAAUCACACAACAAGAGAAAAAUAAGAAUAUCCAAUAUUUCAUAUAACACAACAUGGACAGAAAAGAUUGAGCUAUCAUAAAAGUAAACAUCAUAUUCACACAAACAGCCACACUCUGUCCACUUGAUCGUGUCUCCAAUGGAAAGAUUUCACUGGGUAUCAACCAUCCAAGAGGUCCCCAAGACCAAGCAUACGAUGAAACAAAAGUGCAUACCAUCAACACCACCAAAAUCGCCAACCCUUGUGAUAGAUUAUUAGAGUUGUCUUGGAGUUCUAAUCCCAGCACAAUUGCAAUGAUGGUUUGAGAGACGAACAUCUGAACUCCAGCUUCUAGCAACAGGAUUCUUCGACCGACCUUAUCCACCAUGUAAAUGGAGACUAAUGUAGAAAUGGCAUUAACGAUCCCUGUUAUCGCAGAGGAGUAUAAAGACGCAUCGUUGCCGAAACCCAACGUGUUGAACAGAACUGGAGCAUAGAACAUAAUUGCGUUCAUUCCCGUGAGUUGUUGACAAACUUGAAAGAGUACGGCAAUGACUAAUGGAGGUCGAUUUUGGCGAGCAAAAAGUAUUCCAAAAGGAUUUUUUAUUGCUCCAGCGGUGCGACUUGCUUCCACAAUCUCCAAAUACUCUGACUCGAUCUUGUCAGUGCCUCUAAUUUUGCUUAGAACCAAUUUUCCUUUCUCUAAAUAGCCCCGUUGAAUCAAACUGUUUGGAGUAUCAUCAAUUGAGAUUGCUCCAAUGGUUAAUAGCAUCGCCGGAACCCCAGCCAAUGCCAUUGAUAGCCUCCAUCCCCAUCCCCAUUGAAUCCUAAUAUUUCAGCCUUGGGGGUUUGUUAGCAAUUACACAAACUUGAGAAAAUGAAACACUUCAUGUUUAAACUUACUUGGAUGUGCCAUAAUUGACAAGGUUAGCAAACAUAAUCCCAACUGUAAUAUCAAAUUGAAACAACAUAUUCAAAGCUCCUCGCAUCCUCGCCGGCGCUAUCUCCGAAAGAAACAACGGCACCGCCUAUCAACAACCAAAAGAAGAAAAAACAUGAUUUCAAAUGUAUCAAAAAAUAAAAAGAAAAAACAUAAUCUGUCUCCACAAAUUCCAAGAAAUUUCUAACCUGAUUUGCAAAUCCAACUCCACAACCCAAACAAAUUCUUCCUAAAAUGAGCAUACAAAGUGUAAUGGCGGUAGCAUUUAACAUAGUUCCAACAAUGAAGAAAAUCCCAGCAAUCACCAUUGUCUGUUUCCGACCCAAAACUCUUGAUGUGAAAGAUGCUAUUAAUGUUGCUAUUAAAGCAGCAAUAUAAAGUGAUGAUGUGAACAUUUGUAACUCUCCAUUGUCGUAUUUACAAUAAUUGUUGUCGUCUCCCUUUUUGUUUUGUGUUCUUUCGUACACUACUGGAAAAAACUCUUUAAGAAAUGAAGGCAUUGACACCACUCCCCCUGCACCAAAACAUUCGUUAAAUCAUCCACUAACCUAAAAGUUUAAGUUGAAAAAUAAUGACACCAUCGCUCACCAGAAAUCCCGAGGUCGUAGCCAAACAUGAGGCCUCCGGUGGCGGCCAUUAUGCAAGAACUGAGGACCACCGGAGUUACCUUGGCUUCAAACUCAACUUUGGACGUAGCCACCGCAUACUUUACGGUCGUAGUCAUCGUCGUUGAGUAUAUAAUCCUUUGAUAUUGGCAAUUGAUAUAUAAGUGUGAAGAACCAAGGAUGUAUUGAAUUGGGAGCGUUACAACUUUUUUAUUUUACUAAAUUUGAGAAGUGAAUUUGGCUAAGAAUGGAUUUGACAACUGUCUGUACAGAGUCAUAGACAGCUGAAAUGAAAUCGUUCAAUUUCUUGUUCAUAUAUAUAUAUAUAUAUAUAUGAGAAAUUCAAAAUAUAAUCCAAUAUUUGCAACCAUGACCUCAAUUUUUUAAUUUGAAAUUCAUUCUAACAUUUUUUUUAUUGGUUUAUAGGUGUUAGAUUCACUUCAUUAUUGGAUUUAUUGAGUUUUAGAUUCUCUUAAGAAGCCACAAUAGGCAAAAAAAAAAAAAAAAAAAAAACCCUCUUUAUUAAAGUUGUAUUGUUUUUUUUUUUUUUUCAAUUUCCAAUAAAAACAUAAACCAUAUUUUAAAGGUGAUUAUCGAUUUUAUUUAAUAAUAAUCAAAUGACUAUGUUUGUUUGAGUGAAUAACUUUAUUUGUUUAAGUAUUUUCAAUAUUUUACUUAGUCUAUACCAAUUUGAAGGCGGAACGUACACAUACCCGCUGUACUCUGUUCUAAGGGGUUGAUAUGUUUUCUAUCGGAGAUUCCCUCAUUUUUCCUCUAAUUACAACUCUAAUAAAAUAAAUUAUACUUCAAGUCCUUUUAAGAGUUUAAUAUUUGCAGUGUUACUGACUAACCAUAAAUAGAUAGACAGAAAAGCUCAACAUUGUUAAUUCCCUCAGAUAGGGAUGAUGACACAUUUUCUAAUUUUCCCCAACUGUUGAUGAGGUAGAAGAAGAGGUCGAGGAGGUUGGUUGCUUUGGGCUUUUGAUCCAAGCUAUUGUUCCCUCCCGGGAGGACUACAAGUCAGUAGUAUGCUCUCCUUCCAUCAAAUGAAAAGGGUCGACCUUAUUCCUUGGUUGGUCAAGGAUGAGACUGAGCAUGAGUUCCCAAGAUCCCAUCUUCUUAUGAUUCGAGUCCUAUGGUCAGAGUGAGUUUUGUUUCAUUGUGCAUCUUGACAUUUUCUUGAGUGGGAUAGUUUUGUGUACUCCAUGAAGGCGAUUACAUCCUUGUCCCAUAAAGCACAAUGGAUGAAAUGUGGCUUUAUAUUUUAUUCAUUAAUCUCAUAUGUUGUACUCGACAUCUUACCAAAACAAGAAAGAAGGAUAAAGGAAAAAGAAAAAGACUACAGGAGGUAAUAAUCAUGUCUACAAUUCGAAACCAGUAAGCAAAUGAACACUAACAAAUUAAAUUUUCUCGGUUCUACUGUCUCACCCCACAACCAUAAUUGGCCAACAAAAUAAAGGCAAGAGAGAACAAUUGUAAAAUAAUAAAUUAGAGCCAAAAAGAACAAAAAAAAUCAAGCUGAAGCCUUUCCUUUCUCAGCCACAUCAGUCAUGUAUCUCUUCCAAAACCAAUGUUGCUUCCAAACUUUGUCAGUCAUUUCUUCAAUUGGAAUCCCUUUAGUCUCCGGCAGCAAAAACAUCACGAACAACGACAUUACCACCACCCAACCAGAGAAGAACAAGAAGAUCCCAUACUUCAUAUAGCACAGCAUCGACAAGAAAGAUUGUGCUAUCACGAAAGUGAAGACCAUAUUCACACAGACGGUUACACUUUGUCCAGCUGAUCGUGUCUCCAAUGGAAAAGUUUCACUCGGAAUCAACCAUCCAAGUGGACCAAAAGACCAAGCGAAAGACGAAACAAAACUGCAAACCAUGACUACCACUACAAUCGCCAACCCAUGUGACAUGCUGUUUGUGUUGUCUUGAAGUUUUACGCCAAGCACCACCGCGAUAAUCAUUUGGGAAAUGAACAUUUGAACUCCAGCUUCUAAUAACAACAUUCGUCGUCCGAUCUUGUCGACAAAGUAAAUCGAUACCAAUGUAGAAAGGACAUUAACAGCGCCAGUUAUGACAGCAGAGUAGAGAGAUGCAUCGUUGCCAAAGCCUAAGGUGUUGAAUAAAACUGGAGCGUAGAACAUAAUGGCAUUGAUGCCGGUGAACUGUUGAAAGAUUUGCAACCAUAUGGCAAUGACUAAAGGUGGCCGAUUCUGGCGCAUUUUGAGGUUUCUGAAAGGAUGUUUCACUUCUUGAGCAAUGCGACUUGCUUCCAAGAUCUCCAAAUACUCUGGCUCAACAUUCUCUGUUCCUCUUAUUUUCUUCAAUACUGCUUUUCCUUCCUCCAAAUGACCACGUUCGAUCAAACUAUUUGGAGUAUCAUCAACCAUGAGUGCUCCAAUAGUUAAUAGCAAUGCCGGAAUGCCAGCCAAUGCUAGCGAUACCCUCCAUCCCCAUCCUCCUUCAAUUCUGUCGUAUCAGUUGAAAAUUCUUAAUUUUACUAUUCAUACACAUUUGAAAUAGAGAGAAUUUUUUUAAAUUUGCUUACUUGGAUGUGCCGUAAUUGAUAAGAUUUGCGAACAAUAUCCCAACAGUGAUAUCGAAUUGAAAAAGGAUAUUCAAAGCUCCACGAAUUCUCGUCGGCGCUAUCUCCGAUAGAAACAAAGGCACAGCCUGUUUUGCAGCAUUAGGAGUAAGAACAGAGCGAACAGAGCAAAGCAGAGUAGAAACAUAGCAGAGUGAUGAAUGAAAAUAAACCUGGUUGGCAAAUCCAACUCCACAACCCAGAGAGAUUCUUCCAAGAAUGAGCAUGAGGAGGUUAACAGCGGCGGCGUUCAAAAUGGUUCCGACGAUGAAGAAAACUCCGGCGAUGAGCAUGGUCUUCUUCCGUCCAAGGACUCUAGUGGUGUAAGAAGCGAAGAAUGUGGCUAUUAACGCCGCAAGAUAAAGAGAAGAUGUGAACAAUUGUAAGCUUUCAUUGUUGUAUUUACAGUAAUUGCUGUCGUCGGCCACAUGCUGUUGAGUUCUCUUGUACACAACCGGAAAGAACUCCUCUAAGAAUGAAGGCAUCGACGUCACUCCCCCUGUUUUGACAUGUGGAAUUUCCCACGAGGAAAAGCAAUAAUAAAAUUAGCAAUUUUUGUUUAUCAAAAGUUUUCCUUUUUAGUUUGAUUGAAUUUCUUAUCAAGAAUAAUAAUAGAAUGAUUCCAUGUAAAAUAUCAAAUAGUUAUUAAACUAGACCUGAAAUUCCAACGUCAUAGCCAAACAUUAGUCCUCCGGAGGCAGCCAUCAUACAAGAAAUAAUAACCACCGGAGUUAUCUUGGCCUCGAACUCGACUCCCGAGGAGGAAGUCACAGCAAAUCCUGCUGCAGGCAUAACUAAUAAAAUUUAGUACUACCCUUUUCUCUUUUUUUGGUGGAGGAUUGGAUUGAACUGAAGAAAGUGAUUGAUUGUUAAAAUAUGGGAAGUGAUUUGAAUAUAUUUAUAGAGAGGAAAAAUAAUGAAGAAUGGGAGAGUUUAAUUGUUUAAGUCCUAAAUUUGAUGGUAAAAUAAUGGAGAAAGCAACCGUUUCAAAAACAUAUUAAGAUCCAAUAUCUUUAUUAUUAUCAUGUUCAUUUUUUUAAAUGGGAAAUGGAGACUAUAUUUAGUAAAAUUAAUUAUGAUAUUUAAGAGUGAGAGUAAAUGGAUUUGUGUAUAAGAUGACUUGGACAAACUUUUAUCCAUAUCCAUAAUUUAAUGCCAAAUGAAACGUUCCAGUAUUCAAAUUUGACCAAGUUUGUUUAGGAUUUAAGGAAUCAUUCUGUUUCUCUUGCAUAUAAAAUGGAAAAUAAUAUGUGAACACAUUAUUCUUUUACUAUUUAAAAGCUCUUUAAUAUAUAUAUAUAUAUAUUUUUUUUUUUUUUCUUUUUGUUUCUCAUUAAUUUUUUUACCAUUUAAAAAGUUCUUAUUUUGUUCUUAUAACUUACCUAAUAUUAAAAUAUCCAUGUAUCAUCUAACUUCAAUUUUGUUACAUCACCUAAUAGUUAAUUUUCUUUAAAAGAAUGUAUUAUUGUAGCCUCUUAAUUGGCUAUAUGCACUUUUAUAGAGAUUAAAAAAAUGGGUUUUGAAGUUUAAAAUUAUGUUUGUUUUUCUCAUUAGUGGUGUUUGGGGCUUCUUCUUUUGCAGCUUAGGUCCAACGUUGCAAAUUUGAAACUCAAGCUUAUGCAUUCUUUUGUUAUUUAUUUCUUUUCUUUCUUUUGUAGUUAAAUAUACGUAAGUUUCUUCGGAAAAUUAUAUCUAACAAAUAUAAAAAAGAUUUUUUUUCUCAAACUCUUAUUUGUUAAAAAAAAAGGUUAAGAUUUAGGUAGACAAAUAUAUCAAAUAUAAACAUGCAGGGAAGACAAAUCUAAACAACCAAAUAUAUUGUCCUAAGUGCUAAUUAAUCACACUACAUAGCUAUUUUUUUAUUGAGGCUUUUUUGUUUUCAAAAUUUUUCUAAAAUAUUACAAAAAUUUAAAAUUUUAUUGGCUCCCUUUUUAGCCUGACAUAUACUCUUACUGCUUUGAAUAGAGAAACUAUAUGCAAUUAUGCCUAAGCAUUCAUGUUGUAACAUUUACGUAAACCUAUACGCUUUCAGUUCUAGAAAAUACCAAUAUUAAAAGAAAUUGUAUUCUUGUUUAGAUUUAAGAAUUAAAUAGACAUAACUUCCAAUGCGCAAUAACUAAAUAUUAAUUUAUGUUAAAUUACAAAUUUGAUGUUAUCUAAAGUUAAAAUUUUGUUCAUAUGAUCUUGAAAGUUAUAAUUUUACAAAAACCUCAUAAAUAUUUCAUAUAAUUUAAUAAAAGAAACUUUUGAAUAUAGAAAAAAUUAAAAUUAUUUAUAAAACAGAGGCAAAUCUAUCCAAUUUUCAGUAAUUUAAUUAAAUUCUUUUGCUAUAUUUUUCUAUUCAUAAGAAUUUCUUUAGUUUUAUCCAACCAAAUUAACUAAAUUAUAAUUAUAAAUUAUAUAAAUCAAAUCUUUUAACUUUCUUCCAACAAUGAUGACGUUUACAUUUAACAUUUUCAUUUUAAACAAACCUAAGAUACAAAUUUGAGUCUCCCAAGAAAAAAAUAUACUUUAGGUAUUUACUUAUGAGAUAAUUUUGAAUCAAAAGAUAUGCUUUUAUCUCAAAACUUUUAAAUCAUUUACAUACAAAUUGCAGAAAUGGCUAAGAUAAAAUCUUUACAAAUUAGAAACUAAAAUAAACAUACUGUUGAUUGCAAAAACCGUCUUUAAAAAAGUUGCAAUUAUACUUUUAAAUAUUCAAAUUUAAAAAAAGAAUAAAAUUUAAGCUUAUUCCAAUUUUAAAAUCCAAUCGAUAAUAUAAAUUUGAGAUUCAUGAUGGUUUGUUGGUUUAAUUAAUUCUAUAAUUAUUGAAUAUUUAAUCUAAUUUUAUCCCUGUUGAAAGUUUAAAAGUCCAAUGGUUAAUAUUGAAAAUUUGUUAUAUCAAUUUGAAUAUGUAAUUGCAAUUAUAAAUUUGUGUUAUAUAACCUAAAAUUAAAUAUAUGAAUGUGUGUUGAAAAUUUUAGAUUUGGUCAAAUCAGUGGCAAGUCGUAAAAGUUUAAAGAAGAAAAAAAAUAAAAAGUAUAUAUACAUAUUUUCAUUUCAUAAUUUGGGUGUGAAAGGAAAUUUAAUUUGGAGAGAAAGGGAAAAAAUUAGGUGAUGAGUUACAAAGAGAAUUUUUGCAGUUUCAUUAUAGAAGAUGAUGCAUUAUAGAGUGACGUAAGUUUCAUUACAAAAUUAAACUAUGUUAAUUAUUAAUUAGGGAAUGCCUCUAAUUAACUAAGUUAUACAUUAAAACGUUUUAAAUUUUAACAUUUAAUUAAGUUAAUGUUUUGAAUAUUUUUAUCCCACACCCAAUUUUGUAUACCAUGUAUAAGGAAAAUCUAUCAUAUUAUCAACUUUUUAUUUGAUGAACAACUCUUGAAGUUAUUCUCAUAAUCUGUCAUCGGUGGAUUUAACAUAGGUUCAACAGUUCGAGUCUCUCCCUCUCAACUUUGUUAACUAAGUUAUACAGAUUUCAACUCUCUCAUUUAUAUUUUUGUUAGAAGAUUCGAACAUUUGACUUUUUAAUUAAAAAUAUACAUAAUAUGUGAAAUUAUAUUUAUGUUUGGUUGCAAUAUUUUAUCUAAAAUGAUAAUAAAUAAGAUUAUACUUAGAUCGAGAGGAAUGUUGGAAACUUCCAUUUGCAUUUAUUUGAAGAAAAAAAAUGCUUUAAGUGUUGACUAAGGAGCUCCUCCACGUAGUGAGUAUUUGGAUUGAGAUUAAAGUCAUGGCUUUUGGAUAGGGAUUUUCUCCCUUUUUCUCCAUGUCAUUCCAACGUAUUAGAUUUUAUUCUUUUGAGUUUGUAAUUUGAAAAUGAGAAGUGAUAUGUAUUAUAGUAAAAUAAAUCAAAAUAUUUAUAAAAUAUAUAAAAAUAUUACGGUUUUGUUUACCGUAUCAAUGAUAUAGACUAAUAUAAAUUGCUAUUUGUGUGUUUGUUUCAAUUAUAAAUUAGGAUAUUUUGUUAUAUUUAUAAAUAUUUUGUCAUUUAAAAUUAUUUUUCUACCUUAAUUAUUAUAAAUUUAUUGACACCUUCUUUAAUAGUAAUUUUAUCUUUGUUCGGUCUUUUAAAAUUUAUAUUUGUUUUCUCACCAUUUUAGAGGCUCUUUUAAUAUUAAUUCACAACACAUUUGAAUUGAAAGCUAAUUCCUUUUUUUAAAAAAGUUAUUUCAUCUUCUAGAUUUGAUUUUUCUUCAAUAUUUUUAAAAAGUUAGAUAAUAUAACGUAAAAUUAAAGUAGUCUUCGUGUUCUAUUAAAGAAAACAAAAGCAAACCAAUGUUUUUAUUGAAAGUCAAUUAUAUUAGUGAGUUUUUAGAGAUCAUAUUUACAUUGCUUUUGUUAAAAUUAUGGAUGAACUAUAAAUUUUAGAUGUACAUGAAUCACAUUAAAAAGUUAAAAGAUAAACAUUCCAACUUGCAAAAUUCAAUGUUAAUUUUUUUUCCCUUCCCCAAAAAGGUUCUCUCCAAAGUAUUCUCUCUUUCUCCCUCUCAUCAAUCCAAAUUUUCUUAAAACAGGAUCACCAUUCUAAAACCUCUCUAAUUUAUAACUAACAUUAAUUAAUAAUAUCUCUAUUUUCUUUAUAAAACAAUUAAUCCUAGAAAAUUAAUAAUUUCUAAUGUUUAUUACAUUUAUCCUAAAAAGUAGUUAACUAAAAAUUAUAUCCCUUAAAUUGUAUUUUCAUUUCUUUUUUUUUUUCAUACAAAUGUAAGACUCUUGUUGGAUGAUAUAAUAUUAAACCUAUCUUUAUCGGUUAACUUAAAUUUUUUUAUAAGUUAAUAAUUUAAUAUGGUAUCAAAACAUGUAGUUGUUAAAUGUUUGGAAAAGAAAAAAGAAAUUAGGUAUAUUUUGUACCCAGUAGGAAAUAUUCAAUUGUUUUUAAAAAAGGAGGGUUGGUUAUAUAAGCUAACCUAACCAUAGUACCUUCCUUUGGGGUAAAAGUUAAUUAGACUCAGACCAUACAUUUUGAAUUUUGUUUGCUGAAGGUUUAGUGGGUUUAAUUGUAAUGGUUAAGAAGGUUUAUGCAUACAAACUUUUUGUUAAAGAGGUUAACAUCUCACUCCAUUUAUAGACAUAAGAGAUCAGAGAAGAGGGAUUGAAAAGAUAAACCACAACCAAAUUAUUAAUUGAUCGAAAGUUGGAGGACUGUUUAUUAAUUUAUUAUUUUUACUCAAAGAAAAUAAAAAAAUGGGAUGCUCUAAAGGACAGUUAUAUAAUCCAUGGUUAGCCAAAUUAGGCCUCAAAUUUAGCACAUGCAGAGCUGGAAUCAUCCCACCCAAUUCAAGUCUCGGAUUCUACCAUUUGUUGCUCUAUAAAGAUCUUUUGAUUUCACCUUAUCUCAUUAAUCAAAGCACCUCAAUAUCUCCUUAUCCCACACUAUAUUUUUCUUCCCUCAACUCAAAACGGGAUGCCGGCGGCAGGGUUUUCGGUGGCUCCGUCCGCCGUGGAAUUUGAGGCCAAGAUAACUCCGGUGGUUAUCAUUUCUUGUAUGAUGGCCGCUACUGGAGGCCUUAUGUUCGGUUACGACAUUGGCGUUUCCGGUACUUAAUUAAAUUAAUUAACUAGUUUACUCUUAAUUUUUUCUUUACUUGUGUUAAUUAAUUCUUUUAAUGGAUUUGAUUGUUAAUUCGACAUGUCGGAACAGGGGGAGUGACGUCGAUGCCUUCAUUUCUUAAGGAGUUUUUUCCGGUAGUGUAUGAAAAGACUCAACAACACCAAGGAGACGACAACAAUUACUGUAAAUACGAUAAUGAAAACUUACAGUUGUUCACAUCGUCUCUUUAUCUCGCGGCGUUAACCGCCACAUUCUUCGCUUCUUACACCACUAGAGCUCUCGGCCGGAAACAGACCAUGCUUAUCGCCGGAAUUUUCUUCAUUGUCGGAACCAUUUUGAAUGCCUCCGCCGUUAGCCUCCUCAUGCUUAUUCUUGGAAGAAUCUCCCUGGGUUGUGGAGUUGGAUUUGCCAACCAGGUUUAUUUUCUUCCCUUCUUCUUCUGCUCUGUGUUGCUCUGUUUUGGCUUUGUUCUUACUCUUAAUGUUGUAAAAUAGGCGGUGCCGUUGUUUCUAUCGGAGAUUGCACCGACGAGAAUUCGUGGAGCUUUGAAUAUAUUGUUUCAAUUCGAUGUUACCAUCGGGAUUUUGUUGGCAAACCUUAUCAAUUACGGGACAUCCAAGUAAGCAAAUUAAAAAAUUCUCUCUUUAUUUGAAAUGUGUAUAAAAUGUAAAAUUAAGAAUUUUGAAAUGAUACGACAGAAUUGAAGGAGGAUGGGGAUGGAGGGUAUCAUUAGCACUGGCUGGCGUUCCAGCAUUUCUAUUAACGCUUGGAGCAAUCUUGGUUGAUGAUACUCCAAAUAGUUUGAUCGAACGUGGUCAUUUGGAGAAAGGAAAAGCAGUGUUGAAGAAAAUCAGAGGAACAGAGAAUGUUGAGCCAGAGUAUUUAGAGAUCUUGGAGGCAAGUCGCAUUGCUCAAGAAGUGAAACAUCCUUUCAAAAACCUCCUCAUGCGCCAGAAUCGCCCACCUUUAGUCAUUGCCAUAAUGUUGCAAAUCUUCCAACAACUCACCGGCAUCAACGCCAUUAUGUUCUACGCUCCAGUUUUGUUCAACACGGUAGGCUUCGGUAACGAUGCGGCUUUGUACUCUUCUGUCAUAACAGGAGCCGUCAAUGUCCUUUCUACAUUGGUGUCUAUUUACUCAGUCGACAAGAUCGGGCGACGGAUGUUGUUAUUAGAAGCUGGAGUCCAAAUGUUCGUCUCUCAAACCAUCAUUGCAGUUCUAUUAGGCUUAAAACUCCAGGAUAGCGCUAAUGAUAUGUCGCGUGGGAUGGCGAUUGUGGUGGUGUUGAUGGUGUGUAGUUUUGUUUCAUCUUUCGCAUGGUCUUGGGGUCCACUCGGAUGGUUGAUUCCGAGUGAAACUUUUCCAUUGGAGACUCGAUCGGCUGGGCAAAGUGUGACAGUUUGUGUGAAUAUGGUCUUCACUUUUGUGAUAGCCCAAUCUUUCUUGUCAAUGUUGUGCCAUAUGAAGUUUGGAAUCUUCUUGUUCUUCUCUGGUUGGGUGUUGGUAAUGUCGUUGUUCGUACUGUUUUUGUUGCCAGAGACAAAGGGUGUUCCCCUCGAAGAGAUGACAGAGAAAGUGUGGAAGCAACAUUGGUUCUGGAAGAAAUUUAUGGAUAACACAGACACAAAGGAUUCCGUUUAAGCAUUAUAUAACUAAGCUAAGGUGUAUUGGUUUUUUAUGUCCUUUCUAACUUUCAUUAUUGUGAAUGAGCGUGACACGUCAAAGUCGUAGGCAUGUAUUAAUUUUUUAUUGACGUAUCUACAUUUUCAUCGAUAUAUCUACAUAUCUAUGAGUUUAACAUAGAGAUAAAGAUGUUAUUUCAUAAGAAAAGUCGAUGAAUACAAAUGUCAUUAGAAUGAGUACAAUAUUUACAAAAUAUAAAAUGUUUUCACUUUUUUUCCUACUUAAAUUCAUUCCUUAUUGAUAUUUCUAUUGUUAUUUUAAGUAAAACGUAUAUUGACAUUUACAUUUUCAAACUUAAUCAUGGUUUGAGCCAGUAGAAUCGAAUAAUAAUUACAGAAGGAAUUUCUACCAUAUGUGGUUGUUACUACACUAUCUUUACACGUAUUUGAUAUUAUAUUAGAGUUAUCAUAUGUUGUGAAUUGCAAUACCAAAUCAUAUCUUCACAAAUCUUUUUAUAAUAAUGUCUACUAAAUCUCUAUAUUUGUAAAGUUUCUAAAAUGUCCUUAGACUUACAAAAUAAUGUGCCACAAUCCACCACUUUCAAUAAAUCCUUCAACUUUCUAUUUUCUUUUUGACAUGAUUUUGUCACUAACAUAAUAAAAAAAAUGAUUAUGUUUGUCCUAAAUUAAUGAUCAAAAUGAUAUAAUUAGAUGGUACAUGCAUGUUUAAAAGGUGUAAAAUUUAAUUGGACUAAUUAACUAGAACAAAACUUAAAAAGUUUAGUGGCUACUAAAUUCUUUUAAAAUUGGAGUAGUUAGACCCAAUCCUAAAAUUGUAAGAACAUUGAAUUGUAAUUUAUCUUUGUUUAUAAUUUCGUUCUUAAACUGUUCUUCUUAAAAUGCUAACUAAAUUUCAAAGGAAAGAAGUAGUUUUGGCCAAGUUGGCCAAGAUUUUUAAAAUGAAUCAAAUACUACAAAAUAAAAAUGGUAGUUUUGCAUUUUAAAAAAAAUAUGAGUGGAAAAACAUUUUUUUAUUUAAAUAUUUUUAUAUUUAAAAACAGAAAAUCAUAUGAGAUAAAUUGAUCAGAAUCUGUUUAAUUAUUUUAUGAUAAAUUUUAUUUUUUCUAAUUAGUACAAAAAAGGAGAUAGGAAAUCCAACUUUGAUCUAAGGAAGACAAUGUGCAUAAAUCUAUUUUAAUUUACAUUCUUUUAUAAUAACUUGUGUGUAUAUGAGCAUAUUUUUAAGUGUCUGGUGAUAGAAGAACUCUUAAUAAAACUGCAAACCCAAUCCUUGCAAGGUUAAAGCUCAAUGAAUAAUAGUAUUGACUUUUUAUAAAGGUUUUGUCGGUUCAUAAAAUUCAAAUUUUAAAAACCAAAACUAUUUUAUCAUACAAAUUUCGAAAAAGAAUUAAGACGAGAUAAGCAUUCAAACACGUUAACAUACGUAAAAAAUUAAGAUUAUAUUUACACGCUUUGUUUGAAAUUAUAUUUCUUAACAAUUAUGUUUAUUACUUUGGCCAACUUUUCAGAAGAAAAAAAUGGUUGGAAUCUUCGCAAUAGUGAACUAAAGAACACCCUUUAAUCUCUAAUUACCAAAAUAAAAUGAAUAAUGAAGUAAAGGCCUAUUAGUAACUAACCAUUUCAUUUUACAGUUUCUUUUUUUUAGAAAAUCAUUAUUUUUUUAUUAUAUUUUCUUGGGUAGAUUUUGAAAAUAAAAAAUAUGUUUCUUAAACAAUGAAAGAAACUCUUGAAAAGUAGGAAAAAAGAAUCAAACAUCUAAUAUAAGUAAUAUAGGAGUUAUUGGAGUUGAGAUCUUCAUUUGGGUAGUAAUUUCUCGUCUUCUUCUUUAUUUUUCGUAGAUAUGGAAAAUGCUCGAUCAUAGUUUACUCUAUUAAGACACCAUUGACCAUUUCUCUAAAAAAAAAUGAUAAUCAUAAUAAAGCAUAUAACACACAGUCCACUCACCCACCCACACUCAUACGAAAAUUGUAUGUGGUUGAUAAAUAAUUAGUUGUAUGGUUUUAGAUCACCUCAAUCUCCAACCACAUCGAAUACAUAUGGUCUCACAUUCAAGAAAUAGAAGAUUAAGUUCAAUUUUUAUUUUAUCAACUUUCACAUAUAACGAUAAUAUUUUAAGUCCCUCGAAAUUAUAUAAAUAUUAAACACUUUUGAAUGGUUCAACUUUUAUUAUUUAGAAGUUUAAUUUCUAUAAUUACUGUUAGUUUCAGCGUACAAUUUUAAUAUUUAGAUAAAUUUAAGGACUAAUUUUUUAUGAUUAAAUGUUUUAGAGUGUAAUUUUAUCUACCAUCAGACACAACCAAAAUUUGCAAUUUGCUCCAAGAAAUACUUAACCUAUAUAUUUUCAAAAUUUUAUGCUAAAAUAAAAAUUACAUUGUAACAAAUGGGUGAAUAUUAACCACACUUUUUUUAAUCAAAUAUAAACUAUAUUAUUAAGUUGCUAAAAGAAAUAUACAUUACUAGAAAGAAAAAAAAAAAGUGCUACACCACACUUACCUUUAUGGAAACUUAGAAAGUUGCUUGAUAAAUUUUUUUUCAUAUAUAUAUAUAUAUAUGAGAAAUAACAAAAAAAAGAAUAAAAAUUCAAGAACAUAUAUAUUCAUCCAUCUUUAGGACAAAUACUUCGUGUAUAUCUCAAAAUCUUAACAUAUUAGUUCAAGUCAAUCAACUUCAUAAAUACAGAUCAUUACGACUUAGAAUACAAAUCUUACUCUUAAAAUUUUUAGCUUCUACACUUUGUCACUCUCUAACUUAAGGCAUAUUAGAAUGUGUACUCUAAUAUGGACAAAACUUUCUCUUUUGUAGACUACAUUUUCUUCUCUUUUUUAAAAAAUAAAUUUACUAUUAAUGUCAUGUGAAAGUCCGACAAGUUUUUCUUUUAUCCAUAUUUUGACUACAAGGAUAUAGAUUUAUCAACAUAGUUGAAGCUAGAAGAUAAAUUUCAUAAGAUUUUAAAUCUUACCCUCGUAUAUAAGUAAUUCCAAUUCUACAUGUUCUAACUUUAAAAUUAACUUUUUCUACAAUUUUCAAACGUAUUCAUGAAAAUUAAAUUCAUGUAAAGUAGGAUUAAAUGUGUAAUUUUAAUCCCCAAAGCUUUUAUCCACUUUGAUGUUAUUAGUGGGUAAGUCAAAUCAAGGGUGGAUAAACCUAGUGGUAACCUAAUAGUAACACAACACACUAACAUUGAUUCAAGGCUUACAAUUACUUGUGAUUGAAAAUUAUUCUCAUCCACCAAAUAUACCCAAAACCAAGUAUCCAAAAAGACACCAAAAUAAAUGGAAAUUGGGAGAUUGUGCCCUCAAAUAAUUUAAAACAUUUUCAACCAACCCAUCAUAGAAAGUUCCAUUUUCAGCAAACCAAUGAUCUUCUUAAGAACUUUUUUUUGUUUGUUUUUUUAAUUUGCUCCACUUAAUUAUGACCUACAAAUGGGCCCCCAAAGCAAAACGUGCAAUAUGAUAUGAAGCAUUAAUUUUCAAUUGAAAUUAAACAAUUUCGUGGGGAAAUCUCAAGACUCAGAUUUUGGUAAGCUAUGAAGUGACGUCGACCACCAACCUUUUUUUUUCUUUUUUUCUUUUUUUCAAAUUAAUCUAAUGAAAUUCUCCUACUAAGAGGUGCACAUAAUCAUUGUUUGGUUAAUGCGUUGGAAAUUUAUUACAAGAGGUCAGAAUAAAUGUAAAGAAGUAGUUGCACAUGUGGAUAUAUUUAAUCCAUAAUUAGUGAACUUUUAUCUAAAAAUUACUAAAACUUGUCUCGUCGUGACCUUAUGACUCCACAUUCCACUAAUUGGUUUUCAUUAAGCUGACUUAGAGUCAGUACGGAAAUAAUGGGAGAAGAAAAAAAUUAACGAAACCAUGCAACUAAAGUGAUAACCUGUUGUUGUAGUCCAUCAAACCUUUCAAUGUAAUAAUUUGAAGAUGAAAAGAGCUUUCACCGUAAUAAGACUUAGGAGGUCAUGUAUUAUUGUUAGAAAUACAUGUCAACUUAUUUUACAACAUUUCAAUUCAAGUUAGUUGUCUAUUUUGGUAGUUCGUUUUAUUGAUUUAGUUAAACUUGUCAAUUGCCUUUAAAUUUUUAGACCAAUAUGAUUAAAGUAAUUUAAAUUAGGGUCGUAAAUGUUAGCUAAUAUAAAUUAGAUUUACCUUUACUCAUUAGCUUAAAUUUUUUUAACAUAUUUAUUUUAUAUCUUAACUCACUAACUUAAACUGUUGGAUCAAUCGGUAAUUUAAUAUGGUAUAUCACAGUCAAUAAUCUAGGGAGGUCAUGUGUUCAAAUUCAUCUAAUAUUAUUUACCUUCCCUUACUAGUUUAAGUUAAUCUUUUGGAUCAAUGGGUGAUUUAAAAAUGAAUAUAUGGUUUAACUAUCCUAGCUUUAAGAAAAAUGUUCUUUACCAAUUUUGAGAUCAAAAGUUCAAUUAUUUUUUCAUUAAAAAAAACUUACAAAAAUGAGUAGAGUUCAUCUAACAAUCUAACAUAGUAGACAUAGUGUUCAUACUAUCUAUCUUGAAGCAAGAGAUUCUUAGUUACACCCCACAAUUUUACUAUAAUCUUAGUCUUUUCUUUUUCGAUCAAAGUUUUAGUAUCAUACUUGCAUGAACAAUUUAUAAAGUUUAAUGUCUAUAUAUGGUUCUAGUUUGAGAAUGCAAAGUUCAAAGCCAUUGAACAAUGCUUAGAACAUAAAGAUUUUAAUCAUGUAUAAAUUUCAUAUAAUCUUGCCUUGCCAAUAGUGAUCAAAAUGAAUCAAUUAUUUAUGAAUGAAAUUUUAUUAAUUUAUGUUGCCACGUGGACAAAUCCUGGCGGAGGGCACGGGCUGGCGCUGGGCAUUCGCCUUGCCUCCUGACAAGUGCAGUCCGAUACUAUUGUCCCUCAGCCUAUAAAUUCCUCACGCCAUUUCACACUCCACACACCAAUUUCUCCUUUCCCUCUUCUCUCAUUUUUUCUUCUUCUUGAAUUUUCCUUAUUAACCAUUGCCGCCUUUUCUUCCGGAAGUACUUUCCUUAAGAUUUCCAUUAAUUAAGUGAUCGUGUUUAGUAAGAACACAAAGUCGCCGUAACCAUGCCUGCAGGAGGAUUCUCCGCCGUCCACAAGAAUGGCGGAACAGAGUUCGAGGCUAAAAUCACUCCGAUCGUCGUCAUUUCCUGUGUAAUGGCGGCAACCGGCGGUCUCAUGUUCGGCUACGACGUCGGUGUCUCAGGUCACUACUCAAACUCUCUCUCGCUAUCUCGAUCUCUAUCUUAUACAUUGAUUAAGAACACAUCACGAUUUCAGUUGUCAGGAAUCAGGAUGACGUUUCUUUCUGAUUUAGUUUGAAAUUAUCAUCAAUAUGAAUUCAAAUCUUCUCGGAUCUUCGUACACGGUGAUUUUAUUAUUAUUUUGCAAAUCCUUAACUUAUGGCCGUUUACGAUUAAGUCGCGAUGUACUUGAUUAUAUCACCUCAUUGUCAGUCGCCUUCUUGUGUUUCUUUCCUCUUGAUCAGUUUUUUAUUAAUCAAAAUUCUGAACGAAUGGCUGCUAUACUAUUACGAUUGAUCGAUCGACUGUGUGUUCUGCUAUCACGACUGUUACACACUACAUUUUUUGUGCCAUAGACUAGCCUAAAAUUACAGAAAUAUAAAUUAGCCUAGAACAUUGAGAUAUUAAUUUGCUAAUGUAUAGAACAACGACGAUGUGCUUGAUCGAUUAUUACUCUACCAGGUGUGACUUAUUACGUUUUUCUUUUAAAUCAAUUUUUGGUUAAUCGUUAAACGUAGGAGGAGUUACUUCGAUGCCGGAUUUCUUGAAGAAGUUCUUUCCGGUAGUGUAUCGGAAGACACAGCUGAAGGAAGAAAGCGAUAGCAACUACUGUAAAUACGAUAAUCAAGGCCUUCAGUUAUUUACAUCGUCGCUGUAUUUGGCCGGUUUAACGGCGACUUUCUUUGCUUCCUACACCACCAGGAAGCUUGGAAGAAAACUAACGAUGUUAAUUGCUGGCGUUUUCUUCAUUAUUGGAACCGUGCUUAAUACCACCGCUGAAAAUCUCAUGAUGCUCAUCGUCGGUAGGAUCUCACUUGGCUGUGGAGUUGGCUUCGCUAAUCAGGUAUAUGUUUAAUUUACAAGUUCUGAUUGGCAUUAGAUAUGAUCGGUUAGUGGAAUAUAAACAAAACAUCCAAAUUGCGUCCUUUUGUCUUUAAAAUUUUUUAAUCCAAUAUGAAAUAAUAUUUCACUUCAACAUUACUUUACAUAAUGUUUUUCUUACAGUAAAAUGAAAUAAAGAUAGGAACCACUAUAAAUUGAGUUGAGUACAUUCUUUUAUAUGUUAUUGUGGCGUGGAACAUUUAUGCUCGUGUUUUAACUUUUCGAUUUUACAAAAACAUUUCUGUGACGAACUUUUAUGGUCAUAUAUUUUUACAGUUAAAAUACCAUCAACAUCUCUAGAUGUAUAGGUAUUUUAAUGAGCAGGUUAGCUAUAGUCAUUUUAUGAUAACAUCAACUAUGUGAUAACGUUGAAUUUAAUUUCCAAACAUGUGUGGUUUCGUUUAUAUGACAUAUAUUAUCUGAUAGGUAUAGAUAUAUAUUGAAUAUAUCUUUUGGUAUUUCUUUUAGUUCAAGAAUAUUUAAAUUACUUAAGAGUUUAAAUAUAUAGAUUAAUAAAUGUUUAUGUCUACAUUUUGAUAUUCCUAAGAUACGAGGAGUAAAAUAUAUUUUUAGUUCAUGGAGUUUAGAAUUUUUAUCUAUUUAGUCACAAAAGUUUUAAAAUAAGCAUUAUUAAUAUUUUAAAUCUAGAAAAUGAUUUUAAAUGAUCUCUAGAUCAUUUAGUUAACUAAUCAACUGUUAAUUUUAUUUGGAAAAUAAUCUAUUUUGGCUAAAAUUCCUUUAGUUUUCUUUUUUCCUUUCCUGAUUUUUGCUGAUUUGGAGUAUUUGAGAGUUUAAUAUAUAUAUUUGGAUUUUUCUCAAAUUAAAAAUAAUUUCAAUUAUUAUAUUUAAUUAUACACGGUCGUGGAGAUAUACCUUUAUCAAACUUUUGACUAAGAUCAAGUGUAUAUAUAGGUCAUGAAAUAUAUACACUUAUCUUUUGCCUGCAGAAAGAUAUACACUUAUUUGUUGUCUUAUAUAAUUCUUUUCUAGGUUUAAUAAACCUAAGUAACAAGAUCACAUGAAUUCUUUACACCCUUUCUAAAUAAUAUAGACCUUUCAAAUCUAGAAAACAAAAAUGAGCUUAGUUCAACCGCAAUUGUUAUUUUUAUUUUAAAGUUGGUAGAUUUAAUUUGUCAUUCUCGUUCUAUUAAUAGACUUAUGAACAUUGAUCUAAAAAUUAAGUAUGACUCUUUAAAUUUCAACUAAACAUUUCUUUUUUCUUUUCUUUUUUUCUUUUUUCUUCUUUUUAGUAAGAUUAAGAAAUUUGAGAAAUGUUGAAUAGAAAUGCCCUAUUACAUAAUAAAUUUACAAUCCAUAAAUUCAUUACUAUCAAUUUAAAAUUUUAUUUGAACACAAAUUUUUAUGAUUGAACCAGCUAUUAGACACUCAUCAAAUUUUGAAGACUAAUCUCGUAAAAUUUAACCUACAAAGAAAAAACACAUACACAAGAAAAAAAAGUGAGACAAAUAUUUACACAUUUUUAUAAACGUAGAAAGGAACUCGUUGCCCACAGAAUAGAUAAAUAAGCAAACAUGUCAUAACAAGAUGAGACGAUGUUGUCUAGAUAGCCACAACAUUUUCGCUACUUGUUCAAAGAACGUAUGUGAAUUUUGUUUCUAUUUCAUUAUUAGCUUUUAACAAAAUUUAGUUUAUAUAAUUGAGAUGUAAAAAUAUGUGCAUAUGAUAGUUUUUUGUUUUUUUAACUAUUAUUAUUAAUUAGCAUGUGCAUAUAUUAUUUCAAUCUCUGUCAUUUUAGUUUAGAAUGUAUAUAUGGUUAGUGUUCUUUAUCAAAUUUUGAAGUUUACAUGAUUUUUGUUCCCAAUUCAUAGUUCAUUCCAGAGAGGUUAAAUUUUAUCCAUAUUCCUUUUAUCUUUGUUAAUAAUGGGUGGUAUUAAUUAUAUAUUAUAAUUUAUUUGAAAAGAGGGUGGCAGAGCUGGUGUAGUCUGUAGACAAUAACAUAGUGCUGUUGUGACCAAUAAUUUCUUUACUACUCCUUAAGAUAAUUUUUUCUAUAAUAUAUAUUAAAAAAUAUAUAGUAAGUGUAAGACCAAUUAGAAUCAGCAAGUUUAGGUAUAAGGAAAAUAAAGACCAAAAAUAUAAUUGAACUUUUGAAAUGAAGACCCAUUGGAAGCUUGUGAAUUGUAAAAUAAAGUGUCUUUUUCUCUUUAUGGCCAUUAAUAUAAUUUCACAUGAAGCCGUCUACGUCACCCAUUUUUAUUUCUUUCUACACCUUUCCUCAAUCCUUCUUUUUUUUCUUCUCUCUUUUUGUUUUAUAUUUUUCUCUUCACCCUUUUUUUUUAUGAAGUAUUACUAAUAAUUUUCAAACAUCACUUUCUCUCCCAUGAAAAAUUGUCAGAAAUAGCUUCUAAUAGAUCUUAUCUUGUAAAACUAGCACUCCUUUUAAAAAUCGUUUAAACAUCUUUUCUCUAUCGGUCUUUAGAUUGACUAUCGAGAUUUUUCUAAAAUAUUAAAAAUUUUCAACUUGUCUAUUGUUUUGGCCACUUAAGAUUUUUCAGGUACAUCUCAAUAGACAUUAUAAAAGAAAUAUUACUUACUUUUAAAUUUAAAAUUUUGGCAUAAAUAUAUGUUUUUAAAUUUUACACAUAAAAAAAGUUAUUUAAGAUUUGAAUAGAUUUGAAAAAUUGUUAAUUUGCUAGAUACUCAACAACCCAAAACAAUGGUUAGAUUGAAAAUUUUUUAUGUUUUUGAGGAAUCUCGGUGGUUGAGAUUGAAAAAUUAUGUUCAAACAAUUUUUAAACAAAUGUGCUAAUUUUACAAGGCAAAAUAGCUAUUUCAUAUUUGUGAGAACUUUCCAUGUUGAUGUCCUUUCAUUAGCUCUUCACGAUCUAUAUGGUAUCUCCAACUAUUCAAUAUAUAACGCGCACACACACACGUAUUUAAUGAAACUAUAUUUUAAUAAUCUUUUAGAUCAACUCUUUUAAAGCUAAGAUUUACAUAGCUAUUUGUUAAAUUUGUAGAUGGUAUGUCUAUUAGCUCCAAUUACCUUCAUCUUUCAAACUAAUUACAAUGGAAAUCAAUAUGUGAAACAGGCAGUUCCAUUAUUCCUUUCGGAGAUCGCCCCAACUAGAAUCCGUGGAGGAUUAAACAUACUAUUCCAGCUCAACGUCACCAUAGGCAUUCUCUUUGCAAAUCUGGUCAACUAUUUCACUGCUAAGUAAAUUCCCUCUUGACUAAACGAAGAAACAUAGCACAAAUUUUCAUUUCAACGUAAAAAGUAAGCCUUUUUCUUUUCUUUUUUUGUCUAUACAGAAUAGAGGGAGGGUGGGGGUGGAGGCUGUCGCUGGGUUUGGCCGGAAUUCCCGCCGGCCUCCUAACUCUGGGGGCUUUGAUGGUGGUGGACACUCCCAACAGCCUCAUAGAGCGUGGCCGUAUGGAAGAAGGCAAAGCGGUGCUUAAAAAGAUACGUGGAACUGAUAAUGUGGAAGCAGAGUUCUUGGAGUUGGUAGAGGCCAGCCGUGUGGCUCGAGAGAUAAAACACCCUUUUAGAAACCUACUCAAGCGGAGGAACCGCCCCCAGCUCAUCAUUGCUGUUGCCCUCCAGGUUAGUAUCAUACAUUACCGUCCAACUCUUCCCCAGAGAUAUCAUUCUAAGUAUCUUGCUUGAGCUAUCUUUGUAUUAUUGCAACCACAUCCGAUAUUUAUAUGACAUUAGAGGUUCUAUUUCAAAACUCAUUCACAAGGAUCAAAUAGGUAAUUCAUUUAUAUAUCUUAUUAGGAAUGAGGUCUUCCAAAAUAAGAUAAUAGUAUUAUCUUUUCCAUACGGACUAGGUCAACUUUUAAAUUCUUUGUAUAUCAUAUCUUAGUUGAUCGUGUGACCAAGUUCCGUAGGAAAUGACUAAAGAGUAUGGGAAUAUACGUGGGUAAUAACCAUCCACCAUAUGAAGCCUUUUGAGUAAAUGUUAGCAAAACAAAUUUGUGUUUUCAACUCAUCUUCAAAAACGAUCCAAAUACAAGUUAUAUUUGAUCUUUGAACUUAGGUUUGAAUUUACUUGUAAAUGAACCGUUCUCAUGUUGGUUUGCCUUCACAACUCAAAUUAGUUUUGAAACGUGAUAUUACUUUCGGGAGUAAAAGGUAAGGACUUUAAAAAGAAUUUGUAGUUCUCUCCCUCCUUGAAAAUCUAGAUUACCGAUUUGUAUUUGGAUUUGUUAUUGAAAUUCAUCAUUCUAGUUGAUCUAGUUGAUCGUACUGAUAGCUCACUAAAUCCUCGUCUUCUUCCAAACAGAUAUUCCAGCAAUUCACAGGUAUCAAUGCGAUCAUGUUCUACGCUCCGGUCUUAUUUAACACACUAGGUUUCAAAAGUAGUGCCUCUUUGUACUCCGCUGUCAUAACUGGAGCUGUCAAUGUCGCCUCGACAGUCAUAUCAAUCUACUCCGUUGACAAAGUCGGACGCCGGAUGUUAUUACUUGAAGCCGGAGUACAAAUGUUCAUUUCUCAGUUAAUGAUCGCCAUAGUUCUAGGAAUCAAAGUUAAUGAUCACUCUGACAAUUUAACCAAAAGCUUUGCAACAUUAGUUGUGGUCAUGGUUUGCACCUUCGUCUCUUCAUUUGCAUGGUCAUGGGGACCACUAGGAUGGUUGAUUCCAAGCGAAACAUUCCCAUUGGAGACUCGCUCUGCCGGCCAAAGCGUGACCGUUUGUGUAAAUUUGCUAUUCACAUUUGUGAUAGCUCAAGCCUUCCUCUCGAUGCUUUGUCACUUGAAGUUUGGGAUAUUCUUAUUCUUCUCCAGUUGGGUUUUGAUAAUGUCGGUAUUCGUGUUAUUCUUGUUGCCAGAGACAAAGAAUGUACCGAUUGAAGAAAUGACAGAACAAGUAUGGAAACGACAUUGGUUUUGGAAGAGAUUUGUAGAAGAGGACGAAAUUGAGGGACAGAAAAGAAGUGUGAAGAAACAUAGUAAUGGCUUUGAACCUUCUCUCGAGUUGUAGUAAUGAUUUAAAAUUUCUUGAAGGGUUUCCCUAAAUGGUAGAAGGAUUAGGCACCGAAUAGAUAUUAUAAUGGGACAAUAAAUUAAUGAGGUUCAAGCUCUUUUUCCCUUGGCUAGAAGAGUGGACUUCUUAUGCAUAAGAGCAUUUUUGCUUCGGCCUCAAACGAAGGAAUGAUCUUUAAUGUCAUGGAGCUCAAAACUUGCCUGAAGAUGGGUUUGCAUUUGUAAUGAUACUAAUAAGUUAUAUAUUAAUUUGUCAUGUCUAUUUUAUACUUGAAAUAUUGAACCAUUUCAAUUACAUCCCAAACUUUACCUAUACUUUCCAUGCAUGAAAUUUAAAGAUUUUAAACGCAAAAUGUACGUAUUUUGAAAAUAAAGUUACAUAAAUGUUGCAAAAGUGAACGUAAACUGACUUGAACGAUUAUUGAUAUCAAAAAAAUGAAGUUAAAUUAAGGUUAAAUUGCAAAUUUGAUUUCUAUAAAAUUAAAAAAAAAAAGUUAAAAUUUAACCUAUGAAUUUCAUCAUUAUGGAAUGAUAAGACAUCAUAAUUAGUUUAUAUGGUUUGAUAAAAACCUCUAAUUCGACAAAAUCUUACUAAAUAGUUUGAAAUAGGAUAAUUAAAAUUAUCUCAACCAAGCCUUAUAAACGUACAGCAAGUUCUUUCUUCAUGGUAACUACUUGCAAUUAUUAAAGUUGAGAAGGCUUGAAAAAGGAGUAAUGUCACACAUGAGCAAAAGCAUAAUAAUGCUAACUUAAUUUACUCGAAGCUGAAAGAGGAUUUAGAGUAACCAAAUUUAUUUAAUUAAAUGAAUAUCAUAAAUUAUUCCAGUUUGUAAAAUCAUAAAUGAUCUGAUUUCCAUCGUCCUCUUUCCUUGGCCAAACAAUCGGAUACUUAGCAAAUGGUAUGUUCUUCGAGGAGAUGUCAGUGGCUCAACACUGAUGUUAUGGUACAGCAAGAAGAGCACCAUGUAACAAACAGAAGGUGCAUGCUCCGAUCUCAUAGAUCGAUUCUAGGGGGCUCGUGUUUUUUGUUUUCAAGAUCUUAAGAGAUUCAACUUUGCUAUAAUUUUUUCAAGAAGAAGAUUAGGGAUGAAGAAAGACUAACAGUUUCUCCAGUUUGCUACAUUUUCUGGGAGGAUGAAUCUGAUGAAGCAAGCUCAGCGUACAUAUUGGAUAUGGCAUUGGCAAAGUAUUCCUUGGCUUGGGGUCUCUUGAUCUAUGGAAAAAGAAAAGGAAUUCGCAUAUCAGAAAAUAUCAUGAUAGUAUAAUCGUUCAACGAUCUCAUGAUAAUGUCUACAUUCGCCACUUGCCUUAAAUGUAGGAGUGAGAAGACCAUUCUCCAAUGUGAAAGGCUCGUGGACCAAAGUGACAGCUUUUGCAAAUUCGAAACCUCUCAACUGGAAUUAAACAAGGGGAUUUGUGUUAUAUAUAUUAUUGCUGCGAGAGUAAGCAAAAUUGCAUAACUGAAUCAAUAAUUUUUUGCUUGCUUGCCUGUGCCUCUCUUCCAACGGCAUCCAUGUCCGCCAAUACUGCGGCCCUUGCUCUCGGGUCAUUGCAGAGUUGAGCUAAAUCAUUAUACUGCACGUAAAUUGUUAGACAAGCACUGUUUAGAAAGACAAGGAAAAAUGCUCUCGGAAAUUGAGUGGAUCCAUGCAAAACUUGCGAAGAUUAUGCAAAUACCCUAUUAAAUUUGUAUUUUUUGCAUAGAAACAACGCCUCUCAAAAAAUAAAUAAAUAAUACAUGUACAUACAAAAAAAAAAAAAAAUCCCCCUGCAUGAAGGGACUUCGACUAUGCAAAAUAACUGUUGUAGAGAAGUUAUAAAAUGUCUUCUGUGUGAAGUCUAGAUUUGUAUAUAAUAUAUAAUUUUGCAGUAGCCUGUAACUGAUACCAUAUUAAUCUCCUUCAAUUUUUUUUUUGCUUUGAUUCUAUUGCCUAUUGGCUAUCUAUAAAUGGAGAUAUUGGUGGAACGUGGAACUUGGAAGUUAGAAGAAAUUUGCUUGAUAACGAGUCUCAAUUCUGGAAAUUCUUCAUUCUUGGGCCCCUCAGAUGGUGGUGAUAGUCUUAAAUGGACUCCUGACAUCAAUGGCAGCUUUUCUACGAUAUCUACUUUUCUUAAUUUAACCAAGAGAUAUCACUCCAUUGCUGCUCCUUUGAUGCACCACAUAUGGAAGAUUAAAAUUCCAAAAAUGUGAAUUUUUUCUUAUAAUCGCUCCAAAAUAAAUUCCAGCACACUAUGCUCAGCCCCCCGGUGUGCUGCCUUUGUUUCAAAGAUGAGGAGAUCCUGCACCACUUAUUUUUUCAUUGUCUCUUUACUAGGAAAGCUUGGAACAUUUUGUUUAUAAUUUUUUAUUUGGAGUUUUGUCUUCCUAGUAAGGUCGAUAGUUGGAUGCUAAAAGGGCUUGACAUUAGAGAUUAUAGUCCAAAAGGAAACAUCUUAUGAAGAUGAUGUGCUACCCCGUCACUUUUGUGGUGUGUUUGGAAAGAAAGGAAUAGUAUAACUUUUUAAGAUGGCUAUAAUUCUUUUGAUUCUUUUUUGGACUGUGUUGCAACACACGCUUCUUGGUGGAGUACGAAUUACACAAAGCAACAAGCCCCUAGCUGAACUAGUCAUAAAUUUCUCAAUUGCCCAAGAGAAGUGCUCAUUUCCAACUCAAGUUUAGAAUGAAGGUAAAUGUAUAAUAUUUCUAAGACUAAGACAAACUAGCGUUACCUUAAUGCCUUCAGAAGAAGCCCAUGCUUUCAAGGUCUCCACAUCAACUGAGACUACAGCUACCAGAGAUGCAUUAAAGCUAUCACCUUCAGGAAGGUGGAAAUAGCGUCAGUAAUCAAGGGGAUCCACGUCAUGGUAGCAUGUAUAAGGACCAGUCAUAUUCUAAUCAUGUGAAUAGACAAAAAGGUUGAAUAGAUUGUAGAAUUUCAUUUCUCACCGUAAACAAAGCAUUGUGCGACAAACUUGCACUUCGCAUACACGUUUUCAAUUUUCUCUGGUGCAAUGUACUCUCCCUGUGCCAACUUAAAGAUGUUCUUCUUCCUAAGAAAAAGUACAAUAAUUUGAAUAAAAGAAGUCAAUCCUUCAAUUAUAAAGAUGUAUAGGAGAUUUAUUUACGACCGUUUCUCAAAGAGAAAAGAUGUUACUUCUAGCUAAUGAACCCGAGAAUAUAGGAUAAUUAUGUAAAUAUUAGUUGUCAAUAUUUGGUGUUUAUUGUCUUUUUUUUCUUUGUUGAUGUAGGUUUUUCUCUAAUAUAAGUAGUUCUAGGCUGUCACAUUAUUAUAUAACAAAAUAUUAUUACUCCCCAGUCUCCAAAAUAAAUACUAAUCAAUUCAUGGCGUAAAAAGUAUAUAAAACCUCCAGGCAAUUCUUCAAUGACUUCAGCAAAUUUCAGAACUUUAUUACAGCAAUCUUUCAAAUAAUUAAGUCUGUUCUUAUUCUAUGAGUUGAAAAGCGAUGAAAGGUGGAGCGAUAUAGCUCACCUGUCAAUAAUCUUUAAACGACCACCCUGCAUCCACAAUCCAAUGUCUCCCGUAUGGAGCCAUCCAUCUUCGUCAACAGCUUCCCUCCUGUCCAAUUCAAAUCAUUAUUCAAACUAUAAAGUACUCGAUGAAUUAAAGACAUUCAAAGAGAUGAGCAAAGGAAAUUGUUACGUCUGCACUUCAUCUUUGAAAUAGCCCUUGAAAACAAGGGGACCCCUGACACAGAUCUCGCCACGAGAAUAAGGCUGAUCAUCAGAUGUGUAAUUCAUCUCUGGAACAUCCACGAGCUUUAUUUCUAAAACAGAAAUGAAGGACAAUUUUUAGCACAGACUCUGAAUAAUGAAUAGAAGAAUUACAGUGAGCUUGAAAAAGGCCAAAGAAUCAAUGGCACGAAUUAAGUUACCCACACAGGGGUGCAAAACCAUAAUAAGUUACUCUGCACUAAUUGAUAUUACAUUUAUUUUAUCUUUGUGUGGGAGAAAUUAUCCAAGGAGAAGAAAGCAAUACCGCUGGCAUAUUUACACCAUUGAAUGUAUGAAAAAUAAAUUAACACCUACAAUUUCACCAUUCAUCCAGUGGUUAGGAAGGUAACAGUCAUAUUGAGUACUUUUUCUUUUUUAGACCUACAACUUCAAAGCCAUUUCCCAGAAAUUGAAUUUAAUGCACAUAAGAAUUUCAGUAAAAUAGCAGCAGAGUUAGAUGCAAUCGUUAAAAAAUAUCCGUGCAUUCAUCACCAACAAACUCCUCAAGCAUAUCUUAAAUGACUGAGAAGCUCGUGUCAGUUGCUUACCACAAGCCGGAUUAGGAGCCCCAACAUGACCACAAAGGGUGUCGUCUGGAUCCAUAGCACUUAUAACACAAGAAGUUUCUGUCAUUCCAUAGCCUUCAAAUACUACACCACCAAAGCAGCUGUGGAGCAAUUACAUCUAAUUCUUCAGAAACUGGAAGAAAUCUGAAAUAAUAUAACCGUCUCCUAAAUUUAACUGUGAACCAAAAUAUUAAAGACUCACAUCUUUAAAAAUUCCAGUAUAUCAGGAGACAACGGUGAAGCACCAGAUGCCAAGACACGAACUCGUCCUCCAAGCUUUGCCUUUAUCUUAUUAAACACCAAUUUAUCCCAGAGGGGAGAUGGACUUUUUCCUUUAAUAGCAGGAUGCCCCAAAUACAAACAAUAAAUCGAUUACAAGAUUUUGAAAAUACUAACACAUAAAAGGUGAAAAUGAAAAUGUCGAACACAAAUGGAUGCAAGUAGGAACUGAUAAGCAAAAUUUAUGAAAAUUGAGAACGGCAAGGACAAGGACCUAAAAGGCACUAACGCAAACACAAGAUAUGGAUGCAACACAAUACAAACACAUUAAUUUCCAUCGUACCGUUCAUUAUUGCUUGUCUUUUGGAAUUGUAAGCUGCAUUGAACAGUCUCUCCUUCAGCACACCAGAGGUCUUUACAGCAUUAAUAAUUCUGUUCACCAUGUAAUCAACUCAAUGACAAGAGAAGCAUUGUAUUUUCUGAUUGAUCAAUUAACUUUUGAUGCAUGAUCUUUACCCAGCAUAUAUUCUGUUAUACAGCCUGGGAACACUGCAGAAGAUUGUAGGUCUUAAUGCAAUCAUAUCAUCCAUCAAUUUCAUAUUGUCCUAACACAUGUAUAGAAGAUCACAUCAGGUUGCCUCAAGUAAUGAAUGAAAUCACUCUCAAGUUCAUAGUAAGCUCAGUACUCAAUGAAGUUAGUAUAGAUAUAGCUUCAUACCCCCUGGUAAAAACCAACAGCAACCCCAAAAUAAACCGUCGAGACCUGGUUAGCCCGUUCAUAUAUAUGUGCCAAAGGGAGGUACGAUAUGUAGCUGAUAAUUAGAAUGUAAAUCAGUGCAAACCAAACACAUCAAUAAAAUUAGACGACAGUGUCACAUUACUGUAAUGUAAAAGUGAAACACCCGAUGCUUACACAUCUGAGGGGAAAAAUUUCAAAGCAAGAGAACAUCCAGCAACACUCGCAAUUAAAUUCCCAUGUGUCAAUACAGCACCCUGGCAAGAUAUUAAUGUGAACAUAAGAAAAAUAACCUUGUUAGGUGUGAAAGAUCAAGUCAUCAUUAAACAAUGUCAGCAGCUUCGUGCUCAGAUAGAAGAAUUUUUAGAAGUUAUACCUUUGGGGUCCCAGUUGUACCACUCGUGUAGCAAAUAGUUGCAAUGUCAUCAGAUUUUGGAGGGCAAAAAGGCUGGAUGUUAGUGCUACCCUGGAGGAAAGAAUGUCCAAUGACAGGAUAACUUUUUAAAGAAAAUGGAGUAAACAGAACGGUACAUCUAAGAAACCAUAAUCAUACCCCACCCCACCCCCCACCCCCCGGUUGUUGAUUUCAUUGAUCAAUAAAAGAAUUCAUUUCUUUUAAAAACAAAAAUGGUAGGAUAUAUGUGGGUAGUAACCACAGGGAAAACCCAUGCUAGCAAAGAAAUAUGAAGUUGCAUAUUGCUUCUUUUAUCACCAUGCAUCUAAGAAAGAUCCAGCAAUAUUUUUGUGGUCUCGAACUAGGGCUCUUCACUAAUGUUGGAACGUGAACCAUUGAUAACUCAUUUCGUUUCCUUUGGGAGUUUUAUUCCUUUUCAUUAUCUCAAUGAGUGGUUUUUGAAAAAUAUACAAAUAUACAUAGCUUAAUAAAGAAGAUGCAGCCCCAUAGGACUCACGCAAACGGCUAACCAUGUAGCUUCUUUCUUAUGACAUCUUGGGAGGACUUUUUCAGUUUUUCCUAAUCUUAUUUCCUUCUCCUUUCCAAUUAUAUCAUGGGAAACUAAGAGCUUACCUGACUAAGCAAACUUGCAUACGUUAGAACCUGCACCCCUGUCGAUGAUGGAAGUGAUGGUAUUUGAUCAUCUACCCCACCUACAACCUACACAUUUUGGAAGCUAAAUUAAUUAACUAAUUGUAGGUUGUAACAAACAGCCGGAUAUCAGAUCAAAUUAAGAUCAAUUGGCCGGAUAUUAUAUCAAAUUAAGAUCAAUUGCAAACACACUGUGAUUCAUACCACAAUCAGCCGUACGGUUGGAAUUUCUGACAAGAAGCUUAGUAACUGCGAAUUAAAAGUUAAUUAAUAAUGAAUUAUUUCCUGAAGUCAAAUCUCCCAUCAAAAAUCAAGAAUAUAGCUGAGGCCAGUUUCUGAUACUAUGAGAAACAGGUCCUGCAGCAAUGUUAUUUCUUUUGAAUAUCAAAAUCAAUUUCUAAGAAUGCAACAGAUCGACUAAAAUCUCAAAUGUUUCACUCACAGAAUUCAAUGUUUGAGGAACACAAAAUAUAACUUGUACAAGAGCAUGAUUUACAAUAUACUUGACCGCAUCAGGACCUGUAAGAAAGAAAGAAAUUCAAACACAACACCAAAAGGGGAAAUUUUCAAAAUAAAAAACAAUAUCUAAAAGAGAAAUGACAAACCAAGAGUAUCGUAUAAAGGAACUGAUAUGUAAGAAUAUGCUGAGCAGGCGUGGUCAACUACAAGCCACUCAGGUCUAUUGAUGAAAUAUAAUCCAAUGCAAGAUCCCUGUGCCAAGGAUACCCACAAUAGUUAGACAACGCUAAAGAAAUAAUAAACUAAAUAUUAUUCUUUCUUAUCUUUUCUUUUUCUAUAGAAAAACUAAACAUUAUCAUAGCUUUAGGCAUUCAGUCACUCACCUUUGGUAUACCAUGAUUUACAAGGCCAGAACCUAAUGCUGUCCGAGCAGUACCUGCUUCUCCAUAUGUCAUCCAUUUGUACCUUAAACAGUGAGGAUUUGUCACAAAAUAUGGAAAAACCCACAGCAAAAGAAUUAGAAAUUCAACGGUAGCAUAAAACUCACUCUCCAACUGUUCCAUCACAUCGGAUUCGGGUACCUAGAUAUUUAUAGUCUCUAUAUACAUCAGUUGAGCGCCUAAAGUGGAGAAAGUAAAAUCACAAGUCAAAAGCUAUAUAGAUAAUCAAUAUUAGCAGUAAACAAAGAAUACCAGUUCUUUGUGUUCGGAAAUGAGAUAGAUGAAGUAAAGAUACUCACGUAAAGUUAUCGUGCAAUGUACCAAUUUCCGGAUGAUCAGGAAAUCUAUCCACAAGCUUCAAAGGAGAGCGAGCAGAUCUACCACGAGGAAACAAAUUAUCUUUAUGAAGCAUAGUCAUGCAGAAAGGGCAAAUCAAAUUCAAAGAACCCAUUAAAAUCUUUACCUAUAUACAUUCCACUUUCCAGUCUGCAAUUUCUCUGGAAGCACAACGCUGUAGCCAUCCCCUGCUCAGAAUUAAUAACUUUGACAAUGUCAAUCAAGCAUGGAGAAGAAAGAGGACGAUUAGUAUAAUAUAUCAAAUAUAUUUACAGAAACAGGGUACAGCAUUUCUCAUUUCCUCAUAUUCGAUGAUAUUAGACAUGGAGAUGGUCCACUAAAAUUGUCUAAACUUGUACAUCAUAAAAACUGUGGCUCACCACCUUGAUCAUGCCUUUUGUUUAGAUUCUGAUUCAAAAUGGUUUUUGAUUUUUCUCUAAAUACCAACUAGAAAAUCCCAACCUAUAGCCCAAUAGUCACGAACUGAAGCUGAAUAUUCUUGCAACAAACAACAAUCCCAGAAACUCUACUACUAAAUGUAGAAUCUUCGCUCAGUGCAUUCAUAUACCAUAAAAUGUAAAGGAAAAGGUCGUUAGUCAUAAUUUCUAAAUUGAUAUAAUUCCUUCCCGAAAUCACCACGUUCUUCCAAUCAGUUCCAAUUCCAAUGCAGCCUGGAACCAAAGACUUCAACUACUUCGAUAAAAGAACUGCAACCUAUUGAUAAAGGAUGAAAGACAUCGCCAGAAUUGAGAUAGAACUUGAAAAAAACAAUCCGGUCACUUCUAAUUUCCAAUUUGAAAGACUCAUCAGAAACUCGAUAGUGCUUCCGGGCUAUGGCCAAUAAAGAACCAUGUGUCCCCACAACUUACAUGGUGAGUUUUUAAACUUUCCUUUUCCAUUUGUUCUUCAGUAACUAGAUCCUAGCGAUAGUAGUUGUUAUCCCCCCGUUCAAAUAAUGUUUGGCAGCGUCUAGAUCCUAUGAAGUCAACCAUAUUAAUCACUAGCACUGAACCUUCUGCCUUGCGACAUAGAGAGAAAAAAGCAAUGUGAAAAAUAAGAACCUCAUUCGUAUGCAUAUCAAUCCGUACAAACCUCUUUCAAUUCAAUCAAUUUUGAGCUAGCUCGAAUGAUCGAAGAGUAAAUGAAAAGAGAGGAAUCGUGCACAAUCAACAACGCCCCCAACCACACAGACAUUGAGAAUCUCAAAAAUCCAGACUCGAAAAAUAAGAAACUCCCUCAGCAACGGGACAAAGCAGAAUCAACGUAGAACAGACACAACAAGUGUUCAAACAGCCAGCAUUUAAUCAACAUUCGUUGAUACCAAUGCGUUUGGGCAAAAAACCAUAUCUCCUAUGGCCCACGUUUACUCUGAUUGGCUGCGAACAACAAUAAAAACGAAAACCAAGCCAAUAGUCAUAUCCUCAUCGGCUAUAAAACGUUACAGAUCCCUAGCUUUUCAUAGGAAAUUAUUAAACCACUCAUAACAAAAUACGCCAGUGAGAUUUUCACACAUCAAGAUAUAAAAUGAAGAACAACUAAGCGAGAGUCAAACAGAAAGAGAGAGGGAGGGAGAGACCGCUAAAAAACUCGCCAGCAGUUGCAUUAAGCUGGAGCUGAGAAGAAGAGAAUUCGCUGGCGGGAACAAGAUGAUCCUGAAUGGCUUGUAUCCGACGUCGAGCCGCUGAAGAAUCCAUAAGCACGCAAAGAUUUCAAUCCGCCACUCCCAAUCUAAGCCGAUCACUAUAUAGAAAAAGCAAAGUAGAACGAGAAUCCUAGUAUUCAAUUGAAUUUCGUCGAUGAAGAAAAAAGGUAAAAAGAACAAAAAAAACAUUUAUGUAUAUACACUUGCCGGAUAGAUUAUUGAACAGGCACGCAUCUUUAGGUAGAUGACGGUACAAUGACGGGAAUAGCGAUCCGGAUAAUAGCUUUCUGAUUAUUUUGAAAAGAAAAAUUAAUCGUUCGAUUAUCCACAAACAGAAGCUGUGAUCCGUAUGAUGAACAAGAAAACAAAUCAGUAGAAGGAGACGUGAACGUAAAACGCAUUCACAUUCGAUUGGUUGAAAUUGUAGUUGAGUUUGAUUUUUCGGUCAACUUUCCAUUUCGGAAUUUUGCCUUCCAUUACUCCGUUUGAUCAAAAUCCUGCGGCCUUCGAUGCACUCUUUUUGCAAUUCAAUUUUACCAUUAAAUAAAUUAUAGCAAGAGAAAACAAACUUGAACCAUUGCUGCGAAUUUGUAACGAUUUCCAUUUCGUAUGAAUACAAUAAUCAAUUCCAAAAUAUUGGCGGUCCAAUCUUAAAAUACUUUUGGAUAAACUUUUGUACAUUCAUUACCUAAAUUUUUGUACGUCCAUCUAUUUUCAAUUUUGCACCCUCUCGAAAAAUUGGUAGGUAACAAUUUCAGGCUUAUAUUUUUAAAUUUGUAAAAAUUUAAAAUAAAUAUUCAAAGUUUUACUAUUUUAUGAUAGAAUGAACAUUAUAUUUUAUAAAGUUAUUGAUUUAUUUAUGUAACAGAUGUCAUCAAACUUGUGAGAUCAUUUAUAUAAUAUAAAUUAAAUUGUUACAAAAAUUUAAAAUAUGAAAACUAAAUUAUUAUGUAUAAAAUUUAUGGACUAAACUAUCACAAUUUUGAAAAUUCAAAUAUUAAAUUUAUAUAAAUAAAUUUUUUAUUAACUAAAUUAUUACCUCUACCUAAAUUUAGAUGCAUUUACGCACCUCAUUUGAAAAAAAAAUUAUCUAGGAAUAUAAUAAUCACUAAUUUGCUAACGUAAACACUAUUUAAAAGUCUAUAAUUGGGUGGAGUAAAUAAUAUUUCAAAACUCAUAAUUUGCUACAGUUUUUACUAUUUGACAUUCAUUUUUUUUGUUAUUUGCUACCAUGUUUAUUGUCUUCUUAUUAAGCCAAAAUAAUAUACACACCAAAACACAUAUUAACUUACCUCAAACUAAAAUAAUUUAUACCUUAAACAUAAAUUAUUUUAAUCAAUUUAUGACUAUAACAACUCACUAUUUACUCCAAACACCUCUUUAAUAUAAUUCACAUUUUGUUACAUCGAUCUUUUUUUAAAACAUGAAAUCCUUCAAAAAUAUUUAUUUAAUAAUAUACCAAAUUAGGUUAGAAACUUCGAGUUCUUAUAAAAAUAAUUAUGACAACAUCACUCAUGUCAUUACAUUUUAUGAAUUGCAAAAGCAGCAAAUUUAACGUUCAUAAUCAUAUAAUUACCGUUAGAUAGUUGUAAUAUCAAUAAUUUUAUCAUAUCCGUAGUAUUAAAAAAAUAUGUGUCAUAUAAACUGUUUUAUUUUUAAUAUGUUCGUGCAGUUUUUUUUUUUAUAUAUAUAUAAAGUUUCCGCGAACAAUACAACACAACAAUUAAACAUAUCGAAUAAGAAAUUGUCACCUAAUAAAUAGUGACCGUCGAUUAAUUACCUAAAAACAGAGACUAUCAUUGAACAGAUGGUAAAAAAGAAGCUACGUUUCCACACGUGUUUAGAAGAAUCCACAUUUUUUUCGCAAAUGAUACCUUAUCUUCCUCUUUUACCGUUAAAUAUAAACGUCCCUAUUCAAUGUUUUCUCAAAAGAUAAUUUCAAAAUAUCAAACAAAAAAAAAUUAUUCCGCCUUCCUGAAAAACCACUAAAAACAAUAUUUUAAUACACUUCUUGAUUUUUCGUAAAUAUUUUAUCUACUUUAUUGACCCAUUUUUAAAUAAUGUUUAUCCCUUCUUUCCUUUUUUAUUUUAGUAAGAAAAAGUAAGAGAAUAUAUUGAUUUGUUUUUUAUUUUAAUAUAUUUUUUUAUUAUAUUUUAACUAAAUUAUAGUUACGAUGUAGUGGUUUUAUUUCCACAAAACCACCAAGUUGAGAGUUUGAUUGUUGUUUAUUAUAAUUAUUUUUUAACUAUAACUAAUUUACUUAAUACUUGAUCUUAUAUACAUAUUUUGUGACGGUAUAAUUAUAUCUAGUUUGCUAUAUUCAAUAUUUACCAGUUAAGUUGAUUUAUUUGAUUUUGGAUGUAUCAUAUAUUUCAAUUAAACUUUUACAAUGGAUCGAUUUUUGGGAUAUUAAUGUAAAUGGCAGCUUGGUAAAAAAUAUUUACGUUAAUUCUUUAUUUUAAAAUACCUCUAACUUUUUGCUUUUAAACAAAUAUUUUUACUAAAUGCUAAUUCCUUUUUGAUUUACCGUACGAAAAGAGAGGAUUUUACUCUAACUUUUUGUUGGCAGUGAUAUGUGUAUUAACGCAUUAAAUUAAAUUAUGUUAUCACGUAGUAGAUUAGCACCUAAAUAAUAUUUCUUAAAGGAAUGGAUUAAAAUUAAAACACCCAUUGUUUAUCAAUAUUUUUUGUGGCCACCUGCGUCUCUAAAGGGCUAGUGGAUACAUAGCUACGUUGUACUUAAAGGCAGGCAAGGUCGGUUCACUUGUGUUUCUUAAUUAACUUAAUUUAGUUUAUGUUCGUGUGAUUGUUUUAAUUAGUACAUAGUAUAUUUAUUUUGUCUAGUGGGUAUCAAGACAGUAUCCAUAUUGAAAAUAUAUUUUAAAGUUACUAAAAUUAUUUUCUCCUAUGAUCUUCUGUUUUUUUCAUUCCAUGUUUUUUUGAGUAUAUGCUUUAAUUCAAAAGUUGUAGAGAACAAUUGAUAUAUGCAAUUUAAUACUUACGACGAAUUUUACUUUCAAGACAGUAGUUCGUCACAACAUAAUAAUGAUUGACAUUUUUUGUUUUCAACCUUUUCUAAAUGCUAUUAUAAAAAAACUAUUAAUAAUUAUAUAUCAAUUAUUGAGUAGUUUAGCUUCAAUGAAACUCCAAUAACCCAACAACUCUCGAAAUAGCUCCAAAACUAGUUCAUAUGUAAAAAAAUGUGAAAUAAAGUUUGACGUAAAAAUUUAUGACAUUCUCUACGUUGGAUUAAAUGUGAUCAAUUUAUAAUUUUAAUUUAGUUGGAUGACAAAAGGCUGUGUAUUGAAAUUUAUAUUCUUUUAAAAAAAAUUAACUGCUGCAAAUAAAAUACAAUAUUGUUAUUCAAAAGUUUGAAUUGUUUAAAAAACAAAAAAAAAUGUGCAUGUUAUAUUCACACAUAUACAGUGUUGAUUUGUUAGAAAUUUUGGAAAUCAAAAUCAUAGCAUAAAACUAAUUGUGCUCAAAGUUAAAUAAAUAUCUAAACACACCCGUCCUAUGAAAAGAUUGAAAGGUUAAAUAAUUGCAAAUAUGAAAGUGAUUUUUGAACAUAAGAUUAUUAUUCACUUAUGAAGCAAACACCACAUGCAAAAAUAUAUAAUUGAAAAGUUAUAUAACAAUUUUCAACGCUUAAUUAACGAGUUAGGGUUUUAGUCCAAAAAGAUACAUAUUUGUUCCAAAACCUAUUUUGUAUUUAGGUUUACGUUAUUUACAAAUUUGGCACUAUAGGUCGAAUAAACGUGUUAUAUAAACUAUCACUAGUAUCUCUAAAUUUGUCGUAAUAUGAGAUUAAAUGGCUCUCUUGAAAGAAACAUAGCAAAUGUAUUGAUAAUGAAUCACGUAAAUUCAAGACGUGUUGGACGUUUGAGAUGGGGUGAUAGCUAGCGUGGAAAUGGGACCAAAGAUGGUGGGUGGGAGGAAGAUCUGGACCGUGAAAUAUGCUGACUUUGAGUUGACUUCAGGGAUGUCGGUGGGGGGAAGAGGAGUGGGUUCGGGGAGGAUAAAUCAUGAACAGCCCAAUCAGGAAAUUGCAGCGAACCUAGCGGGUUUUCAAUCAGCUCGUCCUAAUUAUUUUUUUUAUAUGAAAAACAACAGCUAUUGUUGGCCCCUUCAUUAUUAUUCUUUCCUUCAUCAUUUUAUUCAUUCCCUUAUUCUGAUACCUCACCCAAGAAAAGAAAAGGAAAUUAAAAUGUAAAUGGAAUUCUAAUUCAUUAAGUUUGCAAUACACCUUUUGUGAGACCAAAAAUAAAUAAAUUGUUAACGAAGUGAUGACUUCCUUUUUUAGAUUCUGAAAGAAAUUUAUUUUCUGUACUUUUCUUAAUAAUGACUUGUUACUUCUUUUUUUUAAGUACGAGAAAUCAAACUUUAAAUACAAAAUUUUGUUUUUUCUAGAUUAGAUUACGAUUUGAUUUGUGAAAGUGUAGAUAAACAAAUAGUUUAAAAUGUAUUUGUUGACUUAAUUUUUAAAAACUACAAAGCUAAUGUUUUAUUUUUUUAUUUUUAAAAUAUAUAAUUAUGUACGUUUUCUCCUAAUUGACUACCAUUGGUUUCAUCUUUCAUAAAUAAAAUACUUAAAAUUUGGUCACACUUACAAAAACAAAGCAAGUUUACAACUAUUUUGUUAGUUUCAAAACUUGAAUUGGGUUAUAAAAAAAUGGUAAGGAGAAAUAAAUAAAAAUGCAAUAAAUAUGAACUUUUUAGAAAAAUAUAUAACAAGACUAUGUCGUAAAUAUUAAUUGAUAAUGUAUUAUGAUAAAUCGUUAUUUGUGUUUAUCUAGUUGAGACGAUAAAUGUAGUGUGAUGUUCUUAAAUAUACAAGACCGUCAAAAUAUCAAAAUAAUACGAGAAUACGUGUAAUUGGAGUUUGAAAAAUGUAGGAGUAAUUAAGAGUAGCCAAUAAUAUGCACACCCAAUAUUUUUCUUAUAAAUUGAUAUAACCAAACAAGAAACUUCCUUCCAAAUUCCCAAUUUCCAAAUUCAUUCUCUCUCUCUCUCUUUCUAAUUACUUCAUCUUCUUCGUUGUUCAUGAAGAAAAUCAAAGAUGCAAAAGAUUGAAAAAAACAGAGACCCAAUAACUAAAUCCCACUCCCUAAUCUCACCAUUAUCUCCCAAAAAUUCCUUCUCUUCAUCUUCCUCCUCCGAUUUCGAAUUCACCAUCUCAAUCUCCCCUCGUAAAUCCUCCAUCGCGCUCUGUCCCGCCGAUGAGCUCUUCUGCAACGGCCACCUUCUUCCUCUCCACUCUCGUCGGAACUCCCUCGUUCCCACCCUCCUCCCUUCCUCCAGCACCUCCUCAUCCGCCGACUCCGCCGCCACCACAGCCUCCCGUGACUCCACCGGUAGCUCCUCCACCGGAAGCUCAUCCACUGACUCGUCCCGCUCCUCCUCCCAAAAUGAUCCCACCCGCCCUACCUCGGACGCCGCCGAUCUCAAUACCGGAAUCCGACACCGGCAUGAUAAGAAAUGCAAACAGUUUUCUUUUUCUAGAUUAUCGUCGGUUUUUAGAAAAGAGCCGAAGAGUGUUAAUAAUGUUAGUACAGGAGGCAGUAACGCCAAGCCGCCACGUGUUAAAGGGAUUGGAUCCACCGCUAAGCAAGUGAUCAAGAAGUACUUCAGAAAAGUUCAGCUGAAAAUUGGGUCCAAAUCCUGCCACUCGCCAGCCACGCCGCCGCUUCCGCCGGAAUCCACGAAAAAUAGUUCCUUAACUUCCGGCAACGCUGAGGAGAGCGGCAGAUUCUCCCUCUCAUUUUCAGGAAAUUUAAGGUAUAUAUCUUGUAAUAAUUAAGUUUAACUUUUAGACCUCUAAGGUAAUUUGUGCUUCAAAUCAAACAAAAAUAUAGAAAACUAAUUUUUAAAGAAACUUAGCUUGCAUAACGUUUUCAAUUUUAAGAUGACUAUUAUUUUGAUCUCGAUAUGAUAGGACUAAAAAAGCAUUAUCUGAUGAAACUCAGUAAUCUUGUUGCACCAGUUCAAUCAUCAUGGAGCUAAACUCAAUCUAAAUAUUUGUUUUUAAAUUAUUCGUCCAAAACUUGUAAUAGGUUAAUUACACUGUCCUUUCAUAAAAGAUUUCAAACUACUUUUAGAUUCAAAAUAUUUUAACUGAAAUUGGGAUGUAGAUAUAGAUGUCACGAAAUAAAAAUCGAGGUCGCAUAAUUCAAUUUCUAUUCAAUAUUUAAUUAAUUGUGUUAUUUUGAAAUAUUCAUGAAAUUAUAAUAUUGUAAAUUUUUUUAGAAAAAUGGAGGUACUUUUUAAAUUAAACCAGAGACAAAUUUGAAGAUUAGUUUCAUAAUUUUAGUCAAUAUUUUAUCGGUAUAAUGUAUGAUUGUGUAUUGUAUUUAAUAGAUAAGUGUACCCCAAUUACUAAAAAAAAGAGUAUGUCCAGAAAGAAAUGCUUUAGCUACUAUAAAUAUAAUUGCAUGGCUUAUUGAUAUUUAAAAGUGUUUCUUUUCAAUGUUUUUGAAGAACGAUUACAAAAUUAAUUAGCUGUGGUAAAUGUAAUUAAUUAAUUAAUUUACAAUUUUUAACCAGGUAUCCACGUGGGAGAAGCAGCCUCCUACCGAGUGGCCCAUCUUCAACACGGUCAUCACCGAGUCACUCCGGCGUUCUCCGGCGAGGUGGCGUACAAAGCAUGAGUUCCGUUAGUGGCUACGGAUCGUCAUACUCCGCCGACAUGUCGUCAAUGGAAGAACUCCACAGUGCAAUCCAAGGCGCCAUUGCUCAUUGCAAGAAUUCACUAAUCCAUAACAAGAACGCCGACGAGUCGUCCUUAAGCUGAAUCAGCCCCACACUACAGUUUUUAUUCCAUAAUUACAUCUGUAAUUUAUUUUAGGGUAUUUUUAAAAUUAUUAGCUGUGUAUUUUUAUUGGCGGUAUUAUAUAUAUAUGAGAUGUAACUUUUAAGAAAUAGAGUUGUGUGACAAUAAAUGUUGGCUACAUGAUCAUAUGCUUGCCCUUUUUGUAAGUGUCUGUUUUAUUUUUCCAAGAAACUCCAAAAUUGCCAAUGAGUCAACUGCCUCAAUAAUGUGCUUCCUCUCUCAAUAAUUUUUUUUCUUUGAAUUUGUUUUUGUUUUUUUUUUUUGGUGUUUCAAAUGUAUGAUUGUGUAGUUCAUAAAAGUCGAAAAUGGACUACAAAUUGUGAUUUGAUUGAGGAACAAACAAAAUAGAUGGAUGUUUGGUAGGUGGGCGUUAUUAAGUACUUGUUUCUGGGAGGGGUGUUAAAAAAUUUUGACCAAUCAAGAAAUCCGAUCAAGCCCCACCCAACUUAAUUGGUAUAUAGUUUAGGUUGGGGUUAUAUCAACUAAGUGAUAGAAAUGGUUGACGGCAAGGUAAGAAUAGGGUUUUCAAUUUAUUUUUCAUUAUUGUUUUGUUCGUACCUAAUCACGCCAUUGUAAGAAAAAGAGUCUAAGCUCUGAUACCAUGUGCUGAAUUUAAAAAAAAAAAAUACAACAAAAUGGUAAAAGCUCUUUGUACAAAGAGAGCAAAGUAGAUACUAUCAUUGGUAUAAAUAGCCAAAAAUGCAAUACACUUGUUUGAAAUAUAUUGGAGAACAGAUAACAAAAUGAAUUAUGAAAAUAACCCAACAGACUACAAAAAAAAAAAAAAAAAAAAAAAAAAAAAAAAAAAAAAAAAAAACUAAUAGCAAAGGAUAAAAAAUAUAUAUCUAUCACUAAUUUGAGUUAGUUAAAUUAAGUUGAUUUCCAAUAAAUGAAAAUUUUAAGUUAACUUAAAUUUAUGUUAUUUUUAAUAUAUAUAUUCAUGGUUUUUGUUUAUCAUUUAUUAUUCAACACUUCUAAGAAUAAUAAUUUUAGCAAUUUAGAAAAAAAAAAGUUCUAUGAUAUAAAUAUGUAAAUUGUGUUGCUAAACUUUGAUCCAUAUAUACGUGAAGAUAAUUAAAUAAAUAUUUUGCAUUUAACAUUUGUGUAUCUUAAAAAACAUAAACCAAUCACACAAGUAAUCCAAAACUAACUCAAUUACCUAAAUAUUUCAUUAGUUUGAGUUGGAUUUAUUAUCUAAUAAAAGAAACUUUCAACAUAAACAAUUAGAUGGAUACAUUUUUAAUAACAUGUAUGGAUUGAUUAGUUAAUUAGCGUGAUAAAAAUACAUCUGUUAUUCAAAAUUGAAGUGAUAGAACAAAUUUGUAUGAAAGUAAAACUAAACAGUAAAACAACUCAUUCAAUUACCAUAAAAAUCAGCACUCAUAAAUCAAACGAAAAUAAUUAAUAUUAAAAUGAAAACAUAAGAAAGCUUAGAAAAUAAUAAGAAAUUGAAUUAAUUUAAAUUUUCUUUAAACGAUAUUGGGAUCUAAAAUAAACAUUAAAAACAAAUCUUUAAAAGUUGCUAAAAAUGCAUGAAAAAAAAGACCUAAGACGAAAGUGAUUCUAAAACUUAAAUUACUACCCUCACUGCUUUUGAAGCAAACACCACAUGCAAAACAGAAGCAUAUCGGAUUGAUCUGGACCGUCAAUUAUGGUGACUUUGUGAUAUCGGAUUCAUAAGGUUAAAUCUUGAACAAGUCAAAGAGGAAAUUUCAGCGAACCUACCGGCUUUAUUUCAAUCGCCUAAUGCUGAUUAUUUUAUUUUGUUUUUUGUUUUUUUAUAGAAAAAUAUUGUAAAUAGCAAACUCGUUAAAAUAUCCACAAAUCAUAGUAAAGUAAAAUUAAGCAUAGAUACUUAUUAUAUACUUAUUUUGCCGGUGUCUAUAAUAUAAAAUGUUAAAAUAAGCUGUUCGGUAACUAUUUUAUUUUAAUUUUUGUUUUUUCUGUUUUAAAAUUUUUAUUUAUUAAAAGUAAUAACUAUAUAUAUAUUUGGUAACCGAUUUUUAAUUUGUUAACAUAAAAACAGAGAACAAAUGGUUAGAUAGUUAAUUUUUCCAUAUUUAAUAAUGUCCAUUUUUUUUUUUUAUAUACGAUGCUAAUUAUUUUAGAGUAUUAAAGAACAAGUUCUCAUUCAUUGUUAUUAAUUAUUUUAAAAUGAAAUUAACACGUUCUAACUUCUAACUUCUAACUCAUUAACGUUAAUGUUCAAAAUUAGUAAUAUAAAAUCAGAAGUAAGUUUCCAGUAUAUUUACCUAUGAUUUUGAUAUUUAAAGUGAAGCUAAUAAAUGUUUAUUUUCAUAUUAAGUUUAUACCGCAACAUUUCAUUUCAUAUUAUUACACCUUCAUGUGUUCGACACAAAAUUUAAACGGUGAAUCAAACGCUUCUAUUAUAUAUUUAGAAAAAAAAUAUAUAAAUAAAAAUAAAUGAUACAGUAAAUAAAUAACAAUUUAAACUUAAAAUAGUAUGAGAACAUUUCAUUUGCUUUCGUUUUCGUGUUAGGUAAUUAUGCACUUGAUUCUCUAGCCAAAUGACAUGUAUCUUUUCCUUGCUAUGUGGAUAUUUCCUUUUCCUUUAGGUUUUCUUAUCAAUUUUUAAAUACGCGUGGAUAUUAACAUUUUAUCAAUCUACAUUUUUAUAAAGUUAAAAACGUACCUCAACUCUUCUAUCACCAUCAAUACUUUAAACAUUAUUUAGUGUGUUUUUUAAAUUUAGGUUGAGUGAAAAAUAUGAAAAUCACGAUAAUUGAGUUAUAUAAAGAACAAAUAAUCAAAUUUUAAAAUAAAUAAAUAAACAUCAAUUUUAAACUGUCCUUACAAUAUCUCAAUUUAAUAGUUCCAAGUUUUGCAAAACAUAUAUUUAUAUUGCCUGCCUUAUCUAACCUAGUUCUUUUAGUAUAUUGAAGUACAUGUAACAAAGGUGAAGUUGUGAAGUUUCAUACGAGGAGAGGAAUAAACAAAUUAAGAAUGAAGAUGACCAACUAAAGUACACUAAAAAGUGUUUUAAUUUACUCAAAAAAUUGCAGUCGAGAAAGGGAAGUUUCAACUUCACUGUUUUUUUCACUAUGUGUUUUUGACCCGUGACAUAAAAAUAUCGAUUUGAUAUCUAAUCUUUUAUACUAUGAUUAUUCGAUUACAAAACUCUCUCACGAUAGCUUAACAUAACAUGUUUACCAUGAAAAUUUUCUAACAAGUUUUCAAGUAAUUAAUUUUUCAAUAACUCUAUCGAUCACAUAUUUUAUGUGUUAUCUCGAAUAAGUAUUAGGUGCAUAUUUAAUAUUAAUUUUUUAACAUCAAUAUUUUAUCAACAAAAGAUUGUACUUGGUAUAGAGUAAGAUUAACAACAGACAUUGCAUUUCCAUAUGCAUGGGAAACAAAUUGCAGGUCUUUUAAAUAAACACCUAACCUUCAAUUUUGUAUAUCAAAAGUUAGUUACCACUGCAGUUUAGAACCUCAUUUACAGUGUUGUGUAUUGAUGUACAUUUUCCUUCCAUCUUCUUUGUACUAUAGCAUUGAAGAUAAAAUCUUGUAUUUCCUGGACAAUAAUUGUAGUAUUGGUCAGUGUAUGUGGAGCGAAGUAAAUGGUUGAGUUAGAAGGGAUUGUGUUUGUGGGACUGAAACGGCGGUGGAAGUCGGUUAGAUUGGACCUCCUUGUGUGUUUACCUUAUUGGUCGUCGGAUCUAUCUUCCACCCGACAUGUCGAUUAAAACGACGUCCCAUUUAAGACUAUGCGACAUCUCACAUGCCAAUUGCCAAUUACCAAUUACACUGCUUGUGCUUCACUUUCACACCCUCUCUCUUUUUUCAAAUCUACUGUUUUUCCGGCCUUGACUCUCAGUCGCUUUCCACACCAUGUGGGUUCCCCACGAUGUUGCCUAUCCCUUGCUUUCUCAUGGGCCUCCGAGGCCCAAUCCGUUCCAUAGUCUUCUCGGAUCAUCCAUUGUAGGCCCGCUUCAAAUUCCAUGUUUUGUUUUUUUUUUUUAAUAUUUUGGUUAAAAUAUCCUUUUCACCUUUUUUUUUUUUCUUCUUCGAGAAAUUUGCAUCAUUGUACUUUGUUCAAGUUUAGAGAGGACAUGUAUAUAUAUGAUUUAUACUAUGACAUAUGUUACCGUUAAAGAAUGAACUCUUAACAUUAUUCUUUGUUCGUUAAUAUUUUAAUUAUUGUCGAACCACUUUGUGUAUUGUGGUUCUACUUCAUCGUCCAAUCAAUUAUUUGUCAUUUUAUACAUAGAUAUACAUACUAUAAAUACUAGUUUAGUCAUAUUAUUGUUCAAACUACACAAAAGUGAUCUCAAUAAUGUGAUGGAUAUUUACAAGUGUAAACUACAUACUGAAAAUCUCAAUGCUAUUAUAUAUUGGACAGUGUUUACAACUAGUUGUAAUGUUAUAACUGAUCAUCAACAUAUACGAAUAUAACAUAAUAUAAAACAUUAGUAUCUAAUACAAUACUCCACCACCAUGUUUAAGGGCAUGAAAACAUGUAGAAAAAAAAAUAACACAAUCACAUAAAAGUUCCUAACACAAUUUACAUUAUAUGUCCUUGAAAACAAUGAAAAGGUCUCUAUUGAUGAGUGAGAUCAAUACAUGAGCAUAAUCACAUCAAGGACAUCCAGGAAUAGUACAAGAGCACAUUCACAUCGAGGACAUCCAUAAAAGCUUAUAGAUGAGUACAUGGCCAUGCACAAAGAGAGACCUAUAAGUGUCAAAAAGGCGUCAAACAAAAUAAGAAGAAGAAAAAGAGGGGAUAAGUUGCAUCAAUCACAUCAACCAAACAAGCAACAAUUUGAUUGGUGAGAGCUAAAACAUAUUACAUUUAGCCUUUUGCCACAAUACAUACCAAUGCAUUGUCUUCAGUAGAAAGUUAAAAAGACAAUACUUAACCAUUAAUCACGUUGGUUUUGUGAAUGAGAUUUCAAAUAUUUAAAAAGAAAGAAUGAACUAGUAUUGUUUUCACAAUUAGUAACGAACUAAAACUUUGUGGUUAUAAAACACAAGCUUGUUAAAUAAUAUAGGAACAGAGUAAACAUUAACGAUUAUUUUUUGAAAAGUUAAUGAACUUAAACAAAAUAUCACUUUGUGUGGCAAAAUUCAUGAAAUAAAUGUAUUACAAUGGUUUCCAACCAAGAUAAACCCAUUUUAUCUAAUAAACUUUACUGUGUAUGUUUAAAACAUAGUUUGUGAUAAAUACAUUAAAGAUAUUACAGAAAAAUAACACAACUAAUGAUUAUAAUCAUAUUUUAAAUAAAUUAUAAACAACUAAUAGUUUUAAACAAAAUACUUUAAAUUGAGUACAUAAUUAUUCUUCUGUUUUCAAAUAUAGCAAUCGUCAAAAUAUAAAUAAUAUUGAUGAAAUCAUCCAUUUUUUAGAAGAAGAAAAAAGGCGUAUAGAUUAUUUAGCUACACCAAACAUUUGUAUUACAUUUCGAUAGGAUAAAAAACAAUCUUUAUUUUGGGUAUCUUUAUGCAAAAGCAAUUACUUGAAAAUAAUAAAAGACAAAAGAAAAGCAAAUGCAAUAGCAUGAGACUUUGGACCUCACAUCUCAUCAUAAUUGGUGACACGUACAAGUAGCUUCAAAUUCUUCAUGGCAAAGCCAAAGUUAUUUUAGGGUUCAAAAGAAAUUUUAUUUAAUAUACAUUUUUUCUUUGUUUGAAGAGACGAAAAGAUAAAAGUGAAAAGAAAAGUACAAAAAAAAAGGACCAAAAUUGAAACAGCCGCAAGCUCAUGGGGCGGUCCUUUCUACCGUGCCUUACUUAUCGGCGAUCUUCUAAAUUUGAAUAUCCAUCAAAAUGUUAUUAGAUUAUGUUAUUUUUCUAUUAGUCGAUCAACUUGAAUUUGAGAUUCUAUAUUUUUCAUUGUAAAGGUAACUGUCAACUUUUAAACUUUGUUUGAAAAACAUUUAAGAAACACCAAAAUAAUUUUUUAAAAUGACGUUUCGAGGGUCUAAAUAUGAUGUACCUAAAAGGAACGGUCUAUAAAAGAUUAAUAAAACAAUGGUUUGACGAUUACUUCACAAAUUUUCAACUAAUUUUAAGUUUUUCAAAAAAGAAAAAAAUGGUUUGACAAAGUGACAUAAUUAAAUUGAUAAUGUUCAAUAUACCAAACAUAAAGUCAGAAUAACCACAAAUUUAUGAUUUUUUUUUUGUCGUGAAUAAACAUACUAUUUUAAGUUUCAACAACAAAGUAUUGGUAAUUAUGUCUAGCCGUUAAAAUCAUGCAAGUAAUUGAAUUGUCAAGCAAGUGAAAUUAUGUUAAAAUUGACAUUUACAUCAUAUACUCACAACUUCGCUUUUGCUAGAUUUAUAUUAUUCAUCUAUAUGCACUAAAGUUAUAUUACGAAGCCUUUUCAAAUUUCAAAAGAUAAAGAGAAAAAGAAAAAUCACAACCACUUCGAGUAAUACAUAUAUAUAAAUAGUGUUCUUAACUGGUACGAACACUCACAUAUAUAAAAAAAAAUAGUGUUGUGAUAAAAUUUAUUUGUUAUUAAUUUAAUUUUGACACCUUCCCAUCUAGAAUAAAUUGUUGUAAAUAUAAUAUUAUAUCAUAUUUUUUUGGUGAGAAAUUUAUGAGGGUUUAUUGGACAUAAUUUUAGGUUGGAUUAAUGAGUUUUUGUAAUUUUUAAACUUAAGACAACCACUUUGUUUUUUAUUUUUUAAAAUGACAAAAAUUAUUUAAUUUAUAUCAAUAGGUGCUUUUAACUAUCUUACCCUUUACUAACCUUAUGGAAGUUUAAUUUAACAAAGUACAUGCUUUAACUAAAUAGUUAAGUGGUUGAGUUCUCAACCCUAGCUUUAAACUAUGAGAACAAAACUUAUCAUUUUUAACUUCACAUCAGAAAAUGCUUUUAACUUAUCAUUUUUAACCUCACGUAAUAACGUGCUUUUAACUUAUCACAUUCUCUUCACAAUUCAAAUUAACAAAUUUUCAUUAGUUAUUUUCCAUUCCUCUAUAUGUGAGGAUUGAUCAUUAUAAACAAAAGAGACUGAUUACUCUAUCAAACCUUUUCAUUUAACUAAAAAUAAAGGUUUAUCAAUAUUAUAAUAUUAAUAAUAAAGAAAAAAAAUUGUGGGCAGCACACGUGGACAAUCACCCAAAUCCGAUUGGUUCACGUGAAUGAUCAGACCCAUUUACUUUAGACGGUGGGAGAGAAGGAGCCGUUGGAUGAAGACACGUAGACAUUUAUAUUUCACGAGAGCAAAAGCCCAUUAUUAUACGGCCCAUUAACAAGUCACGGGAGAGAUGGGCCUCCACUGUUGACAAAACGUGGAUUUACGUGGGCCCACAAAUAUUUAGUGGGCCAGACUAUAGCGCACGUUAGUAAAAGUUUACUAAUUUUGACCUUUUUUACUUUUCCGGCGGGAGCGUAGGUUAGAUUUUACAAAUUAAAAUGAAUAGUGCGGUCCAGGGCGGGGAAGUUCUUGACCGGUCUUUGAUUAAAUGCGAGCCAGAACGAAAACACAAAGACAAAAGAAGAGGGAAAUCUGAAAAUACUUAGCAUACGAAUUUCCCAAACUACCCUCUAACCCCUUUCUUUCUUUCUCUCUCUUCUUCUCUUUCUCUUCCCUUUUCCCACUUGAUCAACCCCCUCCAGAUUUGGUUCUUUGGAUCAGCUUCUUCCAUCUCUCAUUAUCCAAGCUCCCCUGGUUGUUUAUGGAGCUUCAGAAGCGCCUAGAUCAGAAUCUCCCAGAGAGGAAAGGCCAUAAGCGGAAACUGGAGGAGGAAUUUGAAGAGGAACGGGAGAUCUCCGUGCCUACAGGGGACGCCAAGCAAGCGAUACUUACCGAGGUCAGUGAUCAAGUCGAAAUUCUCAAUUCUACUUUUUCAUGGAAGGAGGCCGAUCGAGCUGCUGCUAAGCGAGCUACUCAUGUUCUUGCCGAGCUUGCUAAGAACGGUAUACUCUUUUUUUUCCCGAUCUCGUUGUGUUUUACGCUUUUUCAUCUUUUUCGAUCUUGUGUUUCGAGCGUUAGUCUUCUUCAGGAUUUUCUACUCCUUUUUUUUUUUCUUAAUAUAUUGUUAAUUGAUUGGAAUUUUUGUGCCUUUUUUUUGGUGUUGGCAGAAGAAGUAGUAAACGUGAUUGUGGAAGGUGGAGCUGUGCCGGCUUUAGUUAAGCAUCUACAAGCACCGCCUACUAUUGAAGGUGAUCGUAGUCUUAAGCCAUUCGAGCACGAGGUUGAGAAAGGAAGUGCUUUUGCUCUUGGACUACUGGCUGUAAAGGUCAAAUUUAAUCUCUUCCGUUUGACCUGCCCUAUUUGUACACAAGUUUUCUAGUGUCAUUUUGAUAGCGUGUAUGACUUAUUUUUACACAUUUUUUGAGCAAAAGAAGUAGGGAGUUAGCUGAGAAGUAAUUUGUGCAUUUUUGUUCACGGUUUUGGCUCAAGGUAUUGUAAGAGUAAAUGCUAUAUUUCAAUUGGAUUGCAUGUUUAUAGUUGUAGCUCAUGCGUUACCCUUCCGGGCUUUUGUCGGACAUUUGCAUCUAAAUAUAAGUAAAACAUAUUUUAGUAGGCGUGUGCACCACUUAUCAACUUAUAACUUUCAUCCCAUUCCUAAAGCUCAAUUCGUUUUCUGCAAAUGAUGUCUGACCCACUUCUUCCUUUUUAUCCUCUCUCAACAGCCAGAGCACCAGCAACUGAUAGUUGACAUUGGCGCUCUAUCACACCUCGUUGAGCUAUUGAAGAGACACAAGGAUGGUUCUUCUCGAGCUGUGAACAGUGUUAUUCGUAGAGCUGCAGAUGCCAUUACAAAUCUUGCCCAUGAGAACAGUUUCAUCAAAACACGGGUUAGGUAUGUUUAGUUGAUUCACUUUUCAGUGUUACAAUUUUCAUUGAAGCCUGUUCUCAACGAGGAUUUAAAUAUUUAGGAUGGAAGGUGGGAUUCCUCCGCUUGUUGAGUUGCUUGAAUUUACUGACACAAAGGUUCAAAGGGCUGCUGCUGGGGCACUACGAACAUUGGCCUUUAAGAACGAUGAGAAUAAAAACCAGGUAAUUGGCAUUUUACUUCAAAUUGGAUGUUUAACUUUAGGUUUAAUUUGUAAAUAAUUUGUUAUCUUCGCUAACUGGCAGAUUGUUGAGUGCAAUGCUCUCCCUACACUGAUUUUGAUGCUUCGUUCUGAGGAUGCUGCUAUACAUUAUGAAGCGGUAGGAUUUUCCCAAGUCACAAACUCGAAUAUUUAGUACUUUUUAAUGGAGUGAUAUUUUGUUUGCAUUCUAUAAAAUCUGAAUUGUGGAUUUUAGGUUGGGGUUAUUGGAAAUUUGGUGCACUCAUCCCCCAAUAUAAAGAGAGAAGUUCUUCUCGCAGGAGCUUUGCAACCUGUUAUUGGAUUACUCAGGUAUGCCAAUCUUCAGGAUCCUUGUCACAUCUUUUUUCUGUUACUGCUUCACUACAUGUAACUUCAGGAAUCUUGUUUUGUAUGUUACUGCUUCAGCCCAUAUCUCGUGCCCAUCAUCUCAAUUUUUCUAUAUACUAUUGUAGCUCUGUCAAUCAUAACUAGUUAUGCUGUGAAGACAAAGUUGAUCUCCACUAGUCUGAAUCAUGUUUACCCUUCUGUGUUAGUUCUUGCUGCUCUGAGAGCCAAAGGGAGGCAGCAUUAUUACUUGGACAAUUCGCGGCAACUGAUUCGGAUUGUAAGGUGAAUAAAUUCGAUGAUUUAUUAUUUCAUGGCAACAAUUUUGAAAGGGAGAGUUGAGAAUCUGUAUACCUGUUAAAUUUGAUUUCUUGGGAAACAGAAGGGUAAAUUAUUCACUUUAUAAGAGUGCUGUUGUGUGUAUAUACCAUCACUUCAUUAAAUAUUUGUUUUAUUACAAAGGAUGUCUUCACCCUUCAAUUUCUGUUUCUCAUUCUCCUUUACUUAACUUUCUUACUGAAUGGAUAAAAAAUUUGCAGAUUCAUAUUGUACAAAGAGGUGCUGUUCGACCCUUAAUUGAGAUGCUUCAGUCACCUGAUGUACAGCUUCGAGAGAUGUCAGCUUUUGCGUUGGGGAGGUUGGCACAGGUACUAUAUUCUUUAUCUUUUGUUUAGAAUGACACCUGAUGUGCUUUUUGAGUUUAGUACUUAAACUUUUUAUUCUUUUUGGUUGAGCAGCCUUUCAUUUACCCAAUAAUAAAUAUCAUAAUUCUUCAUAAAGAUGUUCUAAAGCACCAUUCCUAUCCUCCUGGCUGUCCCAUUCUUUUUCUCCUUAUGGAUUGUUCUUAGGAUUGAAUGACUAGUUCUUGCCAAUUUCCUGGCUGAAACUGAAAAAAAAAUUCUUUUCAGGAAACUCAUAACCAAGCUGGUAUUGCUCAUAAUGGUGGUUUAAUGCCAUUACUGAAGCUUCUGGAUUCAAAAAAUGGUUCUUUGCAACACAAUGCUGCGUUUGCUCUUUAUGGGCUUGCAGAUAAUGAGGUGUGAUACCUUUAAUGUUGAUACGGACUUGAUAACGAAUUGCUGCAUCUAAUCUCACCAACUUACUGAACAAUUGUGAUCAUAAAAUAAUUUGAUGUGAACUGUAAUUUUUGAUUCCUUCUGCAGGAUAAUGUAUCUGAUUUUAUUAGGGUGGGAGGAGUUCAGAAGCUUCAAGAUGGAGAAUUUAUAGUGCAAGUAACUUAACCUUCCUUAUCUAUCUAGUUGGUUCAGUACCCCCUACCCUCAUCUUUGCAUGUAUUAUUGAAGCCUGGAGGUUAUCCAUAAAUAAACUGGCAAAUUUGUUUCAGGCAACAAAAGAUUGUGUAGCAAAGACACUAAAGAGAUUAGAGGAGAAGAUACAUGGAAGGGUGAGCUAUAACUUAACUGAUUUUGUUUGGGACUUUGACGUGCCUGACGCGUUCCCUUGUCAAUAUGGAUGCUUUCCAAAUUUUAAUAAUAUUCUUUUCCUUGAUUAGGUUUUAAAUCACUUAUUACAUCUAAUGCGUGUAGCUGAGAAAGCUGUGCAAAGACGGGUCUCUCUUGCUCUUGCUCAUCUUUGUUCACCCGAUGAUCAGAGGACCAUAUUUAUCGAUAAUAAUGGCAUGUCAUAUACUUAGAAUUUCACCGUGUUUUUCUCUCCCAUGAGGGUGCAGUUUAGGAUCAACUUGUUAUUAAUGAAUGGGGAUUUUAUUGUAGAAUAAAUGUUUUUGUGUUUUGCAGGUCUAGAGUUGCUUCUUGGCCUACUUGGUUCUUCAAGUCUCAAGCAGCAGCUUGAUGGUGCUGUUGCACUGUACAAGCUGGCAAAUAAAGCCACGACUCUUUCUUCUGUGGAUGCUGCCCCACCAUCCCCAACACCACAGGUAAGAUGUUUGUAUAUUUAUUACCCUUCCAACACCUUGAAAUAUAGUUUAUACAUUGGCUUGAGAAAAAAACCUGACUUUGUGGAAGGGAGAAAGUGAAUGGGCAAGGUUGAGAAUUCUUGUCCUCGAUCCUUUGAGUUAGUGGCUAAAUAUAUGCGCCCCUCAAGUAUCUGUUUUGGUUUCUUGGAGUUAGAAGUAGUUGUUCUCUCUGAUUUUGUACCUGAAAAAAUGGGCAUAUGAUCUAUAAUUUUGAUACUUUUCGCUUUAUGACUCUAAUUCUGACGUAUGUCAUUCAGGUGUACCUUGGUGAGCAGUAUGUGAACAAUCCGACACUAUCCGAUGUUACUUUUCUUGUUGAAGGUCGUUUAUUUUUUUUCGUCUUGUUUCAAACUACUUAUGAUCUUUUACUUUUCCACUGACCUUAUUGAACUUUUUGUUUUUCUUUUUGACAUUUGCAGGCAGACGCUUCCAUGCCCACAGAAUUUGCUUGCUUGCUUCUUCAGAUGCAUUCCGUGCCAUGUUUGAUGGUGGCUAUCGGGUGAGCAUCUAAUUGUGUUCAUAACCAAUUCUGUCAUCCUUGUUUCUAGCUUAAUUUGGGACUUGGCGUUUCAAGUGCAAGCUGUAUUUUUUGUAUCACCAUUCGCAAUGGCUUAUGUUGAAAUUCCCCCCCAUUUGGGGUCGGUGGUCAUUCUUGAGCAAGUUUAUUUAUGCUACUAUUAAUUGAAGUGGAAAUUAUUUGGAACACUGCCUCAAAAUGCCCAAUUUCACAGAUUGCGUUUAAUAUGUAUUUCAGGAGAAGGAUGCUAAGGAUAUAGAAAUUCCAAAUAUUAGAUGGGAAGUUUUUGAGCUAAUGAUGAGGUUAGCAAAGCUCCAGUUCCAAAAGCUAUCAGAAUAUAAAUGCAAGUAAUAUUAUGUUAAUUAGCUGAAUUUAAGUUGUCAUACAGAUUUGUUUACACCGGAUCUGUGGAUGUUUCGUUGGAUAUUGCUCAAGAUCUUCUGAGAGCUGCGGAUCAGUAUCUCUUGGAAGGACUUAAACGACUGUCCGAAUACACCAUUGCACAGGUGAGCUAAUAAUUACCAAAUUUUAGUUUUGUUUUAUGAUCUUUGUCAUCCACGCGUGUAAUUCAAGCUGUUAGACAUGUAUACGAGAUAAACUUGUCAAUCUGAAACUUUGGCAGGAUAUAUCACUGGAAAAUGUUUCAAGCAUGUAUGAACUCUCCGAAGCCUUCAAUGCCAUAUCUUUGAGACACACGUGCAUCCUUUUUAUCUUGGAACAAUUUGAAAAGCUCAGUUUAAUGCCGGGGUACGUUUCUCUUUCGAACCUCAUCCUACUUCUGCUUGAAGUUUAACUUUUCAAAGGUUUAAUUAUUUCAAAGGUUUAAUUUUGAAAAUAAGCCAUUACUUUUCAAAUGUUUAAUUUUGAAAAUAAGUCAUUUAUAAGAAAAUUGAAUUGUUUGGCAACCACUCAAUUCAAAAUAGCUUUCGAAAGCAUUUUCGUAGUUUAGUCUAAAUUUAAAAUAAUGACAUUUAAAAAAAAAAAAAUUCUCUAGUCAAUCCAAACAAAUACUUUUUUUUUUUCUGAUGCCAAUCCAAACAGGCUUGAGGUGUUAGUUCACAAAUUAUCAAAUAAUUAACUUUAAACUCCAUUUAAGUUCCUUCAUUUUUGCAACAAACUUAGGAUUUAAACUCUUAGAUUUAGAUCCCUCAGUGCUUGCUUUAAAUGGAGAGUAUUAGUAUCACAAUCAGAAGCUCUUGGAGAUGGACCUAAAGAAGCAAUGGAUCGAAAAACAUGGUUUCUCCCUACAUUUUCUAAGCAUUCUUCAUGCCCACUAUUUGCAGGCAUUCUCUUCUAAUUCAGCGGAUACUUCCCGAGAUCCGGAAUUAUUUUGCUAAAGCUUUGACCAAGGUUAAUCUCCAGAGCUCACGGCUGUAGAUGGCUGCACUGUGUUGUUAUUCAUCAUCGCUAACCAAAAAACACGAUGUACAGAUAGUGGUAGAUUUGGUCGCUGCUGCGGAGCUAGAUUGAGGUUCAAAUUAGCUUAUUUGUUUUAUGGCUCAUGAUCCUUUGAUUUUUUUUUAUCCUAAUGGUAAGGGUUUUGAUCUUUUUGUAUAAAGUCUCAAGUAAUACCAUUGCUUAGAUAGAAUGACCUUUAGUCCUUACGAGAAUGUUAUCCUUGAAAUGCAUUGCAUUUAUUUUAUGAAUUGAUGUAUCUUCCCAAAUGACUAAGCUCUUGUGAAGAGACAUUCAGUUGGAGAACACUGUAAAUUUGACGUCAGUAAUAUCAAUUUCAGGGUUUUUUUCUUCUUAUUUUUUUAUUUUGUAUAACUGUGGGUUUAUCUUUUGAAAUUAUUUUGGAGUUAAAAAAAAAAAAAAAACUUCAUGUAUAAUACUUCUAUAAAUUGGUUGGUUGAUACUAUGGUUAAAAAUAUUUUUAUCACGUUAAAAAUCAUUUGAAGCAAAAGUAAUUUAGUAUUUAAUGUAAAUUUCUAAUAAUCAAAUUUGAUUUUGAAAUUACUCUAUUUCUAAAUGUUCAUUAAUUUAACUUGCAUUGAAAUGCCCAUUCUUCAGUUGAUACGUCCUUGUGGACAGUGAAUUGAACUGGUUAGAUACUAAAACAUGUGUUUGUUUGUUCAGUUUCUAAUCAAUUUAUGUUUGGAAUGUUGCAUUCAUUUAAAAUCAAUUACAAUGGUACGUAAAAUUAUAUUUAAAAGUGCAAAAUCAAUUACAAUGGUAUGACUUGGGUAUAAUAGAAGGGUUGGAUAUGUUGGUGAAUGAGAAGGUUUGGAUGUUGUUUCGAAGAGACAAACUUGAAUCUUUUUAUGUGGAGAGAAUCUAGAGAAGUUGGAAAUGAUGGAAGAGAUUGAGUUUGUUGGAGAUAAGAUAAAAAUCUCUUAGAGCACCCACAUGCACAUGCUCCUCUGCCAUCAUUUUUGCUUUAAAUUAUGAAAUGAGAUAAAAAUAAAAAAAUAAAAAUUUUAAAAAGGUGAACAUAUUACAUUUUCAUUUUGUCAGAUUAAAUUUCUAACCUCACCCACGUGAUUCCUACACUCACUUUCUUGAUUUUCAUGAUAAUUCAUAUCCUCCCUGGGAGCACCAUGGGUCCAAUUACAUAUCAUUUGUUCCUCUCUGUGUAUUAGAUGAGAAUGAGUACAAAUAAGCUAAACCCACGUUUGGUAUAUCCAAGUUCAAAGAGUAUGGGACAAAGUCGGUAUCUUGUGGUUUGGGACAACUACGUAAAUAUCUAUCAAUUGAAAAAUAGUCGAGAUGCAUUCGAUCUAGCACCUAAUAACUUGGAGGAUAAAAAACAGUUUUGACAUCGCUGAUACACACUUAACUAGAAAAUGUUGAGGAAAAGAUCUAUCUUAAUUUAACGAUCCCAAAGAGAGUAGGUGUUCUCUAAAAGAGAGCUCUAACAUUACUUGUGUACUUGGCUGAAACAUACACUUAUGUGUGGUAGGCUCGACACUAUCUUGAUGUGAGGAUCUCUUGCCAAACCAGAAGAAGCGGGUCAAAGGUCAAGUCCACAAGGUUGUAUCUAUAAUGUGAUUGGGUGAGAUCCAAGCAUCAACAUGUUUAUUAUUAUCUUUUAGCAUAUGUAGAGUAUGAGAAUCAAUUCUAUAAGCCAACGAUAGUAAGCUAUUUCUCUAGAUAAUUUUAAAAGUUAUUCAUACUUUUAAAAUACAUUGUGUUUGAGCACUACUUAUCUUUUUUUUUUUUUUUUUUUUUUUUUUUUUUUUUUUUUUUUUACUUUUAAAAGAAUUGAGUUGUUUGUUCAAUUAUCAUUUAUUGUAUUUUUUAGUGCAAUGAGCGUUGGAUGAUUUGAACCACAAAGUUAGUACUAUCAACAUCUUAUGCCAAUUAAAUGACGUUUUCGUUGCUUAUUACAAUUACAAAUAACAUUUGUUGUUAUGAUGAGAUACUAUUGACAAAGUUUUGAUGUGAACGACAUUUUUAUGUAAUUUCUUAGCUAAAAAAAUAUUCUCAACAAACCAUUUGAUUUUACAAUAAAAUAAUUAUUGAGUUAUGACAUCUAAAUGUUAAUGGUAGUGACAUAAAUCCAAAUAAAAGCCUAAUUUAAAAUUGAAAUACACACAGAAGAAAAAAUAAAACUUUUAAAAUCAUUAUUCUUUUCUCACAUAAUAAUGAGAAAUAUAUUGCAAAAUGAUUAAAAAAGAGCUGAAAGUUAAUUCCAAAAGGAAAAAAAUAAAUAAACGUUUAAUUUAAUUGAAUUUUAAAAAAGGCAACUUUGGGGGAAAAUAGAGGCCUGGCGGAGAGGGACAGCUUGAAAGUUCAAAUUUUGCAAAACUCCUCCGUUCGGCUUCCGCCAAUUGGACGCAAUACAAAGGCUUUCCUCGAAACCCCAACCAUUUUCCCUUCUCAUUUUCGACUCCCAACACCUUUUAUUAAUCCAAAUUCCUCUCUUUUCCCUCUCUUUCAGUUCCUAUUUCCUUCUAUCAUCAUCUCGACGUUCAGUACAGCCUCCAUAGUCCAUACAACUACACCAGGUGAAGAAAGAACCCUCCCUUUCUCUUCUCUUCUCUUCUUCUUCUUCCCUUUUCUUUUCAUUACUAGGGUUUUCUUUCUUUUUCUUCCUUGUUUCCCUUUCUGGGAUUUCUUCCAUUUUCUUCUCAACCUCGUUUUUUUAACUGUAUGAAAGCUUUGUCUUGUGUUAGAUCCAUGGUAGAUGUUCUUUGGUGGCUUCUGGUACUGUUUAUUAUCUUAUCUGUUUUGCUGUUGGACUCCAUUUUGUUGUUUAGGGAUUAUACAGAGUGAUGCUCUGGAAGGGAGAAGUCUCCACAGAGUUGUUUUAAUGUGGAUGGAGUAGUGGAGUGAAUCUUUAUUUUGUGAGUGCCUGUUGUUUGUCCUGAUAUAUAAUCCGUAUUGUUUUUCUGUUUCUUGUUUGUUUAAUUUAUUGUGAAGGAGAAAAGGAGUCAUCUUGAAAUUAUUCGACAACAAUCUGCCUUAUGUUCAAACCUACUAGAUCUUUGCUUCUUUAUUUUGUAUGUUACAGAGUUGAGUUGAAAUUUGUUUGUCUCUACUCCCUAUUCUUCUUCCAAUUUGUGUUCUGUUCUUCUAUUGGACUCCAAAUGAUUGUCUAAUUUGGUGGAAGUACGAAAAUGGUAAAUAGCUUUGCUUCUGCACUGACAAGUGUAAUAUGUUUGGACAUGGUGGAGCUCUUGGUUCACGACGUGUGUUUCUCUAAUUUUUCUCGCUUAUCUAGUGACUAUGGUUUGCUUGAGAACUAGACGUGGUUUGAAACGCUUAUAUUCCUUAUCAUUUUAAGUUUCUUUUUAUUUUAUCUGAUAUAGGCGGCUAGAUUUCAAGCACGUUUGACAAUGGACUCUGUAACCAAAAAUCCAGAACGCAGGCCAUUUUCUAUCAAAUUGUGGCCUCCUAGUGAAAAUACUCGAAAAAUGCUUGUGGAGCGGAUGACAAAUAACCUUACCUGCAAAUCCUUUUUCACCCAAAAAUAUGGUACUCUUAGUCAGGAAGAGGCUACAGAUGAGUCACAGAAAAUUGAAGAUAUUGCUUUUGAGACAGCUAAUCAGAAUUAUGAAAAACAGCCAGAUGGUGAUGGGGGUGCUGCUGUGCAACUUUAUGCCAAGGAAUGCAGCAGGUUGCUUCUUGAGGUUCUUAAGAGAGGUCCUAAAGCUGAGGCAGACAAGGAGGCUGGAUCUGAUAUCACUAGUGCUCCUCGUGAAAUCUGUUUUGAUAUCUCAAAAGGUCGACGAGACUUUAUCGAGGCUGAGGAAGCUGAAGAACUUCUAAAGCCUUUGAAAGAGCCAAAGAAUUCUUAUACACAGAUAUGUUUCAGCAACCGGAGCUUUGGUUUAGAAGCAGCUCGUGUUACUGAGCCGAUUCUUGUGUCCCUCAAGGAUCAGUUAAAAGAAGUGGAUCUCUCUGAUUUUAUUGCAGGAAGACCAGAAUCAGAAGCUCUACAAGUCAUGAAAUUGUUCUCUGAUGCUUUAGAAGGCAGCAUCUUGAGAUCCUUAAACCUCUCAAAUAAUGCCUUAGGUGAGAAGGGUGUUAGAGCUUUUGGCUCUCUCCUGAAAUCACAAUCUUGUUUAGAGGAGCUAUAUUUGAUGAAUGAUGGAAUUUCCAAGGAAGCUGCUCAGGCGGUAUCCGAGUUGAUUCCUUCGACAGAUAAGCUUAGGAUCCUUCAUUUUCAUAACAACAUGACAGGUGAUGAAGGUGCUUUUGCGAUUGCCGAAGUUGUAAAGCGUUCUCUUCUAUUGGAAGACUUUCGUUGCUCCUCUACAAGGAUAGACUCUGAGGGAGGAGUCGCCUUAUCUUUAGCACUCGGGACUUGUCCCCGGUUGAAGAAACUCGACCUUCGAGACAACAUGUUUGGAGUGGAAGGUGGAGUUGCUCUGAGUAAAGCCCUUUCACAUCAUGCAGAUCUCAAGGAGCUUUAUUUGAGUUACCAGAACUUGGAAGAUGAAGGUGCAAUUGCCAUAGCCAAUAUACUGAAGGACACUGCUCCUACACUUGAAGUCUUGGAAAUAGCUGGAAAUGACAUUACAGCUGAAGCUGCUUCUGCAUUAGCUGCUUGUAUAACUCAAAAGGCCCAUUUGAUCAGCUUGAAUUUGGGUGAAAAUGAGCUGAAGGAUGAAGGAACUAUCCAGAUCAGUAAGGCAAUAGAAGGUCUCAUCAAAUUAAAGAAAGUUGACAUGAAUACUAACUUAAUUAGGAGAGCUGGCACUCGGGUUUUAGCUCAAACUGUGGUUCAGAAGCCUGAUUUUCAACUGCUGAACAUCAAUGGAAAUUUCAUUUCUGAUGAAGGCAUUGAUGAGUUGAAGGAUAUUUUCAAGAAAUUUCCGGAUAUGCUUGGGCCCUUGGAUGAAAAUGACCCCGAAGGGGAAGACGGCGACGACGAGGAAUCUGUAGCAGAUGGCGAGGAGGAGGAGGAUGAGUUGGGAUCAAAACUAAAGAACCUUGAAGUUAAUGAAGAGAACUAGAGAGGUUCUCUAUUUAAUGAACCUCUUUGAUUUAGGCUAGUUGCAAGAUUUGUCUCUCAAACUUUAGUAUUUAAAGAGAGGCUCAUGUUGUUUUAGUUUCUGAUUUUUGGUUUACUUCAAGAACUAAAUCUAGUUUAGCGGCGAUCGACUAGAACAUGAACAAAAAUUUCUAUGGGGGCAUCAUGGUAAUAGAUUGUCUGUAGCUGUAGGAUUUAUUUUGGUUGCUAGGAAUUUUUGCAAUGAACUGUAUCUGUAUCCUUUGUUGUCAUUGCCUCCAUCCUUUUCUCCCUUUUGAGAGGAAUAGUUGGAUGAUGAAUCUUGCUCCGUAUUUGAUUGGAGAGCUUAAAAGGCUUCUUUACUUUAUAUUGAUUGAAGCAAAUCCAAUUCUCUGCCUCACAUCAUAAUUUCAGGUCCUACUUAUAGCAUGACUUGCUAUCACCAUAAUCUUACAGUACGAAAGAAUCUUUAGUAAGGAAGGGGUAGAUGUCCAUUUGCUAGUAGUUACAAAAAUAAUGGAUAGUCACGCAUGUAAUAAUGGUAGCAAAAAUUGAUAAAAAUAAAUGAAUUGUUUUUGGUUGGUUUUUUCUUUGGAAGGUUGGAUUAAUAUCCUUUUAACUUCUCAAAAAAAUUAAAAAAUAUUCAUAUCAUUAACGCAUAAAAAAUAUUCAUAUCAUUAACCUCACCUUGUCUCUUUUCCAUUUCUUCUCUCCAUUGCUUCGAUUCAAUUCAUGGCCUAAUAUUCCCUCUUUUUCAUUUUUUCUUCAAUAAAUAUCCUCUUACGUCCCUUGUUUGUUCUUCCAUUCCUCCAUCUCAAUAAUUACCUCAUCAAUUAAGAUACAUAGACUAUAUAUAUCCAUGAUCUUAGAACUUAAAUAUGUCAACGAAAUUGUUUGUUCGGAGUUGAGUGAAAGUUAAAACAUUUAGAAUUAAGUACACUAAAACAGAGAUUUGAAUGUUUAGGUCAUAAUAUUGCAGACACGACAUAAAUAUGAAAACAAGUCCAUAACCAAACUUUGUAGAUUAGAAAAUUUUGUUGACCAUUUUUGUAGUUUAUAUUAACCAAACUUUGUAGAUUAGAAAAUUUUGUUGACCAUUUUUGUAGUUUAUAUUAGUUUAUUUGUUGCGGGAUGUUCAGAAACUCCCCAAUUAUCGAAGAUGGUAUUCGUUCGUUGGUUCUUUAUAUAUUUAAUGAUUCGUUGUGUCCUCUUGCAUUGUAAACAAAUAAGAGAAUCCAUGCAAAACCAUGACCAUUUAAGUGUUGUUUUUUUUUUUCUUUUUUCUUUCAUUAAUAUUUGUAAUUUAGUCUAAAAUGCACUUGCAUUCAAAAAAUGAGAGAUUCAUUAGAUUUAAAUGCCCAACUAAAUCUAAACAUAUAUCCAAGUACUAAUAUCUUUUCUUAUUAUUUGUCAAAUCAUAAUUCAAAAUUCAACCAGCAUAAAACUUAUAUCUUCAACCUUAUAUUUUUUCUCUUUAUUUCUAGUUUUGCUCAACAUUCUGGCGUUUGGGAGACAUUACUCAUUGAAAAUCCGUACGGACCCCAACAUUACACCUUAUGUUGAGAUGAAAAUGUGUGUUUCCAUUCUACAAAUCUUGUCCAUAUUCUGAAGACCUAGAAAAAUCAAAGCAUAAUAUAUCUAUAAAUUAAAGCGUCCCAAAUUUCCAGGACCAUUAAAAUUACAACUUUAAGGGGAAGGAUGUAUCUUUAAAACCCUUUUGUUACACUAAAAAAAAAUGAACCAUAGAGCACAACUGAAUAAAGCUGCUACGUUCAAGCCAUGUAGGAAAGCAGCUCGCUCCAGGAGAGCUCAUUGACAGGAUCAUGAAUUUUGAAGCUUCUAAUAAUCAGAUUUAAUCUACUGCUGCAAUCUGCAUUGCCUUGUUUAUUGGUUCUUGGAAAUACUGGAGAGAGAUGAAUAUUGCCUCCUAAGAAUCAAGGAAGCAUGGAUUAGAGAAUAUAGAGAAGAUUGAGAGAUGAGAGGAGAUGAUCAUGGUGGAGUACCUCUGUUCGAAUUGUUCGGCUUCCUUGCAGUGGACAUGUAUUCAAGUAUGAUGAGAAGAUCUCGUGAGCAUUUUUACUCUAACGGAUGGAAACAAUUUCAAUAUGUUAGUUAAUUAUGUACUGAAGUAACCCAAUGAAAGAAAUAUGCUGUUUAUUAAACUCCUUUAGUGCUUUUAAGAAUCAUCAAUUUAUUGGAAGAUUAAUCCUCUCUAUGGUUCUAUGUGCCUGAAGUUAUUAAAAAUGGACACCUUGAAGUUGUUGUCUUCCUCAAUGCUCUCUUCUAAACCGGCAAGUCCACCAAAGGCAAUUAAUAGAUGCCUGCCAAUUAAAACAAUUAAUCAACUCAAAAUGGGGGAAGGCCAAGAAAAAAGCUAAUCGAUUGAAACAACAGGCCAAAAACUCCCACUUGGAAUGAUACUAAGAAUUGUUCGUGUAUGAAAGCGUGUAUACGUUUUUUUUAUAGAAAAAAUGGAACCUUUUGACAGUCUGUUGAACCAUGGAUAAACAAAGGCUCACUGUAAAUUUAAUUGGCAAGAUGCUAUUGACACUGUUCUUUAAGAGCACCCCUUCUACACAUUUUUUCCAUUACAAUAAAGCCAUAAUGUAGAAAGGCAUGCUUCUGUAAAUUUGGUGGAUAUUAUGAAGGGGAUAUUUGUACCGAUAUGGAAAAUUUCUUCCAAGAUUUGAAUUUACGGAAUAUAUAGUUUAAAAGAUGAUUAAAAAUACUAACUUCUGUUAUACGGCAUAGUAAAUGACUAGAGAAAAUUGAACAAAAAGAAAAUGAAAACAAUCACUUAUUUUUAUAUUUAAACAUAAUUUAGUUAGCAUAACCAACUAGCAAAAGAUGACGAAGGUAUCAGCUAGAAACCAUACUACCCAGGUCAUAUGGUGCUAGACUUCAGCAAAAUACCUGAAAGGAGGCAGUGUUAGUUCUGAGGACUUUAUAACCAUUCCGUGCUCUGAGGUACCAAUCAAAUGAUCGUAACCACCCUUGGAACAAAACGAUAAUAAAUUGUGAGGAACGUGAUAUUAAUUGUUAGACGAUUCAUGGAGAGGUAUAAUUGUGUACCUCGUAUGAACUCUCCUUAAAAACUGCACUCAGAGAAGAAGCAUAUCGCACUCUAUAACCCCAGUAAAGCCCUUCUUCCACAGGCUUUGAGGAUGAGACCACCUGGCGGGGCAGAUCUGAAGAAAUGAAGUAGCAAAUACUCGGUUAUCAUUAAUGAAAAAUUUGCGUGGCAUGACUCAUACAUGUAUGCCGAGCAUUAAAAUGAUCAUAAUUUCAUUUCUUUUAAUAGAAGAAGAUAUAUAAAAAGCUUAAGUGCCAUGAAAGUGGAGAACUGAACUAGGUCUGGCAGAUUACAGCUGAAAUAUGUCCUCAAGUUCAACCAUUAUCUUCUAUGGAAUACCCACCUCAACCAUUUAUGAAAGGUCAAACCCGAGCAUAAAUGUUACAGCCUUUUCUUAGGCCCUUUGCCAUGUUCUCUAUUUUCUCUAAAAUGAUCCAGGAAUACCCAUCUCAACCAUGUUCUCUAUUUUACCAGUUUUUUCAGAAGCAUUUGUAGACAUCAUAAAAUAUUGCAGACUUCAAAAGUACAAGCCUAAAGCCAAUACUCGUCAAGACAUCUAUAGGUUAGCUAGAAGGAAAACAACAGUCAAUAUGUAUGUUCAUUUGAUUCAAAUAUGUACUAAAAAAAGCAUCAGAUAUUACCAGAAAACAAAUUGCGAUCUGUUCCCAUAGCUACCGUUACUCUUGUUCCAGGUUCAAGUAUUUCAUCAACAACAACAUUCUGCACAAUAAUUUAAAAUGAGCCAUGAACGCAAAGAAAACCUAGAUAAGUAAAAUAUGGUUGAUGGAGGCAUUAAAUUAAACUUUAAAAAAAGCGGAGAAAUUGAAUUAGCAUACACCUUCCACUCCAUUUAAAAUCAACAUGGUAGAAUAGCUCAAACUUAAUGUAGAAGAAGCUUUGUGAUUCCAUUCUAGAUACUUGAGAAGCCUAAAUUAAACAUGGCUUUACCUUACUCAAACCAACAUCAACCGAUGUUCCUUUAGCAUCUGGAGCUCUUUCUUUCAGGGUAACACCUAAAUUUAACAUAACAAAAUGAGGUCGAUGUAACAUGAACAAGAAGAAACACUGUGGCCGAGGAUGCCAACAUAAUAAAUCUGAAGUCAUCCAAAGAUAUAACCAAAUAGAUAUGCAUCUAAAUAUAGUCCCAGCCAUAGUCUCAACUUUCAGGAAUCUCCCAAAAAAAAUGUAAGACACUUAGUAAGACUUCUCACAAACUAUGCCACUCAAGCUUUAAAGAACUGUCUACCUGAGGAUGAAAAAUAAUUACUAACAAUGUCUUUCUAGACUCUGAGAAAUGAUUAAAAAAAGCUCGUGCAUUGAGAAAAAGGAAGGAAGCUUAGGCAUCUGGUCAACUACAAUACCAUAUGACUACCAACUAAAAAAUGAGGCUUGAGCAUUGGGAACCUCAGGAAAAUAAAUGUUCUACCAGUAAAAGCAAUGAACUUUUAGAAGAAGACGUCUGUAGGAGAAAGUGAUGGAAAAAGUCCCAAGGUUUUGAGAAAUGAUUAAUGGCAGGAAACCAAGAAAUCAAGUAGACACUAGAAUUUGACUCGUUUUGUGCACAUCACAAUUUCCUAAUCACGCUACCACAAAAAGAGAUAAUAUAGGAUGGCUAAAGGUAUUUGGAAGGAAAUAAGGCCAAAGAAAGUGGAAUUCUUCAUUGCGACACCAGCUUGAAUUGAAAAAAAAUUGCAAAGGAGAUGGUUCCCAACCUUCAUUUAAUUUUAAACACAAGCAUCUGUUUUACAAAUUAAAUGAAAGAGGCCAGUUCAAUUUACCCUUCCAGUGUUCAAGCACAGAGCUAUUAGGUUACUAUUUUCCAAGCUUUUCGAAGUGUUUGGUAUUUCAAUAGCAAGGUAAAGAUGAAUCUCCAGGAAACGAACUAUUGUAUGGCCCAAAGUUCAAACAGGAAGACAAAGGUCCUCGUGACUAAUGCAAUUAAAAACUGUUACUUCUGAAGGUGUGCUAGGAACAAGAAAGCCAACAAUAUCCUCACAUGCCCGAGAGUUUGCAAAGAUUCAGGUGCAAAUUUAGAAGAAAACCCAAAAGGAGCUUUCAAAUUUUACCUUCUCGAUAGGGACCCCAUUCGUGCUUGCGCAAAUGGUGAGGGGCAUCAAGAGGGGGCAACAUCCCCUACAACAAAUUCACAGUAAAUUGAAGAUCAAAAGCAAGACAGGAAAUGUUAAUUCUUUGAUUAAAGCAACGAAGCUAUUUAAGGUCGUACCACAAAUCUUAAAUUGUUAUGCUUUGGGAAAAGAGCUUUUCUCAAGUAUUGUGGAGUCUCAAGAUAUUUUAAGAUCCUUAUUAGGAAAGCAGCGCCACUUUCAUCCUCAUCUGAAUUGUUCGCUGCCGCAACCUCUGAGCCAGUCGUUGAACUCCUUCCACUGUCAAAUACCACCACCUGAUACAUGCAUAACCUAUCUUUCUAAGCUGAACUAGUCCAGUGAAGCCAAUAGCUAUCCAGGAAAAUUUGAAGGAAAGAGGAUGAAAAAAAUGAGAAAGAUGGUGACCUCGUUAAUUCGAAAUAUUGUUGCCGCACGAGCAAUUUGACCAGCCAACUGAAAAAAAGUUCAUAAGUUUCAUCCAAAUUAAUCACAUCACUCCAUUUCAGAAGAGGAGAAAAUGCAUCGAGAGAGCAUAAGAAAUAAAAGAGAAAAUGAUUCCAAGAACUAAUCAAAUCAUUCUCUUAGGGAACAGGGGAAAGGAGGCCGAACUCGAAAAACACUCGCCUAUAAAAGAGAGAAUGCGUACUCUGGUGGCAAGCUCCAGGGAUUGAGCAUUAUCAAUGAUGGAACCGGAAACCGCAAUGCUCACUGUAGGUUUGGAAAUCGGUUUCCUCUUCUCUGCCUCGAUUGAACCAUUCUCAACUUUCUUCUUCUUCUUCUUCUUCUUUUUCUCAGGAGAGCAUCCAUUAAUGAGCUCCGUUUCAUGAUUAGCUUCGAAGUCAUCUCUGUCAAGCGCCUCCGAUUCCUGUUCCGGCCGCUUAUGCUUCUUCUUCCCCAUUUUUCAAGACCUCCGCCGGUGGUAGGGGUUUAGCAGGGUUCAGAAUGCCGGAUUUUUCUGAGCUGAAAGACGCCAACUUUACCAAGCUCUUCAAAGCUUUGAUAACUACACGACAGUUCAAUAAACUUAAUAAGCUUUCUGCCUUUACAUAGCCCAAAAUAAGGAUAGGCCCAUGGUUGAAAAAGGCUGUCUCAUGGGCUAAACCAUUGAGCCUAAAUGAGCCUCAGUAUAUUAAGAGAGCCCAAUAGUUACAUUACACAACGGCCAAUAUUCUUUUGGGCUUUCAACCUUUUAAACUCUUACAUGUCGUCUUGAAAGAGUUAAAAUGCUGAGGUUUUUAAUCAUAAUCACUUCAAAUAUAUAUAUUUUUUAAUUAUUCAAAAAUGAUUUUUUUUAUUUCACACUUUUAAAUGGAAUAUUCAUUUAUUGAAAAAUAAUUUCAAGUCAGUAAAAUCAUAUUUUUGAACCUAAUGAAAAGUGAUCAGCUCCCUUCAAAAUCACUAAAUUAUGUUAAUAAGUUAAAACUCUUGGGCUUAAUUGUCCUUUCAGUACAAAAUAUUUCAAUAAAAUUUGUGUUGAUUAAUUAAUUUUUGAAACAUAAAUCCAUAUAGAAUUAACAAGGGUGUGUUUGGAUUAUGGUGUUUAAUUUAAAAUAUAAGUAAUUUUGAAAAAUAAAAAUAAAAAUAGAUUUUUAAGUGUAUUUUAAACAAAAUAAGUUUUUUCAAAAAAUAAAUUUCUUAAAAGACAUUUUUUUCUUAAGUCAAUCCAAACAAACUUUGAGGUAAUAUACUUAACAAUUUUGAAUUUUUAAAGUUAGGUAGAUGUGAUACAACCAUCAUCUUAGAAUCAACAAUUUUUUUUAAAAAAACUAUAACUUAUACGUAUAAGAGGACACGAAGUUCUUUAACUUGAACUAAGCUUCUUCUUUAACUUGAAGUGAACUAAGCUCUUAUUGAGUAAAUAGUUAUUCAUUUUGUAAUUUUGUAGUAAACCCUAAUUUUAUAGUUAACCAUAACUCCCAAUGUAGGUAUGGCGUUGGGAGUUGUUGUCUACUCCCUAUAUUUUUCAUAAUUCGUGAGAGAGACAAUAUCUUAUGACAUAUAAUCUCUCGACUAUCCUUUUAUUCGGUGGAAGAUCCACUUUUUUUUUUUAGAGUAUUGCUAUUUCUUUUACUCAACUUCAUAUGCUAACAAAGUUGUGGUUAAAAGAAAUGUUAAAUGUAAAAGUAGAGUGAAAAUAGUUUGCCCCUACAAAAGACUGAAAUGUCAUAAUAUAAAGAAAAUCCCAUUCUGUUUUUAAUAAAAAGGAAAGAAAAGGUGAGGUGACAGCCACUGCUCGACAUCUUCCUUUGAAAUUGGGGAUGAUUACAAAAUCUAAUAAAGAAGAAGAGAGAAAAAGAACACUAUUUGUAAUAAGGUCAAAAAAGAUGAAGCCAUAGUCUUUUGGUUGGUAAACAAAAAAUGACUACAAACAUAAAUAAAAACAACAAAAAGGUUAAAUGAUAUAAAUAAAUUUUAGAAAUAACAUUUUUUAGGCUUUGGAUUGUUUCGAAAAAAGAUCUAUAUUUUCUUGGAAGUUGUUACUCCAUGUUAAUGUUUGAAACUAUAUUUUGAAAGACACAUCUUUGGGAUUUUUGGACCAAAAUGGAGAUUUGGAAUGUUGUGUAUGGUAAUGACCUAAUAUUACGUGACGAUUAUCCAAAUUUUUAUUUUAAGUUAAAACGGCACAUAAGAAGAUUAUAACUUCUUUUAGAUUAAGAAUUUAUAUAUACUCUAUAGACGAUAGUUUUGAAUUGGUUAUUAAACAUAAUAUUACAACUUUUGUUAAAAUAAAUUACUCUUUGAAUCAAGAAGAAAUAUUUCAGGUAUUCCAUUUGUUAAAAUAACAGUAAUUAUAAAUUAUAAAUAUAGUAUUUAGUUAUUCAGUAUAGUAUUUUAUUUUGCUCAUAAAUUUUAAAACAUUAUGUUUUUAAUUUGGUAAUAGGUUUACAAAUUUUACACUUAUUUUUUAUUUUUGAGUUUCAUUUGGUUUCAUCAUUAAAAUAUUUAAGCGGUCAAAAAUUAAUAACAAAAAUUGCAUUAAAUGAUAAAAAAAUUUAGAAAAAAGAAGUUCACAACACAUCUUUUUUACAUAUUGCAAAUAUAAAGUAAUUAGAUAUAUUAUACAUAUCAAAGGGAUAUCUACUCUUAAAUUUUGUACUUUUGCAAUUUAAAAAAUGUAGUGAGAUGAUUUUUUAUCAUAAUUUUUUGUUGCUAUUUUUGUAAAUGCCCCAAAAAUCAAUCUUAUUAUUUUAAAUUGAUUAAUGUUACCAUAUAUCGAAAGUGAAUAUUUAGUUAACAAAAUAUAAAGUAAUAGAAGAAUAUGGCUUAUUAGAAAACAUUGCAUGUUAAUGCCCUCUUCGCACCAUUUAUAAUAAACUCAACAGAUGAGUCUUUUUCCUGUAUGAAACAACUGAUCAUCAUUCUAAUACAAGAUUUACAAGCUUAAUUUUGUAGGAUUACUUGUUAAGACUACUUAGACUACAUCAAAAUCAAAAGUAAUGGUACAUAUAACAUCUUAAAAUUUUCUAGAUCAAACAAAAUCAAAUCUCAAAAUUAGAAAAAAAAAACACUAUUUUUAAACUUAGAAACCAAAUAAAAUAAAACUUUCUAAUUCAACGAUUGACCCAAAACUUUAAGAUCGCCACGAGUGAAGUUGAAUUUAAUAUUAGUUAUUCAACAAUAAUACUUAAACUAAUAAGAAGUGAGUAUGAUAGAAGGAAAAAGAGAGUCGAUCAAUUGAAAUAGUCAAUGUAAGGAGAUAUUCAACCAACGUCGAUUUGAAACAGCAUUUAAAAAUAAAAAAUUAAAGCCUUUAACAAAUCCAUUCAAUGUGUACCCCUUCAUAGUCGAGGUCGAUUUUUUACAAUUACUAAACUGACCAUAGUCAGUUCAGUAUCGAUUUGGUUGGAAAACCGAUUUUGACCGGUGAAUGAACACCCGUAGUAAAGAAAAAAUAAAAAAGAAUAUAUAAGAAGUAGAAGAAAUAAAAAGUAGUGGGGUUGUCCGGUUCAUGACAAGAUUGGACCGGUCGGGCCCAUAACUGCCCUGAAGCAAGAUCGUCAAAAUCUUUAGAAAUUCCUUUUGUUUCCUAAGAAAAUUACAACAGAAUCUACUGCCAAAUUUUAUCUUCAGAUACAUAUAAUUAAUAACAACAUUCAAAUAUAUUCAUUAAAUAAUAAAAUUAUAAAUUAUUGUUUUUGUAUUUUAGAAAUUAAAAAAAAAAAAGAAAAAAGAAAAGAGAAUUCUCUCUUUUAUAUACCACUCUUCAAAGAUUUCAUUGCAGUCACAAAAGAUUUAUAUCAAAAGCUUUCUGGAAAAGCCCAACAAACAAAAAAGAGAAGAAAUAUAGAAAGCUAUCACAUACACCAUUAUAAUUAUAUUUUCACCAUCAUCUCCUUUUCGAUCUUUUUGACUCUUUCCAUUGUACGGUUCACUUUCAAACUUUCAUCACCAUUUUCAUUUUUCUCUUUUUUAAUCUUUUUUUUUCCUUUUAAUUAUCUCGUUUUAAUUAAUUACGUACUAUUAAAAUUAAAGACUCUUUAGUUAUGAAUAGACAUAAAGAUAUUAUUUGCCCAAAAUAAUCACACUUUGAUAUGCCUUUUGAAUGUAUACCGUUAUUGUUGCUAAUAUUAAUAAUGUCUAAUGUCUAAUGUGCUCUAACCUACCUUUUCCAUUUUAAUGGAUUCAUUUAUUUUCCCUUCUUUUUUGUUGCUAGUUCUUUUUUCCGUCUACAUCCUCAAAACCUAAGUGCCUUUUUAUUAUAAACUUCGAGAACAAUUGUAAUUUCAACUUUUUAAUUGAAAAUAUAUAAGUAAAUAAUAAACAUGUUAAGUUAGUUCUCUUGAUACAUUUUUAAUACACAAUAUACUUGUAGUUCACUUGUCGUCUCUUGGAUUAUUGAAGUUAUUUCUUGGUAGGUUUUGUUUCCAAAGGAACAAAACACUUUGAACAAUUAUACUGUAGCAUGCAAAAUAAACUUUGUAGAUUAAUUUAGAAACAAAUAAAGUCUCUACAAAAAUGAAGAAUUCUUUUUAGUUCAAUAUAUAAUAGUCAUCUACCUACAAUUAAUAUUAUAUCUAACUAGUUUUUCGUAGAGUUAUAAUAAGUUAUUUCGUAUGGUUAGUCGAAGUGUACGAAUAAGCUAUCCUUGACAUUAACACCGGGUACAUAAGAAAAAAAAACUUUAUCAUACAAUUAAAUUUCUCUUUACUGUAAAAUACUAUAUGUUGUUUGCAAAUGUUAAGAGUAUAUUUAAUAUAUUAGCUUAAAAUUGUAGCUCUACUAGUUAUUUAAUAUAUAAGAAUAUAUUUCUAACAUCACAAUUCACAGACUAGGAGAUUUCUACGUACGUCACAGAAAAACAAAACAAGAAAUAACAAUAGAUUAAAGGAGUAUAAAAUUAUCAUGAAUUGUGACAUGUUUUUCUUAUAUGUUGAAUAUUACGAUAGUGCAUGGAAAGAAAUUAAUAGAUAAUGGAACCCUACUUUUUCCUUUUCUAUUUUUUUCUUUUUUUCUCUAAUGGUUUGAACAAAUCAGAACCAAAACGUAGCAUCUAAGUACUUAGCAACCAAGCAACAAAAAAAAGAAAAAAGAAAAAAGGAAAAUCCUAACUUUUUAUUUUUUCCAAAUUCUUUGUGAAGUAAUUGACAGAGAAAUAUCCAACACCAAAUCAAAGCAACUUAUUUUUUGUUUUUUUCUUUUUCAAAUAUCAUGGGUUCUCGCUUUGGCUUUUGUCUAAUGAAUUGUACACGUGGAACGUUUUUAUUCGCCAUACUGUCCUGCUGUGGAUUAGGUCAAAUUAAAUGGGCUUUGGGUGGGAUUACAAUUGACGGAAACUUUCGGGGUAAUGGAGCUCUUUUAGACUAAACGACACCGUUUUUUCAUUUCUUUUAUUGUUUAGUUAUUGCUACCUUUUUCUACAUGGCAUCCUCCAGCUGCUUUUUUGUUUUGGUUUUGGUUUCACCUUUUCUUUUUAAUUAUUACAAAAAAAUAUUUCACAUUUAUAAUUGUUUUACGUAACAAAUUGCAUGCAAUCAAUUUGCUCCUUUUUAAUGAAUUUAUAAACUUUGGUUCGUCCUAUUAAUCAAAACGUCACAUAGUUCUUACUCAUUCUUUCUAUAUUUUCUAUGUGGCCUAAUUAACUUAACUUGGUGGAGUGGAGCUUUGUUUCUUUAUUGAGAAAGGCAUGAAAUUAUAAACCUUAACUCUCUAUAUGACGUACUAUAAUAUAGAUUAUUUUAGCCAAACUUUUAUAUAAUACUCUCGAUUAAGACAUACAUGUUAUUGAAACCUUUUAUUAAUAAUAUUCAUGAUAGAAAUUAUAUAAAUUAAAGAUUGUAAUCUUCAGCUUUAAGAUAAUUUAGGUUAAAAAAAAUUUAUAUUUUCUCUAAAAUAAAAUAUGAGAAUUUAUGUGACAACUAAUAUGUAAAAUUAUAAAAUAUAUUAGUACUAUAUUUUUCAAUUAAUUUUCUAUAUUGAAUGUGGGUUCAACACAAUUUAAUUUUGCUAUGGCAAGAAAACUUUUUAGGGUACGUUUUAAAACAAAUUAUAAAGUUGAAUGAUUAAAAAAUGAAACAUUUCAAAGAGUAGAAGCGUGUAAUUAAAACUUUUCCUAAAGUUUAGGAAUAUUUCAUAUAAUUAUUUAAGCUUUAUUAAUAAUAAGGUAGGAAAGGAUAAAAUUACAAUAGUUUAGCCAAUAAGUAUAUCAAUUCUAAAAAUGAAUACCUAAAGAGAUGUGUCAAUUAGAGAGAAAAAGGCUUUAAAGUUUAAAAAGUCAUGGAAAGUUACAAGUGGUUUUUUGUUACAAAUUUAUUAAAUAGUUACUUUAUAUAAAUAUACUUUAUCCAUGUCUUAAUAGGAGCCUUGUAUAUAUUAAAUAGUGAUCGUGACAUAUUUUUUAAGCCAAGGAGACAAAAUUUUCAAUUUUGAAACAAAUCUUAUCCAUAUCUUCUAAGUUUAUUGAAAUGAAUUAUUCCGUUGUCAUUUUCAAAUUGUGUUAAUUUCAAUUUCAAUACUACAUAAAUUAAGUAAUAUAAGAUAAAGAUAUGUAUUAUACGUGUGGAAAUUAAGGAAGGGUUUGAUUAUUUACGAGUAUAGAAAUAAAAUCUCCAAUAUUGAUGAAAGUUUAUUAUAAUAUUACACAAUAUAAGUAUAUAUAUAUUUUUCUAAAUGGGAAAAAUUAAUUGCAAUUUAUUUAUUUUGUUUUGCAAAUAAAGGAAGCCUAUCUUGGAAUAUACGAGUUGAUUUAUGAUAUUAAUAUCUUAACAUAAACUAUAAAGGUUUACAAAAAAAAACAUUUAUGGACGUUAUUGAAUAAAAAAAAAUAGGGUUGAAUUUUUUCGCUCAAUUUGAUGAUUAUAUAUUAUGUUUGAUAAUAUUGUUUUCGUAUAGAAUUAAUGAGUAUUUAAAAAAAAAAUUAAGAAUUAUAAUGAGAAUUUUUAAAAUAAUCAUAAAAAUAAUUUAGAAAUACUAUAAUAAAAGAGACCGCAAAAUUGUUUUAAUAUUUAUCUCAAAUAGUUGUCAUAUUAGCUUUACCGAUUGACAUAUUUGUCUCCCGGUGACAAAGAGAUCAAUUAUGAGGUUCACAUUUCCACGUUCUUAUCGAACUAAGAAAAAUGUUUUUAAUAUGUAUAAUUUUUUAAUAUAAUAAAACAAACCGAAAAUAUUUACAAAACCAACAUUUUUUUUAUCGAUAAUUGACGCUUAUUGAUUUUAAUAAAUUAGAAUUAUCUACUAUUAUUUGAUCCUUUAUUAAUUAAUAAUGAAAUUUUUGUUGUAUUUAUAAAUAUAUUAACCAAAUUUUACCUUAUAAAAUUAUAUAAUUUUUAAUUUUAUUUUUAAGUUUUUAUAAUUUUGCUACCAUUAUAAAUCACAAUAAAUGAAUAAAAGAGAAAUUAUCGUUGAAUGGCCUAAUUUUUUUAUACCUAAAUGGUUAAAAUAGGUAUAACAAUUUUGAUCACUCUCCUCGUUAGUUUAAAAUUAACCUCACUUUCUUGCUUUUCUUUUUAAAUAACUUUAGACAGACAACACACAAUCUGACCGUAGUUAAAUUAAACGGACAAAAAUCAAAUAAAAUGAAGCAAUUACAAAUAUAACAAUUAUUAGAUUUGAAGUAUUAAUACCAUCUAACACAAUUUUAGAAAAUUACAAAUAUAACAAAAUACGUUCAAAUUCGUUAAUAAUAGAAAACUAUCACUAAUACACUAAAAGAAUCUACCGACAAUAGAGUGUUUAUUAUGGUAUGUUAUUGAUAAACUUUAUUUUAUUUGUAAAUUUUUUAAAAAAAUUGCUAUAUAAUAAUAAUUACUACAUUAUAUAUUUAAAAUUUUCCCAAGUUUUCAAUUUAUAAUAUUACUCUUAAAUUUUCAUAAAUAUUUCAAAACUGCUAUACCAUUAAAGAGACUAGAGAGUAGAAGGCCAAUCAAACAAUGAAUGAAAAUUAGAAAUAAAAUGAGGAAGGCAACUACGUAAGUAGAACGAUAUGGCAGUAUUUAGGUCCCCCUCCCUAUUUUAGUUCACCAUCAUACUCAAAAUGGUAAUCUUCAAACAUGUAUGAAAUGUUACUGAUACCUUAUAUUACAUUUUGAAAGAAUAAGGAUAUUUUGAAACAAAGUGACAAAAAUUAUUACUAUUAUUAUCAUAUUGGUGUAAUGUAUUUUAUUACAAAUAGAAAAAAUAAUUGUUUUCAAUUUUAAGAGUUCUAAAAAUAUAGAAAGAGAAAAAUCCAACCUCGGAUUAGGUUUAUCAUUAAAUGUACUACAGAGUUGAUAUUGACCCCCCAAAAAAAAAGCAAUGGUAGGUACAUCCAGUACGUGGACAACCAACAAUCAUUCUCAAAGAUACCAAAAGAAAAAAAGAGAAAAAAAGAAGAGAAAUUAGCUUUUACGUACAUACACACGUAAAACAUCAUAAUCACUGUAUCGACUACAUACACAUACAGUACAUAUAUGACAUAUUAUGUAGAUACUUAAAGAGAAAAAAGGGUUAGAGGGGGCAUUAUGAAAGGCAGAAGAAGCUCCACCUCGGUGAGAAAAAUGAAGAAGGGUGCAUGUGGUUGUCUGAGUGAAACCGUACUCCAACUUGCACUUUUAAGUCGUUGUUACAAAGCAAAAACGACUAGGGCAUAGCACCAAUUUGCAUGUGCCCCCUUUAAUUUCCCUAUUCCCCAAUAUAUCGAUUUUUAUUUUUACAUAUCCCUAUCCACAGUCCCACCCUCACGUAUUAGCCUUAGGGCAGUAGAAAGAAAGCAAAUGAAAAAAAUGGAUUGUUAUUAUUAUUAGUACACAUGUGUAGUACCCCCUGUGUUCUUCUUUCACUCUGACACACAUCUACUUGCACACACAAUCUGUACGGUCUUUUCUUGGAUUUUCUGUCCUUCUUCUUCAUCAUUUUUUCCCUCCCUUGUAUUACACUCAAUUGAAUUACCACUUUAGUCUUUAAUCCAAGUUUUAGGUUCAUCAAAGUUUAACGUGACAUUAUUAGAAGUAGUGCCUUCUAAAGUUUUGUUUUUAAACCUUUUAACAUUUUUUUUAUGAGAUGCAAUAUAAUAUUAAAUUUAUCUUCAACUAUAAACAUACAAUUUUGAAAUAUAAUUUAACGAGGUUACCCUCGAAUAAAUUUAAUGGUAUUUGAAAUGCAUUUCCAAUAUAUAAUAGAAUUAUAUAAUAGGAUUAUGAUUUUGUGAUAACCAAGUACUUUUCCUUAAACUUUGUGUUUUGGUCAAUUUUUUAAAAUUGCAUGUUUAAUAGAUCAUUGGUAUGUCCAGACUAUUUCUUAACUAAUAAAAUCUAUUAAGUGUAAAUUGUAAUUUGUGUCUAAUUAUAUGAUAUUAAAUUCUUGUUUGGUAACGGCCAUUUGAUUUAUAUUUUUUAUUUAUUUUAAAGUUUCGUUUAAUUAUUUUAAAAAAUUGAUAACAUAUUCAGGAAGUUUUUAAGGUUUUUAAAGCCCAGAAACAAAAUUGUUGAAAGCAUAAAGACCAUUUAUAUUUUUAAAAUUUUAAGAAUUUAUAAGACAAAAAAGACAAAAGUUGAAGUACAAAAUUUGUAAAUAAACAUUUUUUACAAGAAUAUAUCUGAAAUUAGGUCAGGUAUUAUUUUGCCUUUUUCUUUAACCUAAAAUGUCUAAUUACUAAAACAGACGAGAUUGGUUCCUACCUCUUAAUUAAUUCAGCUUACGUUUGCAUCUCCCACCACCAUUUUCUUACUUUUAUGGGUUACACUUGUACUACUCUAAAGAAAUAAAAACUGUAUUUUAUUCAUUUCAAUUUAACCAUAACACAUCCGGACAUUUUAUAAAUAUUGUGUUAUAAGAAAAUAUCUCUUGAAACUAUAUCAAUACGGUUAGAUUAUUGAUAUAACGUUGAAUUUUAUUAUAAGUUAUCAAUAUGAUGCAAGGCACAUGUUGGAAUUUCUAUAUUGAAAAUAUCACUUUGAACAAGUUCUUAUAAAAUUGAUUGAUCUAAAGUUAAUCACCAUGGAUAAACAUGUGUUGUUGUAGUUUUCAUAUAUAAAAAGGUAUAAAAUAGGAGUAAGAGGGAGGUGAAAUUAGUGAGAAAUGGAUUAAUAAAAGGGAUUACAAAGAGAAGCCGGAUUAAAUAAAUAUCAUCCAAAAAUUAAAAAUCGUUAAUAAUAGUUUUAAUUAUAAUUAAUUAAGAAGAGACCCAAAUGGAGAGGGGCUCCCGAGUCAAUACCAACAUUUCAUUGUUGUUUUUAAUUUCGUCAAUAUUAUUAUUUUCACCCGCCUCGUUGCACCUGCAUGGUCUUUCAACCUUUUCUAUUUCGAUUUCCGCCCCUCCAAGAUUUCCAUUUUCUUCCACUUUCCCCCCCAAAUCUUCCUCAUAAUUACCUUUCUCCCCCACCACUUCAACGUCGUCGUUUCUUCUUACUUCUUCUUCUUCUUCCUUUUCUUUUUCUCUUACCUUUUGCUUCUCCGUACUUUCUUCUCCACAGUCAAAUCUGGAACUUGAAGUGCUACUUUUCAAAAUGCUCAAUCGAAGCCGUCCAUGGCUUCGUUCAACGUGGAAAUACGAAAGUCUCGCCGGAGUUUUCACCGCCUCCAUUAUUAACCGUCCGUCUUCACGAUAUGACCGUACACGAAUCGAAUCAACACCAGCGAUUGUAGUCAGAGGCGGUGGAAAAACUUUGUUAUUACCUUGAUUUCUUUUCGAUUUCACUCGCUUCCUCAUCGAAGACCGUUCGUUUAUCAGAUCGGAAAAAACAACAUCCUCAACGAAAUCAUCUCCAGUCUCAUUCCCUAAAUUCUCCGUACAGAGUGCAAGACUCUCAUCACUCAGAGCAGAGCGAGAGCGUUUAACGAGUGGAUGAACAUAAUCAGAUUGUAAUUCCUUAGACGCCAUUGCGGAUUUAACGGAUUUCUUGGAGACGUCAUCGUCAUCGGAGGGAGGAGGAGGAGAAGGAGGAGGAGGAAGAGAGUUAAUAGCGUUGUGAUUGAGAAGAAUCUGGUUAAGUUGGUGGCAUUGGGGGAGGGAAUUGGAAGAAUUAUCGAGAUCGAGGAAACAGGAAUUGAGAGCGAAAUGAAGAGAAGGAGGGGGAUGAGGAUGAGGAUGUAAUUUGAUUCGAGGCCAAGUUGUUUCGAUGAAUUGAGAAUCGACGCAGGGUUGAGGGCCACGACAGACCAUUGUCGCCAUUGUUGGAGAGUAUGAAGGUAAGGUAGGUUGGAAAUCUUGGGAUUAGGGUUUGUUGUGAGAGAAGGAAGAGAGAAUUGAAAGAGAGGGGAUAAGUGAAGAAGAUGUGGGGGAGAAGGGUGUGAAUUUGUAGUCCAAAAAAGUGGCAAGGAAGAGGUAGUGAGGAGUGAGGUAAGAGUGGUGGGGGCCUAUGUUCAUUCCACUUGAAUUAUAUUAUAAUCCUCCGUAUGCACAAAUACUACCUUACAUUACAAAUCUAAUACAAUUGGCUGUAUCACAACUGACCCCUAUGGUUAAUAGUCUUCUAUUAAUGAUUAGUAAUAUGAUUUAUAACUUAUAAACUCUUAACUUUUUAUUUAAAUUUUGUUAUACUUGCAGAUUAUCGUGUGUUGUAUUUGUUAAUACUUUAAGUUUGAUUACUAUAUUUGUAAAUAUUUAUAAAUUAUAUACCUUUGAUUAUGUUAGAUGUUUGAAACUCCUAUUUAUAGCUCAAUUGACGUAGAAUGAGUAGCUUUUACCAAGUCACAUGUUCGAGUCUUCCAUAAAAAAAAAGUAAACCAAAACAAAUUUACACAAUUUUAUAUAACACAAAUAUUAAUUGACCAAGAAGUGAGUUUCCAUGAGUUUGAAGAUCUUAAAGUUAAAAAUAAUAUUAAUUAUCACAUCAUUUAGAGAAACAUAAUAAAAUUUUGGUUUUUUCUUUAAAAUUUUUUCAAUAGAAACUAUUUAAAAUAAACUUUAAAAAAAAAUUAUAUUUUGUAUAAAAGCAUUUGAAAAACGCUUCAUUAACUUGUAAACAAUUUUCAAAAUAACCAAAUGGACAAUCAAAUCACAUAUUAUAAAUUGACUUUUUGAGAUAGAAAGUUUAAUCUCCCUCUUAAUUGGCUGUACUAAAAAAAAAAGCAAAAGUUAAUGUUUAUUCCAUGUUAGAGUCUCUUACCAUAUUAGUUUUUCUAAAAAUAUAUAAGUUAAUAAAAACUCACUUUCUAUUAAUAUAUUUAGGAAAUUAAUUUAAGUUUAGAUUACAAUAUAUAUGAUGUCAAAUUCAGCCCUCAAUUUAAAUAAGUUUGUGGGAAUUUUACAUCUUUUUAUUGGUUGUAUUGUAUCUUUCUCUUCUUUUCAAAAGGAUUGUGUGGUCAGCUGUGGUACUUUUUUUUUUUCCUUUGAGGUUGGACAAAAUUAUUUUUUUAAAUGGAUAUUGUUUUUUUUAUUGUGACAUUUCAGCCAAAUAAAUAAACAAAUAUAAUAAUAAAUAAUAAUAAUUUUUCUAUAAAAAAAACAUUGUUGGGAUUUUUCAGUUUUUAUUGGUUGUAUUGUAUCUUUUUGUGGUUGAUUUCAUAUCUGACUUUCUUCCUUUAUGAAUUUUAAGUUAUUUAAUCAUUGGUUCUUAGAAAAUAUUAGAAUUUUGUUUCCACAGAGAGAAGGUUUAUUAUUUUUUACUAUUUCUUCAAAUUUAGAGUUCUUUUUAGAUAAUUAGAGUUUUGGUCACAAUUAUUUCCCGAAUUACUUUUUUAUUCUGUUAACACUUUUUUUUAUACAUUUAGUAAUAAUUAAGAAAAUAUGUAUACAACUAAAGUUUGGAGUUAAAAAUUAAAAUAAAUCUAUGUCAAAUAUUUAUCUAGGAAGAUUGGAUUCUCCUUAAUAAAACUACGAGUGAUUUUAUAACAUAUAGAUUAUAAACUAUACUUUGUGUUAGAUCUCAAAAGCUAAUGUAAUUAAAUAUAUAGAUUUUAUAAUGCAUCAUGUCGAUUAGAUAAAAAGAUGAUCUUGGAUAUAUAAGUGAUAACAACUAUUUCCAUUGAUAUAAAAUAUUUUGAGACGGUACUAAAAAUAAAGCUAUGAAAGUGUAUUUAUUUAAUAUUUGAACAUACAGAAACAAACAACGAAAGUGUAGUAUUCAAACAUAAAAUUCAAUGUUAUCUAUUAUAAAUCAAUGAAAGAUUAAUCACUCGUUAUCCGAUAUUCUUCAAAGUUCCAAUGACCAAAAUAAAUACAAGAUUUACAUAAAAAUUUGAAGAUAAUAACGACACUUUUGAUGAAAAAAAGUUCAAGAUCUAAACUUAGAUUGUGACCAAAUUGGAAGGGAUAAGAGUGUGGAAGAAUAGGGUGAAGUAACACUUAGCCACACUAUCAAAAUUUGGAGAAAAGUUUCUCCUAAAUAAAAGUCAAAUUAAGGUUAAAUGAAUGCAUGAGUACUAGUUUAGUAUACUUACAUAUCCUUUGAAAAGAGGGAGUAAGAUACCAAAUCAAAUAGCUCAUACUAAGUGAAAACGACCUAAAAUUGUAUUUUUAGAAACAUAAAUCACCCUAAAUUAGAGACAUAGAAAAUUGUAUUGGUGUAAUUUAAGGACAAAACCAAAUUGUUUCUUAUCCUACUAAAAUAUUUUCUUUUUAUAAAAAUUUCAAACGUCUAAAUUGAAGUAAAUAAUAUAUUACAACUAUGGCAUAGUCAUGAAAAUUUUGUAUAUGUAUGUAAAAGAAAGAAACAUUGUUUUGUAAGACGAAAACGAUAAGAUUAGAACGUCAUCCACUCACAAAAACCGUCCGCUCCUAAUCGGUUGGAGUCGAUUGAUUUUUGAAAUUUUGUUGUGGGGAAGAGGGAAAAUGGAGGGGUUGAUUGUGGAAAAAACCUAAAAACAAAAAAUACAAAGAUGUGUGGGCAUAAAAAUGUUGAGAGAGAAGAAAGAAAAGAGGGCAUGUUGGUCCAAAAAUUACCAGCUUUUUUUCUUCUCUUCAUAAACUUCCAAAGGAAAAAGAACAAAAAGGCCAGGAAACAAAAAGAUUCUCUCAAAUAUUUGUUGACAGUGAUUUCCCUUCCCUUAAUUCUCUCUUCAUACCAUUUAUUUAGAUUUUAUCCAAAUUAUUAAAUUAAUUUAUAUGUUUCUCCUACACUUAAAUUAUUUAAUUGGUGAGUAUGAUUCAUAUGGGUUUAAAGAGUCAACACACCCACUUUCCUUUUGCUUCUGUCCAAAUGGGGAAUCAACAUUUAAAAAGAACCACAAGAAUGUCAGCCCACCCCCUUUGAAACUUCAUUUGCUUAAAUACCCAUUAUUCCUUUUCUUCAUUUUUUUUUUUUAUUUCCUUUUCAUUUUAUUCCCAUCAACUCUUUUUCCUUUUUCGGGAUACAAUUACAGAUUUUCUUUGACAUAAUAUGCACAAAUACUCCCUACUUCCUUUCAAUACUCUUCUAAUUUACUGCUUUUAACUCUUCUUUUCUUCAAUUUUCUCUUUCUUUUUAUAUAUAUUAUUAUGAUAUUGCUUAUUUUGAGUUUAAACCAAACCCAAAGGGUUGUUCCUGUCUUUAUAGGCAUAUUCGUUAUUAUUUUAUAUCAAAAUUUUGAUUGAAUUUUUAAAAACCAUGAUACAAGGAUCAUGAGGUUGAAGAUGUUGUCCAAAGUUGGUUAAAAUUUACAAUUUACAAUUUAACUUUUUUCUUUUCCAAACUCAUAAUUAGAGAAUUGAAUGGUAGGUUAACUAAUUUAGCUUUUCCUUUAGAUAAAUGAUUAUGUUAGGUGAAAAUUGAAAUCUAGGGUUAAGCAAUGUCACUCAAACAGCCUUUAUUUGUCUCCGUUGCUUCCGGAUACCAUAGAUUCUUCAAGGGGAUUGUGCCUUGUGGUGUGACGUGGGGAAAUAUACAAAAAAUUUCUCUCAUUCUUAAUAUUUUCUCCACAAAUCAUUUAACCUAAUUGGUCCAACGUGAUUCUCACUUUUUUAUAGUUCAAGAAUUGUGGGCAAAGAAGAAUGAGUUCUUAAAAAUCUUAUUCCAUUAAUCCAACAGUUAUCAAAUCGACAAGUAAAUAAUAUAAUAUAUAAAAUGUAAAAUAUAAAAGUUAAUAAUCGAUUAACUUAUGUUUGUUCUUAGUCGUUUGAAGCAUUACAUAAUAGAUUUAAGACAUUCCAGCACAAACUAUGUGUAGAUUGAUAAUUAUUCUCACUUUUGUAAUCAAUUUUGAAUAUAUGAAAAAAAAAAAAAAUCUAAUGGUUAUGAGAGAAACCAUCGUUUAAAUCUAAUGAACUUUGAACCGUUCGUAGAAGAAUAUGAAAUGUGCAAUAAUUAAGUGUAUUGAGAGACGACAACAAAUAUAUUAAAAGGGAUAUAGGUGAGAUAUAGAGUAUACCAAACUUUAAUUUAUUUUUAUUGUAAGUGUUGGAAUUUGAAUCGUCCUCUAUGCUAUAUGGUUCCAUUUUAUAGGAUUUGGGAAAGCUUAUAGAUUCCUUGUGUAACACAUAGGAUUCCUUUCUUUUUCAUUAUUCAAUUAAAAUUUCACUCACCCAUUUAAACUUUUCUUGCAAUAAACAAAUAUCCAAAUUUUCAUUAUUUUUUCUAAUAUGAUAAUUGCGAGAUAGAAAGUUGAAUCUCUAAAACGUACGCAAAGACUCAAGAAAAUAAAUAAAUUGGACUAGAAAAAUAGAGAGAGCAAAAUUCAAAUGGUAACUAAAUACCAAUGCCAUUGUAGGGCAUUUGAUUUCUUUUUAAGAAAUGGAAAGAGAGAAAUUGCACCGUACGGCAUAACUUUGUUAAUUAAAAUCCAUUUAGUGGAUGAGAAAAUGUACAAUAAAUGACAAAGGAUAGGUUAAAGAAUUUUAGUACCCUUCACCUCCUUUCAAAAUAAUAAUAAUUAGAAAAAAAGAGAGUACCUUCAUCUACUUUUUAAUGGUUUAAGUUUAAUUAGUUAUGUAUUCUAAAUAAAUCUUACCUUUUUAUGAAACAAAAUAAUUCUUAAACUUAAUUCUUCAAAAUUAUUAUUUUUAAUUAAAAUUAGUUCAAUAAUGACAAUAUUUUUAUUUUUUAUACUAAAAAUAAUUUUUCAAAAUUUAUAGAAACCAAAACUUUUUUUUUUUUUUUUUUAUGAAAAACAAAUAAUGAAUUGUGCAAUAACUAUUUUAAAGUUUAUUUGAAGUAUAGAAGCUUAAAUUUAGACAUUUAAUUAUAAGGUUAAAAUGAAAAGAAAAAAAAAGGUAAAAAAGUAAAAAAAUCAUAAUGAUAUUUUACUCUUCAAUUUUUUGCAACGUAUGUUUGCGUUUUCUCCUCAUUUAGGCUUUGUUUUUACUUUUAUUAAAGAAAACAUUUGAAUUCAAACUCUAAAAACAUUACAAAUAGUUUUUAAAAUCUAAUCAUUUUAUGAAUAGAAAGUGGACGUUAAAACAAAUAUAAGAAUUUCAAGGAAAAGUUAUAGGGUUUUAAAAAUAUUUCAAAUAGUUAUAAAUAAGACUUAAGUAUAUUGAUAUAAUUCCUCCAUGCAUGAUGCAAAUCUGUAAACGAGAACGAGAAAGAGUUUCAUCCUUUAGAUUGAGGGUUUAGAUAUAAUUCAUAUAUUCAUAUGUUUUUAGGAGUCAUUUGUUUCACGGACAUUCUAGAUUUUUAUAGAGUUAACAUUUAGAUUAUUGUGUUUGUUUUGUAGUAUUAUAAGAUACCGUGACAUCUGAAGAUUCUUCGACAUCCUAGAAUGCACGAACGGAGAACAUCUAGAUAGUUUUGGGGGAUUCUGAGAUUAAUGACAUUCUUUUAUAUAUAUAUAUAUAUAUAUAUAUAUUAUAUAUAUAUAUAUAACAUUGUUUUGUUAUACUUUAAACCUUAUUAUUUUUAAUAAGAUAUUAAAAUUAAAAUUAUAUUUAUAAAAAAUCUUAAAUAAUGAUAUAUUAUUUUGUUAAAAAAACAAAUUAUAAGUUUUAUUAAUUUAAAAAGAAAUUCAUAUUGACAAAAAUAUUUCUGAAACCAACAUGGUAACCUAGGGAUGCAGACAUCUAUAAUUUUCGGUAUUUAAGACGUACUGGUUACCUACAUUUUCAAAAAACAAACGGCCUCUUAGAAUUAUUUAUUAGUUAGAUCCAAAUGAUAAAAAGCCUUAGCUUACGUAUUUAAAAUCACGUAAAAAAAAUCAAUUACUAUAUCAAAAGCCAAUAAAUAUUCCAUAUCCUAAGGUCGAAGCUUUAGAAAAAAAAAAACUAAUAAACACAUACUUUUGAGUCAGGUCAAAAUUCUAGAGCAUACAUUCGAAAUUAUGAGUUAGGGUUACAGAGGAAUCCAGGAAUCCAUGUGUGAAGGCACUAAAAUGUACAUAUAAAUAUAUACAACACAUAAGGUAUAAAAUCGUACGGAAAAUGAUGUAAUGUGUGAAGCAUAUAGUUAGAUGGAAAAAGGGAAAUUUAAUGUGUGAUCCAGCUGAGGGCUUAGGGUUUCUGAUCAUAACCCUUCUUCUUCACUCCACUUAAUUAUACCUUUAUUUACUUCUGACAUUAAUAAUAAAAAUAAUAAUAGCUAACCUUAAAACUACUUUUAGAGAAAGAACAUAAUAUGCCAAAACUACUUAUUAAGAGAUCAGGUGUUUGCAUAUUAAUUACAGGGACUUUUCACUUAAGCUUUCUAAGAAUGCAAAAAGAAUAUUGCCAUGCAAGGAAACCCUCGAGUGCAUUUGUGUUGUAUACUGUGAAGAUCAAUUGUUUGUAACUUUGUCCUUUUUUUUCUUUUCUUUAUUCAAAGUUUAGUUUAUUAAUUGGUUUCUUUUCUGAGUUUAGAGUUGUGGGAUGCCCUAGCAAGUUGUUGAGCUUAAACCCCCCAUGUGGGUUACGUUAGCUUUAAUUUGAAUGUAAUUAAGUGAAUUAGCUAGGUUUAAAUUUCAAUUUUUUUUAAUAUUCAAAUGAAAUUAUUUUGGAUUUAUAUGAUAAUACUCAUUUGAUUAUAUAUCUUUAAAUGAUUUUAUCAUGGGUUUCAUUUUUCUAACUAAAUACUUCAAUUCUUAAUCAAAUCCUAUAAAAUAAAAACAAAUUUUAAAAAACUGUUUGUUUUUAGUUUUAAAAACUUUGUCUUGGCCUUUGAAAACACUCAUAAUUUAGGGUUAGGGUUUUUGUGGUUUCAUUUUGGUAGUGACCUCGGUUUGAAUAUUAUUUUAGUUAAAUUUUGGAUGUUUUAUUUUAUAUGUUUGAUUUUUUGGAACAAUUAAUUUUCAAGUUUAGGGUUUAUAUACAGAUUUUUUUUUCUUUUUUUACAAAUUUAAAUAGCGUGGAAUCAAACUUCCUCGACUUCAAGGAUUAAAAUGUUUUAAAUUAGGUUAACAAACUCAACCAAUUACAUAUAAGGCAUUUGUAAUUAUAUAUUGGUAAAGGUUUUCAUUAUUUAUAACUACACAAUUAGAUAGCUAGUCUGAAAUUGCAACUUAUACAAUUAAGACUAUAUAUAUUAUUUAAUUUGUAGCCAUUGUUCCCUUUUUACUCUUGGAAAUUGUAACCAUUUGGUUUUAUAACUGUGUAUACUUUGAGAAACAUAAAAGUACUUGCUCUCAUCCUAAAAUGUUUUAUAAAAAACACUCAACUCUCAUUUUAAAAAGUAAACUAAGAGAGUAGAAGCAAACAAUAAAGUGAUAUCGUCAAUCUGGUUGAAAACAAAUUCUUAAAAGAUGCAAUAACAUUCAUCAAUUCAUAGGAGAAAUAAUUAAAAUCUCUGUUAAAAGAGAUGAAAAAGAAAAAAACAAUGUGGACAAAAAUGCAUAAUAUCAUGGAAGUGGUUCAAUAAAAAGCACUGGAAACAAAACAAAAUCAUACACAAUCAUAUAGGUUCUAAUGAUAUAAUAUUAAAUAUAAAAAAAGAAAACGUGAAAAUGAAUAUUAAUCUCCGACAGUCGGUCAAGCAAAAGGUUCUAAUGAUGUGGGAGUGGCUUUUGCGUCAGAAGAUGAAAGAUGAGCGGUUUCAGAGUGGCUCCGCACCACCAACUGCUGACUACGCCCACCCACUUGGUCAAUUUUUGGCUCCUCAAGUGCUAUCUAUAUGCACCCACUUCCCUUCCCUUUUCUUUUCUUUUUUAUUUCUCUAUUACGAAAAAUAAAUUUAAAAAAUUGGUUUUUAUUUAAGGAAUAUUUAUAGCUACGCUAGGUUGGUGAGUUCCAAUACAAAUACCAUACCAAAUUAUAAAUACUUGUGCUCUGGUGCCACCUCUGCAUGCCCUACACCCAAACAAUUGGAUCUUUUAGAUUCAAUUUCUUUUUCUUUGUUUUAAAUAAUUAAGUUUAAUAUUCCUUCCUUUCUACAAUUUUAGGGAAUACAUUAGACUAUAAAAAAUAUGAUGAUAAUAUAAUAUAAUAUAUCACACUUUAAUGUGAAAUUUCAAUAAAUGGAGAAGUUAGUGACACUCAAAGUUUAAAGGUUAAUGUAAAUGUGGAGGUUCUAAUUCUACAUAAAUAUUGAAGAAAAUAUAGAUAAACUGGAUUUUUUUUAUAAUAGCAACAUAAAUUAUUUAAAUUAAUAAAAUAAAUCUUUGCCUUUUUUUUUUUUAACAAGGCAACAUGUUUAAAAAUUAUAAUUAUAUUUUGUUGCUUACGCCUAUGUUUUAUGAUUUUUUUUGUUACGAUAUAAUUUAAAUUUUGUUUUCGCUUUUUUUUCUGUUAAUAAACUUAGAUAUGUAGAAAAGACAUUUUAAAAUUUUAAAGACUAAAAAUGUGUCCACUUGUUAUAAUUUAAUUUUAAUUGGAUGGAUAGAUAGGAAAUAUAAGUUUUAUUUUAUUUUAAUUGAUUCAAAAUUACUAAAAGAUAUUCAAUAAUUUUUAGUAUUAAAACAAAACCCAAACAAAAGUGUAACGUAGGAUAGUGAUUGGAUGGUGAUUUUCAAGUAUAAAAUAAGUAAUUAAUUAAUGAAGCUUCAAAUCAAUUAGAUUGAGAAGCGAAUUAAUAAUUGAAAAAAAUAUCACAUAAAUACCCAACUUUAAGAUUUUGAAAGCUCAUGCGAUCAUACACGUAAAGGUAUGUUAUUUGCCCCUUCCCACUAUCUCACAUUAACAAAAAUAAUAAUGAUAAUAAAAUAAAUUACUUUAAACAACAAACUUUAAAAAAAUAUAUUUAUAAAUACGAUAAAAUAUCAAAAUUUAUCAAUGAAAUUACAACCGGUUAAGAUAAAUUAUUAUUGAGUUUAAUUUAUUAAGAUUCAUGUAUAUAGACAAUAAUAUUUUGUUAUAUUUAAGAAAUAUUUUGAUUGAUUAAAGUUUAUUAUAAUUUAAAUUGGAAGAAUUAUUGAGAUGGAGUAAGACAAUUGUGAUGAAUGAUGUUAAAAAAUAAUUGGAUUUGACAUUAAUUUUGGAUUUCUUAGAGCAUUGUGGAAACUGACGGCAGCAUAUAUAUGAAAAUGUGGCUACAAAAAAAUGCAAUUUGAGUUACCAUGAGUUUGCUUAAAUUCAUUUAUUUUUGUCUAAUGGUUGAUGACUUCAUGUGAAUAAACAUUAAAAAAAAGGCAAAUUUUGUAAAGAUGAAAAAAAUAGUAUUUAAUUUACAAAUUAAUUUAUAAGUUAUGAAAAGUUCUAAGUUAAUUGGUUGAUUUUGCAGGUGUUUUUUGUUGGAAAAAUUUAGGAAAAUGUUAAGCAUCAUAAAGUAUUAAUUUAAUUUAUGUUGUUUGUGACUUUUAAUUAUGGUUGGAGUAGUUAUAGUUUUAUUCCAUAUAUAAAUUUGAAAGGGGAUAAUAGCUCAUUUCUAACCAAAAAGAAAAAAUUGAUUCAGAAAUUAUGUUAUUUUUGUUUAUUAUGUGAUGUCUUAUACUGUGAUUAGUAUAUAACUAUAUUGAUAUACGGUUCACGUCUUUAUCUUUCAUCGAACAAUUUUAUAUGCUAAGUACUAUUGAGAAUGAAUAGUUUUCCAUGUCAUUCCUAUACAUAGUUUCUUUAAAUUCAUUUAUAAGUUUAAAAAGAGUAUUAGUGAUAAAUUCUAUAAACAGUUUUAAAGUUAGCUACUAACUCUUUGUGUUUAUUAUUUAUUAGUAUUUUAAAGAAAAACCAAAUAGAUUAAAUAUCAUGUUUUAUGGAUGCAUAUUCCAAAGAAAAAUCAAUAUGGAGGCAUACAAUUAGUUAAAAUAUCUAACCAAUCAACUUUUCUAAUGUUUGAAACUAAAUGAAAUCUGAAUUUUGUGUCAAUAAAAUUUAAAUUGAAAGUUUAAAAAAUAAUUUUAAUUAUUUGUGUUAUUAUAAAUUUGAACAGAAUAACUAAUGUUACAUAAGCUUUAAUUUGUAAUGAAAUUUAAAAUAUAAUUCACAUUUGCAUAAUUAAUUAAGUGAGUAGGUAUCCAUAGUAAUCCAAGGAGACAAUUAAUAAUGUUGUUUUGUUAGUACAUAUUAAUUAGAAUAUUAUGGAAAAAAUUAAUUAAUUGAUUCCGAAGGCGUUGAUAUGAAGCUGAUCCUCAAUUUGCAAAGGUAUCAAUAUGUCAAUUGUCAACUCAUAUUUUUAUUCGUACUAAAAAAAAGCAGAUAUUUUAAUUCGUACAAGAAAGAAAAAGGAAAAACAGGAAAUUUUUAUUCGAUUGGUAUUAUUUAUUUAUUUAUUGUAAUUAUUAAUGGAGAAUAUAAAUAUAUAUAUAUUUUAUUUUGUAAAGGGUGAAUGCAUGCGUCAUAUGGCUAAUAGCUUGGCCUUAACGUGAAAGCCAAAGGGUAAAUUAAGGCUUAGGUAAUCAAAUUUAAGCUAAUAGUUUAGUGUAUGAAGGACAAAGAAUCCAGUUCAUGUCUCACAUUAAUUCUUUUAAUAUAUAACCUUAUUAUUAUUAUUUUUUUAAUUUCACCUUAAAAAGCUCUCCUUUUUCGCCAUGUUGCUCCCACACACUUUCAAUAUUAUUUAUUUCUUUACAAAAAUCUUCCCUUUCUCUCUCACUAUCAUUUUUAAUUCUUUUUUUUCUUUUACCUUUUCAACUCCUAACAUUAACCAAUAUAUAUAUAUAUAUAUAUAUAAUGGAAUCAUACGCAAUCCAUGCACAAAUGCACCUAUUUCAUAAUUUAAUGUUGAAUAAUAUAGUAAUAGCUAGAUGAUUACAUAAUCACCCUAAUCCUAUCCUAAAUACCUUGAUUUAAAAAAACACUAUAUAUAUAAAUACCAAAAAGAAAAGUUAAGCUUUUGAUUAUUUAUGAAGAUAUAUAAAUGAAUAUUUGAAUUUUAAAUGUGAAAUUAAGCAUAAUUUAAGUGACACGUGGAGUUUGUAUAUGAUUUUGAAAUGAUAUAUUAUCAUUAGGUUUUGUUCAAAACAUAACAAUAAAAAAGAAUCUAAACAAGUAGCGUAUUAAAAAGAGCACUAGGUUAAAAUUAUAAUCGAAGAUUAAAUGUAUAUAUAAUUGAUCUAAAUUUACGUUGGUGAUGCAUAAUUACAAAUUAAACAUGUUUAAACACCAUCAAUAAUGUUUCCUAAAAUUGAGGGCAAAAUUAUACCAAUCACAUUCUGAAAAAAUGAAAGUAAACCUUUUGAUUUAACCCAAUUGGAAAUAAGAAAUUGAAUCUUAAUUGUCACCUCAACUAACUGCUCGUUGCUAAUAUGGUAUAAUAAUCAUACACUUUUUAUUAUUACAAAUGUCUUUUUCCUUUUUGACAAUUCAUAAUUACAAAUGUCUUUAGGUUGGGCAUUAUUUAACCGAUAAAAUGCAACAAAAUCAAUGGUAAAAUGAGGUAUAUUAUAAUAGGAAUAAGUAUUUAGGGUUGUUCAAUACAAAAUUUAAAAAAACGGGUAAAGGAAAAUUUAACAUAGUUUCCCACAUUUUUAUUUCGUGGCAUGAAUUAUGAAAAAAAAGACUAAUUUUGUGAAAAUCAAUAUUAAUGGAAGAAAAAAUAAUAAUAUGUUUCGAAUAAACCAUCCAUACUGACUUAAAAGUUUAAACUUAUUUGUAAAGAUAAAUUUAAUAUAAUAUCUAAAAAAAUUCUAUUUUUUUUUAUUAAAUAUUAUUAGUUUAUAUGUUAUACUAGCAGAGUCCAACUAUAUCAUUUUUUUUUUUUUACCCAUCGUUUAAAAUUAAAAGUUAAUAGUUAAUUUAUUAUUGAUGGUUUAAUUAAUUAGUCCAACUCAUUAUUCUAUAACAUACCCAAUUAAUUGUACCACUUACAAUUGAAUUCCUAACAAUUUUCAAUAGAAUCAUUCCACAAAUAGAAUAAGUCAGCCAUGUGCCCAACUAAUUUAUCAUUAGAAAAUAAUCAAACAAACUCUAAUGAUAUGACUUGUAUAUAAAACUUCAAUUAUAUAUAUGUAUAUAUAUAAACAGAAGAAUGUGGGUGGUAAAUUAAUGGUUACUUUUAGAGAGAAUGUUGACUAAGCAUCAAAGGGUGAUCUUCAAAGGAGAUUGAGAAAUAAUAAAGAAAACAAAUAUAAUGUAAAAAGGUGUAGAGUGAGGCCAUAGCUUUCUGCAUCUAGCCAUUCAUUCUUCUGACUUUGUACUAUAUACUCUUUCUUUGCAAUAAUUAUUUUUAUAUGUUUACAUAUUUUCUAUGUGUAUGGGUUAUAAACACUUCUUUACAACUUUAUCAAAAAAAAGAAAAAAGAAAAAAAAAGGUCCAUGGCCUAUAAUGGUACAUAUAUGGGUAAGGACACGAUAUACUACUCUAUACCCACUUUAUAUAGUAAUCAAUCGAAGAUUAAAUGUAGAUUAAUUGAAAAUGAAUGAAUAUUUGCCACAUAUAUAUAUAUAUUCUAUUUAUAUGUGUUGUUAGGUCAUUGGCUUGAUUUCAAGAUAAAUUCUUUAAAGUGGUAUCUAGUUAGUUAACACUUGAUGUGAUGACCAUUUACGACGGCCUCUCACGAUAAUUAUUUGUGUUUUUUAAGAUUAUGUCUAUAAACACUACUUUAAUUCAUUGGGUUAUGUUUACCAAACUAAUUAAGUCUACCGUUGAAAACUAAAAGAGAUAUAUGUUUUUUUUCAAAAAACUCAUUAUUUUUUAGAAUUGGAUAAAAAUUAAUGUUUCUAACUUAGCUAUUCAUAGUGUUUGGUGUCUAUGAUAUAUAUAAAUAAGUGUUCUCAAAAUAAAAUAAAUUUUUAAAAGAUGUUUACAAUUUUCUUUUGUUUUUUUAAAAUGGAUGGAAAAGAUAAAAAUUAUGGAUAAGAAAGGGUGAGAAAUCAAAUAUAAUUUUUGAGAAGAUGUGAUCUUAAGUUACUAAUUUACUGAAAAAAAACUUAAACUAAUUAGUAAAAGUAAAUUUAAUUGGAGAGUUAUUACAUCAUCUUUGGAUAUAAAUGGCUAUGAAAUAACACCCUAGUAAAUUAGUAAUGGAUGAAAAGAGCUUAAACUAAUAAGUGAGGAUAAAUUUAAUUAUAUGAGGUAAUAGAUAACUAAAACAGGUGGGAAAGGGAGGGGUUUAUUUUAAUUUAUGAUGGGAGAAAAAAGAGUGGAAGUAGAAGAAAAGAGGGAGAGAGUGGGAAACAGAAGACAGAGAAGUAGAUUCCAUGUUCCUAUAGGAAGAGGAAGGGAUAAAAGUAGGUUAGGAGAAAGAGACAGGUUUGUCCUUUGGAGUUUCCAUAGGCUUAAUUUCCCUUUUUAUAUGUAUUAAUUAACUAUAAUUCUUAAUUAAGUUGAUGUUAGUUUCCCUAAACUUUAUAAAUAAUCAUUUAGUAAUUAAUAUAAAAGUAUACAAUUGGUUGACAUACUUUUCCGGGAAUCUCUUUAGAAGCUGGUGGAGAAUCCGCUAACGUAAGCUUUUUCAAAACUACUUUUUCUCCCCUUCUCAUCCGAACUUUCUUCUUUAAAUCAAUUAACAGCUUUUUAAAUAUUUAUAGUAUCUUUUUGUUUAUAUAUAUAUAUACUAACGAGUGCUCGGGUCAAUUUAUGCAAAUAACAUGAAGAUAAUCAUACUUAUUUUUUUAGGAAUUUCUUUAUAAUCUAUUUAACUUAGUAUUAAUUGUGUUGAAAUUAUGUUGGAUCAUCCCAAAAUUUGAAAAGUGAAAUAUUAAAUUGAGUAAAGAAAACAAAUUUUAAAAUUAGGGAUGGUUGAAAUUUUGUAAGAUACGUCAUAUAGUUUAACUUAUUAUAUAUAAUUAAAAGUGAGAGGUUGGUGCAAGUAUCUUGUCUUGGGCCCUCUUUGCUCCUUCGACUCUCUUUGUUUGUUGUUUGUUGUUGAAGUUGACCUGUAAAAGUACUUCCAAGCCAAGUAUAUUUCAAUUGCUAAUUCUCACUUGGGAGAGUGCAUGGACACACUAAACUUGAGAUAAGGGUUAUUAGAUAACAGUUUCAUUUUUCUGAAAUUUAUACUUGUUCCUUUCCAACUUUUUAAAUACACUUCUCACCUUUAUUAAAUUAAAAACAAAACACUUUAAUUUCUUAACUGAUUCUAAAAAAGUGAGUUGAAUAUUUCUUAAGCUUGGUUUUUUAAAACUUUAUAACAAAACUUGAAAAGUAGUGCUCACAAGGUUUAAUUUCCAAAAAAACAAAAGGGUUGUCAGUUUUUACAAUUUUUUCUUUUUGUUUUUCCAUAUCAGUUCAAGUAAAGAGAAAGAAUUGGCUAAAUUAAAAUCUUGUCUUUGUAUAAGCUCAUGAAAUUUGAACCCCCGGUCAGGGAUCUCAUAUAAAUGUUGAAGUUAGAGAUUCAUGGUCUAAACAACCACCUCCUCACAGAUAAAGAGCAGUUCAUUUUCAAAUUUUUGCAAAACAAACCUCUCUUCUGAUGUUAUAAGAUUAGUAACCACACAUUUCUCCUCAGAAAAUGGUUUCCUACCUGUCCGUCCAGCUCGAUGAAGAUAGUCAAUAGCACAUCGAGGCAGAUCGAAGUUGUAUAUAUGGGUUGUUUCAGGCAAAUCAAUUCCCCUGGCCACUAUGUCAGUUGCUACAAUAAGAUAACUUCCUCCUUGUCUCAGUUCCUGCAUUCAAAACAAUCAACAAUUCAAAUAAAAAAUGUGUUGAUGACUCAGUUUCAACCGAAAGUCCAACUCGAGUUCUUCCGAGUCUAACAUUCUUGUGACAAAAAGUCAAGAAUACCGUGGUUUGGAUUGAUUCAUUGUUAGGCAGAAAAUAGUGGGUGAAAAGUAAUGGUAUCCAGUGGUUCGGUAAAGAAUGAGAUUUUUUUAAUCCCAUGUUCAUUUAAACUUUUCGAUAAAUAGAGACGAAGAAUGAAAACAGGGCAGGGUCUAUGUGGAAAUCCUAGUAUAGGGAGAAAAACCACAGUAUAGAUGUUUCUUGUUAUUUUCUAAUACUAAUAGAGGAAAUAUUUAUAGACAAUAAGAGCCUAAUAAAAAAAAUAAAAAAUUAGGGCAAAGUAAAUCUGCCCAUUAUUUCUAACAAAACUAAUUGGGACAGGGUUGUCAGGCGAGAUAUCACAUCCCAGUUAGCUGAUCUCACAGCAGUGUUAACACCCUACUUGGUUAAUGGUUGGCAAAAGAUUGCAUACAAAGCUUACCGACAGGGAAGAAGCUCGUAAAUUGUAAUUCACAUCUUCCUCGAGAAGAAUGACGUCAGAACAACCACCAUAUGAGGCCUUCAAGAAAUCAAUCAUCAAGGUUGUUGGUGGAAUCUUUCCGGCCUUCUUUGACUUCUCUGACUGCAAAUCCAGUGUAACAGAAUCAGACAAGUUACAAUUCUUCAAUUCUUUUGCAACUAUUUGAACGGAUUGGCUUCCUAGAACUAGAUUUUCCUGAAAUCCAGAGUUCCAGACCUAAAAAUGUGAACCUAAGGGCUUAGAUAUGCAGCCACGGCCAUGCUUGUAGCAUGUCCAGUUUUGCAAUUGUUAUGGAAUUGAAAAAUAAAGAUAAAUAGAAAAGCAUAAACAAUAAAGAAAGAAACAACACAAAGAUUUACAUUAUAGGUCCAUGGGCAGAGGGGAAUAGUUUACUAUUUGAGAGAAAUAGUUUAAAUUACAUAGUAGUAGUGGCGCCUUUAAAUUUAGAGAGGUUAUGUAGAAUACUUCUCUAAACAUCAUUAUGGUCAAAAGUGUAAAUGGCCAUUUCCACCGCUAGAUAACAGAUUCAAAGAUUCAAAGUGUUGAUAAAACGUUUUCUCUAUUUUUAAUUUUCAAGGGCAGUAUAAUCAAUUAGAUUAGAGGCUUAGAGCAUUCAAUUCAUUGAUGAUCCGUAGCAAGCAAAUAUAAUUUGGCGUAGUAUAGCUCAAUUUUCUUUCAAAUAGUAAACCAUGAAGAAUCUAAAAGCUUCAAUAGAAAAAAGCUGUUAGAACAUUUUACUUAUUUACUUGGUCAUUCAUCUAAAAGCUUCAAUCAACACAAACCUGCUCACUGACAAAAAUGAUUGCAGACUGAGGAAUAUCUGUUAGUAACAAGGUCAGGAGGGUUUGAUGCUUUUUGUUCUUCUCACAUGUCUGUCAAAGUCAAGCAAACGAUAAUACUUCAGCAAGUAAAAUCAAAACUAUUAGAAAAAAGAAAUUCAAUGUGCAGUGAGAUGGAUGGCUGAGAAUACUCCUGAAUGGACAAUAAAAUUUACCACAAAUCUAUGCAGUAAACAUGAUGGCAUGGGCUGAGUUGAGUUAAUAUGAAUAUGAACAACAGUACUCUGCAAGAGGAAGAGAGGGAAAGUUUUAUCAAGCUAAUGAAAUUAAUAGCUGAAUUGCAUCACAAAUUGGAAAUAACCAAAAAGAAUUCCAUAUACCUUGGUCCACUUCUGCUGUAUACAAUCAUGAAGAAAAUGCCUAUGCUGCGGAAUUGAUGCACUUGCAAAAAUCGUCUGACGGUUACUGAAUGAAGAAUAUGACGUCAAUAGUUUUUUUAGGGAACUAACUUGCUUUGAGGAACUAAACAUGAAAUCAACCUGACAAACAAACGAGAAAAAUGAUGUGAAGACCUUUAAAUAAAAGUCUAUAACAAGCUUACUACAGCAUUUUUAGGAUGCUUAUUUAUAUCUUUAUUUACUUUCAAGACAUCUGAAUUAUAAUCUAAGCAUGUGGAAUGAUACAUCAAUGUUUAACAAGCUGUUUUGGUGGCUGCAAACCUGUAAGAAUAUUGCUCAAUGGCAUAACAAAUUUUACGAGCUGUCCAGAAAGUAUGUGCCAAGAAGCUAGUGAAAAACAAAAUUUCUUUUCAAGUACCUCAUCAAUUACCAGCACAUUCAAUGAACCAAGGUCAAGAAAUUGUCUCUCUACCAUUUGGCACAAGCUUCCUACAGUCGCCACCAGUAUUUCAGGGGGAUCUGCCUACAAAUUUUCAUAACUCAAAGUUAUAAUAUGGAUGAGGAGUUUCUUCUACUAAUCACAACCCAAGAAUGUAGCAAGAAGAUGGAAAAAACAACAAUCAGAUGUCAUCGGUGAAACUUUAGAAACUCAAAACGAAGUUGGCUAUGGCAAUGCAUUGUUUUGUCUAUACAUGUUAGUGUUUGGGUCCAAUUGCAUACACCUCAACUACUCUCACAAGACAACUAUCUAACCCUACUAUGCUUGGUUGCCAAAAAAAACUCGAAGGAUAUAACCCCUUGGUAGGUAGCCACCAUAGCCUGUAGCCAUCCCUCUAAGCAUUUAACAAUUUACAGUGGCCUUGUUGACCACUAGUUCAGUUCAUGACAAUGCAACUAUAAGCCGUCAAAACAUAGAUUCUAAACAUGCAAUUAGAAGUAUCGAACACCAUCUAACCCAAAACCCUUCUCCAGUUUUUUGACAACAUCACAUAAAAGCCAUUGAGUGUACUUAAAGAAGAGGAACAGAUGCAGCACCUUUAACCAAGUCUUGUGUCUUCUCAACAAGCCUCCAUCUAAAAGAGCCAUGACAACAUAAGAAUUUAGCCCAUCUUCAGAUGCAGCAGGCUUGGCGGCUAACAUCCUAGCAACUUUUGUAACCUGAGUUCCAUUCCACCAGGUAAAAAACAAGAUUACCAUAAAAAAAAACUAAUUUCAGAACUACAAAAAGAAAAACAAGAACAGAUGAAAGAAGAAAAUACAUAAAGUUCAAGCAUAAUCUGGAAGUUACAGAGUUCAAUCUCACUUGCAUUCCUAACUCCCGUGUGGGUACUACAAUCAAUGCUUGAACAGCUGAUUUUUUAGCGUUGAUUACAGAAAAUAUCAACAGCAAAUAUGUCAGUGUCUUCCCAGAACCUGUCUAAAAGGAUAAGAGUAAGUAACGAACAGUACACAGAAUUUCAAAAUACCACACAAACAAACAACCAAAAGAGUCCAUUCUCCGAGUAGAUUACUUUAUAUACAUAGACUUGACCUGCGCAUGAAGCACACAAUCCCGACCCGAAAACAAAACUGGGAGAGCUUGCCUCUGCACAUCAGUUGGGGCAACAAAUCCAAUUUCCUCAGUUCUACACCAUUUAAGAAAGAAAAUGGAAGGGGGAAAAAAAAAAAAACCCCAUAAGACAAAAUAAUAAAUUAAGAAGGAAUUCAAAAGAAUAGAUGGAAUAUGUAGAGUUGCCUGCGCAGUAUAUGCUCGGGAACGUGUCCAUUGCAGAUUUCCCGGAGAGUGGAAGCCUCGAAAUUGGAUUCAGCUACGUUCUUUAAAGAAGAAGAGCUCAGAAGGGCUUGCAGAGGCCUAGAUUUUGAGGUGGAGUAGAUGGGUCCAUUGGUAUUGAUAAAAUUUGGUAAUUGAAAGGAUAAAUGAACGGGAAAAGACCUUUCAGAUGAGAGGAGCAGCCAAGGAGGAGGGAAUUUGGUAGUGGGAAGAAAGGUUGCAGCCAUUGGAAUUGGAGUGAGCUCGCGCAAUAUUGGAUAGGUUCAAAAAGGGGGGAAGGGAAAAUGGCGAGAGAGUCUACUGGAGCUGAGAGGAAGAGGGAAGAAGGGGUGUAAUAGAGAAAUCGCGGGCGCCGGUUGUGAAGUUGCCGAUGCGAACCUAACCGCCUAAAGUUCGAAGUUCGAAGAAGGAUAAGGCUUAAAGUUGGUUAAAACUUUAAAAUUAAAUAUGGUUUCAAAAGUUUUAAUUUUAUUUCUUUUAUUUUUUUGGUCUAAAAUCUUUCAAAAUUUCAAUUUUUAUAAAUGUUUAGUGAUACAAACAUUUUGAAUUUUAUUUUACGUUUUCAAUGUGUAGGGGUAAGUUCGAAAGUUCAUACAUCCCAAACUUCAAACUCUAAUUUGUAAUCUUGAAUUUUGACGAUGAUGUUUUGUAUGAAAUUAACUUCUUUUGUAAACUUUUGUUGAAGUUUAUGACUUUAUAAUUGUUGGAAUUUUUUGUCCUAAAACUCGUAGUUUGUAAAUCAUAUUCUAUUCAAUAAAGUUGUUAUUGAGAAAUUAAAUAUUAUAAUCUUAAAUCCAAUAAAUCAAGUUCCAAGGCUAUUUUUUGAAUAAACUUGAACUUUAUGUGUAAACAUAAACGUGGAUCAAGUUCGAGUAUAUAGCCUAAAUAGUCUAUAGUAUAUGAAAUAAAGGUUGGGCGCCUUAUUUAGAGAAACUAUGGAUGCGGCCCACUUUGUAGUACAAACGAGGUGAUCCUAAUCGUUCAUGUAGAGACAUGAAAGUGGGGGCAUCCUAUGUAAAAUGUUUACAUAAGACUGAACCAUGAAUUAGUCAUUUUUACGUUAUAACACCGUUUACUGUUUAAAACUGACUAUCUCAAUUAUUGAUGACCUAGGUAACUUAGUCUUAAUCCUGAGUUAACUAUGAACUCCUGUUCAUACGAGAUUAUCCUUAGAUCUGCAUAGGUGAGGGCAGCUCAUCAGCGUUGGCCCAAUAAGCCUCCCAUUUCAGGGGUAAGAUCGGGUGGAUAGCUGGGAACAUAGGGUACAAGAUGGAAUUCACUCCUACCCGCUUUAGGGUUAGUAGAUAGGUUGCUCUCUUAAGCACUGAAUCCAAGUCUUGAACAAGGGGCCCCACCCUCUCAUUGGCCCGAGAGGGAUUAAGUUUAUAGGUUGAACCUUAAACCAAUUGUUCAAUAGUGGAUUAGUGGGACUUAAGGAGCAAGAUGUAAUCUUGGGGGUAAAACGGUAUUUUGACCCAGCCAAGGUUACGAGCAACCUGUGAAGGAUUAACUUACUGAUUAUGGUUUUAUCAAAUGGACACAAAUAUAUCUAUAGUGAGGGGAGUGCAACUACGGGACUUUAGUGGAAUGACCCGUUAGUUAACGAAUGUUGAUUAACUCGGUUUAAAAGAGUUUAGCUAGUUAAUCUUGAAUCGUUGGAGCCCAUGAUCUAUAGGUCCAUUAGGUUCCUCUGCUAGCUCAUAUGGAUUAAACUUAGAACAGUGUGAUGAAAUAAGUCGAAUUGUUCGAAUUGGGAGAAGAAAGGAAAACCGACAUAUACAGUGAUAUAAUCGUCGGUCUUCUAAUUAGAAAUAGAGCUUUAUGUUUUACAUACUAUAAGUAUGAAUGCGGAUUCAUACUAAGAAGCUCGGAAUUGGUCAAAAAUAGUAAAAAGUCAAAAUGUUGACUUUUGACUUUGAAAAGUCAAACUUUGACCGGCCUUAUAUUCAAAUGUGAUUUGAAUUUUGGAAAAAUGAAUGCGGAUUCAUGCUCGGGAGGUUGGAAUUAGUCAAGACGGACAAAAUGGUAAAAAGUCAAAAUAUUGACUUUUGACUUAGAAAAGUCAAAGUUUGACUUUUGACUAGAAAAAUCUAAUGACCAUUUUACCCUUGGACUAAGUUAGUGGGAAAAUCCAACAUUUUGUUGGAUAAUCCCACUAACUCUUAGUGGGAUAUGUGGCUAUAUGAGAUAUAGACACCUAGCCCACUAAGUUCCACUAAUUGUUAGUGGAACAUUCAAUUAGUGGAACAUUAGGUGUUGAGAUUUGGCAAAUGAAUUGCAUGCAUUUUUGCAUGUAAUUAGGCUAUAAAUAGAGAUGUUUUCAAAUGUUGAAGGACUUUUGCCUCUUUUAUCAUUUUCAUAAUCUCAACAAAAGAAAAAAGAAAGCUUCCAAUCUCAUUUUAUCUCCAUUACUUUCUACACCAAAAUUGGGUCCCACAACCCGGUUCUUUGUCUAGAGGAUAGCAGUUGAGUACUAGUGGUGGUCUCGGGUAGAAUUGGUAAGAAGACAUCAAACCUUUUGUAAGCUUCAAAGGUAAUACUUCUUAAAACCCUAAUUUGAUUAGUUUAUGGUUACAUGUUAAUUGUGGCAAUUAGGGUAGAAAUUCGAUUCUUUUUCCGCUGUGCAUGACUUAGUUCUAUCAAUAAUCUACUCUAAAGUGUCUAGAAUUAUGUAAUAUAGUUAUGCACUCGCUUAGCUAAUCGAGUAAUUUUUCCUGUUUGAAAUUUCUUAUUAGCUAAUCGAGUGGUCUUCCCUCUUUGAAACUUCUUAUUGACAUUUCUCAUCAGGAUGUAUGUACUAUUCAUACAUUUCAAAUUUGCUAAAGCUCUGAACUAUAUAGUACUUACUACCGGUGCCACGGAGAGAUGUUUUUAGAUCUUGCAUAGAAAACUCUCUUACUUUAUAGUAAUUUGUAAUACAUAUUGGUUUUACAUACCAUCAAAUUUAUAUAUGGUUAAUAACCGCUUUGUAUUGUACGUGGAAUUCCUAAUUCAAAUUGAAAUGUACGUGAUAUUCUCUUAUUCAUUUUUGUUUAGGAGGAAUUUCAUAUUUCAUAUUUCCUUUUUAUUAUAUUUUAUAUAUAAUAUUAAACACAUUAAAUUUAGCGGGUGAAGGUUCAAGUCGGGGCAUGAAUACCCUCUCCUUCAUCCUCGACAGAUGACCCUAUAAAAUCUCUACUUUGACCGAAUUAUAAAUUUUCCUACUCAAAUAAAUAUUAAAAGUAUAAAUAAUUUUGGGAAAUUAUUAGAUAUAUAUAAAAAAAACACCAAAUUAUUAACAAAAUAUAAUAAAAUUUUAAAUUUUAUUAGUGAUAGACAUUAAUUAAUCAAUAAACUUUUACUGGGUUUAUUAGUGAUAAAAUAUAAAAUUUGUUAUAUUCUGUAAAUAAGUUUAUUCAAAAAUAAUUUAAUAAUUUUCAAGUACAAGAAAACGAGGUGAAUGAGUAUUACCUUUACCAUAGGAGUAGAGAUGGAGAAUUUGAAUUACAAAUUUAGUGGUUAGAAAGUGUUGUUUGUGAGAAAUAAUAGAAAUUUGAGUUUGGAAGAAGCAAAUCCAACUCGAAGAGUGAAGUUAGGUUCAUUUCUACCGAUAUUGAGAAGUAAAAUUUUUCUUAGAGGAAUCCAUGGUCAAUAUUGGAGCUUAAUAUUACCCGCACAACAAUUGAGCAUAGGUGCGUGCGUGAAGAACACCCAAAUAAUACAUUGAUUUCCAAUAAACAAUAGAAAAUAUAUAUAUUUCCAAAAAUAUUGUAGAUAUUUAUAUAUGGAAUCUUCCAUAAAUUAUAUACACUGCGAGGAGGAAGAGAGUUGAGCAUGUGAAUACAGUCGAAGAUGAAGUGGACAAUUCAGCAAUGGACGAAACGAAGGCAAUCCUUAGAAUAUUCUGUCGAUUCGUAAUUUGAUUGAUAUCAAACGAGAGGGCUUAAAUCUUUGAUGGGCUUUUCCAUUGAUCGCCAUUCACAUAAUUGGUGGUUGAAAUUCAUUCAGCAAAGAUAACUUUUUCCCAAUCCUUACUUCCAACUCUCAUGCACUCCAUGUGAAAACACGCCUUUCUCAAUUACGUAACUUUCCAUUCUCCAUUUCUCACAAUGGCCGUCUCCUCCGACUGCCGGAUUGCCCUCUCGGCGGCCGCACCUGCCACUUCACUGGUGGUCCGGAGGAGGUUGACGUCUGUGGAGUUUGGCAAUGGGGAAUUCAUGGGGAAGAAACUCACGGAACCCAAACGAGUACCUGCUGCUGCUGUUGCUAUUAACGGUGUUCGGCGACGUGUUUGCAUGUCUCUCACGACUAAUGUAGCCAUUGGCGAUGCUGCGGUAAUGUUUAGAACUCUGCAGAUAUUUGUGUUUUUUGGUUUUCUUGUGUUGUGGACCUUGAAAUGCCUUAGGUUUAUGAAACUACGACUUCUUUGUUGAUUCACAUUGAUUUCUGAUGAUUCACAUUGAUUUCUGAGAGUAUGUUUGUUAACAUGUUGGACCGUUGGUGAUGAUCUGUCUCUGUUUUUCGAUAGAAUUUUCUCUGUAGACGUUGCCAACUACUAUGGCAUUUACUCAUUUGAAUUUUUGUUUAUUACCCUACGCCUUCUGGUUGUUCCAGUUGAAUCUAUGAACUUGGUGCAAUUUGGACUUAGUCUGAUAUGUAUAUAUACGAACAAACCUGAGAUAUACAAUUGGGAAUGGAAACAAGGGACUGAAAAACCGUUAGAGCUUCAUAAAUCUUUGUGAGGCCUAUUCAGAAAUAUUGAUCUGAGGCAAUAAUGAAUGUCUUGUUGCUUGUGACUUUGUCUAGUUGAGAGAAAUGGAUAUGGAGAAAAGGGACCCCCGGACUGUGGUGGCGAUCAUUCUGGGGGGAGGAGCCGGCACUCGUCUAUUCCCCCUCACCAAGCGGCGGGCCAAACCUGCUGUAAGUUUCCUCUACUGAACUCAAUUUUUCUUAUAGUGAUAGAGAUCAUUUAUGGUUCUUUCAGUUUAGAUGAUUGGAAUUUAAUGACAUUUUAUUUUCAUAUAUAUAUGCAUAUGGGAUUUUGCUACAAUGGCUGCUCUGUGAUUUCUUAUGAUUUACCAUUACAGGUUCCAAUAGGAGGAGCAUAUAGGCUGAUCGACGUGCCAAUGAGCAACUGUAUCAAUAGUGGAAUUAAUAAAGUCUAUAUUCUCACUCAGUUCAAUUCAGCAUCAUUAAAUAGGCAUCUUGCUCGGGCUUACAACUUCAGCGGUGGAGUCACCUUUGGAGAUGGCUAUGUUGAGGUACGUUUCAUUCACAUAAAAAAUGUCCCUUAAGAAUUAAGUGAAUCAUAUAUCCACAAUUAUAUUCCCCAAACCAAAUAUGACUUAUAGAGCUUUCAGCUAUAUCUUAGGUUCUUGCUGCCACUCAAACGCCAGGGGAGGCUGGUAAAAAUUGGUUUCAAGGUACAGCAGAUGCCGUGCGACAAUUCCACUGGCUUUUUGAGGUACCAAAAGAUAAAAAAAAGGAAAAUUUUUAUCUAAUAGCAUAGUAAGCAAAUUAUUGUGUUGAGAAGAAUAUAAAGAAACGAUUGUUCAUGACAUUUUAGCUGUUCCAUAUACAAUAUUCAGCAUAAAGAUAAAACAAAGUGACGAAAGGAAAUAUCAAAUGUUAAAUAGAGUGAUAAGCCUUUCCUGGUGCAGGAUGCCAGAAGCAAGAAUAUUGAAGACGUGUUGAUUCUGUCUGGAGAUCAUUUGUACCGAAUGGACUAUAUGGAUUUUGUUCAGGUAAGGCUGAAGAUGCCAUCAAGAACCAAUCUUUAUUUGUUAUUACGUUUAGUUCUGAUACAGCUUCUUUACAUUGGCAGAAUCAUAGGCAAAGUGGUGCAGAUAUCACUCUUUCUUGUCUGCCAAUGGACGAUAGGUGAGUGACAUCUUGAUGUUUUCUUCUGAACAAUUAACUUAAAAAUUAUUGUAUUAAACUACCGAUUGACCAAAAGCUUAAGCUCAUGGUUUAUGGUAAAUUUCAUUGCCCCUCACUUAGGUAGGAAAUGACAUUGUAAGAGUUUGAAUAUGAGACUUUCUUCUUUGAUACCAUAUAAAAUCACCAAUUGACCCAAAAGCUUAAACUCAUGGAUUAUGUUAAAUAUAAUUAUACUACUUUUAACACGUUGAUCUCGAAAAGCCCCAGAGAUCUUGAUCAUGCAAUCAGUUCAAACCUUUUUACGUUUGUAGAAACUUGAGUAUCUAGGUCUAAAGGUUGAAAUUAUUACAGAAAUAUGUAAGAAAGGAGAAGCAUUUUUACUUCAAAUUUAUGUUUCUUUUAAUUGAGUAUCUAAUACUGCUGCAAUUUAUUUACAAAACGCAUUACCUUUUAUUGUAGCCGAGCCUCAGACUUUGGUCUAAUGAAGAUAGACGAAAAAGGAAGGAUAAUUUCAUUCAGUGAAAAGCCUAAAGGACAGGACCUGAAGGCCAUGGUAACAUUCAAAAUUGCUUUCACCACAAAAUUAAAUCGGUGGAGGAACUUUAAAUGAUCUUGCUGAUGAGCCUAAACUGUAUCAUCUCUAUUCGAAUUGAAGGCAGUAGAUACAACCAUUUUAGGACUCUCGAAAGAAGAGGCUCAGAAGAAGCCAUACAUUGCUUCCAUGGGAGUUUAUGUCUUUAAGAAGGACAUACUUUUGAAUCUUUUAAGGUAUUAUGAACCUAAUGCUAUUUAUCAAUCUAGUAAUUUUAUACAAACUCAAAGGACUUUGUCGAACACAAAAUAUUAGACGUUGCUUGAAUUUGUUCAAGUCAGAUGGCGCUUUCCAACUGCUAAUGACUUUGGAUCAGAGAUUAUCCCUGCCUCAGCCAAAGAAUUCUUUAUAAAGGUUUGUAAUUUGUAUGUAACCUUUCUGUCGAGACUGUUAUAUCAUCUUUUUCAACUUUCUACUUGCAAUUUAGACACAAACUAAUGCUAACCUCAACAAAUUUUCACAGGCUUAUCUCUUCAAUGAUUACUGGGAAGAUAUUGGGACAAUCAGAUCCUUCUUUGAAGCGAACCUUGCCCUGACAGAGCAAGUAAGACAACUAAACAUUUUUUAUUUACAAUUUCUUACCCUCUCUCACCCUUUAGUACUUCCUCAAAUUACUAGAAUUGUAAUUUGAUUUUUCUUUUUAUCUUGCUAAUCUUGCUGUUCAAUCUCAUGUUUGCUUAUACCUUUCAGCCACCAAGGUUUAGUUUUUACGAUGCUGCAAAACCAAUGUUUACUUCAAGAAGAAACUUGCCGCCUACAAAGAUUGACCAGAGCAAGGUCAGUAGCAUUUUGCAGUCAUCUAAACCUCUAUUAUAAAAUCAUAAACUUUAACAAAACCUUCAUUCUUGUUUAACGAAAUAUGCUGUAGACUGCCUUAAAAUAACACUGCAUUUGGCAUAAUUUUCUUUGCUUGUUAUGUUGAGAAAAUAUCUGGGUUCUUUGCAGAUCGUAGAUUCUAUCAUCUCACAUGGAAGCUUCUUAAACAGUUGCUUUAUAGAGCACAGUGUCAUCGGUAUCCGGUCGAGAAUCAACUCAAACGUUCACUUGAAAGUAUGUACUUUAUGGAACUUUUGCAUGAUAUGGUAAACAUAUCAGAUUUCUGUAACAUGAUGGUUACCAUAGAACUGAGUUUCUUACCAAAGAAAAAACGAACUGAGUCCAAUCCAAUCCUUUGCAAAACGAAAGUGUUUUUCUUAAACAAUGCUGUGUGAUGAGUUGCAAAAUGCAGGACACUGUGAUGCUUGGAGCAGAUUACUAUGAAACUGAAGACGAAGUUGCAUCUUUGUUAGCUGAAGGAAGAGUACCAAUAGGAAUAGGGGAAAAUACAAAAAUAAAGUAAGAACCCCAUCACACCCAAAAAAGGAUCUUCAUAUGUUAUGUAGCCUGCUUUCUAAUUCUUCAUUGUUGAUAUAAAUAUUAUGUGCAGGGACUGCAUUAUCGACAAGAAUGCUAGAAUCGGAAAGAACGUGGUCAUUGCCAAUUCUGAGGUACCGUUACCAUACGAAUAGAUUUGAAAUGAGGUUGGAAUGAAUAAAUUUAUGUUUUCAUUGGAAUCGUAUUGCAGGGCGUACAAGAGGCGGAUAGAUCUUCAGAAGGCUUCUACAUACGUUCUGGCGUUACCAUCAUCUUAAAGAAUGCAGUAAUUAAAGAUGGUUUGGUUAUAUAAUAAAACAUGUUUGCCAAUCGUUCAUUGAUUUGCAUUAUUUCUUUAGUUAUUUUUAAUUUUCUGUAUCACAUAAAAUAAGAAAGCAGAGGAUGUAAGCUAACAGCCAAAUAUAUCUAUGGAUGUCAUUCUUCAACGCAACGACUAUCCCAAGUAUGUUUUUAUUUGGCCAACUUGCUUUGAAGGAAAAAAAACCAUUUUUUUCUCGUGUCAUCAUCCUUAGGUCCUAAAGGACCAUUGCUUUAGUGCACUUCCAGCAUCAGAAAAUACAAGUCUAAACAACUAGCUCAUAAAAAAAUGUAUACUCAGUUGGUUGUCCAUUUGAUUUUUGAAUAUUAAGCUUAUAAAAACUAUUUUCAUCCAUUAAUUUAUAUGUUUAGAAAUUGAUUAAGAAUUUUAAUGUUUAUAUAGGAAACAUGAAAACAAUAAUCUAAUGCGUUUGGUUUUCAACAUAACCGGUUAGAGUUAUAUGGUUGUCUAGGUUACUUGUAGUGUGUGGCUCAUCAAUUAAACCAAAGAUCUACGAUCCAAAUAUAGGUAGGUCAUAAAUGCUUUAUAAAAUUUAGCUAAGGCUCUCUGCUAGGCUAUCAAAUAUCAUUUGUAGUGUGGUUCAUAUCCUCUUCUUGUUAAUUUUCAAUACUGAAAAUGUCCAGAAUAAUAUGAAUUCACAAUAGUUAACGAUCACCUCCGCAAGGAUUUCACUUCGAUUAUUUGUAGAAUUCUAGAACAAAUUAUUGUGUUGAAGCUACAUUUUUUUUCUGCCACAACAACCUUAACUCCCUAAAUCAAAACCACAAAAAUGAGUGGUUUUGUGAGAUUAUGUAUAGCUCAUCUUCUUGUCAUUCCCCCCUAGUGCUAGAAAUGGAAUGAAUCACCCAUAGGGGGAUGAAUUUAGAAGGCUUGUUUUCUUAGUCCCACGUUUCAAAGGAAUAAUUUCACCAUUUAAUCAUAAAAUUCGUAUGAGAGGGAAAAAAAAGAGGUUUAUUUAGUGCUAUCUGAACUGGCAGAAUAGUCAAUUCAAAGAAUCUUAUCUAAAAUUUAAAUCUCUCCAUCUCCAGCUAUCCCUGUUGAAUUAAAGGAAAUAAGAAAUAAAAUUAAAUGUAAUUUGAAAAAGACAUGGGCCAAAAUUUUCAACUCCACCUUAGAAAUAGACUAAUUAUGUUCGUGUUAAGAGGAUGGCGUUGGGUAAGGGAAGUUGGCAAAUUAGCAAUUACCAUAUCUAUUUGGGGUUUUCAGUUUCAAACUUUGUCAAUUCUCAGAGUCGUAGGGAGCCAACUAAAGAACUUAUUCUCCAUCCACCCUUUGAUAAUUUUGUUGGGACUUUGGGGUGGGAAAAAGAAUUUCUCGAAAAACAUCAAAAGCUUCUGAGGUGGUGAUGUUUGGUCAAUUAUUGAAUUCUUGUUUCUAUCUAUCGAGGAAAUCUGUCUUAUAAUCCUACGCCCAAACACAAACACAAACUUCCAAACUUCGAUACAUUAGCUUCAUUUAGUGGGCCAAACCACCCCUUGUUCCUUUUUUCAGCAAAUUUUUCAUUCUAAAAAAAAUGAUGAUGAUAACAAAACUAUUUUGCUAAACAAGUCUCAUGUGCGGCCGUUCGCGGCAAGAUAAGCUCAUAAAGGUCCAAACUUGAUCACACGAUCAAAUUAUGUCCCUGAAACUUAAUUCAACUCCUUCUCCCACUGGCAAACGUAAGAAAGAAUCCCAAGAAAUUGAAUGAAAAUCCAGUUCCAGCAGCCCAUCUAACCAUGAAAAAAAUGAGAGGAAAAGAGUAAACACACCGCGUGAAAUUCUGUCAAGACUCUGAAAACUACACAGCUCGUCGAGCAAAGGGGAAGAGAGAGAACUGCUACUGAAUCAGUCAUCCAUGAUCCUUUUCCCUACCAAAUAUUUAGACUGUCAAGCAAUGAUGUUCAACUCAUCGAGCAAGCUCGAGCCUUUACUUCCAGUUAUUUUCUACUUCAGAGGUGAGAACUCGCAUAGCUAAUAACCAUAAAUGAAAGAAACUGCCGAGAAAUAACCAGCUGUAUCUUCUAGGUUCCUAGAAAAAGAAUAUAGGUAAGGUUACUAGUACAACACGGUCAUCAAAAUGGCUUAAAUUUACAAUCAGAGAGAAAGGAACAAACAAAGAAUGCAAUUUGAUAGAUUGCCUGUUACUUAGGUAGGUGACUGGUCAAUUCACAGCAUGAAUCAGCUUUAGACAAGACGUAACAGACACCAACAGUAUGAGAACAUGUGUUAAAGAUAUGAUAAUUGGAAUAUUGAUCUAAUAUGACAUUAACAAUAGAGCAGUUGAAGCAAGAGUUCAGAAGGAAGACAGAGUCAUUCAUAUCAUCAUAUGUUAGAAAAUAGAAGAGAAGGAAGAUCUUAAUCUUAACAAAAAAUGAAAGCAAGAACCAAAAAUUGUAUGCUUAUGUUAAAAAACAAAAUAAAAAAUCUAAUAGCUUUUGAAUGUGUGAAAAUUUGACCAUUUUAAACAAAUCUCUUUGCUGCCUGAUAAAAAGUGCCAUUUCUAAUAGUCCAACCGCACAUUGAGCUUUUAGAAGAUCGAAGCAAUUGUAGAACACAGAUAUUAAUAAUGAACUAAUUUUUUUACUUUUAUCGGAAAAUAUAUAAUGGGCUAAACAAGCUGAUGGUUCCAUCAUUUAAAAGAAAACUUACUGUUUCUUUGAGCAUGCCAUUUUUCAAUACUUCCAUACCAAACCCAUUGAAAACACAAGGCCACAAUCCUUAUUACUCCAGCACCAACAACUUCAAUGAACGCCAUAAAGAAUGAUCUCUGAGGAGAUAAGCCAGCAGUUGCAAUAGACAAUAAUGUUCCCUCAAAGUUGCAGGGAAUUAUGAAACUACCAGAUUUAAUGCCAUUAAAAGCUUUUUUGGCAACUAACUCGGGUUUCAUACUGCCUCCUCCAGCAGCAAUGAUAGUGGUCAAUUCAGGUCUUUUCUUUUGCUCUGCAAUGAAGGAUAAGCAACUUAUAAUUGAAGAAACCAACUAAGAAAAGAUUCUGUGGUAUAAAUUGAAGGAUUUUUGUUAGCCUGAGGUAUCCAAUAAAUAUGAUUUCUAACAUAAAUAAAUUCUACCCAGGUGAUAUUGUAGUCGGCUUAUCCAUCCAAGACAUUUCCCAUCAUAUCUUAAUACAAACCAAUGAACUGAAAACUAAGCUAAGAAUAUUCCAACUCACCGGAUAAGUAUUGAAACCCCAAAUUGAGGACCAGCAAAACAAUACUACAAGGUAAACAUAAACCAGAUACUUGCUCUUCACAUACCUUCUGCAAAUCCAGGAGUAUCAGUGUCUGGAGGAAAUAUAAGAGAAACAUGUAUGUCAUCUCCAAUAACCUCCUGUUGCAAGGCUUCUGCCAAACCUCGAAUCCCAAACUUACUAGCUGAAUACGCCGUGUAACCAUAAAUACCCACCUACACAGAUUUAUAAGAAGACGUUCAGGAGUAAAAGAUUUACAAUUCUAUUGAAAUUACAGCUUGCGAGUAUCUGGAUGUCACCAAUGUCAAUGAAUUCACCCUAAUAAUCGAAGAAGCUCAUUCUAGAGUAUAAGUUUCGAACACAAACACUUCAUAAAACUACUCCAAAGUACUUUAUGCUAACCAAGCUCAUUUCUCCGUCUUUUAUAUGAAUUACCUGACCGGCCUGAGAAGACAUGAGAGCGAUCGAUGCAGGUCGACGGUCCACUCUAUUCUUCAUUGCAGGUAAGGCAGCUUUAAUCAUGUUAAACGUGCCCAAUAAAUUCACAUCUAACAUGAAUUUGACCUCAUCCAAUUCCUGCUCCGCCAGCUCCUGAGGUACAAACACGCCUUGAUUCACAAUGAGAACGUCAAUUGGACCUGCUUCAUCAACAGCCUUCAAAAUGGCAUCGUAAUCUCGAACAUCGGCAGCGUAGACCGCCACAUCAAUGCCAGUGGAGAGUCGAAUAGCAUCUUUUGCCUCCUCGAGCUUCUUGAGAGAACGCGCUAGGAUGGAGACUCGCGCGCCCUCGGUCGCGGCCUGGUGGGCCAAAGCGAGGCCGAUUCCGCUCGAUCCGCCGGUAAUAAAGACAUGGCGACUCUUCAGAGAAAUCCUAACGGGACGUGGACGGACAAUUAGGUAUAGGAAAAGGAGGAGCGCGAAAGGAAGAAGAAGAACGAGAGAAAUGAAAGCGAGAUUGAGGUCCGCCAUUGAUGAAAGCUAUGUGUAUUGAUGUGUUGAUGAUUCAUACAAUUUCUGAUUCCUUUUUUACAUUAAUAACAUCGCUACAUUAUGUUAUAACAAAUAUCUACACUUUCGAAUAUAUUUCAAAAAUAUAUAUAUAUUUGGGUGACACUACCAUUGGUUAAUAUCCAAUAACAAGUCGCCACGUAAGCAUAAUUUUAAUUUCAUAUAAUUAAAUAUCAUAAUACUCCAAUGUUUUCGUGACAGAUCGUCCCAAUGGACGCGAUGACGAUGAGAAAACUUCACCAAAGUUGCUCUGACACCAUAUCAAGAAUCAAGAUAUUGAGAGGAGAGAUAUAAAGUGUUAAAAAUGAGAAACAAUAAAUAGAAAAAUUAUGUGAAACCUAUGUAAAAUAAAUAAUUUAUGUGACUCUCUAAUACAUUAAAUAUCAUUGAAGUUUGUGGUCUUUGAAUUCUCAGAUCGAACCUACGUCACAUUCAACCAUUGGAUUUUUCACCAAGUGUCUGCAUCUAAUAUUUGUUAUCAAGGAAGAAUUGGAUUGAUAAAUGACCAUAGCCAUAUUUUAUCUGAGAAAAUUAAAUUGUGAAAACGAAAAAUAUGUGCUCCUUAAUUUAUAAAUGGUUGAAAUAUUUAUUGAUUUGCAAAAAAAAAGAUAAAAUAAAAAUGUUUAAUAUUUGUAAUAAAAUAUAAAUGUCUACGUGAUGGAAUCUGAUGUACUAAAGAGAUGAGAUUGGGCGGUUCCCACCUCUUUGCCAUCCCUCAACUCCUAGGUUAGACUAUAGCUUAUAUAAUUAUAUGAAUAAAAUCCCUCCAGGCACCAAGAUUCAAAAAUCAAAUAAAUUAAAACAAAACUGUCCCCUGGGGGCCUUUUCUUCAUCAGUUGGGUCACAUGCUAUGCUAAGUUGCCCUUUUCUGGGAUUAUAAUUUAAAACUAUAUACUAAUAUAAAAUAAAUAGUGGUGGGGGUUCUUUCAACAUCUACGGAAAAACUGAUUAAUUAAAGUUAUUGAUAUGACUUUGAUAUUUUUUAAAAAAGGUAUACGACUAUUUGGGUCGGUUUGUUUUGUGUCAUUUUAUUAAUUUCUUAUUUUUCAUGGAUAUUGAUUGAAUUGUAAAUUUUCUUUUUAUAUUGUUUUUCUGUUUUAUAGUUGUAGUAGUUAUCCACACCAAAAUUUUCACCAUAAUUAGAACCAUAGAUUUUGAUGGCGUCUCCACUUAUUGUGUUAAUUAUGUAUUGGUUUGAAUCUUUUGUCUUAUCAAGUAAUAUGUAAACUUUGGUUUAAGUUUAAUAAAGACCUACCCACUAACAAGGAUUUACUUCUAAUCUUUUCACUCAAUUAGAAAACCAAAAUGUAUUUGUUUAGAUCCUCAUCUUCACUAUACUUUUCCUUUCAUUUUUUAACUUCUAGUUCAAAGAUUCUUUUUUUUAAAAAAAAAAAAAAAAUCUUGAAUCACACUUUUUUUAAAAAAAUUAGCAAAAUACCUUAAUAUUUAGGUUUUAAAAUGUUAUCAUUUCUCUCUAGUAUUUAGUUUUCAUGUGGUGUUUAAGAUUUUAGAAUAUUGCAUUUUUACCAUCUGUUUUAAAAUUUGUUUCUAUCUUAAUUUCACUAUUAUUUUUUUUGUUUACCAUUAAAUUUAAUUAACAAAAUUUACGUCAUAACUAUUUUAUAUUAAUUAAGUGAAAGUGUAAAGAGUGAAAACUUGUAAAAAUGUAACAAUUUAGACUAUGAAAAAACAAAAUUUUAGUGUAAUUAUUUAAAAUUUCGAAGAGAAAAUGAAAACUACAGAAACAGAAAUUGUAAGCAAAGGGGUAUACAUACAUCUGUUUGAGUUAGUCGUAGUUAUCUUUAAAAAUGAAAGUGACUAUAGUUUGAAAGACAUAUUUGACCGAUUCAACCCUCAUAAAAUCAUAUAAUAAUAAUACACCCAUCAUUUUGGUAUACACUUUAUAAUGUAAAAGUUAAUAAUUUACAGAAUCCAAAGUUAAAAGCCUCACAAAAUCUCUCUCUAUCUCUCUCACUCCUCUGUUUUUGAAGAACUUUAGCUUUACUCAGCAACAUAGAUCUCAGACAGACAGCUAUUCAAACAUCAGAGCUUCUUCAUGUGCCCAUUGCAGUGAUGCCAGUUAAGAGUAUAUUCUUCAAAAUCUGAACACUCAGGAACCACAAAACAUAAAUUCAACUCAUCUUCAGCCUUUUGCAGAGUCUGAUGAUUUUUGUUAGAUUCAGAUCUCAACAAACAAAACAGAGCAUGUUCCACAAAACAGCUCUCUUGUCUAAAGUUGCAUCUCACAACCCACAAAAAAAAUUGGAAAAGAAUUUAACAAAACGGUGGAAGAUAUGUAAUGAAAUUGUGAUAUUAUUAGGAGAAACAACCAUUAAUUUUUCACAAAAGGGGGAGAGGAGGUUCACAAACCUUAGGUUAAUUAACCUUCCAAUGAACCACAUAAACCAAUUAACAACCCAGUAAUUAACACAGCCUAAUACUAUAGCUUCUUCUUCUUCUUCUUCUUCAUCAUCAUCUUCUUCCAUGUACAACUAUCACCAUUAACUUAAUACUUGGUGAAAGAAUUAUUAUUAUUUUUUUUUUUUUAUCAUCAGAAUUCUGAUAACCCUUUUCCUUAAAUUCUUGUAAUCCUUAACCCUUUUUAGGACGCAUCGAAUGGUUGUUGGAAGGUACUUGUGAGUUCACAUCAAUACUGAUAUGAAACUGUCGGUUUGGCUUUAUGUUAUUGUGUCUUCCACGCCUCUGUUUUCUUGCAGGCUGCAGGGACCUAGGGAUGAACACACCGGUCCCCUUGCUUACGCCGUUGUAGGCAGCGGCAACGGCGGCUGCGGCGGCAUGUUCAUGUGUAGCCAGUGGCCGUGUCGGGUAGUGCACUCCAUGAGACAGAGCCUGCAAAUUGAUCAAUCUUAUUUGAAUUCAUAGACACAACAGAGAAACUUAAAUAACUUAUUGAUCUUGAAGAUUGGACAAUACCCAAGUGAAUGAAAAAUUGAAAAAUUGAAAUAGUACAUGCCACUCUGAUAGCCAAGAUUUGAACCUACGACCUAGAAUGUAAUAGCGACUACGAAGACUGAGCUAUGUUCGUGUUGGGAUGAAAAAGGAAGUACCUGAAGAGAAACAUGUGGAUGAGGGAGAGGGUCUUCAUUAUCAUCCAUGAGAAGAAGAGAAAGCUGUCUGCUCAAAUCAGCAAAGAACAAAUCAUCUUCAAGUUCUAAAGCAACUUCCAUGUUUGUCUAAACUCAGAACAGCAAGAAGAGAGUUAACUUGCUAGGUGGGUGUCUGUUAGGAAAAAGAAAUAAAGAGAGAAUUACUUUUUUUUUUUCCUUUACAUCUCUCUCUCUCUUUCAGGAUAUAUAGAAUUUUAGAAGCAGGGAAAAAAAGGUAGUGAUGGGUGAGUUAAAACCAUAUUGGCUGAGCAUGUGAGAUGGUGGGUCAUUAGCCACAGCUGGCCAAUCUGUCUAAAGUUUAAAGACCCCACAAGAAUCAUUACAUGGUGUUAUCCAGUUGGGGAAAAGAUGAGGAUCGGUUGCCGGCAAAAUCUUCCCCAAAAAACCAACCACCACCAUCUCCAAGCCAAAGAUUGGCUUAAAUCUUUUCCGCACUUGGGUUUCUCAAGAGCAUUUCUUUAAUGGAUUCUGUUUAUUCAUCAAAGCAAAUCUCAUUACCACGUUUCAUAUUACCACUAAGAUCUGAUCAAGAAUCUUUGAUAAGUAUUCAAUAAAGCAAUAAAUGAUCUGUAUUGUCAUAAAUAAGAGAAGAUCUAUCUGGCUCUCAACUUGAACUAGCUAAGCUCAACUGUCAUAGGUACUCAUCCGUGCAUUUGUGUGUUGUUUAAGAGUUGAAGACCAUUAGAUUUAGGAGUCGGUGGACAUCUCUUUCCCAGGGCCACUUGCAUCUGUAGUGUCAAGGAACAUUUACAAAGAUGAAGAGAUGGUUAGCUCAUAAUUUUAAUAAAACAAUGAUAGAAAGAAAUGCAAGUAAAGGAAAAUAAAGGCACUAUACAAACAUGAAAUUAACCUUUAAAUGGUCGAAAUGUACAAAUCUUAUCUUUAAGCCAAAUAUCUCCUUUACUAGACCAAGUUCAAUAAUUUCAGGAAAUCCAUAAAGAAAUAUAUUGGACACAGAGGAGGGAAAGGGGAAUCAAAUCUCGUCUACAGUCGACUUCAGAGAUAAUCGAAUGAACAUGACAUAUUCCAAAGGCUCAUUGAAAUCCAUAUCACUAUUUUCAUCCACUUUACAGUGAAACCAAAUGUGCAAAGUACUAAACUAUUAAUCAUGGGAGUAGUAGGGUUCCACAUUUUCACUCGGUUUGCUAGCUGGUAGAGGGACCCUCCAUGUUUGCUGCCCAAAUUUCUUUGUGAAUUGGAGGCCUGUAGAGGUAAACGUUAGAUCAAAGAGUUCUUUCUUCUACUACAGCAUUAAGUGUUCAGCCUCAGUAAAUCUCUUGUUUUCUCCAAGAUCAUUUCCUGUCUUCAGCAAGCAAAUCAAUCAUAUAUGGGGAUCAGCAGCAGGUGAGAGAAUUCUUUGUAAACAUGUCUCUAUAAGAAUAAUACCCAUAAAGCCAAAAAAGCAGUACAUUGAUAUACAAGAGAAAAUACGAGGAAAACGAAUUCAUACAGUCUUUCUUACAUGUUUAAGUUUCAAGAAUAAUUGUUGCUUAGAAUAGAACAAAACAAAGUACCUGUUUUAUGGAAGAAACACCUCUUGUCCAUAAAAUUCAACAAAUUCUAAUUUACAGAGUAAACUAAGCUUUCAACAAAUUUUAAAGGGAACAAAGUUUUAUGAGAGAAAAGUGAAGUUCCAAUUUGGAAACGAGACAUAUUUAUAGAAUAAUGUGUAGUUAUUCAAGUAGUCACGUCUCUUUAUAAUGUGUAGUUAUUCAAGUAGUCAUGUCUCUUUUUCAAGUUGGUUAAAUUUAUAGAAUAACGUGUAGCCAUUCAAGUAGUAAUGUCUCUUCUUCAAGUUGGUUAAGAAAUAAUAGAUGCAUUCGCUCGUGAAAAACUGCAACACAUGACAUUGAAAGGAUGUGACCUUAAAUGGAGUCACAUACGAUUUAUUCGAACAUAUAAAGCAAUAGAGAGAAGCCAGAAGACUUAAGGCAAAAGAACACUGUGGUUUCCUUAUCUCUUCUACUUAACCAAAUAAAAAGCAAUCCCAAAAGAUUGAUACCAAUGUUCAAAAUACAAAGCAGCAACAAACUUGAUACCUAUUUUUUCCAUGCCGAAGAAGAUACAAAUGGCAAAGAAAUCUUAAAAAAUAUCCGCUGUGUUAAGUCAUAAUCAUUGUUAGCAGUUAAUAUUCACAAGGUUGCUUGAAGUAGAGGGAUGAAAGAAGUAAAUCAUUGUGCAAUACAUCAUUCUCGAGCAACAAAUUCACAGCUCUAUUGUUCUUUUCAGGAAUCUUUGAACAAGAAAUGAAAGUUUAUAAAAAAUGGGAAUAGAUCAGACCCCACAUCAACCUUUUUCCAUUAAUUUCCGUGUCAGAGGGGUGGAGAGAGGCAUCUGACUCAAAUUUGGAGAUAAAAAUGCAAUGUAAUAUUAAGCCCCACUUGCAGUGUCCAUAUCCGUAACACCGUCAACCCCCUUAAAAGCCACACGUAAUUUUCGAAGACAGGAAGUUUUCUUAUCAUUCUUAGAAGCCACACCAGUCACAUGGACUACGUCCUUCAAAACUUUACCCAUCAAGUCAAAAAGUGGAACACCCAAAUUUGAUCUGGUCAUCUCUUCAAGUACAGGAGGUGCCUGCAUGUAUAGAUUCUUCCCUCGAUGCGUGACACUUGCCUUUGAUAACAAGAGUUUGGGAUGAUCUUCUAGCAGGUCAAUGAACUGUUUCAGGCAAAUUCAAAAUGGGAGGAACCGUCAUGAAGGAUUAACAAGAUUUCUCAAAAUCUGAAAUUAACUAACACAGCAACAACUGAAUACAAGAUGGAUAUGUCUGUGACGCUGCAUAUAACAUGUGGAUGGCAUAAGCUAAAUAAUCAACCUUCUGUAAAGUAAUGGAAGAAUCCAGCUCAAUAAGAACGCCUGGACCACAAACAAGACAGUCCUUAUCUUUCACAAACUCGGUCACUUUAGUGUGGAGACCUUCAGCACCAUUAUAUCUGAAAAAAGAUCAUUUGCCAUUAAAUUCAAUGCAUCUGGAAAUUAUGGUCACAAAUAAAAGUAAAUAAUGGCACAAUGUUAAAGGCUAUUACAAAUACAGACAUGAUUUAUGAAAAUUGUGUCAUUCACACGCAAGCCUAGCUUCAACUUCCAACAUAGAAACAAUAUAUUUGUAAUAAAAACUUCCCACUUGAUAGAAAAGAAGAGAUUGGUGGCUACAGAAGGCUAGACUUCUAAUCUAAAAGGUGUAAAAAAUAAAUAAUGGAAAAGAACCGUAUAAAGUGUUUAGUAUAUUAACAAGGCAUUGACUGACUUAUCAAUUCAAGAAUACAAAUGACAAGAAUAAUAAGAAUGAUGGAAGAGAACCAUAUAACUUUUCGACCAUAAUGAAAACCAGAACAAAUGAAAAUGUAAAAAUAGCAAUCAUAACAUAAACCACAUUCCUGGAUUAUGAGCAAAGUACUCAAAAAAUGAUACACGAUAUAUCCAAAUGUAUUUUCAAAGGAAACAACAAAUUUCAUUGAAAAAAUAAAUAAAAGGUUCGAGAAAAACCAAACCCACACAAGAAAGGAAGGGGUUCAGCCAUACAAAAAUGUAUUUGAGAAUAAUUACAAAUGAUCUUCAAAAUUGAAUCCCAGAGGAAAACAUGAAAUCUAAGAAGGAACCACCACUAGGAUUCCUCUCCAAUCCUCUAAAUACUAUGUUAUUGUGCUCCCCAAAGAGCCUAUAAUAAUAAAUCCAAACUUCUCAAUGCAGCCUGACAUGUUAUGUACCCAUAUAUUUUUUAGUAAAGAAAUAAAGAAGAACAAUAUUAAGCUGCUCUAUAAAAUUAUUAUUAAACCCGUAUAACAUUAAAAGGAAAAGGAAUUGUCACAUAGUUAAAGCAAACAGUACGCACGUUAAGUAGUUGGAUAGAGUUUUACUGCAUCCUGAUACAAUCUUCAACGUUUCCAGUGCACAUGCAGCUGAUAUAAUUGCAUUGGUGGAAGCAAUAGCAGGUAUGAUAUUCUUAACAACACCCUUAAAAAACCAUUAGAAAAUGAAUAUCAGUAGGGGCAUUUGUAAACAAAAGCAGGUGAGUAGUUAACAAAAGAUGCAAGCAGAUAAUAUGUACCCACUAACAGAACAACCACAAGUUCAGAUAAAAAGAAUAACCAUCACUUCAGUGAUGUGAAAAUUCCAAGACUAAUAUGUACCUGAGUUAGUGAAUAUGUAACUCCCGGAAUGCCAAAAAGCUCAGCCCUCUUAAGAGCCUAUAGAUGUGGGAAGAUAAAUUAGAAGUUCAGAGUCACUAAUUGAAAAGAAUUACCGGAUCUACAGGAAUUAUCAUACCUCACUGUAAACCCAUUUCAUGUGUUCGGAAUCAUCAGGAUCAAAAGAUUUUCCACUAUGGACCUAAAAGAAAAAGUCUCGGUAAGCCCAAACGGGGUACUUUCACAAUCAUCAACGAGAAGCCGGGUAAUAAUGUGUUACCUCAUCCCAUUUAAUUAGAUGAGCAUAUUCGAUACAAUGAGCAGCAGUUCUAGGAGUUUCUGCUAGAGUACAUAAUGGAAACUUUACUUGAGGUGGAAAAAGCCAGAUGGUACACUCGAAGCAAGGUGUGACCCCUGGUAAAAUUACCCUUGCAUGCCCCUUGAAGCCUUCAGUUCCACCAUCUACCAUUGGUUUAAUUGUUUCUUCUAAUGGAUUAUCAUCAGAAUCAUACUCUAAAUUUACAAAGAGAAAAUAAAGGACAUGAAAUUCUCAUUCAUCAUCAACAACAUGACAUUAACAAUUAAUGGAAAAAAGAUGGCAAAAAGACGUAAGAAGAACAUAGCAAGUCAGAGAAUAGCAUACCAAGGAAGCUACAAGCAACAGAAUUGAUGUAACUUCGAGCUUCAAUUGAAUCAAGACCAAGUGCGAUUAUGUGAAAAUCGUUGUAAAAUUCAAUUUCUUUGUCCUCAAUCCGGCAAAAAUGUGGCAGAAUAUUGACACCACUAACUCUCUCCAUAACACGUUUUGCAGCCACCUCAGCUUUUGGCUUACCAACAUCUUCAAGCCUGCGAUACUACCUUAGUGUUAUUCCUCUGACUGCCGUAUUUAAUCAAAUGACUACUGUAAAGCCAUAUCCAGAUUUACAUAUGAGAAAUGUGAUUUCCUCAAGGAUUCCAACGUCAAAUCAUAUCAUAAUAAUAAAAUUUCCUGAAAAGAACUUUCUUACAGGAAAAUUUAUUUAAGCACCGUUCUAAUUCGGCUGGUUCAGCAUUUUAGUACAAAAUGGUUGAAAGGAAAGAACAUUCGACCCAUCAAUUUUUAUUUUUUUUUCUUCUUCUUUCUUUUUGAUGUAAAAGUUGGACUUUCAUUGAGAAAAGAAAAAUGCAUCAAUCGAUAUAAAAAAAGAGAAGUCCACAAAACGGGAAGCAAACUAUGAAGAAAGGCUCCAGUCAAGUAAAAUGUGACAAAAUGUGACAUUCGAUCCAUCGAAUUCCUAUAACCAGUGCAGAUUUUACCGAUAUCAAAUCAUAAAUAUAAAUAUCAUCAGUUAGUAAUGGAUGUAACUUAAAAAUAGAGAUCAAUUUGAAAUGUCAUUACACCUCAGUAUACACCCAACAAAAAGUGAGAGUUCUACACCCACCCCCGGGCCCCGGUUGUUAAAAAAAAAAAAAAAACUACGAAUAAAACUCCAAAGAUACAAAUAGAGCAAAGAAAACAAUUGAAACCUGAAGAGAAACUGACGAUUGAGAUUAGUAACUUCGAUGCGAUCCAUGUCGAUGACUUCCAGAUUCCGAAAGCCCGACAAAGCCAAGUCUUUCAGGAGCUCGCAGCCCAACCCCCCAGCUCCUAUGACUAACACCUUCACAUACUGUUGAAGAUCAUCCCUCAACUGCAAUACAAAACAACACAGUCGUAAGACGAUUGCAGAACCAUGUAGUGAGCAUAAGGUGUUUGAAAGAAUGUCAGAGAGAAGAAGAAGUACCCACUUGAGAACCCGGCUCGAAAUUGGCGCCGAUGAGAUUACCGGGCCUAAGAAGGAGCUUAUCGAGGUCCCUCGAUCGACUGGAUUGGACGACAGAGCCCGCCAUUUGAAUGCUUUACAGCGCCGACUCUGGGCUAGCGGAGGAAAUUGUUGGAGUGUAAAAGAGAGGUAAAAAGGGGUUUCCGGAGUGGAAAUGGGCGGGGAAGGAAGAUGGUGUUUGGGUGGAAGUGGAAGUAAGCUUGGUUCUCACGCAGGAGUGAGUCUCCGUUGGUUAAAUCGCAGCGCCCUCAACCUCAGUGGCACUUUGCUAAUUCGGGUUGGAUUGUGGAAGAGAUGUUAAAGUCCAAUCCCGCGCCUCGGUUUUUAUUUACAAAAAGUAUACAAAUUAAUUUUUAAUAACCAAAGUAGAGUAUUUACCAAUAUAGUAAAUUUCACAACUUAGUGUUACACACAAUGUUAUGAAUUAUUUGAAACAAGUAUCCCUAUAUAAUACUUUUUCUUUCUUUCUUUUUUGCCUAAGAAUGUAUGCUCAGCUAUUUUUUUUACCCAAAGACUAAAAGGCCAAACCAAAGUGAAAAAAUAAAAUAGCUUACAUUCAGUUUUAAAAGUCGUAUCAUAUCAUAUAUGUAUUAUGUAUCUUGUGUGUUUAUGUUUUAUAGACAAUAGACGAUAUUUAUAGUUCUUUCCAUAUUUUGUAAACAUUUUGAUAUAUUUAAAAAUAAUCCAAAAAACAUUUGAAUAUGAUCAAGUAUCAUUAAAUUUCCUUUUUAACCAAAAAUAAUGGAAAAUUAGUUCAUUGUAUUAGCCAAAUGAUAAGGGUUUAGAGAUAGGUAGAAGAGCGAAAAAAACAUUAUUUUAUUUAACAAUACACUUAAAUUUUAUAAUAUUAUAUUAAAAGACACGUAGAUGUAUCUCAAACAUAUGUCAUGAAUACAAAAUACUUUCAAACUUUCAAAAGUUUCGAAAACAUUUUAAAACUUAAAAAAAUAUAUUAAAAAUUAUGCAGACAAUUAGCUUCACAUCACCUGAUUUUGUUUUACAAAGUAUCCAAAACUUUCAAAAGUAUUAGAAAGACCCUAAUCUUUUUAACUCUGUUAUGAUCUUAAUUAGUCAAAGUAAUAAAGGUACAAGAAACUCUAUCACAGAGAUGAUAUACUUUCAAGCAUUUUUUGUUGGGACUCUCGAUAAGUUUUCCUCCUCAAGUGUCUCCCUAUUCUGUAGAAAUCCUCUCUCUUUUCUACAAACUAACUUCCGUUCAUAAAUUCCCCUCUCUCCUGUCCUCAAAGGUCCAUCACUCUAUCUCUCCCGAGUUGCAAAUGCGUAAGACUCGAGACCACAGUUAGUCCUUCCUAUCAAACAAUUCGAACAAUUCAAUCUUCUACCAAAACUACUCAGUUAGAUGCAAUAGAGCAGGGGCUCUCUACAUUGCCAGCAAAUGAAGUGAAUCAAAGAGAUUUAAAUAGAGAUGUUGCCCCAAUAUUUAUAGACUGAGAUUCAUAGGAUUGAUCAAGUGCAACAACUAUUUUCUUUCCUCUUUAUGCUAAAGAGAGUACCUCGUCAACCUGCUUUGCGCUAUUCUCCCAGGAGACUCUGCACAAAGACGACCAACUUUGAUAUAUUUGGAAAUGGUUUGGUGAUUAAUUCUUGUGAUCUCUAACACCUACAUUUGCAUCUCAGAUGUGUUCCAACGUUCUUAAAAGUGUGUACAAGGGAAAUAGUCCAAUGGAGGUUGGUGCGACCAAACUACUAAUUUACUAAAUCCAGUAUUUUGAAAGACAAUGUUGGAGUGAAACAUUUCAGUGAAAAAAACUAUAUGGAAGUUACUAAAUCCAGUAUUUUGAAAGACAGUGAUGGAUUGAAACAUUUUAGUGAAAAACCCAUCUGGAAGUUUUUUGCGACUCAAUCACACAUUUGAUGAAUCAUAUGACGAACCCAUCAAAGAUCCUUUUUGAACUCAAGGGCUUGAGAAACAAAGAGAGAAUGUGCGAGAACAAGACCUACAGAAGCUUUUCUGGACUACUAGGAUAGAUUAAAGCAAAUGUCACCAAUUAUAUUCAAUAAGGGCAAUCAAAACAAUUAGAGAAAAUAGAAACCGAGUCAACCGACCAAACCGAAAGGUCCAAUCAUUCGAAAUGACCGAGGAUAACUUUCCGACCGACCGACCCAUUUUUAAAAGAGUAAUGUGUACUUAAUUGUGGUUGAGACAUAGACACAACAACCGAAGCAGGAAAAAUGGAAAUAAAAAACUAUUGGUAUGGGAAGACAGUUAAUCUUGGAGAACCCUUCCUAGAAGAAAGCUAAAAUUUCUUCAAAACCAGCAAUGACCAUGGAGAACAUUUUCAAUAUCGUCAUUUGAUGAACCAUGUUAAUCUGAAUAUCAUGAACCAGAAGUAAAAGGUAAAAAAAAAGGUAAAUAGCACAGCCUCAAGAACAAUUUCCACUUUAAAUUAUGGCCAAGAUCAACAAAGACGCGGUUUAUGAUAUGCAAAGUUCUUGUAUGCAUAUAACUGAAACUAAAACUUAACAACAUCAAACUACGAUAAAGAAAGAGCAAACUUUCAAACUACAUUGUAAGUCAGAAAAUGGUCUACUUGACGUUCGUACCGAAUCUGAGAAUGGAAAUUUUCAGAGUUCAAACGACAGUGAGCACAUACCACGAGAAUCGAAGGAUUCCCUAAUCUAUAUGUAAUCUUCUUCAAUCAAUAGCAAUGCAUCCUUCUCCUGUUUCCCAAAAUCUCUUGAAACUGAGAAAUUUCAAGGUAAUCUCGAAAGCGUCAUUCUGAAUUACCUACAUUUAUACAUACCAAGGCAAAACAACGAAGAUUGAGCUUAACCGUCGAGGUUUGAAAUGGCAUCUUUUGGAAUUGUAGAGGGCUCAGGCUCGGGAUGUUGAAGAGAACUUUGAGCUUUCUCGAGGUAGGGCUUGAACACGAGCUGUAAGCUCAGGUAUCCGAAGGCCAAAGCUCCGAUCACCACCAAGCCAGACCUCGCCGCGUUCAACUUCGCCGUUUCCUUCAUCGGUUAUUUUCGUUCUCGCUGCCGUCCCUAGAAGACCGAGAUCAUUCCGUCGAGUGGAGUCUACGAUUUCACUUCACCGUACUUAAAAGGAGUGAGUAAACGACACGUCGAUAUUUCUACAACGAUCGGAACAAGCCUUCGACUACAUGUCGACCUAGCUGAGUCAAAACCUCUCUCUACGUGGAGUUGUUGACUUUUGCCACAUCACCUCCCUCGUGUUAUCACUCUUUUUCUCCUUCUUCUUCUUCGUUCGUUGAAAGGCGAAAAACUAAAAGGUACUCUGAAAUUUUCUCCAUAUCCUUACUUGAAUUUCGAUUAUUGUUCUACCGUUGCAUUAGUCUGGAUUCUAAUUGGUUUCUUCAAUAUCGGAACUGAUUUCCGUUGCAACUUUUCUUGUAUGUGCCAUGAUUUUGAGUUACAAAUUGAUGGAGAUUGUUGGUUCUGAUUCUAACUAAGCUUUUAUAUGUGUUAAUUCGAAUGGAUCGUGAAAUAAAAAUGACUAUGAGUUUGAAUGAAUGGGAUAUAUUGAGUAUCGUUUCUGUCGCGCUGGUAAAAUGUACAGAUUUUCCAUAGGAUGAAGUUACUGAUUUCGAAUUUUCUCAUGUACAGAGUUAAUCGGUUAAUGUUUAUCGAUAAUCCAAAGUUAUUGAAUGUUGGCUUCCUCGGCUGUGUUUAGAAGGCAACAGUUUCUGUUACGGUCUCUUGGAGGGUUCGGUGAUUGUACCUAUCAGAAUAGACGGCUACAAAUCAAAGCCAUGAGUGGCACUUCGAUUGAGGCUGAUGCUGAUCUCAUUCUAAGAGCAAUUACACCUUGUCUUGAUCCCAAUAGAUACAAAGGCCAGGCGGGUAAGGUCUCAACGUACUCUGUACUUUUGUGGUUUUUCAUUUGUUUCCAAUUUGCAAUGAACAAUUGGUUGAAAAAUACCCAAGUUUUUUGUUGUCAUGGAUUAGUUUCCUAUAACUUUCUGGUAAGUAAAAAAUUAAAAGUAAUGGUUUUGGGUACUUUGUAGAUUUUGCUAACUCAAUUUGAAUAUUGGUCUUUGAUGCUGGUUUUAGUUUUGUCUGCCAAUUGUAACUUGUGGCAUUUUAUCCUUUACCAAUGUUGUCCACUGGUUUAAGGUAUUUCUAUGAAGUCCUCUAAUUAACAAUCUGUAUUCAGGGAAGAUAGCUGUUAUUGGUGGAUGUCGUGAGUACACAGGUGCUCCCUACUUUGCAGCUAUAUCAGCUUUGAAAAUUGUUAGUUCCAGACUCCUUCUAUUGCUCUCCUUAUUGGAAAGUUUUAUCCUGUAUCUUCUGUCUGGAUAUUUAGUCUCUGUUCGUUUUACUUUCAAAGGUGAAUAAUAACCCGUUAGUUUCUCCUUCCAGGGUGCAGAUUUAUCUCAUGUUUUCUGCACAAAAGAUGCUGCUCCUGUCAUAAAGAGCUAUAGUCCAGAGUUAAUUGUGCAUCCUGUUCUUGAAGAAUCAUACAGUGUCAGGUGCUUCCACUUUUGUCUAUAUUUUGGUCUGAGUGGAAAAGAUUGAAUAGAAGUUUUGAUAUUUGUCUGAUGCGUUCUGAUGUUUAGGGAUGAGGAAAAGAAGUUCAUCGCAGAAAGGGUUCUUGCUGAGGUUGACAAGUGGCUGGAAAGAUUUGAUUGUCUUGUCAUUGGUCCAGGGCUUGGAAGGGACCCAUUUCUUCUGGUGAUUGUGUUAAUUUUGUUUGUUUAAUUACGUAGUUCUUUCUUGAACAAUACACUUGAUUCCAUUUUUGUCCUGCAACUUUUAAAGUUCAUCCAUACUUCCAGACUUUCAAACUUCGAUUUAUAUGUUUGAUAAGAUGGGAUUUUUCUAUAGAUUUGGCGAGGGGAAUAUAGAAAAUACCUUUCCUUUUUUCCUCUGUGCUAGUGACUGAGUGAAAGAAGGUGAAACAUGGUACUUAGUUCACUUGUCGCAUCAGGCCUCAUUUUGUUAACUUGAUCCCCUUUAAAUUUUUGGUGUGAGCCUCAAAUUGAUUGAAAUUUAAAAGUAGAUACAAAAAAAUGGAAGAAAUUUGAUUUUCUGAGUCUCUUUUGCCAUUGCAAUCCACUAAAAUGGCUGGGAAGUUAAUUCGUCCAUUGUUUCUUUAUGUACAUUGAUCUGAUAUUUUUUGGCUGUCAAUUUGGCUGCAAGCCUAUGCCUAUGUACUGUUUCAACAAGUUGUCGUAUAUGAAUUAUAGAGCUCACCCCGAGGUUGAAAGUAAUAUUUCAAAUUUUCAUGCUUUCAUAAUUUUCUGUUGGGUUGUUGGACUUAAUUUAUUGGGCAUUCAAGCAAGCAGGCAUUAUAUUUUAUUCAUAUUUCUUUUCUUGCCUUUGAUAGCAUAAUUUUUCUAAUGGUCUAAAACUUUUUCAGGAUUGUGUCAGUGAAAUCAUAAAGCAUGCAAGGCAGACAAAUAUACCAAUGGUCAUAGAUGGGGUAUGCAUAUAGCGAAGCACCUAUGAUUUUAAAGAAAUUAGCUUUUUUAAUAGUACGUUGCGUGUGCCACUUUCAACAGGUCUAUAGUUGGCUGCUUACUGCUGAUUGUGUUUGUUGCUUUAUCAGGAUGGUCUCUUUCUUAUCACUGGCAAUCUUCACCUUGUAAGCAAUUACCCCCUGGCGGUCCUGACUCCCAAUGUAAAUGAAUAUAAACGUCUUGUGAGAAAUGUGCUGCUUGCUGAAGUCGAUGAACAAGAUGCUCCUAACCAAUUGCUGACUCUUGCCAAAAGGUAAAAUCAUCACAUUUUCACGUGGAUAGAGUAAAAUCAUAUUGUUCUUCAUUUGGAUAGAGUUUCAUAAGUCAUGAUUAUGCAAUGUUGACAUGCUUAUUGCUCUAGUAUGGACGCUUCCUACCACACCCCUGAAAUUUAAUCACCACAUCAGUGAAUGCAUUAUUAAGAAGUUGCUUGUUGAGGUACUUAUAUUUAAAAUGUUGGCAGAUAAUCAGUAGUUGACCUCAUCGGAUCAGAAUUCUCUAUAGAUGUUACUGCCUAUCCAGGGGCCCAUAAUGGUUCCUCUAUACUAUUAUUUUUCGGCAGAUUCUGAGAUCUCUAGCCAGAUAGUUCACUGUCAGGAAGGGGAAUAUUUUGGUGGUGUGUUCCGUCCGUCCAAUAGUCUGAUCAGUGAUCACUCUUGGAUUCACGGCAUACAGCUUUCCCAAAUAAUUAUUUCUGCAGUAUGAAAGUCUUGACAUUAGGAUGAAAAUAUGACUGUAUCUUGCCAAAUGAAUUGUUAAAUAAUCAUUAGGCAGAUUCCCUAUUGCUUAAUAUAGAGGAGAUGGGUUUCCCUAUGUGCGUUUUUUUCAUCCUAUUUUAUAAGUUUUAACAAAUAUCAUUAUUAAAGUAUUGCUUCUACGAGGUGUUCAUUUUUAUUUAUCAGUUUUUCUAGUCUUCGGCUUACUAAACUUUUGGACAUGAUCAGGAUUGGUGGCCUGACUAUCCUCAGGAAAGGGAGGGCUGACCUCAUUAGUGACGGUGAGACAGGUACUGAUUUCAAAUACAAAAUAUUUUCCAUGUUAAUGUUACAGAAGUGCUACAAAUUCAAUGUUCCUAUUCUAUGAAUUAUUAGUCACUGUGUCACCAACCCACCUUCAGUUGCGCUAAACUUUACCUUUUGGUCAGAUUAGGAAAAAAUGAUAAAAUUGUCUGUUAUGGAUUAUUGUACGCUAAGCUAUUAUCCUGCUAACGUGGUGGAAGUAAACUCAAAUGAAUGUGGAUUGAAAGUGUUCGUCCAAAUUUCAAUUUCUAUAAAUUUCCCUAAAUUUUUUGUUUUGACUUUGUCGAUAUAGGAAUUUAGUUCUUAGUGCCCAUGUCAAUGUGGGUUUCUUUAUUGUGGAACUUUCAUGAAAGUAACAAUUUAGUUGUUGAACUUUGGUUUGCAGCAACUUAAUCCUUAUAUCUUUCAUGUUAUUUAGUUCCGACCUAGACUUCAAAUUUGUUACAAUUUAACCUCUACAAUGAAGAAUUUCAUUAAAAUUGUUUGCCAAUUUUUCUAAUUCAGUGAUGUAGACUUUGUAGUUUAUAAUAACCAAUUUGAUGGUCUGUCUAUGCAAAAAAAAAUCAUUUUAUCAUAAUACAAUUUCCACAGUAGGAGAUUAAAUUGUUACAAAUUUUACUUGCAAUGAUUAAAAUUGUUACAUAUUAAAAUUCAUGAGCUAAGCUAUAAACAUUUAGGGCCUAAUAUGAUGUCAAGGCUUCUUCCUUGCUAGAUUAUACUUGAUUCUUCCAUUUAGUGAAAUCAUGUGACACCUGAUGCAGUCAAGUCAGUGAGCAUUUAUGGAUCUCCCCGACGUUGUGGUGGGCAAGGUGAUAUUCUUUCAGGAAGGCAAGUAAUUGGCAUGUUUUUUCACUGUUCUUGUCAAAUAUACUUUUCUUCAACGCCUUAUUUACUUUCCUAACAUGAGCUAAGAAGCCUGAAGUUCAUGAAUUGUGUACAAUAAUUUCACUCUUUUCUUUCCUCCUGUGGUCCAGUGUUGCAGUCUUCAUAUCUUGGGCCCAGCGACAAGGUUCAAUCACAGACGAUAAUUUGUCUAGCAGGCAAGUUCUAGUAUUUAGACAUCAUUUGAUCAUUCAAUCUCCUAUGAGGCUAUGACAAAUACUGAUUUCUUAUAAUGAUUUACAUCCAACCCUUUUCACAUGUAGUCCAAAGAAUCCAACAGUGUUAGGGUGCAUUGCUGGAUCUGCUUUACUUAGAAGGGCUGCAUCACUUGCAUUUGAGAACAAGAAAAGAUCAACCCUUACUACUGAUAUCAUCGAGUUCUUGUGGAGAAGGUACUGUCAGCUUUAAGGAAAGAGAGUUCAUUUCAAUGUAAAAACUAAGUCUGCUGCUAAGAUUGGUUCCUUCUUUUUGCAGUCUAGAGGACAUUUCUCCAGCUCAGUAAUCAAAUCCACUGAUCUUGCAACUGUGCUGAAGAUACUCGUGAUUUGAUUGGUCAUGCAUGUACAAUGUUUGGCCAUACUACAAACUUGAUCAUCAGGUUCUAUUGUCUGUUAGGAUUAGAACUUUGGAACUAAUUAAAUGGAAAAUGUCUAAAGGAAUAGGUCGUGCCAUGUAGUAAGAACAGACAAAGGUAAGGGCAUCACCAUAGACAAAAUCUUCAAUAAUUUUGAGAUCCCUGUUCAAUCGUUUCAACAUUACAUGAUUUUAUGAGUUUGCAUUAUGUUGUGAUUCAGACGUUAAUGACAUCCAUACAUUUGAUAUGAACAGGUGGUUGAAAAUGGCCAAAACAUAAGUGGUGGGAAAUUCAAGUUUCCAUUUAUAAUUCUACAAAGUCACCGACUUUAUUAAACCAAAAGCAAAAGGGAUUUACAUCAGAUUACAAGCAAAAAGAACACAGAAAAAAACACACCCAAUUCAGACAUAAACACAUCUGUGUCUGUUAGGUACCCCCCUCUCUCUCUCUUCUGAUCUGCAUUCUCAACCACAAAUAAAACACAAAUAUAUGAAAAUCUCCUUUGCUAUGAGAAAAUCUCUUCACCGUGUGGCCGCCAAAGCUGCAGGCCCCUCCACCUGAAAAAUGACACCAACCACACAAAAAUACACUAGGCUUAGAAAUGAUAGUUUAGUGAUGGAUUGAUUGAUUGUUGUGAAACUUUUCCAAGAAUAGAGAUAGUCUGAAAGUGAAAAAUUACUUUGAAUGUUGCACCCCAUAUCUCUUCCUCAUUAGCAGGAACAGCAGUGAUCUUGUUCUUGGGAUUCUGAUAGCAUCUCAGUUCACCAACUGCUGUAGAUAAGAAACACCCUACAAAAACAAAACCCUCCAUUAUCAUUACAGAACAAGCUUGUUUAGAUACGCAAGGUUCUAAAAGAGUGUAGGAAUCUAAUCAACCUUGAGGGAAAGAAGCAAGCGAUUUCCCACAAGCGCCUUUGAGCAGAUCGGCGUUAUCGGAAAAGGCCACGUAACCAUCGGCAGUGAUUCCCCAAUACAAAGGAACUUUCCCGUUUUGAUCCUAUGGAUAUCACAAAACAAAACCUUAGUUCAUUCGAAAUGAACAUGAAAGAAAGUGAUUAAAGAAAGAGGAGGGAAGAAAGAAAGUUACAGAAGCGACGAAGAGAGUGGAGGUGGACUUGUCAAAGACGAUGAAGGCGAAACUGCCGCUGAGAUGACCAACGACGUGGCUGGGCGGGUAGGGUGCCCGGUCACGGAGAGCCUUGUAAGCUUCAAUCAUGAGAAUCACCUCAUUCGCUGAUUUGGCUAAGCCGUAUUGUU